GGUGUGUUAACGCGCUUCAUCCAAUAUUAAAUGAGUACUUUAAAUGAGUUUGUAUCUCUACAAAUCAUUUCUUUCACUCUUUUGCAUUAAUGCUUUCUAUUCUAAACAUUUCAUCUACUCAUCAAUUCCUUCCAUGGAAUUGGCCUCUUCAUCAUCAAAUCUGCCACCGAUGUAUGAUGUGGUCAUAAACUUUAAUGGAGAAGACAUCCAAAGGAAAUUUGUUUCUCAUCUCGAUUCUGCCCUCUCUGCUGUUGGCCUCACCACCUUCCUUCAUCACCAGAAUGCAGACAACCCAAUUCACAUCCAACAACCUAGUCUCAAUCUCUCUCGUGUAGCAAUUGUUGUUUUCACAAAAUCCUAUUCUCAAUCGGCUUGGUGUCUUCACCAGCUUCAACAAAUCAUUAGAUGGCAAGAAACUUAUUGCCGACAUCUUCUGCCCGUUUAUUACGAAAUUGAGCCAUCUGAUGUACGUCUUCAGAAGGGUGAUUUUGGAAAAGCCUUCAAAGCAACUGCACACCAAACGUUUUCAGGACGAAAACUGGAGCAUGGUAUGUCUAGGUGGAGCCACGCACUCACCAAAGCUGCAAAUUUCUUUGGAUGGGAUGAGAGCAAUUACAGGUAAAUCACUCACUCACUAAGCUUGUACUUCAAUUUUGGUAAUACAUGACUUGUUCUAUAAUAUUGUUAUUGACUUUGAAGGAGUGAUGCUGAACUAGUGGACAAAAUUGUUAAGAGCGUUCUUAAUUUACAAGUCUUGACUGCUACUAAAUUUCCAGUUGGAUUACAAUCCCGUGUGGAAGAUGUGAUUCGAACCAUCAAAAAUAAAUCCUCGCAAGUUUGUACCAUAGCGAUAUAUGGAAUGGAUGGUUCUGGUAAAACCACCCUUGCCAAAGCCAUCUACCGUCAAAUUCAUGGUUCAUUCACGGAGAAAAGUUUCAUGGAAGAUAUUGCACAAGUUAGUCGAACGAGAGGGGGUGUCCAAUUAAAAGAACAACUUCUUUCAGAUGUCCUAAAAACAAAGGUAGAGAUAGAUAGCGUUGAGAUGGGAACAAGUAUGAUUCGGAAAAGACUUUCUGGGAAAAGGGUGCUCAUUGUACUUGACGAAGUGGAUCUCUAUUGUCCAUUAUUAAUAGACCUAUGGGAAAGUCGAGCAUGGUUCGGUGAAGGAACUGUAAUAAUCAUUACAACCAGAGAUGAAGGCUUACUGAAGAUACAUCAAGUUGAUUCUGUUUUUCGAAUAAAGCUGAACGAAAACGAGUCCCUUGAGCUUCUUAGUUGGCACGCAUUUAGAGAAGCAAGACUAAAAGAAGAAUACUAUUUCGUCCUUGCAAGAAUAGUAGUUGCUUACUGUAGAGGACUACCUCUUGUUCUUGAAGUCAUUGGAACUUAUUUAUAUGAAAGGACGAAAGAAGAAUGGAACAGAAUAUUGUUAAGAUUAGAAAGUAUUGCCCUGAAUGAAGUUCCACAGAUAUUGAAAAUAAGCUUCCACGGUUUACAUAGUGAAAUGGAACAAGAUUUAUUCCUUGAUGUAUGUUCUUUCUUUGUUGGUAAAGGCAGAGCCUAUGUUACCAAUAUCCUAAAUGGCUGUGGGGUAGACGCUGAUAGUGGAAUAAGAGUUCUCAUAAAACGUAGCCUCAUAAAAGUUAAAAGGAACAACAAAAUUGGAAUGCAUCCUUUGAUACAAGAAAUGGGAAGAGAAAUUAUUCGUAACAUUUCAGAGAUGGAGAGGCAAGUGCGGUUUGUCGAUGGAGAAUAUGUAUUGACAGAUAAUUCAGUAAGAUUAUUCUUUAUAUGUGGUUUUCAAAACUUCUCUUUGAAGUGUUUCCUUUCUCAUUUUUAGUACAUUUGUUUUUCUUUGCUCUUUUCACAGGGGACAGACUCUUGGGCAGUGCCUGUGAAACUGCGUUCAGCCAGAAGAGAACCAUCAAGACUGCUGAAACUCGAUGGAAAUUCUGAGUACACUUCUAAUAAACUGAGAUGGAUCAGUUUGCAAGGGUCUUUUUUAGAAUACCCAUAUAUCAAUUUUCCUCUGCAUGAUGCAAUAGCGAUUGACAUAAAACACAGUCUUCUUCGACUCGUCUGGAAAGAACCCCAGGUUUUUAUUACUUGCCAUUUUCUAAUAAAACACAAAGCUAAACUAAAACUAAAACAAAAACAGUAACCUGUUUCAUUUUUUUAUUUAUUAACAAUAAACAAUAUAUUAAAAGGAGAUACUUUAUGGUGUCCCAAUCUUAUACAAGAACCAACAUUCACAAGACAUAGACAACCCAAACAGCAAUUUACAGGCAUAACAACAAAAAAGUUUGAGUUGCUAUAAAAAGAGCAUAACCAUAAACCUGCAUAAAUCCCUCAAACCCAUGUGAUAUGCAUACUGCUGUUUCAUUUUGAUUUUCUUCUCUGAUACUUGUGAAAAAAACUCUCACGGUGUAGGUUUUGAGGUGGCUGAAAGUCCUUAAUCUUAGUCACUCCAUGUAUUUAAUGGAAACCCCUGACUUUUCCGGACUACCAAGUCUUGAACAGCUCAUUCUCAAAAAUUGUCCAGGAUUGCGCCAAGUACACCAAUCUAUUGGAUGUCUCUCCAAUCUUACACUGCUAAAUUUGAAGGACUGCACAAGUCUAAGCAAUCUGCCGAGAAAGAUAUAUAAGUUGAAAUCCUUAAAAACUCUCAUUCUCUCUGCUUGUUCGAAGAUUCAUCCAUUGGAAAAAGAUAUAGUGCAAAUGGAAUCCCUCAUAACUCUAAUUACAGAAAAUACAACUGUGGAACAAGUGCCUUUUUCAAUUAUAAGUUCAAAAGGCAUUGGAUACAUAUCCCUACGUGGAUUUGAGAGAUUGCCACCUAAUCUUUUUCCUUCUAUCAUUCGGUCUUGGAUGUCUCCAAAAAUGAAUCCCAUAUCUUAUAAUCAUUCGUUUUGCAUGGAUAUGGAGCAUAAUAGUUGGGAUGAUAUUGCUCCAUUGCUUAGUAGCCUGGCAAUUCUUCGAAGUGUUCUGGUGGAAUGUGAAACUGAGUUUCAACUAUCUGAGCAAGUGAAAAAUAUUCUGGUCCAAUAUUUUGCAUAUAUUAUAGAAUCAGGAAGUUCAAAGCAUCACUUCAAGUCUUCUUUGAUUGGUUUUGGAGCGUACCAAGAAUUCUUAAGUGCUGCCAGCGAUAACAUAUCUAAGGUUCUUCUCUAUCUUUUCCUUUGUUUAUAACCUUCACUUUAGCUGUUAGUUAAGCCAACAUAAAAAUAAUCUAAAAAAAGUGUAGAAACUACAAUUCUAAACUUUUAGCACCCUUACCUUCUACUGCCACACAACUUCAUACAAAAGUAUCUUAUUUUAUUAAUCAACUGACGAAGUGAUUAUUUUCUCUUUCUUGCUUUACUAGCUUUCUGAUUGUUUUUAUUCCAAAUGAUGGCAGAAAUAUAAACUGAAAGAGACGACAACAGAAAUGCAUUCUGAAUCCCUUUGGUGACAUAACACAACAAAACUACUAACCAGAUUUAUUGUUUGCAGAAGACAAUUUGAAUAGGAAAAUUAGAUAAAUGACUAAGCUUUUUAGCGCAUGGUACAGGUAUUGGCAAGCAGUGAGACAUGUGAUGUUUCUCUCCCAGGUGAUAAUCAUCCUCAUUGGUUGGCCCAUAUGGACGAGGGACAUUCUGUUUCUUUCAGUGUGCCUCCAGAUCGUGACAUGAAGGGAAUGGUUUUGUGUGUCGGUUAUUUAUCAACCCAUGAAAUCGUGGCAACUGAAUGUUUUAGAAGUGUCUUAAUUGUUAAUUACACAAAGUGCACAUUGCACAUACACAACCAUGGGACAGUAAUUUCCUUUAAUGAUGUAGAUUGGCAAGGUAUAAUGUCAAAUUUAGGAUCAGGAGACAAGGUGGAGAUUUUUGUAAGUUUUGGUAAUGGAUUGGUAGUCAAGAACACAGCUGUUUAUCUGAUAUGUAGUGAAUCAAAUGACUUAGAAAUAGAAAAGGAGCCUGCGUCAAAGAAAAAUUCUCUUAUUAGAUUUAUAAAGAAAAUUAGUAAUGUGACUUCUCUGGUAAGUCAUUUAUCUACCUCUUUGUGAACAGCAGGAUCCCUUUAGUUAUGGAAUUAAUACUUGUGUCCUUCAUUGCAAUCUAUUUAUUUCCCAUCCUUUCCUUGUUUCUCUUUGGAGUAUAACUUAUAGUUAAGAAAUUAAUGUUUAUUUACACUGUUCUCAGUCCUCACAUUGUGCUUCUUGGCAUUACUUUACCUGUUUAUUGUAUUUGUUUUCUUGUGGUUAGUUUUGUCGAUUCUUUUCCCUUUCAGCAUAUAAUAUUUCUUUAAGAAAUCAUCUUUAAAGAAAGACAUUCAUUAUGAUAUAGAUAGCUGCUAUUUUAUAUUAUUAUGUUUUUUUAUCAACAAUAAAUAAAGAAUCAAUAAAUAAGCAGAAAUAAGUUUUUUUAAACAAAUGGUUCGAUAUUUCUUUUAAGAUCGUGACCAUAUUUGGAAAAACCUAGUUGAAAACUUGAAAAUUACAUAUAAUGGAAACCUAAACUGAAAACUAUAAUGAAAGCUAUAAAUGAAAAUUGCAAAAGAAAUUGAUAAUUAAAAUUCGUUGCAUUUAGUCUUAAAUAAAAGGAAUGAGGCUACGGUGCUUAGUAUGUUGAAACAGAGGCUACCUAGCAGAUAGCAAAACUAAACACAACAAAAUAUCGAACAACAGCUGUGUUUAUUUCAUAAUGCAAUGUCUCUUUCCAAGAGACUUUCUUAAUGAAAAGAAUUGCCAAAGUAACAACGAGAAACAAAUCCAAUAAAGAGAUAAAGUAAAGCCCAGGAAGCACAGUGAAGAGUUAGAAACAGGGAAAAACAGAGAAAGAAAGGGAUUAAUUCGAUAACUAAAGGGAUCCUGCUGUUUCAAAGAAGAUAUAUGACUUACCAAAAUUCACAUUACAAUUUUCUUUUUCAAUCUAAUGGAGUAAUUUUUCUUUGGCGGGCUCUCUUUCAAAGUCAUUUGAUUCUCCAUAUAUCAAAUAGAGAGUUGUGUUCUUGACCACCAAUCCAUGACCAAAACUCACAAAAAUCUCCACCUUGUCUCCAUAUCCUAAAUUUGACAUUAUGCCAUGCCAAUCUUCAUCAUUAAAGGAAACUACUGUCCCUCGGUUGUGUAUCUGGCAUGUGCACUUUGUGUAAUUAACAAUCAAGACACUAGCAAGACAUUCAGGUUCAAUGAUUUCAGAAUUUGAUAAAUAAGCAACCCACAAAGCCAUUCCCUUCAUGUCACGAUCUUGAGCUACAGUGAAAGAAACAGAAUGCCCCUCACUCUUAUGGCUCAACCAAUAAGGAUCAUUGUCACCCGGGAGUGCAACAUCACUAGAGUCACUCCUUCCCAAUGUCUGUACCAUGGAAUAAAAAAAAAAUAAUUAUUUAUCUAAUUUUUGCUUUUCCAAUUGUCUUCUGCAAUCAUUAUUUUAUCACUGAAAAUUACAAAACGGGCAUUUUUAAUCUAAGCAAAUCUGGUUAAUAGUUUUGUUGUCUGUAAAUCACCAUCAUAUGCAUCUCAGUUUUCAUCUCUUUCAGUUUAUAUUUCUACGAUCACUGGCAAUAAACAAUCAUGAAGCAAGUAAAACAAGAAAGUGGAAAGCAAUUGUUUAGUACUAAGUAUAAGCAUAAUGACUUGGUUAGCUGAUUGUUAAAAUCAGAAACUUUUAGAUGAAGUUGUGAGGCAAUAGAAGAGAAGGGUGUUAAAAGUUUAGUACUGACUUUCUGUCAGAUACUUCUAUAGGAUUAUUUUAUGUUCCUUUAAUUAAUAGUUAAAUGAUGGUGAAGACAAUAAAUAAAGGGAAAGCUAGAAAAGAACCUCAGAUAUGUUAUUGCUGAUAGUAUUGAAGAAUUCAUUGUAUGUUCCAACACCAAUCAAAGAAGACCUGAAGUUAUGCUUCAAAAUUCCUGGUUCUGUAGUAUUUAGAUCAUAUUCGACCAGAAUAGUUUCUACUUGCUUAUAUAGUUGAAUCUGGAAGUCACAUUGCACCAAAACACUUCGAAGAUUUGGAAGGGUGCUAAGCAAUGGCGCAAUAUAACCCCAGUUAUUAUCCUCCAUAUCCGUGUAAAAUGAAUGAAUAUAAGAUAAGGGAUUCAUUGUUGGUGACAUCCAAGACCGAAUGAUAGAAGGAAAAAGAUUACGAGAUAAUCCCUUAAAUCCACGUAGGGAAAUAUAUCCAACGCUUUUUGAGCUUACAACUGAAAAAGGCACUUGUUUCACAGCUGUGUUUUCAGCAAUUAGUGUUAUCAAGGUUUCCAUUUGCAUUAUAUCUUCUUCCAAUAGGUCAAUUUUCAAACAGCCAGAGAGAAUGAGAGUAUUUAAAGAUUCUAACUUAUAUAUCUCUCUUGGGAGAUUGCUUAGACUUGUACAGUUCUUCAAAUUUAGCAAUGUAAGAUAGGAGAGACAUCCAAUAGAUGGGUGUACUUCCACCAAUGCUGGACAAUCUUUGAGGAUGAGCUGUUCAAGACUUGGUAGUGUGGAAAAGUCAGGGGUUUCUGUCAAGUACACAGAGUGACUAAGAUUAAGAACUUUUAGCCACCUCAAAACCUGCAUUGAGAUAGUUUUUGUGAAAAAUAUUAAAUACCAAAAUAAAAUGAAACAGCAGUAGCAGGUUAUUAUUUUUGUUUCAGUUAUUAAGCUUUGUAUUUUAACAGAAAAUGGCACGUAAUAAAAACCUUGGGUUCUUUCCAGACGAAUCGAAGAAGACUGUGUUUUAAAUCGAUCGCUAUUGCAUCAUGCGGAUAAAAGUCGUUAGGUAGGUAUUCUGAAUGAAACCCGUGCAAACUCAUCCAUCUCAGAUUCUUAGAACGAUACUCAUAAUGCCCAGGGAGUUGUAUUUGAUCUGGUUGCACCAGUGUUGAUCCGUCUCUUAUCUCUAAAGGAUAAGCUUCGGAGUAAUCUCUUCUGGAUGAACGCAGUUUCACAAACAAUCCGUCUAUGGCUUCUGUCCCCUGUGAUGAAAGGAGCAAAAUAAACCAAAUGAAUGUAUUGCACAUGAGGAAGCAAACACUCCAAAAGAACUUUCAAAACCAUAUAUAGAGAAUGUUCUUACUGUAUUAUCUGUCAAUACAUAUUCCCCAUUCUCAUCAGAUUCCUUUCUUGAUAUUUCAAUAAUUUCUCUUCCCAAUUCUCGUAGCAAAGGAUGUAUUCCCAAUUUGUUGCUCUUUUUAACUUGUAUGAAGCUACGCUCUAUCAGAACUCUUAUUCCACUAUCAGCGUCUACUCCACGGUCAUUUAGGAUAUUGGUAACAUAGUCUCUGUCUUUGCCAACAAAGAAACAACAUACAUCAAGGAAUAAAUCUUUUUCCAUUUGUCUAUCUAAACCGUCGAAGCUUAUUUUCAACAUCAGUCUAAAUUCAUAGCGGGGAAUUUUCUCUAAUCUUGACAAUACUAUGUUCCAUUCUUUUUCCGUCCUUUCAUAUAAAUAAGUUCCAAUGACUUCAAGAGCAAGAGGUAGUUCUCCACAAUAAGCAACUACUCUUCUUGCAAGGAAAUUGUAUUCUUCUUUUGGUUUUGGUUCUCUAAAUGCGUGCCAACUAAGAAGCUCAAGGGACUCGUUCUCGUUCAGCUUUAUACGAACAACAGAAUCAACUUGAUGUAUCUUCAGUAGGCCUUCAUCUCUGGUUGUAAUGAUUAUUACAGUUCCUUCACCGAACCAUGCUCGACUUUCCCAUAGGUCUAAUAAUAAUGGACAAUAGAGAUCCACUUCGUCAAGUACAAUGAGCACCCUUUUCCCAGAAAGUCUUUCCAAAAUCAUACUUCUUCCCAUCUCAACGCUAUCUAUCUCGACCUUUGUUUUCAGGACAUCUGAAAGAAGUUGUCCUUGUAAAUGGACUUCCCCUCUCGUUCGACUAACUUGUGCAAUAUCUUCGACGAAACUUUUCUCCGUGAAUAAACCAUGAAUUUGACGGUAGAUGGCUUUGGCAAGGGUGGUUUUACCAGAUCCAUCCAUUCCACAUAUCCCUAUGGUACAAACUUGCGUGGAUUUGUUUUUUAUGGUUAGAAUCACAUCUUCCACACGGGAUUGUAAUCCAACUGGAAAUUUAGUAGCAGACAAGACUGGUAAAUUAAGAACGCUCUUAACAAUUUUGUCCACUAGUUCUGCAUCACUCCUUCAAGUUCAAUAACAAUUAUAGAACAAGUUGCCAAAAUUGAAGGACAAGCUUAAAAUAUGCUUAUUGAGUAAGUGAUUUACCUGUAAUUGCUCUCAUUCCAUCCAAAGAAAUUUGCAGCUUUGGUGAGUGCGUGGCUCCACCUAGACAUGCCAUGCUCCAGUUCUCGUCCUGAAAACGUUUGGUGUGCAGUUGCUUGCAAGGCUUUUCCGAAAUCACCCUUCUGAAGACGUACAUCAGAUGGCUCAAUUUCGUAAUAAACAGGCAGAACAUGUCGGCAGUAAGUUUGGUGCCAUUUAAGGAUUUGUUGGAGUUGAUGAAGACACCAAGCAGAUUGAGAAUAGGUUUUGGUGAAAACAACAAUUGCUACUCGACAGAGAUUGAGAAUAGGUUGUUGGAUGUGAAUUGGGUUGAGUGCAUUGGGGUGGUGAAGGAAAGUGGUGAAGCCAACAGCAGAGAGGGCAGAAUCGAGAUGAGAAACAAAUUUCCUUUGGAUGUCUUCUCCAUUAAAGUGGAUGAGCACAUCGUACAUCCGUGGGAGUUUGGGCGAUGAAGAUUCCAAUUCCAUGGAAGGAAUUGGUGAGUGGAUGAAGUGUUUAGAAGAGAAGCAAUAAUGCAACACAGUCAAAAGGGUGAUCUGUUCAGACACAACCAUUCAAAGUAGGCGGAACAUUAAUGUUCUUUAUAGUCGUGCGCACGUGAAGAUAAGAAAAAAAUAUUACAUUAGCAAAAAGUCUAAACAAUUCUUGAUUUUUACUAAUUUAAUCAUAACUUGGUGUAAACAAUUAUUUACAGUGAGGCCAAAGCAAUUACUGAAAAUUUUAUAAUACAUUUCAGAUGCAUCUUGCACUCGUAACCAUUGCGCUUGUCACCUCUAUAUUAAAACCCUAUUUACGGUUAAAUAUUUUUUCCCCUAACUUUUUUUAUUUAUACUUUUAUGCAUGUAGUUUAUUCUUAUUUUUCAUCGUAUAAUUUUAAAAAUAUUUUAGUUUUCGUUGUUAUUCUUUGUUACAAACCUGUUGAAGUGACAAACCAUGAUAACAUCAAAGUAAUGUGAUUAGAUUUAAAAUCAAACUUGACAUUUGCUAGCACUAAAAAAAUAUGAAUAUACUUUCAUCCCACCUUACCUCUUUUUUCUUAAAUUUUCUUAUUCGUCCUGACAAUGACAAGAGGAAAAUCUUGUAUGGAAAUUGGGAGAUUAUAUGAGAAUUGUUCUCGUCUGCUGACUUUGGUCGGACCUCGGUAGUAGACUCCAAGUUCAAUCAAUUUUGCUUGAUGUUGUUGAACCUAGACCCUGGUGCUUUGUGACGAGGGAAGCUCCACUUCUUGAUCACACUUUGAAAAUCAAGUCAGUGAGAGCAUUCAAACUAUGAUAUCUCAAUGAAAAAUUUGUAUUAGUGUAAAAUCCUCAGAAAAACAUACCUUUGCUCAGGGUCUCAUACCCUUUUUAUAGACUUUCCUUCAACAAUUUCAUCAACAAGAAUAUUCUGUUAAGAUUUGGCUUCAUUUUACGAGUGCAUGCAACUUUUAUUUUUAUCAGCUUUUAUUUACAUUGAAAAUAUAUACGCCUAACUAAUUUAGUUAAGCCAUUUUACUAUAAUUAUAUUUUAACAUGGACUGCCAACUGUUUGGGUUGACCUCAUAAGACAUUAUGAGGCUUAUAUUUUAUCCCAGAUCAAGCUAGGUAUUUUCCAAAUGGGUCCGACCAACCGAGUUAUCACACUGAAGUAUUCGGGAUCGAGGUCCCGAGCACGUCAGACUAGUACACUGGCCCCACGUUCAAGCCGAGCUUGAGGAGGCGAAGAGGCUUACUUGUAUUGGUGGUUGACACGACGCUUUUGUUAAAGGGUAGCUGGGACACAGAUUCUUAAGCGUCUUUCAGAAAGACAUCCCACCAUACUUAAUGUGGUGUGUACACGUGGAACAUAAAUCAACGGUGAGGCAAUCCUUUCGUUUUGAGUUCAUUUCCUCCAUACAUAACCCUUUUCUUCUUUGAACCUAACACUCUUUGCUUCUUUCUCUAUGCCAACAAGCACUUCCCUCCCUUCGUCGCACCACUUCACACCGCCAUCUUCCACUGGUAAAACAAGUAUGUUUCAUUCGUUUAACUUUAUCUGGUGACUAUAAUCUUUCCAUUGAUUUCAAUAAUGCACCUUGGUAUACGUUGAUUCGACUCAUUCUGUAUGUGCUUUCCCCUGAACUUCGUUUGCAUUCUAUCUCUGUUUAUGUCUUUGUUGUCUUUGAAGAUGGAUUAUAGUUUUGCUUAUCCUUGGGCUAAAAAGGAACUGCUUAGAGAAACCUCCGUCUUUACUACCCGUUUAAAAAUUAGAAAGCUAAGAAAAUCGGGGGGUUUAAGCAAAAAGUAUGAGAGUUUAGUGAAAGUAGUAGAGUGUAGGGAAGGGGAGCCUAUAUGUAGUAACGAGUCCUCGGACCCUAACAGACCAUUUUGCUUUUUCUACGCCACAUUUUUCACCAAGGUCCUACUUCGCCUUCCCUUGUCAAUCUUAGAAAAAGAGCUAUUAACCGAGUUGAACGUGGCACCCGCCCAGCCACAUCCGAAUAGCUGGUCAUUCAUCCGAGGUUUCAUAAUUUUGUGUUCCCAGCUCGACAUUUCGCCAACUGUGGAACUAUUUCUUCGAACUCAAACAUUCUAGUCGCCAGUUUUGGGUUUCUCUAAAUGGUACCCCUAGGAAAGGUCUGCUUACCCUCUUCUAGUCAUUCAAUAAAAAUUUCAAAAAUCCAUUUAUCAACGUUUGUGCCUCGGCAGGAGAUUCGUCCCUAGUGGACGACUUUCCUUUAUACUGGACACCCAAACUCCGAUUUUAGUGUGCUUGGCGCCUGAAAGACCUGUCCCCAAGGGAACAAGGUAUUUGUGAAUUCCUGGAAGGUCUCAAGGUCGUCUUCGACAUGCCAACCCUCUUGAAUAAAGAAUACCUCCCUGGUGCUCUUAAAGCCUACAUCGGUAUAUCUCCUUUCUCAUCCUUGAAAGGAGAACAUAAUCCAUGACUUCUGAGUAUUUGUUUGUUUUUGCAGAUAACAUGCUUUCUAACAUUAGCAAAACUGAGUUGUCCGAGCGUGCCAGGAAAAUGAGGGUGGCUGCGAGCAUGAACAAUGACUCUUUGUUACAAAAGAGGAAAACUCCAACUGAUGCCGCUCAAGUCCAAUCCGAUCAAGACGAGCAUACCACCUUGGAACCUGUCUUUAAGAGGAAGAGAUCAGUGGCAGCUCCUCCUAUCAAGCACUCACACUCGAAUGGUCGAGCUCUUAACUAAGAGGUCAUAACUAUUCAGGAAUGCGAGGCAGAAAGUUCUCAAAGGAAAAGCUUAUGGAAUCCUGAUUUGACAUUCCAGCACAUGGCGAGUCAUGCUACUUGCUUGACGAAGAUAAGACCAGAUUGAUGGCUCAUGAUGAAGAUCACCUCCGUCACAACACCGAGAAACUUCUUGGCCAAGCAUUUUCCCUGGUUUUCCUAGUCAACGUCAAGGCAAAGGAUCGGAAAAGAGCUGAAGACCAAAGGUUUAAAGAGAAUAUAGAACUCCAUCAAGAAGUCGAACGCCUCCGACCUGAAGUUAACCAUUUGGGCGUGGCAUUGGCCAACAAGACCCAAGAGAGACUUGUCUUGGCCGAAGAGAAAAGCAAACUCUCAAUUGAGAUUGAAGACUUAAAGAAAGAAAUGACGCGCAAUGAAGAACGCCACCCAAUCCUACCUUGUUGGGUUUGAAGCUGUAUUGGAACAGGCAACUGUUGUCCACCCUAUUGUUGACUUCUCAGAGCUAGAUCCAAGCAAAAACGUGAUUGAUGGAAAGCUAGUGAGGAUCCUUAGUUCAAAAUUUUUAUGGACUGUAUUUACUAUUUACUUUUAAUUGUUGAACCUAUUUAACGUUUAAACUCCUCAUCGACAUUUAUUAAGAAUUUUGAACCCUAAGAUGUUCAUUAUUUUGAAAUCAAAAGUUCUUUACUUAUAGUAUACGAAUGUACGAACAUUCUAGCGAAUCGAACUUUGCCAAUCGAACUGACCCAAUUUUACACCCUUAAUAUACUAAUGCCAGAUUAACGUAAUAUGACCUUGCUAAUAGGGGUGGGAUGAAAUAUAUAAACGAAAUUAGUUCUUAACUAAUUGGCUAACCUUUUGACGAUCGAUACCUUUCUGGUUGGCUGAGUUGUAUACCACUUCGACCUAACCAAUCCAUCGUUUGUUUGGACAUUUUCAACACUGUUCAUUCCACGAGUCAUCCAAAGGGUAUGACAUCAUAAACUUUGUUCGGGUAAUUCACACUCCGGCUUGGCCAGAUGAUGAACUUCGACAGUAUUCACCCCCGAGCUGGGAAGUCAUACCGCGUGACUAUAACAUUUGCUCCAAGUUAACCUACCUCACAAGGCGCCUCCUCGGACAGUUGUAUCUACUCUGAGCUAGGUCAUCUUACCAUGUGCUAGUUCGGAUAACUACACCUGUUUUCAAGUCAAAUAAUUCCAUAGUGCGCCCAUACUCGGGUAACUAUAUUCGUUCUGAGUUAGGUCGUCUUACCACGUGCCACCUCAGGUUGCUACACAUGUUCUAAGUUAACUUGUCUCAUAGGGCGCCUAUACUCGAGUAGCUACACAUGCUCCAACUUAGAUCGUCUUACCAUGUGCCAUCUCGGACAACCUCACCUACACAAAAUCACACCUGAUAGGUAUAUUCUGACUUUGGGAUGAGUGAACCACAUGCAACUUUGGGGUAGUUUGGCCAUUUGUGCGGUCAGUUGCUCAAUCUGCUGUGUCAGAAUCUUAUUUUGAGCCAGCAAUGCAUCUAUAGUGUUCAAUUCUAAUAAUCCCCUCUUUUGAUGACCUAGUCUAUCAUGUUGGGCUUCAUAAUCAGUUGUGGCCAAAGCAUCAAUAAUUCUCGUUGCUUGUUCUACAUCAACGGCCAUCAUCGUGCCACCAACUGCGGCAUCUAGGAGCAUCUUCGUAUCAGAUCUGAGACCAUUAAUGAAUAUGCUAAGUUGAGAAAUUUUUGCAAACCCAUGAUUAGGGCAUCUUCUUAGCAUCAUCUUGAAUCUCUCCCAUGUCUCAUAGAAAGAUUACUUUGCUCUUUGUCUGAACAUAGAAAUUUCAGACUUAGCUUUAAUAUAAUGAGAAAUUGGAAAAAAUCUCUGUAGAAAUUUUUCCUCCACAUCCUUCCAUCUAGUUAAGCUCUUAUUAGAAUGUGAUUUAAGCCACUCCUUUGCUUUCCUUUCCAAAGAAAAGGGAAACAAACGCAUAUACACAUUGUUAAUAUUACAUGAUUGAAAACCCAUAGUUCCCACCAAUUUUUAAAAUGUAGCCAAGUGUGUGGGGAUCCUCAUGGUCCAUUGUUGUGAGUUGAUUGGUACUAAUGAGGGUGAUGAAUUUUGGCUUCAUCUCCAAGGCCCUAUUAGUAGCAGGUAUUGCAAUGCUAGAAAAGUGUCUAGGCCCUUGAUGUAUGGCAUAGUCUCCGAAAGUCCUCCUAGGAGGUGGUGUUUCCUCCUCCGCCAUGUUGUUAUCCUCCUGAAAAAGAUGAAUGAAAAAAGGACAAGUUGUUGAAGAGUCCUCUCUAGUGUCCUCUUGCUUCUCUUUUGCCUUUGAUUUCUGGUUCCUUCUAGCUACCUUCUCAAUUUUCGCUUCAAAUAACAAUUGAUCUUUGGAAUACGACCUUUCAAUAUCAUAUAAAAGCAGCUAAUGCAAGGGUUAGAAAGAAAAAUUCACAAGUAGUCCGAAAAAAAAAAUUAUUUUAUAGUUUGUUUGUUUUUUCAAAAAUUUUAAAAAUAAACCAAAAUUUAAAUAAUAAAAUAAAUAAAAGAAAAAAGUUAAAACAAAAUAACAGAAAAUUAAAUUGUAACAAUAAAAGAGAAUCCAAAGUAAAUCAGAAAAUAAAUAGACAAAUCCAGCAAAUAAAAUAAUUAAGAAAGUAAUAAAAAUAGAGUAACAAUCUAAAAAUAAAAUAAACACAUUAAAAACAAAGCAAAACAAUAAAAAUAUUCACAAUACUUAGAAAGUUAUACUCAAUAAAUCAAACCUGGUCUCUGGCAAAGGCGUAAAAAACUUGGCGACUUUCUACGACAAGUGCACCGCAUUGUCAGAAGUAAUAAUUUGUCCCUAAGGACGGAUAUCGAUCCCACAAGGAACAAUGAAUUAUCAAGUACAAUGUUUGCUAAAUAUAAACAAAACAAUUAAAAGAGUGUUGAUGGUGAUUGUGUUGGCAGUGAUCAAUAAGAAAACAAACAAAGAAUUGGUUGCUUCAAGUUGGUAAAAUAGGGAUUAGGUUUCAUCAUCCUCACUCCUAUGUAUUUUGAUUAACAUGUCAAUAUUAAGUUCUUUGAUUGAAAUUGAUGCCCGUAGAAAAUUCAUUUAUAUCGAUCUCUCGCAUGUAAAAUUUUUAAAAAUGUUUCCUAAAUAUUGAUCUCUCGCAUACUUAUAAAAACAACUUAGAAGCACACUCAGACGUUAAUGGAAAUUAACAUUUCAAGUCUAUCUCUAGCACUCAAAUAUGUUAAGUAUUGUUGUUUACGUCACAACCCUAAAAAUACCUCUCAGUUAGAUUUAAGAUUCUUAAUUUGUCACAGAAAUUUAGAAAUAAAACAACAAUACCAAUAAUCAAUCAAGAACAUAAUAUUAUAUCAUAUUAAAUAUCACUUUAAUACAUAAGAGUUCGAGCAGAUCACUCCCAAUCCUAAAAGGUAAAAUUAGUCACGCAUACUUCUAGCACCUUUCAUUCUCCCAAUUGGGUUACAUUUCACUCAAUGUUUGUGCCUCUAGCACCCUAUUUAACCUAAUUUACUAGGGUUAGGUGACUUCCUGCGUCGUGCUAAUUGGUCUUGAUAAAACAGAAAAAUAACCCAAUUUGUCUGACGCGUUUUCGCUUGAGCGAGAAUAUCUCAAUGAAGCGAGAAAGGCGGUGAUUUCCAAAAAUGUUAUUGGAGCAUUCUCGCUUGAGCGAGAAUCCUUGUUGCAAAGUUGGCUUUUUCAGCGUUUUUAUGCAUUUUGAGACCAUCAAGCUACCUCUUCUUAGCUCAAAUCAUUCCUCUUUAAUCCAAAUCUCCAUUAUUCCCUAAAAACCUGCAAUUAACACUAAUUUUUGUAAUAAAAUACUCUUAUUCAAAUAAAGAUCAUAAAAAAUGUGAAAAAGUAUAAAUUCAUAAAUUAGGGAUUAUUAUAUAUGUAAAUUAGCAAUUAAUACUCAUAAAUGUUUAUAUUUUAAUAUGAAAUAUUACUGAAAUUAGACAUUUAUCAGGCUCCUUUUGAUUCUGAGACGUAGUGGUUGGGCGGGCAUAUUACAUAGAAUUGUUGUCAGACAAAUUUGUAUGGAGGACGUUGAAUGUCACGCACCUCAAAUUUUAUUACAGAUGAAUAAAUAAAUUUAUGCAUUCUUUCCUCACCCGACCGCUUUAUCCCUAAGGAGGGUUUUCGGUCAGGAAGGUUUUAACGAGGCAAUUUUUAAAUUGUUCAUUUAAAUACAAGUUAAAGCUUAAACGCACAAUGCUUAAAUCUCAAGACUUAGCUCUGCUAAGGGUGCUUACCUAAAUACGUUAUCCCUCCCAAGACCCAAAGACUCAACUCGACUAAGUACCCUUACCUUAACCGGCAAUCCCUCAGAGACCCAAAGACUAAACUCGGAUAAGGAGGCUUACCUUAACCGAUAAUCCUUCCCGAGACCCAAAGAUUCGGCUCGACUAAGAACGCUUACCAUAACCGGUAAUCCCUCUCAAGACCCGAAGAUUCAGCUCGACCAAGGACGUUUACCUUAACUAGUAAUCCCUCCUGAGACCCACAGACGUAGAGCAACUAAGUAAAAAAUUCGCAGUUAUAACCGACCAAAGACUGGUAUUAUACUCUCGACGUAUCUUCUUUAUCAUUACUUGUUCAUUUUUAUUAAAACAGGAAUGUAGAAAAUUGAAUGAUUCAUUGAUAAAAAAAAAAGGGGAGGCCACACCCUGGCCUCGAGGGAACAAAAAACAUUAAAAUGUAAAACCUAAUCGUCUUCCUCUUCAAUGGCAUACAAGUAAGCCCUUGGUGUUGAGUUCCGAAGAGCCACAACCUUGUCAAAGGCCACUAUGAGGCCCUCGUACACGUCUUUAUUGACGUCGAAGUCACCUUCAACGGAUGGCCCAUUGUAGAGUAGGUGUGGUUUCCGAACGGCCUGGUUGAAGCUUUCACCACACAUCACCAAGACAUUGUCUUGGAGUUGGUCAAGCUCGAAUCCAACCGAAGUCUUCUUCGCCUCCAAGGCCUUGUGUUCUUCCCUUCAACUCCCCAAUCUCCUUCAUCUGCUUCUCCAUCCAACCCUCUUUCUCGGCCACCUUUUUCCUCUCCCCUACCUCGAGCUCGGCGCGUCACAUGUUGCUCAACUUGAGCUCAGCAUUAGCUUUGGCCAUUCAAGACUCAAAAGUCGACACCACUUCCAGCGAUGACUUUAGAGAGCUAGAAGCCUCGCCCAGCUCAUGCUUGAGUCGGGAAAUUUCUUUGGCCAAUUGUUGGUUGCCCUCAUCGGCAGCAAGCCUGGUCAAUACCAGGGCUCGAGCCUGCAUUUCGACCGCAGCCGAUAACAAAUCAUGGCAAGGGAUGGUCGUCAACAUGUUUUCCUUACUCAACGUCAGAAAGACCUGCACGCCUUUGGAAAAUUGGGCGUUUCCCCCAAUAAGUGAUAGAAGGGCACUGGUAGUACCGACCAUAGAUGGUGUUUCGAGCAGUCGUCUUCCUCUUUUUCUUUUUGCUCCAUUCAGCAGAAGCAAGCCCUGUUAGAAUGGAUGGCUUUAAACUAGAGGGGGGGUGAAUUGUUUAAAGAGGAUUUUCACAAACUUUUAAGCCAAGAAUGAAAUUUCUUCAAGAAACAAAUGAUAAGAAAUUCAGUUUGCCAAAACACAAAGCAAAAACAACAGCACCAGAAAAACAAUCGGUUGUUUCGUAGAAACAAUCGGCUGUUUAUACCAGUUUACAAAUAUUAAAACUGAAUUUAAAGAGAUUAAGGAGAGAGAGAAUGCACACAGAAGUUUAUACUAGUUCACUCUAAACCCAGAGCUACAUCCAGUAUUCUCAGAAACCACUGAGGAAUUCCACUAAGCAAUCAAACCUAGAUCACUUACAACACAACCAAGAUAGUGACCUUAAUCCCCUCAAGACACACACUUCUCUUGGUCAACACACCAACACUAAGAAUGCUGAUCUUGAUCCCCUCAAGAACACACAACACUUCUCAGCAAACACACAAAGGUUUCUUUCAACAUAUACAAGGAUUACACUUGUUACAGAAGCAAAUCUGAAAUCAAUACAAGAGAAAAUUCUAGCUCACACUCUUUUAUCAAUCUCAAUCUCUAAGCAAUCUCAACUCUUUCAAAACUCAAAAUCAAUGAAAAACUCAAAUCUGUUUUUCUGUAUAUAUUAAAGUUGUUGUUUGUUAUCAAAUCUUAACAAACUAUUCAUUGCUUUUAAAGAUUGGUCAAAGCAUUAAAAACUGGAGCGUAAACAGUUAGAAAAUCAUUUAAUGCUCAGUCAAAGCACAAACCAUUUUUCUGUUAUGGUACCAAAACAAACAAUCGGUUGUUUCCUCGAAUCAAUCGGUUGUUUUGGUUUUAACAGCUCAACCAUUUGAAAAACAGUUUUCAACCUUUUCUAAAAACUCCUAAGUAUAAAACAAUCAGUUGUUUUGGCAAAACAAUCGGUUGUUUUUCACUUAGUUUGAAAAACACUUUUCUUUUUAAAAAGAUUGAGAAUGCCUAUGCUUUGGAUUCAAUCAAUGAGUGGAUUACAAAACUCAAUCUACCCCAGAUCCUAUCUAAGACAGCUCAGCAACAGCAAGCACAGCUUAGCCUUCAACAUCCUUCAAAGGGUUUGGAUUCUUCAAAGCUUGAACACCACUUGGUUCAACAAUCUCCCCCUAUUUGAUGAAGACAAAUCCCUGAUGCUUGUGUUGUACCUGAUUGAAUCUGAAGCAGUUCCUGCAAAGCACAGUUUUAAGCAAAACAUAGAACUUCUGAUAUUUGGUUAGCACAGAAACAAAUAUAGAACUUCAGAACAUAAUAUCAGAGCAAACAACAAACAAAUAUUCGAGCAAAAACCUAUGAGGUUUCACUCAUAUAAACUGUUUUGCAGAAAAUAAAAACUAAAACCAAACACAACAUACAUACAUCUCCCCCUAUUUGUCUACAUAAAUAGACAAAGAGAAGAUAUUAAAAAGAUAAAUGUUCUUAAUACAUCAGAUUUAAAACAACAAAAGCAGAAAAAUAGAAAAACUGAUACAACCACAAAAAACAAUCGGUUGUUUCGAUACAUCAACCGGUUGUUUUUGUCUUCAUUCAUCAUCAUCGGCAUAUCGAAGAUCAAAGAUUUGGUUAUGUAUUGCCUCAAUCUGUUCAUCUAGAGUCAUGAAAUGUGCAUCCAUGCUGUCAAACCUGUUAUCAAUCUUCUGGAAAUUGCUGACACAAAGAUUAUGGAGAUUUCUUUGAUUCUCCGCAAAGCUAUCAAGCCUAUUAACCAUGAGUCUCUCAAAAGGAGACAUGGUUUGCAUUCCUUCUUCUUGAUUUCCAGCACCAACACUAGGUCCAACAUCUUGAUGUACUUCAGGUAGAUCUUCAUGUUGAAAAUCCAUAUCUGCAGCAGGUUCAUCUUGUUCAUGAUCAACAAUAGCACUAGAUAAGGCUCCAAAGUCACCAUCUUUGCUAAUCCAUUUCCCACCUACUUUGGUGAAACCCAUUUUGCUGAGAGAUCCAUUGUUCAACUCUUGAGUUGACUUGACCAACUCAGAUGUUUCAUCCUCUAGGUUCACUUCAAAAUAGAGUAGAAAUUUAGAAACCAAAACAGCAUAUGGAUAGUGAUAGUCACUUAACCUCAUUGCCUUUUGCAUGUGCUCUUUGAUGAUGUGGAUCCAAUUAAUUCUGAUCUUCUUCAUAAUGCAGAAGAUGUACACUAGAUCCUCCUCUGUAAGAACAGAAUGAUUGCUCCCCCUUGGAGUUAGAAUCUAAGUCACAAUGAGGGCUAGCAACCUUUCAUCAAGCUUUAAGCCACCAACCGAGCAAGUCCUAACUUGUGCAUUUUGGUUCUUCAAGCAGCUCUUGUAGUAUUGAACUUUGUUGAAGUCCUCCACUACUCCAAGGUUCCCCUUGUUAAUUCUGAGGCCUGAGUACUUUAGACCAGCUACAACAGCCCACACUGCAUGUGUAAUCUCCAUAUCUACACCUUUUACAUGAGAAACAAGGUUGUUUCCCUAAAACUUGAGAUUUGUGUAGAAACUAUUAUCAAAUCUGGAUAGAUAUUCCCUUUCAUCUCCAAGAACUUUCUAAGGGAAUGAUCUUUGAGGAGCCUUUUGACAUUGUCCAGCUUUUGGCUUUUCAGCCAAUCAAAGCAAACAACUUUAGGGUUGUUUAUCACUUUGGUGCUAGUCUCAAAUUUAUAUCUCUCAAUAAGAUCAUUAUCACCAGAAAACCAUCCUUCAAGCCUUCCUCCAGACCUUACUGCUCUGGAUUUGACUCUUCUUGAGGUGGGAGGAGUUGAGUCCAUGAUGGCAGAGAAGAAAAUAGAGAAAAGCUCACUCACAGAUUUUGCAAGAGAUGUUGCAAUUGGUUGUUCUUGUGGAAGAGAUCAGCUGCAACAGAUUUUAUAGCAUAAACAGAACCAUAAAGCAUUCUAUGACAUGAGUGGGUAUCAGAUUUUCAGAGAGAGAGGACUUGACCAUGUCCUGCACUGAAAAUGUCAGAAAAAGCAGAAAAUCACAUGGUCUUCACAUGUGAUCUUUGACUAGUCAUUAAAAGCUCUUGAAUUUCCAAGAUUGUGGAAUAUAUUCCUUUAUGACUGUUGUAACUUCCUUUUGAGCAUGAUCAGCUUUCAACACAAAUUCAUUGACCAAGGAUUCUCUCUUUAAUUUGAUCUGCAACGAAUAGAAAUUCAAAAUAGAAAUUAAAUUGAUUUCUUCACGGUGCUGUCAGACUCAAAACAAUCGGUUGUUUUUCUACAGCAGUUAAAAACUGAUUUUGAAUUUUAACCAUGAGCAGAAAGGGUUCAAAGCAGAUGAAGAUAAACAUUUUAAAGAGGAUAUUUAACCAUGAAAAUGAACUUAAAAACAUGAAUUAAGAACAGAGAUAAGGAAAGUCUUAUCCUUUGUGUUGUUCUUUCAAUGAGCCAUGUGCUUUGUGAUCAAGAAGCCUUAUUUUAACUGUUGAGGGCUUUUGGACAGAUGCAGAACAUUGAUUCAGCUUCAGUGUUAGUCUUUUUCUUCCAAAAACUUGAUCAGAUGACUCAGUCCUUCAUACUUCUUUAGAUUUCCUACAUAAACAUGAGUUCAAGCAACAAGAUUUGGCCCUUUCACAAAUGUGGGUCCAAUUGAUUUCUUUUUCUUAUUUGGAACCUCACAUCCUUUAGGAAUCCAUUUCAUGUAGCCCCUGGGAACAAAAAACUUUCUUAUUUUACAGAAUCUAACUGAAUGACCCUUUUUCAUGCAAUAAAAGCAUGUAACAACCGGUUGUUUCGACUUAACAAUCGGUUGUUUUACUGGCUUUCUUAAUUUUUUUUUUGAAAAAUUAUCUUGUUUGUUUUGUGGAUUAAAGCCUAAACCAGCCUUUCCAAAAACACAACUUUGAGAUGCCAAGACAUUCUCAAAGUUAGAUUUUCCUUUUGAAAGCUUGUCCACAGUGUUAACAAGAUAAUGCACAUUUUUCUCAAGAUUUUCACAAUUUUCGCAAAUGAGAGUGUCACACUUGCAAGAAGAAUUUUUGAAAUUAUUUUUAGAUUUUUCAAUCUCAUCUUCAAGUGAUUUCACUCUCUUUUCCAGCCAGCUGUUAAGUUCUUUUAAUCGGUUGUUUGAAAGCACCAAUCGAUUAGCUUCAUCGUGAGUUUCUUGAAAAGCUCCAAGCAAUUCACUAUAAUUUUGUUCAUUUAAAGAAGCACAAGAACUUACUUCACUUGAGCUGCAAGAUUCAUCAUCAUCUUCUGCAAUCAAACAGAUGUUUGCUUUCUCAUCUUCACUUGAUGAAGAGCUUGAUGAUGAUACUUCAUUUUCAUCCCAAGCUAUGUAGGCUCUCUUUGUCUUGUUCUUCUUUUCCUUGUUGCUAGACUUCUUCUCCUUGCUUUUGUUUGGGCAAUCUGCCUUUAUGUGACCUUGCUCACCACAACCAAAACAAGUAUAGUUAUUUGAAUUAAAAUCAUUAGAUUUCUUGUUUCCAUACCUAUCUUUGUUGUUGUCCUUGUUGCGGUUCCUCUUCAAGAAUUUGCUAAACUUUCUUGACAGCAAGCUAAGGUUUUCCUCAUCACUCAUCGUUGGAUUCUUGUUUGCCUUUGUGCUUGGAAGCUUUUAAGGCUAUGCUCCUUAUGUGCUUGUCUUCGCUUUCUUGAACAUUGAGUCGAUUCAUCCCUAACUCAUGUUCCUUAAGCUUGCCAAACAAAGAAGCCAUACUCAAGGAUGUUAGGUCUUUAGAUUCGGAUAUAGCAGUUACCUUAGGUUGCCAUACUCUAUCAAGACAUUUUUAAAUCUUGAUGUUUAGCUCUUCCUUUUCAAAGGUCUUGUCAAGGCUCAUGAGAUGAUUGAUGAAGUGUGUGAAUCUUUUCUGCACUUCAGCAAUUGUUUCACCUUUGAGCAUUCUGAACAUCUCAUACUCUUGGAUUAGUAUGCUUCCUAGCUCUUUUUACCUCAUUUUUACCUUCAUGAGUUACCUUCAAGGUAUCCCACAUUUCUUUUGCAGAUUUGCAUUGAGAGACCCUGAAAAACUCAUCUGAAUUCAAAGCAGAGGUUAUUAUGUUUUUAGCAACGCAAUCAAAUUUAGCCUUCUUUCUUUCUGAAUCAAUCCAUUGAGACCAAGGCUUUUCAAUGGAAGAUCCAUCUUUUUCAAACUUUGGGACAAAAGGACCAUUUUCAAUUGCAUCCCAAAUUCCUUUGUCAAGUGAUUCUACAAAGAUUUUCAUUCUCACUUUCCAAAAUUGGUAGUUCAAACCACAAAACAGAGGUGGUCUGUUGAUUGAAGCACUUUCCCCAAAAGGUAGUCUAUCAGCCAUUAAAAAAAUUUUAGGAUCACACUUGAAUAAAUUUCAAGAACCAAGCUCUUGAUGUCAAUUGUUAGAAUGGAUGGCUUUAAACUAGAGGGGGGGGGGUGAAUUGUUUAAAGAGGGUUUUCGUAAACUUUUAAGCCAAGAAUGCACACAGAAGUUUAUACUGGUUCACUCUAAAGCCAGAGCUACAUCCAGUAUUCUCAGAAACCACUGAGGAAUUCCACUAAGCAAUCAAACCUAGAUCACUUACAACACAACCAAGAUAGUGACCUUAAUCCCCUCAAGACACACACUUCUCUUGGUCAACACACCAACACUAAGAAUGUUGAUCUUGAUCCCCUUAAGAACACACAACACUUCUCAGCAAACACACAAAGGUUUCUUUCAACAGAUACAAGGAUUACACUUGUUACAGAAGCAAAUCUGAAAUCAAUACAAGAGAAAAUCCUAGCUCACACUCUUUUAUCAAUCUCAAUCUUUAAGCAAUCUCAACUCUUUCAAAACUCAAAAUCUGUUUUUCUGUAUAUAUCAAAUUUGUUUUUUCUUAUCAAAUCUUAACAAACUAUUCAUUGCCUUUAAAGAUUGGUCAAAGCAUUAAAAACUGGAGCGUAAACAGUUAGAAAAUCAUUUAAUGCUCAGUCAAAGCACAAACCAUUUUUCCGUUAUGGUACCAAAACAAACAAUCGGUUGUUUCUUCGAAUCAAUCGGUUGUUUUGGUUUUAACAGCUCAACCAUUUGAAAAACAGUUUUCAACCUUUUCUAAAAUCUCCUAAGUAUAAAACAAUCGGUUGUUUUUCACUUAGUUUGAAAAACACUUUUCUUUGUUAAAAGAUUGAGAAUGCCUAUGCUUUGGAUUCAAUCAAUGAGUGGAUUACAAAACUCAAUCUACCCCAGAUCCUAUCUAAGACAGCUUAGCAACAGCAAGCACAGCCUAGCCUUCAACAUCCUUCAAAGGGUUUGGAUUCUUCAAAGCUUGAACACCACUUGGUUCAACAAGCCCAGGAUCAGGUGCCCCGAUGACAGAGGGUUUUCCCGCGACAACCAUUUCGAAGUUGCCCCUUGCCCUUAGGAAGGGCCUUGGCACGAAAUGCAACCUGAAUGUCACUAGAUUGGGGAGCUGCUUGAGUCAUUAUACCUAUACCAAAUAAAAACAAGUUAAUCAGAAAGUAUAGGCCCACUGAGAUAAAGAACAAAGCAGACAUACCAUGAAAAUCACUCAAUUGAUGGGACAAUUUAUAUACGUUUAAAAGCUUUCAGGUAGGGAGCCUUCUGAGUAGGUUAUCAAAAACAGCAUAUACCUAUAACUCCUCGACGUUCGAGGCCGAACGAGGCCACUAUUUAAAUCGAUGGGGAUCUUAGUCCAAUACAGAGAAAAUUUGGACCAACCAUUUCCAUCAUUGAAGAACUCCAUACCCUCAGACUCGAUGAAAAUCUUAAAAUAUUUUCCCUUGAUGUUUUUGUACGAGGUGGUAUAACGGCGAAAAUGACGUUACCCGAUCGAGUAAUGAGUGAUAGCCAACUCACAUGGUUGGCCACGUGUGACAUGUAGUAAUGAAGAAAAGUUGUAGGGGAUGGUGAAAGACGAAACAUAUCACACACAAGUCGAAAGGCUUGGAGAGAGGCCCAUGUAUUACGAUGAAGCUGGGAAAUGGAUACAUUGAGCGGCCGAAGGAUGCCAAUGGUGAAAUCAUCGAAAGGAAGGGCUAUCUGCAAAUCAGAAAAGAAGCAAGAGUAGGCAAAGAAAAAGGGUCUCGGAAGGAGCCUGACUAAUACAUAUGGUAUCGGCAGGGUGACACGAGUGGAUGGCUAGAAUACCAUCGGCGACAUCAGGUUUCAAAAGGCUAAACUUAUCUAUAAAAUAGGAUAUAGAAGCAAAAUCUAUAAACAAAGAAGUGUACCUGGCUACUUUAGGGUCAACCUAGUCAAAUCCCACACGGUGGGAUGACUCCUCGGCAGGGUUUGAUCGGUCGACAACUGUGGCCGGAUCAUUACCCAUAACCGAGUUGGAUAUGGGAGAAACCACCUCAUGAGUCAUGGGGGAAAGGUUUGAAGCGCCCCGACCGAAAAAGUCUUGGUCGAGGACGAGCUAGAAGAAGAGGAAGAAGAGGGAGACGAAGUAGAAGUGGAAGAGCUAGAAGAAGACAUAACUAACCUCUUCGAAUAAAUGGAAAACACCUUGCCAGGAUGAUAAGGUUUCGGAAGUCAGUGCAAGCAAGAGGCAGGGGGAACCACUAUUUAUAGCCUUCGAGGAGAGAGGAAUAAUGAACGUUCCUUGAUCAAACGGUCCCCAUCGAUUGGCGCCAAAAAACCUAAGUAAUGAUUACGCACAUCACGUCAAGCAUUCGGCUCCGCCAACGUCACAUCUCGCAUCGGAAAGCAUAACCGUCACAAAUAGACUCUUCGGGUUCAAACCCCUCGAGCCUUGAGGGCAAGUGUAUCGGUCGGAAGGUUAACAAGACCAAACAAUGAUUAAGUAAUAGGUAAUACACUCUUAAUUAUGAUCCAAAACCCUAAUCUGACAAUAAAAAAUGGCUCAUGAUAAUCAUAUAAAUAGUCACAGAUUUCAAGAAAAGGGUACGUCAUCAUCACGCAUUAAUUGCACCGAACACCGAAUACCGAGAUCUUACUUGAGCGUCGAAGUGUCUUUUGCAGGUACCAUCCGAACCAUGAGUUUGCAAGGGAGAGGAGGAUAAAGGAAAGAAAGAAGGCGUUCGGUAAAGGGAAGAGGUAUAAGUAGACCGACCAACCGAGGAGGAAGGUAAUCGUUCUCUCAGUUCCAACCCAUUCAAAAACAAUUUCAUUUAGUCUAAAUCAAGGGAUGAGGCUACGGGCUUAUUAUGUUGAAACAAAAACAGACACUACCAAACAGAUAGCAAAACUAAACACAACAUAAUAUCGAACAAUCGAACAACUUUGUUUAUUUCAUAAUGCAAUGUCUAAUUUGAAGAGGUUUUCUUAAUGAAAUAUUAUAUGCUAAACAACGAAACAAAUACAAUAAACAGAUCAUUUAAAGUCAGGAAGCACAAUGACGAGUGAGAAACAGGGUAAUUCCAUAAACAUUAAUUUUUUUGACUAUGAGUUGCUCUAAAGGAAAAACAUAGAAAGGAAAGGAUUAAUUCCAUAACUAAAGGGAUCCUACUCUCAGAAAGAACAUAAAUGACUUAUCAAAAAAGUCACAUUACAAUUUUCUUUUUGAAUCUAAUGAGGGAAUUUUUCUUUGGUGGGCUCUCUUUCAAAGUCAUUUGAUUCACCGUAUAUCAAAUAGACAGCUGUGUUCUUCACCACCGAUCCAUAACCAAAAGUCACAAAAAUCUCUACCUUGUCUCCAUAUCCUAAAUUUGACAUUAUCCCAUGCCAAUCUUCAUCAUUAAAGGAAAUUACGGUCCAUCGAUUGUGUAUCAGGCAUGUGCACUUUGUGUAAUUAACAAUUAAGACACUAUCAAGACAUUCAGGUUCAAUGAUUUCAUGAUUUGAGAAAUAAACAACCCACAAAGCCAUUCCCUUCAUUUCACGAUCUCCAGCUACAGUGAAAGAAACAGAAUGUCCCUCACCUUUAUGGCUCAACCAAUAAGGAUCGUUGUCACCCGGGAGAGAAACUUCACUAGAAUCACUGCUUCUCGAAGCCUGUAGUACCAUGGGAUAAAAAUUUAAAUAAGAACAAUGUAAUACAAAUUAAAAUAUACCAAUGGUAAUUAAUCUAAACAAAUCUGGUUAAUAGUUUUUUUGUGUGUAUAAAUCACCAUCAUAUGCAUUUCAGUUUUCAUCUCUUUCAGUAUAUUUCUACGAUGACUCGCAAUAAAACAAUCAUGAAGCAAGUAAAGCAAGUGGAAAUCAAUAUUUUAGUACUUAGUAUAAGCAUAAGCACUUGGUUAGUUGAUUGUUCUUUUUAUUAAUAAUAUUUUGUCCCAAGAGGUAAGACUCAAAUGCAGGUCUCAUGAGUACGCAUCGAAUUUUUUAACCACUGCAUCAACAAAAAGAUUAGUUAAUUGUUAAAAUAAGAAACUUUUAGAUGAAGUUGUGUAGCAAUAGAAGCGAAGGGUGUUGAAAGUUUAAUACUGUAGUUUCCGAAAGAUACUUCUUUAGGAAUAUUUAUGUGUUCUCUUAAUUAACAGUUAAAUGAUGGAAAAGGUAAUAAACAAAGGGAAAGCUAGAGAAAAACCUCUGAUAUGCUAUUGCUGGCAGUAUUGAAGAAUUCAUUGUAUCUUCCAAGACCAAUCACAGAAGAUCUUAAGUGCUCCUUUGAAAUUCCUGAUUCUGUAGUACUUAGACCAUAAUCGAUCAGAAUAGUUUCUACUUGCUUAGAUAGUUGAAACUGAGAGUCACAUAGCACCAAAACACUUCGAAGAUUUGCAAGGCUGCUAAGCAAUGGCGCAAUAUCAUCCCAACUAUUAUCUUCCAUAUCCGUGCAAAAAUGAAUAUAAGAUAGGGGAUUAAUAGUUGGUGACAUCCAAGACCGAAUGAUAGAAGAGAAAAUAUUAUGUGACAAUCCCUCAAAUUCACGUGGAGAUAUAUAUCCAAUGCAUUUUGAGCUUACAAUUGAAAAAGGCACUUGUUUAACAGUUAUAUUUUCAGAAAUUAGUGUUAUCAAGGAUUCCAUUUGCACUAUAUCUUUUUCUAAUAUUUCAAUCUUGGAACAACCAGAGAGAAUGAGAGUAUUUAAAGAUUUCAACUUAUAUAUCUCUCUGGGGAGAGUGUUUAGACUUGUACAGUCCUUCAAAUUUAGCAGUAUAAGAUUGCAGAGACAUCCAAUAGAUUGGUGUACUUCGCGCAAUCUUGGACAAUCUUUCAGAAUGAUCUGUUCAAGACUUGGUAAUCCAGAAAAGUCGGGGGUUUCAGUCAAGUACACGGAGUGACUAAGAUUAAGGACUUUUAGCCACCUCAAAACCUGCAUCGAGAUAGUAUUUUUGAUAAAUAUUAAAUAAGAAAAUAAAAUGAAACAGUAGUAGUAGGUUACUAUUUUCAUUUUAGUUAAGCUUUGUAUUUUAAUAGAAAACGGCAUGUAAUAAAAACCUUGGCUUCUUUCCAGACGAAUUGAAGAAGACUGUGUUUUAAAUCAAUGGCUACUGCAUCAUGCAGAUAAAAGUGGUUAGGUAGGUAUUCUGAAGAAAACCCGUGCAAACUGAUCCAUCUCAGAUUCUUAUAACGAUGAACAUAAUUUCCAGCAAGUUGUAUUUGAUCUUGUCGCAGCAGUCUUGAUUUGGAAGAACGCAGUUUCACAAACAAUCCGUCAAUGGCUUCUGUACCCUGUGAUGAAAGGAGCAUAGUAAACCAAAUUUAUUGCAGACCAGGAAGCAAACACUUCCAAAAAGAAGUUUCAAAACCAUAUAUAGAGAAUGUUCUUACUGUGGUAUCUGUCAAUACAUAUCCCGCAUCCUCAUCAAUCCAGCGUCGACUGUUCUUCCCAGAAUCCUGUCUUGAAAUUUCACGAAUAAUUUCUCUUCCCAUUUCUCGUAGCAAAGAAUGCAUUCCUAAUUUGUUGUUGUUUUUAACUUGUAUGAGGCUACGCUCUAUGAGAAGUCUUAUUCCACUAUCAGCGUCUGCUCCACACCUACUUAAGAUCUUGGUAACAUAAGCUCUGCCUUUACCAACAAAGAAACAACAUACAUCAAGGAAUAAAUCUUUUACAAUUUCAUUGCGUAAACCGUCGAAGCUUAUUUUCAAUUUCCGUUGAAGAUCGUGCUGGGAAAUAUUGUCUAAUCGUAACAAUACUGUAGUCCAUUCUUUUUUCGUCCUUUCAUGUAAAUAAGUUCCAAUGACUUCAAGAGCUAGAGAUAGUCCUCCACAAUAAGUAACAACUCUUUCUGCAAGGAAAUGAUAUUCUUCUUUUGGUUUUGCUUCUCUAAAUGCGUGCCAACUAAGAAGCUCAAGGGACUCGUUUGCGUUCAUUAGCUUUAUACGAAUAACAGAAUCAACUUGAUGUAUCCUGAGUAGGUCUUCAUCUAUGGUUGUAAUGAUUAUUACAGUUCCUUCACCGAACCAUGCACGACUUUCCCAUAGGUCUAAUAAUAAGGGACAAUAGAGAUUCACAUCGUCAAGUACAAUGAGCACUCUUUUCCCAGCAAGUCUUUCCCUAAUCAUACUUGUUCCCAUCUCAACGCUAUCUAUCUCCACCUUUGUUUUUAAGAAAUCUGAAAGAAGUUGUCCUUGUAAAUGAACAUCCCCUCUCGUUCGACUAACUUGUGCAAUAUCUUCGAUGAAACUUUUCUCCUGGAAUGAACCAUGAAUUUGAUGGUAGAUGGCUUUGGCAAUGGUGGUUUUACCAGAUCCUUCCAUUCCACAUAUCGCUAUCGUAAAAACUUGCGUGGAUUUAUUUUUGAUGGUUCGAAUCACAUCUUCCACACGGGAUUGUAAACCAACUGGAAAUUUAGUAGCAGACAAGAGUGGUAAAUUAAGAAUGGUCUUAACAAUUUUGUCCACUAGUUCAGCAUCACUCCUUCAAGGUCAAUAACAAUUAUAGAAGCUUAGGCUUUGAGCAGAUGUUAUAAACAGGGAUUUCACUGGAUAAUGUAAUAGGUUUUUUUAUGUGCUUCUAGCCCACUUUAUGCAGGGUUUGUAUAAGGGUUGAGACACCCCUAAAGUGUCCCUUAAUUUAAUUUUAUUAAUUCUUUGCUAAAAAAAAACCAAAUUUGAAGUACAAGCUUAGUAAGUGAGUGAUUUACCUGUAAUUGCUCUCAUCCCAUCCAAAUAAAUUUGCAGCUUUGGUGAGUGCGUAGCUCCACCUCCACAUGCCAUGCUCCAGUUGUUGUCCUGAGAAUGUUUGCUGAGCAGUUGCUUUGAAGGCUUCACCAAAAUCACCCAUCUGAAGACGAACAUCAGAUGGCUGGAUUUCGUAAUAAACGGGCAGAACAUGCCGGCAAUAAGUUUGGUGCCAUUUGAUGAUUUGUUGAAGCUGAUGAAGACACCAAGCAGAUUGAGAAUAGGAUUUGGUGAAAACAACCAUGGCUACACGAGAGAGAUUGAGAAUAGGUUGUUGGAAGUGAAUUGGGUUGAGAGCAUUGGGGUGGUGAAGGAAAGUGGUGAAGCCAACAGCAGAGAGGGCAGAAUCGAGAUGAGAAACAAAUUUCCUUUGAAUGUCUUCUCCAUUAAAGUUUAUGACCACAUCGUACAUCCGUGGGAGUUUGGAUGAUGAAGACUUCAAUUCCAUGGAAGGAAUCGAUGAGUUGAUCAAGUGUUUAGAAGAGAAAGCAAUAAUGUAACAUAGUCAAAGAGAUAAUCUGUACAGACACAAAACCAUUCAAGUAGGUGGAACAUUGAUGUUUCUUAAUAGUCGUGCGCGUUAAGAUAAGAAACAAAUAUUACAUGAACAACAAUAUCUAAUUCUAAAAGUCCAAACAAUUCUUUAUUUUUACUGAUUUAAUCAUAACUUGGUGUAAACAAUUAUUUACGAUGAGAUCAAAGCAAUUACUGAAAAUUUUAUGAUACAUUUCGGAUGCAUCUUGCACUCGUAACCAUUGCGCUUGUCAACUCUAUAUUAUACUCAAUGUUGUUUUUAGUUUUUGUUGUUAUUCUUUAUUACAAACCUGUUUUUUUUUUUUCAGCAAAGAAUAAAUAAAAUAAAAUGAGUCACUUCAGGGGUGUCUCAACCCUUAUACAAAACUCCAAAAAACAGGUUUCCUAGAACCCUACCAACUAAAGAUCCAACAAACAUUGUACUACAGAUCAAGCUAAAAUCCCAGACAAAGGUAAAGAAACCCAACAAAUACAGUUAAAUCACCCCACCAGAGAUGUCACACCCUCAAACAAGGACAUACAUCCAACAACUAAACAAGGUCUUUGCCAUCAAGUUGGAGGACCUUACCCAAGAGUCAAACUCAACAAAGCAAUACAAGACACACCAUCCAACAACUAAGUCAUAACUUUGAACCGACUAAGUUGUACCAAAAAACAAUUGCUAACAAUGACAAACCAAUUCUUAUACGAAGGAUACGUAAGCCAAAAAAAAAACCUUACAAAAAACACAUAUCAUCCUCCCGAACUGGCCACAAUAGUAACCAAAACACGCCAGAUAACCUUUUGCCACAUUUCAAACACUGUAAAAUAUCCAGCACCAAACCAAUAAGCAUACAAAAACACUUCCUUUACUGCAGCACAGAGCAAAGUCAUCAAUCUGACCCUGCCAAAAAAGAAUGACCAAGACACCUGCAUAACCACACAAAACCUUCCAAGCCUCAGUCCAACCUUGCCAGAUAGGAGUUACCGAAGACACCUGCACAAACCUCACCACGACUACCAAGACUGGGAAAAAACAUUAGUUAAAAACACAAAAAAUCAGACUUUCAAAUACCUCAUACAACAAAAAGGUUCCAGACACCAGUCUGAGUAAGAGAAAAUAGUCGAUUUUUCUUUUAUUGUGACCCAAGACCAAGUCUUCCUUUGUACCACGGUAAAAACCUCCACAAGAUCCACCCGUCCAUUCUCAAACACAACCCUAUUCUUGUGAUUCCAAAUUUCACUCACAAUACCUACCCAAAUACCCCCCCAGCACCUGGUAACUGCGUGGUUCAAACCAAUAGGUUUGAACAUCCUAAAAUGCUUUUGUGCGUCUCAAUGAAGCACCAAAGGGAGCCCCAGCCAAGUUAGACACAAACCCCAAAUUCUCCUAGAUAUCUUACAUUCAAAAAAAUAAGUGUCUUACCGACUCUUCUUCGACACCACACAGGGGGCACAGAUCACUCGUCAAAGGAAUGCCACGUCUCAAAAGAUUGUCCUUAGUAGGAAUGGCAUUACGUAACACCCUCCAAGUCAUAAAAUGUGCCGAAGGUAAGGUCUUUAGAGCCCAAAAAUUUGCAAACAAAUCCUCCCCCACUACAAGCUCCUCCCCCUUGAGACACUUAUAAGCUGCCUUCACAGAGAAGGGAGAGUCGUUGAGGAUGUUCAUGGAAGGCUUUGAUACAUUGGUGGAAAAGUUUGGUGCUCAGUUCGCAACCAGUCGUCCUCAUCAUCUAACCUCGAUUGCCUUGGUAAACAUAAGGCAAGAGAAGGGAGAGUCGUUGAGGAUGUUCAUGGAAUGCUUUGGAAGAGUUGCCCUGGGAAUUCAAAAUCUCAGCCCAGAGGUUACCAUGCAUCAUAUGAUAACAGCGUUGAAACCGGGACCAUUUGCUGACAGUCUUUGCAAGAAACCCGCGACCAAUUUGGAUGAGUUAAGACAGCGAGCAUCGAAAUUCAUGCAAAUGGAAGAGCUGAGAGAGUUUCGAAAUCAGGUAAGGGUUGAUGGAGGUGAAAAGAAGGCGAUAGAAAGAGAAAGUGGACCUAUGGCUAGAAGAGCUAGAGAAGAAUUUAGAAGCCGAAAGUUCCAGCAAUACACACCCUUAAAUACAAACAGAACAAGAGUCCUGUAGGAAGCCAUGGCGGCAGAGAUAAUACCACCACCUAGAAAAGCAAGAACACCGGACAGGGCAGACCACACUAAACAUUGUGAAUAUCAUAAAAAUCAUGGUCAUCAUACAGAAGAAUGUAUUGGGUUGAAAGAUAGGAUAGAGGAAUUAAUUCAAGCUGGGCAGUUGAAACGUUUUGUUCGAGGAGGAAAUACAAGACUGAGGUUAAGUCCGGAGAGAGGUUUGAGAGGGGGUGAGAUAGGAGAGAGAAGGGUGGAGAGAUUUGAAAGAAGAGAAAAUAAAAGAGUAGAAAAGAGAGAUGAUAGAAGGGGUGGAAGGCCGGAAGGAAGAAAUGAUAGAACUUAUCAAAACACGCAGUCAGUAAGGCGGAGUAGGGAGCGAAGUUUGGGAAGGCCUGUCAAGGGGUUUAUAAACACAAUUUCAGGUGGUUUCUCUGGAAAGGAAUCCUCAUCAGCAAGGAAACAACAUUGGAGAAGUAUCAGAACCAUUAAUCAUAUUUUCAAAAGAAGAACUUUGCCACCAAUGCUUUUUACAGAUGAAGAUUUUCAAGAAAUUGAUCCUGAUCACGAAGACCCUAUGGUAAUAACGAUAGAAAUAGCCGAAUAUGCCGUCAUGAAAACCUUGGUUGAUCAGGGGAGUUCAGUUGAUAUUCUGUUUUGGGAUACUUUUAAAGGUUGCAUUUAAGAGAAGAAGAUAUUGUACCUUUCCGAGAACAAAUCAUUGGCUUCUCGAGGGAGAGAGUUAGCACGAAAGGAUACGUUGAUUUGAUGACAACAUUUGGAAGAGGCAGUAAAACUAAAAAGAUCAAAAUCAGAUACUUGGUGGUGGAUGCUUCUACAUCAUACAAUGUGUUGUUGGGGCGAUCUUCUUUGAACAAGUUGGGAGCAAUAGUCUCAACACCACACUUAGCCAUGAAAUUUCCAAUAGAGAAGGGGGAGAUAGCAACGGUCUAUGUCAAUCAAAAAGAUGCUCGAGAGUGUUAUGCAGCGGGUUUGAAGAUGAAUUUGAAAGCAAACAAAGAUACUGAAAGAAUGGUGGCAAUGGCAGAUUUGGACCCAAGAUUAAAUGACAAAAGGUUAGAACCAAAAGAAGAGACCACAACUGUGGUAUUGGGCCAGGACAAGAAGCAAUGCACUUAUAUAAGUGGAAGUUUGCCCGAAGAAUUGUUGAACAAACUUAUCACAGUGUUACGUAACAACAAAGACUUAUUUGCUUGGAAACCAUCUAAUAUACCUGGAAUUGAUCCGGAGGUAAUUCGUCACAAAUUGUCUGUGUGUCGAGAAGCGAGACCGGUAUCUCAAAAACGAAGAAAGUUGGGAGAAGAAAGUCGAAAGGCAGCAAUUGAAGAAACCGAGAAGUUGAUGCAAGCUGGUUUCAUUAAAGAGGCUCAGUACACGACAUGGUUAUCCAAUGUGGUACUUGUUAAGAAACCGAAUGGAAAAUGGAGAAUGUGUACAGACUAUACAUACCUGAAUAAAGCUUGCCCGAAAGAUACAUAUCCAUUACCCAACAUAGACCAAUUGGUGGAUGGGGCGUCUGGACAAGAGAUGAUGAGCUUUCUCGAUGCCUAUUCAGGGUAUAAUCAAAUACAAAUGUAUGAACCGGAUAUUCCAAAAACAACUUUCACCACAGAUACUGCAAAUUAUUGUUAUAAAGUCAUGCCUUUCGGUUUGAAGAAUGCUGGAGCAACAUAUCAAAGAUUGAUGGACAAGGUGUUCAAAGAUCAAAUUGGAAAGAACAUGGAAGUGUAUGUUGAUGAUAUGGUUGUGAAAUCAGGAGAGGUAGAGAAACAUUUGGGAGACCUUGAGGAAGUGUUUGCACGCAUAAGAGAGUACAAUAUACGUCUCAAUCCAGAAAAGUGCGUUUUCGGCGUCAAAGGUGGAAAAUUUUUGGGCUUCAUGCUAACCAACAGGGGAAUUGAGGCAAAUCCUGAUAAAUGCGAAGCAAUAAUGAAGAUGGGAAGUCCAAAAAACUUGAAGGAAGUGCAAAGACUAGUGGGAAAGCUAAACUCAUUGUCAAGAUUUUUACCAUUAUUGGCUGAAAAAACUAAACCGAUAGUAAACUUGUUAAAAAAAUCCGAAACCUUUGAGUGGAGUGAGAGGUGUGAGCAAGCCUUUUCUCAAAUCAAAAGUAUGGUAGCUGAACCACCAAUCUUAGUUAAACCUGUGUGAACCCAACCCGUCAUAGUGUACUUAGCAACUUCAAAUGAAGCCAUAGGAGCAGCAUUGAUCCAAGAGAACCCGGAGCAAAAACCGAUAUAUUUUGUAAGUAGAUCCCUCCAAAAUGCCGAAACCAAAUACCCCAAGGUUGAAAAAGUUGCCUUAACACUGGUGUAAACCGCGAGACGUCUUCGGCCAUAUUUUCAGAAUCAUCAGAUAAUUGUGUGGACAGAUUAUCCAAUAUCUAAAAUUUUGAGAAAACCAGAACUUGCAGGUAGAAUGGUGACAUGGUCAAUGGAGCUUUCAGAAUAUGGAAUCAAAUAUGAACCAAGAGGACCAAUCAAAGCCCAAUCCCUUGCGGAUUUCAUCAUCCAGAUGCCGACAACAACGUAGCAGGAACAGUGAAUAUUAUAUGUAGAUGGCACGUCAAGCAAAAAAGGAAGCGGAGCAAGGAUAGUACUUGAAGGACCAGACAACUUCCAAAUAGAGAUGGCAUUGAGAUUCGAGUUCAGAACAUCCAACAACCAAGCCGAAUACGAAGCUCUUGUUGCAGGAUUAUUAUUGGCUAGAGACAUGGGAGUCGAAAAUGUCAUUUGCAAAAGUGACUCUCAACUCUCAGUGGGACAGGUACGAGGAGAUUAUCAGGUAAAAGAUCCAUUAUUAAUACAAUAUUAUCAUAAGGUAUUAAAUAUUAUGCAAUGAUUCAAUAAGGCCGAAAUAAAAUAUAUUCCGAGAGAAUUGAAUAUGAAAGCAGAUUCAUUAUCCAAAUUAGCAAGUCAACAACGACAACUACAACAUAACUCAGUCAUACAACAAACCCUCAGUCAUCCGACAGUUGGUUUAGAGGAAUGCUUCAAUAUUGCAACAUCAAAAUAUGAAUGGAUAAAAACAUAUAUAGAAGUGAUAAAGAACCAAGAGCAAGGUGUUGAACUGGAUACAAAAAUGACAAAGAAAGUAGCUAGUUUUCUCUUAAUUGGAGAUGAACUCUACAAAAGAGGACAUUCAAUGCCUUUGUUAAAAUGUCUCUCAAAAGAGCAAGCUCAGUGUGUAGUGAAAGAACUUCAUGAAGGAAUUUGUGGAUUACACUGUGGAGCUCGGACAAUGGCAACAAAAGUUUGCAGAGCCGGAUAUUACUGGCCAACACUCCGAGAAGAUUGCGAAAUCUAUGUUAAAACAUGCAAGAAAUGUCAAGAGUUUGGAAGUUUAAAUCAUAUACCAGCACAAGAGUUGCAAGGAAUUGUUUCUCCAUGGCCAUUUGCAAAGUGGGGAAUCGAUAUACUUGGUCCAUUUCCACUUGGAGGAGGACAAACUAAGUUCAUGAUAGUAUCUGUAAACUACUUUACAAAAUGGAUAGAAGCAGAAGCAUUGACUAAGAUAACAGCUCAGCAAGUUCAAACGUUUGUAUGGAAAAAUAUAAUAUGUCGAUUUGGAAUCCCACACACCAUUAUAACUGACAAUGGCCGACAAUUCAUUGACAAAAUCUUAUGGAAUUUUAUGCAGAUUUGGGAAUCAAGUCAACAAACACUUCAGUUGAACAUCCGCAAACGAAUGGACAAGCAGAAGCUGCAAACAAAGUUAUUCUCAGACAGUUAAAGAAGAGGUUAGGAAGCGCUAAAGGUUUAUGGGCAGAGAAGUUGCCAGAGAUAUUAUGGGCAUAUAGGUGCACACCACAAACUUCAACUGGUGAAACACCAUUCAACCUCACGUACGAAACAGAUGCAAUGCUACCCGUAGAAGUAAAUGAACCAACACUACGAAGGCAAAUAGAAGACUGGAAUAUUAACAAUGAAUGUCUGAGGACCGACCUUGAUCUUAUUGAAGAACUUAGAGAGCAAGCAAAAAUAAAAGAGGCAACAGUAAAGAGAAGAGCGAUGAAGAGGUUCAAUGCGAAAGUAAAAUUAAGAGACUUUAAAGAGGGGGAUUUGGUAUGGAGAAUGCGAACUGAUGCACGAAAAGAUCCGCGACAUGGAAAGCUGGCAUCUAACUUGGAAGGUUCGUUCAGGGUACUAGAAAAUUUGCAAAAUGGAGCUUAUAGAUUAGAAACUUUGGAAGAAAAAGUGAUACCAAGAACAUGGAAUGCAAGUCAUUUAAAGUUUUAUUUUAGUUAAAGUAGAAGAUAUAAAAAGAAGACUUUUUGUGUACAUACUUAUCAAUUAAUGAAGAAGAAGCAUUAUCAAGUGAUAAUUUAUCUCGUUCACUUUCAUUUAUUCGGUCUUGGAUGAUUUCACUCCAAGUGAAAACCCACCCGAAAAAGCAUCUACUUAUAAUACCUUCGGUCUUGGAUGAUUUCACUCCAGGUGAAAACCCACCCGAAAAAACAUCUACUUAUAAUACCUUCGAUCUUGGAUGAUUUCAUUCUAGGUGAAAACCCACCCGAAGAACACAUAUACUUAUAUUACUUUCGGUCUUGGAUGCUUUCACUUCAAGUGAAAUCGCUCCCGAAAGAAUAUUCCUUAAUAAAACUAUCGGUCCUAAAUGUUUACAAUUCAAGAGAAAUUCCUCCCCAGCAAAAUUUUUUUCAUAUAAUUCUUUCGGUUUCAAAUGCUUUCACUUUAGGUAAAAUCAUUUCAUGUAAAUACUUUUGCCAUAAACUAUUAUCUCGUGACUUAAAAUAAUUGUCGAAUAGUGAUGCUGAAAAAACAAAUAGCGAAUGUUUGCUACAUCGAAUAAAUUAGACUAAGAUAUACUUCACAGCAUAAUAAGCCGAAUAUUAAAGUCGAAAACGUGAGAUAAAAGUAUCUUCGAUUGAAAGAAUAAAUCAAAAUCUAAAUCACAAGGAAGUUGUUUUAUUUCGGUUAAACUAAAAAUCGAUACUAAAACCGAAAGGUGAAAUUUGACAUUAAUUGUAUUAGGUUGUCUAAACUGCAUCUUUCAUUCAUAUUUAUUCCUGUUAAAAUUAUCAACUAGUAAACCAUUAGGUUACAUUAAAAUAUUCUAUAUAACUUGAUAUUAUAUAUUCACAAUUCGACCAAAAGAAUUCUUUGGUCUUCUAAGAAUUCUUUUUAAUGAUUGCAUUUCGGGCGGAAAAUCCACCAUUUUGAACACUUUAAAAUAAAAACCGAAAGGUUGUCUCAGUGCUUUGAAGUUAUAAAAACCGAAAGGUAGUCUUAUUUUAAGGUUAUAGAAACUGAGAAGUAUAGUUAAGCACUCAUAACCAAAAUAUGGCAUUUAAAACAUUUUCAAUUAAAUGACUGAAAGAUUAAGCAUCCAGAGGUUAAAACCGAAAGGUUUAUCGUGACAUUUAAUUGUAACCGAAAAACAAAAUUAAUCAUGCAACCGAGAUGUCACGGUCGCGAGUUCAAUGAUAGCCGGAAAAUGAGAAACAUAAAGUAAUAUCCAAUAAAUAACAAACAAAAUAACACAAAUUAAAAAGAAACCGAUAAACUUUAUACGUGCUAAGGUUUCAAAAAAGGGAUUACAUUAAGAAUGCAAAUAUCUAUACAUAGAUCAGCAUUCCAAAACAAAUUCACUCUCGUUAACUAAACCGAGAGCUAUAAACAAAAAUAAGAGCAUAUAUCCAUCUAGCUCUCAGCAUCAACAUCAUUAGCAUCAUCCUCUGGAAUUUCAUUAACAGGUACUAAGUUACCAUUAUAGAAAUCUUUAAUGACAUCAAAAUUGCCUUCAUCUAUGGGAAUCUUGUAGAAAUAUUUUGCCUGUGCCAAAGCCUUUGCAAAGCCUAGCUUAUGCUGCGCCAAAAUAAAGUUUUCAGCUUCAAAAACAUCCACCUUCAACUGCUCAAUUUCAUCUUCCAUACCUUUAAUAGUGUUGGUAUUACAAUCCUUCACCGAAGAUAACUCCGAAACUUUCUUCUCAAGAAGUUGAUUAUUAUUACGAAGAUCAUUGAUUUCUUCACCAAUUUUCGAACUCGCGGCCUCCAAAUCAGAAACUUGUUUCUCAAGAUUUUCUUUUUCUAUCCCUUGUUGCUUGCUCUGCAAACUCAUCUCUUCCAAUUGCAAACUUAGUGCAGCAUUAUUCUCAUUACUCUCGGAAAAAUCAUUCUUUAAUUUUUCAAAUUCAGCAAGAGUCACACAAUUGCCAUUCUUUACUUUCAGCAUUUUACCAAUCAAAAACGUCCUACUCGAAAGCUCGACGAUAGAAUCAGCUAAAGAAGCAGAAUCCUCAGCUUUCAACAGGUUAUAUGACGACUUAGUAAACGAAGUUUGAACAAACUUGGCAUACUUCAUAGAAGCACCAAAAAUGGAUUCGGGAAGAGGCUCAGUUGAAACAUCCUCACAAUGACGAUGACGUCGAGAAGAAGAAUGUGAUUUUUUGCUACUUCUACCACGUUUCUUGGACUUUUUCGAAGGACCAGCAACAUGGUCAUCCUUCGCAGUUUCAAGGGCUUCAGUACGAGAAAGAGGUUCCACAAUUUCCACCUCCAAUACCGGAUUGACCACAUUUUUACGCCGCGGAGUAACAUCGCCAGUUCUGUUAAGAAGUUUUGUAAAAGAUGAACGACCUUUCGGAUUGAUGGCCGCCAUUAAUGCUGAAAAUCAAUGAAAAAUUUAGCAAAGUUAAAAAUCUCAAGCUAUAAAACAAGAAAAAAGCGAAACAAUCACAUACCAAUGAAAUCCUCUUGCGGACUCUUCGAAGUAUACAACUGUAGUAAAGCGCGAGUGGGAAUCCGAUACGAGAAAUGACCAAAAACUUCAAUAACACGACGAUCAGCAACAUUCAUCGAGUGGCAAGACCACGAAUUGAACUUUAAUGGAUCUUGCGUCCAAUACAAGGGAAAUUUUGGAGUGUCCCCAUCAAAAAAAUACUCUCUUCCUUCGGGCUCUAUUAGGAUCUUGAAAAACUUUCCUUUAAAAUCAUUAUAUGACGACGUAAAGGGCUUAAGAAAGCAAAUAGCAGACUUGUUGAACCAAGUGAUGUUCAAGCUUUGAAGAAUCCAAAUCCUUUGAAGGAUGUUGAAGCCUCUACUAUGCAUGUUGUUGAUGUGCUGGUUUAGUCUAGUUCUGGGGUAGUUUAUAUGUUGUAAUCCACCCUUUGAUUAAAUCUAAAAAUUAGCAUUCUCAAUCUUUGUGAAAGUAAAAUGUUUUCAAACUAAGUUAAAACAACCGAUUAUUUUCUCGAAACAACCGAUUGUUUGUACUUAGGUGUUUUGAGAAAAAGAUUGAAAACUCUUUUUAAAAUGGUUGAACUGUUAAGUACCAAAACAACCAAUUGAUUCGAGGAAACAACCGAUUGUUUGUUUUGGGACCAUAACAGAAAAACUGUUUUAGCUUUGACUGAGCUUUAAAUGUUUUAACUGCUUAAGCUCCAGUCAUUAAAUGCUUUGACCAAUCUUUAAAUCCAUAUUAAGAGUUUGUUAGGAUUUGAUAACAAACUACAUCUUUGAAUAAAUUUAGAAAAACAGAUUUAACAAUUAAGAAUCUUUGACAAGUUUUUGCUAAGAGUUUUUUUUUUAGUUUUUCAAAGAGCUGAGAUUGCUAAGAGUUUGUGAUUGAUCAAAGUGUUGGAAUAGGAUUCUGCUUGUAUUGAUUUCAGAUUAUCUUCUGUAACAAGUGUAAUCCUUGUACUCUGUUGAACAAGUUUUGUUUCUGUGUUUGCUGAAAUUGGUUGUGUGUUCUUGAGGGGUUCAAGAUCAGCAAUCUUAGUGUUGGCAAAUGAGAGUGUGUUUCUUGAGGUGUUCAAGGUCAUUCUCUUGGUUGUUAAGUAAGUGAUCAAGUGGUGAUUGCUUAGUGGAUUUCCUCAGGGUUUCUGAGAAGACUGGAUGUAGCUCUGGGUUUGGAGUGAACCAGUAUAAACAAUUGUGUACAAUCUCUCUAUCUCUAACUCUUUAAAUUCAGUUUAUUUGUUGUUUGCUGGUAUAAACAACCGAUUGUUUCUGCGAAACAACCGAUUGUUAUUGCGAAACAACCGAUUGUUAUUUUGGUACUACAACUUUUGCUUGCUGUUUUGGCGAACUGAAUUUCUGAAUCAAUUGUUUUCUGAGAUAAAUUCAUUCUUGUUUUAAAAGUUUGCGAAAACCCUCUUUAAAGAAUUCACCCCCCCCCCUCUAGUUUAAAGCCAUCUUUUCUAACAAUUGGCAUCAAGAGCUUGGUUCUUGAAAGUUAUUCAAGUUGAUCCUAAAAAUCUUUUUUUAAUGGCUGAUAGACUACCUUUUGGAAAAGGUGCUUCAAUUAACAGACCACCUUUGUUUUGUGGUUUGAACUACCAGUUUUGGAAAGUAAGAAUGAAAAUAUUUAUGGAAUCUCUUGACAAAGGAAUUUGGGAUGCAAUUGAAAAUGGUCCUUUUGUAUCAAAGUUUGAAAAGGAUGGAUCUGUCAUUGAGAAACCAUGGUCUCAAUGAACUAAUGUAGAAAGCAAAAAGGCCAAAUUCGAUUGCAUUGCCAAAAAUAUUAUAACAUCUGCUUUAAAUUCUGAUGAGUUUUUCGGGGUCUCGCAAUGCAAAUCAUCAAAAGAAAUGUGGGACACUUUGGAAGUCACUCAUGAAGGAACAAAUGAGGUGAAAAGAGCUAGAAAGCAUGUUCUUAUUCAAGAGUAUGAGAUGUUUAGAAUGCUUAAAGGAGAAACAAUUGCUGAGGUGCAGAAAAGAUUUGCGCACAUCAUCAAUCACCUAAUGAGCCUUGACAAGACCUUUGAUAAAGAAGAGCUGAACAUCAAGAUCUUGAAAUGUCUUGAUAGAGCAUGUCAACCAAAGGUAACUGCUAUUUUCGAAUCUAAAGAUCUAACAUCAUUAAGUGUUGCUUCUUUGUUUGGAAAGCUUUAGGGAACAUGAGCUAGAGAUGAAUAGGCUCAAUGUUCAAGAGAGUGAAGAUAAGCACACAAGGAGUAUAGCCUUGAAAGCAUCCAAGCACAAGGGAAAGCAAGAUUCCAGUGAUGAUAGUGAUGAGGAAAACCUUAGCUUGCUGUCAAGAAAAUUCAGAAAAUUCCUAAAGAGAAACCGCAACAAAGACAACAACAAGGAUAGGUAUGGAAACAAGAAACCCAAUGAUUUCAAUUCAAAUAACUAUACUUGUUUUGGUUAUGGUGAGCAAGGUCAUAUAAAGGCAGAUUGUCCAAACAAGAACAAAGAGAAAAAGACUAGCAACAAGUAGAAGAAAGGCAAGACAAAAAGAGCCUACAUAGCUUGGGAUCAAAAUGAGGUGUACAUCAAGUUCUUCAUCAAGUGAAGAUGAAAAGGCAAACAUAUGUUUGGUAGCUGAAAAUGAUGAUGAAUCUUGCAGCUCAAGUGAGGUAAGUUCAUGUGCUUCCUUAAAUGAACAAAAUUACAGUGAAUUACUUGAAGCUUUUCAAGAAACACAUGAUGAAACUAAUAGAUUGGUUCUUUCAAACAACCGAUUGAAAGAUCUUAACAGUUGGCUUGAAAAGAGAGUUAAAUCACUUGAAGAGGAUCUGGAAAAAUUAAAAAGUGAUUUUGAAAAAUUGGAAAAUCAUUUCAAAAAUGCCUCUUGCAAGUGUGAUACUCUCAUUUGCAAAAAUUGUGAAAAUCUUGAGGAAAAGGUUCACUAUCUUGUUGAAACUGUGGACAAGCUUUCAAAGGGGAAAUCAAACUUUGAGAAUCUCUUGGCAUCUCAAAGUUGUGUUUUUGAAAAGGCUGGUUUAGGCUUUAAUCCACAGAACAAGCAAGAUAAGUUUUCAAAAAGUUUUUCAAGAAAAUCAGAAAAACAACCGAUUGUUAAGACGAAACAACCGGUUGUUACAUGCUUUUACUGCAUGAAGAAAGGCCACUCUGUUAAAAUAAGAAAAUAUUCUGUUCCAAUAGGUUUUAUGAAAUGGAUUCCUAAGGGAUGUGAAGUUUCUAACUGCAAAGAAAAGUCAAACGGACCAAAAUUUGUAAGGGGACCAAAUCUUGCUGCUUGAAAUCUUUUAUGCAGGAAAAUUAAAGAAAAAGGAAGGACUGAGUCAUCUGAUCAAGCUGUUGAAGAAAAAGGCAGUCAUUGAAGCUGAAUCAAUGCUAUGCAAAAGACCUCAACAGUGAAAAGAGGCUUUUUGAUCAUAAAGCACAUGGCUCAUUGAAGAAUUAACAUAAGGAUAAGACUUUCCUUUAUUUGUUCUCAAUUUCUGUUUCAAAGUUCUUUCUUAUGGUUAAACAAUCUUUUUAUAAUCAAUGUCAUCUGCUUUGAACUCCUUCUGCUCAUGGUUAAAAUUCAAAAACAAGUUUUUAACUGCUGCAGAAAAACAACUGAUUGUUUCUUCGAAACAACCGAUUGUUUUGGGUCUGACACCACUAUGAAGAAAUUGUUUUAAUUGCUAUUUUAAAUUUCUAUCCGUUGCAGAUCAAUUCAAAGAGAGAAUCUUGGUGAAAGAAUCUGUGUUGAAAGUUGAUUAUGUUCAGUGAGAAGUUACAACAGUUAUAAAGGAAAAUAUUCCAAAAUCUUGGAAAUUUCAAGAGCCUUCAUGACUAGUUAAAGAUCACAUGUGUAGACCAUGUGAUUCUCAGCUUUUUCUGACAUUUUAUGUGCAGAGCAGAGUCAAGUCCUCUCUCUUUGAAAAUCAGGUACCCAUUGAAUAAAAUUAAAUGCAAAUUGAUUCUUUUACUGCUAUAAAAUCUGGUGCAGAUUUCUUCCACAAGAACAACCAAUUGCAACAUCUCUUGCAAUAUCUCUUGCAACAUCUCUUGCAAAAAUCUGUGAAGUGAGUUCUUCUCUGUUUUCUUCUCUGCCAAGCAUGGAAUCAACUCCUCCCACCUCAAAGAGAGUCAAAAACAGGGCUGUAAGGUUUGAAGGAAGGCUAGAAGGUUGGUUUUCUGGAGACAAUGAUCUUAUUGAGAAGUAUAGGUAUGAAACAAGUAUCAAGAAGAUAAACAACCCCAAGGUUGUAUGCUUUAAUUGGCUGAAAAGUAAAAAGCUUGAUAAUGUGAGAAGGCUGCUCAAGGAUCAAUCUCUCAGAAAGUUCCUGGAGAUGAAGGGAAACAUAUAUCCAGAUUUGGUGAGGGUGUUCUACACAAACCUAAAGUUUGAGGGAAACAAUCUAGUUUCUCAUGUGAAGGGUGUAGAAAUGGAGAUAACUCAUGAAGUAUGGACUGUUGUUGUUGGUCUCAAGUUCUCUGGUCUUAGAAUCAACAAGGGAAACCUUGGAGUGGUGGAGGAUUUUAACAAAAUCCAAUUCUACAAGAGUUGCUUGAAGAAUCAACAUGCUCAAGUAAGUACAUGCUCGGUUGGAGGUUUGAAGCUUGAUGAGAGAUUGCUUGCUCUCAUUGUAACUUGGAUUCUAACUCCAAGGGGGAUUAAUCAUUCUGUGCUAACUAAAGAAGAUCUGGUUUAUAUCUUCUGCAUCACCAAGAAAAUCAAGAUCAAUUGGAUCCACAUCAUCAAAGAGCACAUGCAAAAAGCCACGAGGUUAGGUGAUUAUCAUUAUCCAUAUGCUGUUUUAGUAUCUAAAUUUCUACUCUAUUUUGAAGUUAACCUUGAAGAUGAAACAUCUGAGUUGGUCAAGUCAACUUAAGAGUUGAACAAUGGAUCACUCAGCAAAAUGGGUUUUACAAAAGUAGGUGGAAAAUGGAUAAGCAAGGAUGGUGAUCAUGGUGCCUCAUCUAGUGGUGCUGCUAAUCUUGAACAAGAUGAACCUGCUGAUAUGGAUGUUCAACAUGAAGAUCCACCUGAAGAUUAUCAAGAUGCUGGACCAAGUGUUGGUGUUGGAAAUCAAGGAGAAAGGAUGCAAACCAUGUUUCCUUUUGAAAGACUCAUGGUGAAUAGGCUUGGUAGCUUUGCUGAAAAUCAAAGGAGCCUCCAUGAUCUCUGUGUUAGUAAUUUCCAAAGGAUUGACACCAGGUUUGACAACAUGGAUACAAGGUUUAUGACUCUAGAUGAACAGAUUGAAGUUGUCCAAUCAAAUCUUUGAUCUUCAGUUUGCUGAUGAAGAAGAAUGAAGGAAAAACAACCGAUUGGUUAUCGAAACAAUCGAUUGUUUUUGGCUGUUAUUUCUGGUUUUUAAAAUUUCUUUCUUUCUGUUGUUGCUGCUUUAAUUCUGAUGUAAUCAAAACAAUAUCUUGUUUUAUCUCUUAUAUUUGUCUAUUUGUGAAGACAAAUAGGGGGAGAUAUAUGUUGUGUUUAAGUUUCUGUUUUUAUUUGUUAAAACAGUUUGGGAUAUGUAAUAUUUUUCUGAUAUUUAGCUCUGAAGUUUAUUACUGUUUAUCUGUGCGCUAACAAAAUAUCAGAAGUUCUAUGUUUUGUUCAAAGUUCUAUUGCAAGAACUGCUUCAGAUUUAAUCAGGUACAACACAAGCAUAAGGGAUUUGUCUUCAUCAAAUAGGGGGAGAUUGUUGAACCAAGUGGUGUUCAAGCUUUGAAGAAUCCAAAUCCUUUGAAGGAUGUUGAAGCCUCUGCUAGUCUAGUUCUGGGGUAGUUUAUAUGUUGUAUGUAAUCCACCCUUUGAUUAAAUCUAAAGCAUUAGCAUUCUCAAUCUUUGUGAAAGUAAAAUGUUUUCAAACUAAGUUAAAACAACCGAUUGUUUUCUCGAAACAACCGAUUGUUUGUACUUAGGUGUUUUGAGAAAAAGAUUGAAAACUGUUUUUAAAAUGGUUGAACUAUUAAGUACCAAAACAACCAAUUGAUUCGAGGAAACAACCGAUUGUUUGUUUUGGGACCAUAACAGAAAAACUGUUUUAGCUUUGACUGAGCUUUAAAUGUUUUAACUGCUUACGCUCCAGUCAUUAAAUGUUUUGACCAAUCUUUAAAUGCAUUUUAAGAGUUUGUUAAGAUUUGAUAACAAACUACAUCUUUGAAUAAAUUCAGAAAAACAGAUUUAACAAUUAAGAAUCUUUGACAAUUUUUUGCUAAGAGUUUUUUUUUUUUUUUAAAAGAGCUGAGAUUGCUAAGAGUUUGUGAUUGAUCAAAGUGUUGGAAUAGGAUUCUGCUUGUAUUGAUUUCAGAGUAUCUUUUGUAACAAGUGUAAUCCUUGUACUCUGUUGAACAAGUUUCGUUUUUGUGUUUGCUAAGAUUGGCUGUGUGUUCUUGAGGGGUUCAAGAUCAGCAAUCUUAGUGUUGGCCAAGGAGAGUGUGUUUCUUAAGGUGUUCAAGGUCAUUCUCUAGGUUGUUAUGUAAGUGAUCAAGUGGUGAUUGCUUAGUGGAUUUCCUCGGGGUUUCUGAGAAGACUGGAUGUAGCUCUGGGUUUGGAGUGAACCAGUAUAAACAAUUGUGUACAAUCUCUCUAUCUCUAACUCUUUAAAUUCAGUUUAUUUGUUGUUUGCUGGUAUAAACAACCGAUUGUUUCUGCGAAACAACCGAUUGUUUUUCUGGUACUACAACUUUUGCUUGUUGUUUUGGCGAACUAAAUUUCUGAAUCAAUUGUUUCCUGAGAUAAAUUUAUUCUUGUUUUAAAAGUUUCCGAAAAUCCUCUUUAAACAAUUCACCCCCCUCUAGUUUAAAGCCAUCUUUUCUAACAGGACUUACUAAUCAAAGACAACCAACUCGGUCGUUUACCUGGCCGAGAGCUAUAAUAAUACAAAAAAGAUCUAGGACUUACAAUUUACACAAAAUGCUAAAAGCUUGCAUUGAUGCCCAACCAUUAGGAUGAAGCUGGGUGGGAGCAAUAUUAAGAAUGUUAAGAACGCCCAUUUGAAAAUCAUUCAAGGGAAAUCGAAUAUGGAGGUCCCUAAAAAAGCAAGCAUAAAAAUAAAAAAAUUCGUUGCUAUCGCCCUCUCGACCAUGAUAGACAUUAUCAACAUCACCCACACACCGAAAGGAAAUUAUAUCAUUCUCAAAAUCAGAAUAAUAAAUCUGAGAAUUAGAAACAAAAUCACGAAGCUCAUUAGCAGAGCGAUACUGAGAGAAGAAGUCUCGGACCUUAGGAUUAACCCAGUUGUAACCUGGACGAAGUGUCUUCCUUGGAGAAAUCAUUCUAACUCUUUCGGCAACAGUUGCGAUAACGGCAUCAUUUGAGUCUUUCAUACAAGAAAGGGUAGCAAAAGAAGACUUCGAUUCAAGAUCUUGUUCUCCUCGUACCUCUCGACCGGUGGAUUCACCACCCGUGCUUGACAAAUCACUCAGAUCAUCUGAACUAGAAGAAGAUUUCGGAUUAGACAUUGUUACCUUUGAAGGAAGAAGACUUCAAACGUCCUAGCUCUCCGCAAACAAUACAAACCGUAGAAAAUGAUAACAGCUUGAAUACAUUGCCUAUUUAUGAGCAAAACAAACCCUAGAUACUGAAAAGUCACAACCCUUCAAAGCCGUUCAAAAAAUCAAUCAUCUAAGGGUUCAAAGAGUCUUAAUGUCAAAUCAUUCAGUCUGAGAAAGCAAAACACAGUAAACGAGGCAUUUAAUUCAAAUCAAAUCAUAUCUCAAAACCAUAAUUUUAGACAUAAAAUUUUUUAUUUUAUUUCUUAAAAACUUUAAAUUAAAUUCUUUAUGCCUAAGGGGCCAGUGUACUGGUAGGCUAAAACCGAGAGGUUAAGCCGAAAGCUAAAUACUAAACAUAACCGAGAGGUUAUACACAAGUGUUGUGCUGAUAGGCUUUAGCCGAAAGCUAGAUACUACACAUAACCGAGAGGUUAUACAAUAAAAGAAUAAAACAAAAUAUAAAUAUUAUUAUAAUAAGGCCCAAAUAAGAUAGAAACCUGCAUUAGGGGGUGCGUAAAUAAUAAAAUGGUGUGGAAAGAAAGUCCAAAAGUAAAGUGGAAAGGCCAUUAAAGAUAUCCUAUAAAUAGGAGGUUAACGUAAGAAAAAGGUAAGAGUGGUUUUUAUCUGAAAAACGUUAAACUAUUUCUGACUUUGGCAUCGGAGCGACUUGCAGGUACACCCCCCCCCCCCCCAUCUGUGUGAAGGAGAAGCCGAGAGUACCCGCCGUAAGGAGAAGCCGAGAGCAGCCAACGUGAGAAGAAGCCGAGAGCAGCCAACGUGAGAAGAAGCCGAGAGCAGCCAACGUGAGGAGAAGCCGAGAGCAUCUGCCUUGAGGAGAAGCCCAGAGUAUCCAUCCCAAGAGGAAACCGAGAGAGUCUAGCCCAAGAUUGGAAGAUUUGUAUAAGAGUUAAUCUUGUCAACCUGAUUCUAGUGUUCUCGGUCCCUGUUGUAAGAACAUAUAUAUAUAUAUAUAUAUAUAUAUAUAUAUUCAAUAACAAAAAUAAUAAAUAUGAAUUAUUUUAGAGAUUUCAAUUCUUUCCCUACAAAAUUAUGAUUCCAAAAACAUUAGUUGAGUACCUUACAUCUAACCAAAACCAGUACCUAAUUCCAGAACAAAUUAACAAACUAAUCGCCUAGACCCUAUCGAAAUGCCUUGACUGUCUACACAAAAUACAAGUGUUUGCACUAAUAUAGAAACACCCCAAACUAGUUAAUGAAAUGAGAAGCCAACAUUCCUAUUUAUACCGUCAAUACAGUGAUUCCAUAUUGUUCUUACAAAGAUUAGAGAAGUAAUUAUUAGAUAUAUUGUUCUUGUCAAAUUAUACACCAUUAUAUGCAAUUAUACGCAAUUAAUUUGAUAAUGAUAGAAUCCCAUGAAUAGUGGUGGAUCACCGCUCCUUAAGAGUGGAACAUUGUCAAAAGGCCAAGAGCUUAUGUCUUCUUAAUUCUUAAACUUGUAUUUCUUUUUCACUUGAGUUAAUAUUUGGCUCCAUUUGAUGUCUUUUAAUGUGAAAACUCUCAUCUAUGCAAAGUUUAUGAGAUUAUCCUUAUUCUGUUUCUUUCUUGUCAUUAUUUCUUGAAGUGUGAAACAUUAUAAAUGUUGUGACAGAAAAAAUAACCGAUUGUUUUUACGAAACAACCGAUUGUUUCACCUUUGACAGCAUUGAUUGAAGGCUGGUUUAAUUCUCUGUGCAUUGGUUCUGUUGUUGAUUCCUUCCAAAGGUUGUUAUAAGUCUAAAUUGCAUUUAUUAUGACUUUGAAUCCGCUUUGGAAGGAAGUUAUGUUGGUCAUAAAUGGAAUAUAUUUCAUAUCUUUGUGGAAAAAUAAUUGAUACAAUAAACAUAAAAUAAUCCCUAAUUUAUGAAUUUAUACAUUUUUACAUAUUUUUAAAGAGACACUGACAUGUCACUGUACAUAUACAUGUCAGAUUUGUUAGAAUUUGUAGUUGGAGAUCAGGAGCUUAAUAUAAAUAUAAUUCAUUUUUUUAUAAUGUAAGUAUCUUUACCUAUGUUUUAGUUUACUUUAUGUUAAAUUAUUAUUGAUUAUGCUUUAACUAAUAACUUGUAGGUAUUUUUCUGAAGUUUCUAUCAAUGAAGGGAAUCAAGAUGUCUAUGGAUUCUUGGAUCCCUAUUAUAUUAAUCCAAUUGGAGCAAAGAAAUAUGAAACUCAGUCAUACAUCACUAACACUUUGGGAAAAGAGGGAAAACAAAUUUAACUUUGUCCUUAUAUUAAUGAGUAAGUUCAAUUAUAAGUCGUUAAUUAUUACUAUUUCAUGUUUUAAAUACUUACUAACUCUUUUCAUGGAUGAUAUAGGGAUCAUUGACAGUUACUUGUCUUGUCCAUAGUUGAUAAAACUGGUGUGUGGUUUUGUUCCUUGCACAAGAAGUCAUCCACACAUCUAAAGCAUAUAAUUGAUGUGUAAUUACACUAUAAACUUAAUUGCGUAUGUUACUUAAACAUCUACUAAUACAGUUUUUUGUAUUAAUCAGUUCAUGGCAUGGAUAUAACAUCCUCAAAGGUCGAUCCAAUUCAAAUUAUCAAAAUAUGACAUGGUUGAUACUAAAGGUUUGUAAUUUUUGUCUUUCUCUUUUCAUUGUUUAUCAAUAGUAACUUUUAAUUUUUAUUGAAUUAUAGUGUAAUACACAACCGAGAGGAUACGAGUGUGGCUAUUAUAUUGUGCAAUGGAUGAUUACCAUUGUAAGAGCAGAUAUUACAAGGGAUUAGGAGUAAGUAAUAAUAUUUAAAUUAUACUUUAUAAUUCUUUAACAUAUAUGUAUCUUAACACUAGUUAAAGUGAACCUUAUUUUGUAAUGUAGUUCUUUAUGGAAGAGAGUCCACUACCUUUGGCUGCCAUAGAAUAAGUGAGACAUGCUUGGACCACAUAUUUUCGUAAUUUCUAUAACUUUAGGAUAACUAAUCAAUAGUGUAGAAAUUAGAAAGAUAGAUAAAUAGGAAUAUGUUAUUAGUGUUUGUAAUACAUUUUUAUCAAUAUAUAUAAUUUGAUUCUCUGAAUUUAUGUAUUUGAAUGGCUGGAUUUUAAUUGAACAAAUCAAUUUAGAUGGGAAUUAACAUUAAACAAAAUGAACUAAAAAAAAAUUCCCAUAAAAACAGCAGUUAUGACCAAAACCGUCGUUUUAUACCUCUCGAGAGGGUAUAAAACGACGAUUAUGGUAAUAACCUCCAUUUUAGUGCAUCGUCUGUGCUGAGGUUGGGGAGGGUAUAAAACAGUGAUUUUUACCAGAACCUUCAUUUAAUAACUCAUGCAUGUAUUGUAUACAAGUUAUGAAAAGGUGUAAAACGGUGGUUAUGGUCAUAACCGUCAUUUUAGUGUGACAUUAACACAGAGUCAAAUAGUCAUCAUCUUUGUCUGAAGAGAAUAUACUACCUGCUAAAACACAGCGAUCCGAGAGCCGUUGUUUUGAUGCUAAAAUAAGUAUCAUUUUUCACCUUUUUUUUGCAGUAGUGAUUUAUACUCUAUUUAUUAAAUAUAUUAAUAAUAACUUAUUGAAAUUUAGAUAUAUUUGUGGAUUUUCAAUGAGGGGAAACAAGAUACGUAUCAGUUUUUAGACCCUCAACUCAUUCAAUCACUGGCUAACAAAAAGUCAUAAACACAAAUAUACAUCACCAUUGCCUUAAAGAAUAGAGGAAAAAAAAUUAUAUUGUUUUGUAUACCCAUGAGUAAGUCCAUAUUCAUUAAAUACGUUAUACUAAAUUAUGGAAAUAAGAUCGAAUAACUAAAUUUUUAUGUAGGCGUCAUUGGCAACUACUGAUUAUAUAUGUUCAAGAUUAUACCGCUGCAUGGUUUUGCAGACAAUUUCAUUUAACAUGUAUUAUUACUUAUACAUUACAUAAUGUUAUGUGUUAUAACAUGAAAUCUUAUUAUUUUCAGUGCUUAUUCUAGAUAUAACAUGUUGAGUAGGAGGGGAAGUGCAAACUCAAAAUAACUUACUUGGUUGCACCUUAAGGUAUUUAAAGUAUAUUUGUUCACUCACUUCAAUGUGUGUCAUCGAUUCAUUUAAUAACCUUUAUUUUGAUGUGUAGUGCAAUAAGCAAUCUAAAAAUUAUGAGUGUGGUUACUAUAUGAUGCAGUGAAUGUCAACUAUUGUGCGAGCUGAAAUAUAUAUAGACUGAGAUCAGGUAAUACAUCAAUACACAAAGACAUUAAAAUUUGGUGUUUAUUAUAUAUGAAAUAAUUCAAACAAAUUUCAAAUGUCACGGUUUUUCAAUGACCCACAUCCGCUAGAAUUGGAAGUAUUAGAGUAUGUUAAGACAACAUGGUCAAAAUAUUUUGUAACCAUGUAUAACACCUUAUGAUAGAUGAAUGAUUAGAAUGACAUUAUAAUUUUAUUUUAUUUUGAAUUUUUUCAUAUACAAUUACUUAUGUUAAAUUAUGAUAUUAUAUGUACUUAUUUAUAUGAAGUAUUUUAUAUUUAAAUUAUGAUAUUAUAUGUAGCUAGAAUUUUGAUGCAAUGCAUAAUUUUGUCCAGAAAUUUAUUACAUUAUGCAAAACGAAAACAUGUACAGCAGUAUUCAAAAAUUCAUAAAAGAAAAUGGUUAUAGAGAAAAACCAUUCUAAAAAAGUCAUUUCUAACAACAAUUUCUGAUAACAAUCAUCAUUAAAAUCCUUUCAAAUGACUUUUAACGAUGGUUCUUGAUUAAAAUCGUCAUUAGAAAUAUUAUCAUUCAACUUAGUAUUUUAAUUUUUGUUUUCUAACAACGAUUAAAAUCAUCGUUAAAAGUUAUUGCUGAUAUCUACAUCAACGACGGUUAUAAAAGUGUCUUUAAAUAUUAUUUUUAAUCGUAAUCAAAGACUAUUUCUAUACUAGUACACUUUAAUAAUGUUGGAUAAAUCUACGAUGCUUUUGUCCAUUUUAAAAAAUUUGAUUCACUUUUUUACAAUAGUCCAUUAAAAUGGUAAUAAAAUGUAAUUUUUCAUAAAGACAUUUUUAUAUGUAAUUUAGUUUAUGUUGGUUUAUUUGUUACUCAUUUCAUGCUAUAUUCCUUAAAAAAGGUAUAGUAGUCAACCAAUUUAUUUUAACAGUUGUAUAAUAUCAUAGAUUGUCUUGUAAUAUAUAUAUAUAUAUAUAUAUAUAUAUAUAUAUAUAUAUAUAUUCCCUUUAUUUCGAUAGCACGUACAGAAAACAACUGAAUUUACUAAUUGAUAACAAUGGAGCCCUAAAACCCUUAAUCUACUUCAAACAUCCACAUACUCUCACUUUGUUUGUCAUUUUUGCAAAUAUAUUUUUCUUCGGCUUCUUUGAGGGCUCCAUUUCCACACCAGUGGAUGGUUGUGCACUUAAUUCAGGCCACAGAGUCACACUCAGCUCAUGUAAUGAUUGUGCACUCAGUCCAAGUGACUCCAUUCUCAUUGUAAUUGAGUGACCAUAUAUCAGAUACACAGCUGUUUUCUUAGCAGUGAUUCCAUGACCAACUCCUACAAAAAUCUCCACGUUGUCUCCGGGUCCUAGAUUUGAUAUUACACCCUGCCAAUCUUCAUCAGUAAAAAACAUUGUUGUUUCUUGCUUAUAUAUCUGAAUGGUGCACUUUGUGUAAUUAAAGAUGAAGACACUAGUAAGACUUUGAGUUGCCAUGUUUUCAGGGGUUGAUGAAUAAACAACACACAACAACAUUCCCUUCAUGCGACAAUCACUAUCUUCAGGAACUUGAAAAGGUACUGAAUAACCUUCUCCUGUAUAGGCUAACCAAUAAGGAUAAUUGUCCCCUGGAAGCACAAAAUCAGUGGAACUAUUGGUUCUCAAUACCUGUAUCAUGCAGCAAAGCUUAGUUAUUUAUUUAAUAUGAAACCCCAUGUUAUGCUCGGUUAACAAAUACAUAUUUUUCAGGAAAAAAUAUUUCAUGCUCUGUAAAGUGAAUAGGUAAUGUAAGGUAGACACAGAAAAAGAGAGAGAGAGAAGAACCUUUAAUAUGCUAUUGCUAAGCAUAUCGAAGACUUGGUGGUAGCUUCCCAUUCCAAUCAAAAACGAUGCCAUAGAAUUUUCUGAAUUUUGUGAUAGAUAUGCAUUUUCAGAUUCAGAAAGGUUUACAUUGCAUAACUCAUGCAGAACUAUUCUUAGUUCUUGAGUUAUCUGAAAAUCUGAGUCGCAUUGUACAGAAAUACUUCGAAGUUUUGAAAGGUCACUCAGCUUCGAUAAUAGAUUAACCAAAUUAGUAUCCUGUAUAUCCAUGGAGACUAUAGAUGUUGGCAUGAUCCCAAAUGGUUGAAUACAGGCUGAAAGUCCUCCUGUAUGUGACAUCCAAGACCAUAUGAGAUAAGGAAAUACAUUUCGUGCCAAUCCUUCAUAUCCACAAAGGGAUAUAUAUCCAAUCUUUUCGGAUCUUACUAUGGAAAAAGGUACUUGUUUUAGACUAGUAUUGUCUGCAAUUAGAGUUGUUAAGGAUUCCAUCUGCCCUAUGGCUUCUUCUAACUUGUCAAUAUUUGAACAACCAGAAAGGAUGAGUGUUUGUAAUGACGUUAACUUAUAGAUAACCAUCGGAAGAUUGCCAAGGCAUGUACAAUCCUUCAAGUUUAAUAGAAGGAGGUUAUUUAGAUCUCCAAUUGAAUGGUGUACUUCAUACAAGCUUGGACAAUCUUUGAGAAUGAGCUUCUCAAGAUUUGGUAGUUUUGAAAAAUCUGGGGUCUUUGAUAAGUACUUGGAAUGACUAAGAUUGAGAAAUUUUAGCCUCUCCAGAAACUGCAAGAAAAUUUAAAACUGAAAGAUUAGCAAAGUAUAUGGCAGAAAAAAUUAAUAAGACAACUUACUGUAUUAUAGAUACAUUUGGUGUUGUUCUUCAAUCAAAUUUGCAUGUAAUUUAUUUAGUAAAAAGCAAAUUACCAAAGUAAAACUUCAAAUUUAAUUGGAGAACAACACCGAUUGUUAUAGAGUAUGUGAGUUUUUGUCCAAAUUAAUAUUGUCAUCAUAGAAAAUAUCAGGUAAUAUGUAUACCUGGGGCACCUUCCAUACUAGUUUAAGAUAACUGUAUUUUAAGUCAAUAGCAACUAUGUUUUCCUGAUAAAAGUUUUCAGGAAUGUGUGUUAAUGAAAAUGCUUUCCAAUGAAGCCAUCUCAGUUGUUUGGGAAGAUGCCCAUAAUCUCCCGCUAAUUGUACAUGAUCAAGUUGCAAAAGUCUCAGUCUCUUCAUUUUCUCAAAUGUUUCAGUACUGAAACAAACUCCGCUGGUUCUUUGCAUCUUCAAAGCCAAUCCCUCAAUCACUCCUGUUCCCUAUGAAAAACAAAUGAAAAAGAAAUUAAAUAUUGGCUGUUUUCACAUGAGAAAGUUGAUAAGUAAUACACAUCUAGAAGCUAAAUACUUUGAAAAGGUAAAUGGUUUUAAACCGAAACUUGAAAGUUAUGAUUCAGAAAACAAAAAUAUAAACUUUUCUUAUGGUGCUCAUGGUAUAUUGAGGAUGAUUGAUAGUUCAAAAAAUAGUAAGAGAAGGUUCUUACAGUAUUUUCUGUCAAUAUACCAAGUACAUCAUCAUGAACCCACAAUCGACUGCGCUUCUGUGGUUCUAGUGGUGAACUUUGACGAACAAUUUCUCUUCCCAUGUCUCGUAGCAAAUCAUGAAUUCCAAGUUUGUUAUUCUUUUCAACUUUUAUGAGGCUCCUUUCUACCAGGACUGUUAUUCCAAUUUCAGCAUGAAGUCCACAACCAUUGAGUAUCUCUGUGACAUAGGCUCUGUCCUUACCGAUAAAGAAGCAGCAUAUGUCAAGGAAUAUGUCCUUCUCCAUAUCAUCGGUUAAACCAUCAUAGCUUAUUUUCAAUUUCUCUUGUAUCUUAUCAUUUGGUAUUUCUUUAAGUUUUGAUAAUACACUUUCCCACUCUUUUCUUCUUCUCUUGUAUAGAUAAGAUCCAAGAACUUCAAGAGCUAGAGGUAGUGAUCCACAGUAAGUGACUACUUGCUUUGAGUGUUCAAGGAAAUCUUCUGGUGGAUUUGCUUCCUUAAAAGCAUGCCAACUGAAAAGCUCAAGGGACUCAAUCUCAUUCAUUUCCUCCACUUCAUAUACAUGGUCAACAUCAAGCACAUUGAGUAGACGUACAUCUCUUGUUGUAAUGAUUAUUACGCUUCCUUCAACAAUCCCAUUACCAUUUCCACAUAGUUCAUCUAAUUGUCCAAAUGUGUUCACAUCAUCGAGCACAACUAGUACUCUUUUUGUGGCAAGCGUUUCCCUUAUCAUAGCUUUUCCCCAAUCAAUGCUAUAAACCUUGAUCUUUUCUGUUUUAAGGAUAUCUGAAAGAAGUCGUUCUUGUAAAUCAAUCUUCCCUUGAUCUCUUUGCCAAACUUCUCUAAUAUUUGCUAGGAAACUUCUAUGUUUAAAUUCAUAUCGAAUUUCAUUGUAGAUGGCUUUGGCUAUGGUUGUUUUACCAAUCCCUCCCAUUCCCCAAAUCCCUAAUAUAUAAGCUCCUCUUGUUUGCUUUCUAAGAAAGCCAAUACAGUGUUCCACACGAAGUUCCAAUCCAACUGGAAACUCUGUAAUAGACAUGUAUGUUCUAUCUAAUUUUUCCAAAACUUCACUAACAAUUUCCUUCACAACCAAGUUUUCAUUUCUGCAAACAAAAAAGAAAACAUAACCCGAAAUGUUAAUAGGUACAAAUUAUAGGAGAUUCUAAAAAAAGCCUUUGCACUGUUGAUCUCCUGUCUUUCUGCCGUAGUGUUCUUAGCAGAAACUUUUACUAAACCUUUUACAAGUAUAUCAGAGAAGCCAUAAAGAUACUAUUUAAUUUAAGUAUUAGAAGAAAAUGAUAAGGAAGUUCAUAACUCACGCACCCUACUCAAGGAAGUGAGUUAGAUUCCUUUACAAGAAAGAAUAAUAGAUGGAUAGACAAAAAGAAAUCUGAUAAAUAAAAGGGAACCAAAAAGCAUAAGCAUAUACCUAUAACGUGAAACAUCCCAACCUGCAAAACUUGCUGCUUCACUCAGUGCAUUCUUCCAUUGUUUCACGAGGUGGAGGUCACUAUCUUUUUCAAAAAUGACUUCGAAAGAAACAUCCUGCAGUCUACGUAGAAACCAAGGGAAAACGUCGUAAAAUACGGGCAAAACUACUUGACCUCUAGAAGAAUGGCAUUCCAUGAUUUUGACGAGUUCGUCGAGACACCAUGUAGAGUAAAUGUAGUUUUUGGAGAAAACAACAACGGAAAUUUGAGACCCUUCUAUUGCAUGCCACAGUUCUGUUUUCAGCUGUUGUCCCUUGGCAAGCUUCUCGUCGUCCAGAAAAGUGUUGACACCGGCAUUUGCAAGAGCAGAAUAGAGAUGAGAAACGAAGUUCUUACGAGUGUCUUCGCCCCGGAAACUGAUGAACACAUCGUAUAUCCAUCGGGGUUUAGAUUUUGAGGAUGAUGAAGCGUAAGGCAUUGGUUCAUUUCUAUGAAACACGACCGAGUCAGUAAAAGCAAGAAAGCAAGUUGAUUCAAUUUGGUGUCCAUACGGCUUGUGGGAGUAAGUGAAUGCAUCGUAACUAUGGUUAAUAACGAAACUUCAACGACAUUAUCGAAGCACACAACGACAAGUUCGAUGUGUUUUUCUUCCUUUCGUUCUCUACGAGGAAGUAAAACAACAAUCACAGCAGUAAGUGGAAAUAGUAACUAUUAUAACUAUAAAAGAAUUUGCACUUAAGCUUUGCAAAAGAUAAAUUUGUGCUCUCUUUUAAACAUCAACGAAUUGUGAGCUUUUCCUUUUACAACUACAUAAGGCAAUGGACUUUCAUCUCCGAAACUGCAUGGCUGAGUUUUAUGUGUGCAAUUUUGCAAUGGAUUCUUAUUUUUGUGACAAAUGAGGUAAAAUAAAUUCUUACUAUAAUAUUUUUAUCUUUCAUAACUUUAGCUACUAGAAGUGGUGGAUAUUGAUUAUCAUAUCAUAGCAGAUAUGAAAAGUUAGGCAUGAUCACUUUGUAUUUUAAAAGUGUAAGUUUAUUAAAUAUGUAACAGUGGUACAUACAUAUAUUGAUUUCCUUUCCUUCCUAUCUCUAAUAUAAAUCCAAUAUUGAUCUACAUUAUGUAGAAAUUAAAAAUCUAAAUGCAUACUAUUUAAUAAAACUAAUUUAAAUUUUUAUAAAUUCAUAUCUAGAUAAUUAGAUAUUUUAAAUUUAAAUUCAUAUUUCCAAAAAAAGUAGUUUGAAUAUUUCUAAAUUAUUUUGAUACCGAUUUUAAAAAUAGUUUUAAAUAUAAAUUAAAAAAUUAUAAUAAAAAUUUCUUUAUUAGCAACUAAUUAUUAUUUUCAAACAACAAAUUAGAUAUUGAAAUUUGGUAUGUUUUGCAUAAAGUUAGGGUACAAUGCUAUGCUUUCUAAAUUUAAGUUAACUGCAUCUCACUUUUUAUUAAUAGCAAAUGAUGUAUCUUUUAAGAGUUUAGUGUUGAGAGGUGAGUACCACAUGGAUUAGAUCUUAAAAACAAAUCUAAAUCUAAUUCCAUAUAAAUAAAUACAUUGAAAUUAAAUUCAAAAUCAUUUUCUUUAAAUUAGUUUGAAAUUUUGUAAAACGAAAAUCUGAAAAAAAAUAGAUUAGGUUUUAAAGUUUGUUCCUACCGAAAAUGAACUCGAGGAGUGCAACUUGAAGAGGACUGCAUGUUCCUCGGGGAACGAGCUUUCAGUUGGUCUCUGAUCAAAGAGGGUACUUGCAAAAGACACUCCGAUCAUAAGAGCACAAAGAUGAUGAUGAAUCCUUAACAAAGAGCUAAAAGUAAGAGUAUAGAAUAAAAUUUAGUGUGGGAGAGAGUCAUCACCUAUUUAUAGGUCUUGUUUGACUCAGAUCAUUAAGAAAAGCAUUGAAUGGUCAUCAUGUGAUACAAAUGGAUUUUAUAACAAUAACCUAUAACCGCUAGUACUUUAUAACCAGUUUAUGGUUGAUUUAUGCGUCUUAAAUAUAAUAUUAAACGGGCAGUUAUUGUCUGAUUUAUGUGUCUUGAUUAUUAUAUUAAAUGAGCGAUUAUUGGUCUGAAUGUACCAGUCGUAAUUGAGAGUAUGUACAUAAACCCCUAGCUCGAAAUCUUUGAGGAUGUACAGGUGGAUUCUUUUUUAUCAAAAAAAAUAAAAAUGAAUUAAAGGGAUAUUAAGGAGUAUCCCAACCCGUAUACAAAAAUCUGUCACCUUUCGGCUUAGGACAAAACUGGACAUAAAUCUGCAGCUAUCAAGACCAGCAAAAGAACGGUUACAAAACUUUAAGACCACUAUUGCAUGGAGCCAACACCUGCAAAAUUGGCCACUGCCUAAGCCUAAAACUGUACACCGUAACAGCAUCUUCAUCAAAAGCCCCAUACAUGACACCAUGAAAGAUUGGUGUGCUUCCAUUCAAAAGUUCCAAAAAUACAACACCGAGACUGUAAACAUCACUUUUGUCAGUCAAAUUACGUGUUAAGAAGUACUCUGAAUCAAGGCAACCCGGGGUCCCUCUACCACAUAGUGGAAACAUGAGUAGGUACAUUUACUUCAAUAUCUGGAACUGAUGGGGAAAAUCAUGAAAGUCCAAAAUCAGCAGCACCUAAGAUUAUUCCAACUUGUUUAUCCCUGAACUUGAAUAGGGAGUAAUCGCUGGUGUUUGACAUUCAGUGUUGGGCUUGUUGCCGAAUGCGCAAGUCGAACACGAAAAGAUGAUGAAAGAGGUCUGAAUCAUCAAUUCCUUCCCCAAAGCAGCACCUGCCAAAUGAUGAUCUCUCCCGGCCUCAAGAACCUACACAAGACCAGCACCUACAGUUUGGGAGGUCCACCUGCAAAAGAUUCUUCUUCGAUACUUAAGUCAGUAGGAGCAUAAAUAUGAUGAUGAAUCUUUUAACAAAGAGCUAAGGGUAAGAGUGUAGAAUAGAGUUUAGUGUGUCCCUUUAUUGAGAGAAUAAUCACCUAUUUAUAGUUCUUGUUGGACUCAGACCAUUAAAAAAAGCAUUGAAUGAUCAUCAUGUGAUAUAACACUAGUACAAAAUAUCUCAUUAACGACAAUCUUUAAAGACGGUUUUGAAAGAACCAUCGUAAUAAAUGAGGCGGUGGCAACUUCGUAAAUUUUUUGAAAUUUUUUUACACUUUUAACGAUGGUUGCCGCCUAAACCGUCGUUAAAAGCGGAGCGUGUAGGAAUUGACGACGGUUCUCCCUGGAACCGUCGUUAAAAGUAGAUAUUCCACGACGGUUCACACUGAACCGUCGUUAAAAGUGGGUCCCCUUUUCAAAAUUCCAACGCUGAACUUUGCUUCUUCACUCUUCUUCUUUCACACAGCUAUUCCUUUCUUCCCUCUUACCAAAUCUGCUGCCGCAACUUUGCCCUGCACCGCGACCACCACGACCGACGCCGCGCGACCUCCAGUACCGCACGACCUCCACCACCGUGCGACCUCCACCACCGCACGACCUCCACCACAGUGAGACCUCCACCACCGCACAACCUCCAUCACCGUGCGACCUCCGCCACCGUUUGACCUCCGCCACUGCUCCGUGCGACCUCCGCGACCCACACCCCACUGCACGACCGUGCGCAACCGCCCCCGACCGUCGUCCCGCUCGCAUUGACCUUCGAUAGGCGCGACCGCCCAACCCCUGCUUCCAGUGACCGCUGACCCACGCCCUGCGACCGCCGAGGCGCAAUCCGUGACCUCUAAGGCGUGCCACCGUUCCCACCGUGCCCUCCAAGCCGCGACAUUGUGACCUUCGACCGCGACCGCCACCCAUUUUGAGGUUAGUAUAUUUUUAUUUAUUUUUUACUAUAUUUUAGAAGUGUUUGUUUGGAGUUAUUGAUUCUAUAUAUUGAACAAACUGAUUCUGAGUCCAAAGGUGUCUGACCUUCGGCAGUUUUGAUUUAAUUUUCAAUGAUUAUAUAGUGUUUUGAGAUAUUGAACGCAUUGGUUCUGAGUCCGGAGGUAUUUGACCUUCGGCAAAUUUGAUUUAUUUUUUAAUGGUUCUAUAUUGUUUUAACAUAUUGAACGCCCUGGUUCUGAGUCCGGAGNNNNNNNNNNNNNNNNNNNNNNNNNNNNNNNNNNNNNNNNNNNNNNNNNNNNNNNNNNNNNNNNNNNNNNNNNNNNNNNNNNNNNNNNNNNNNNNNNNNNCAACAUAAUAACAUAAUUUGCAUGCAUAUACAUAAAGUAGAAAACAACAUAAAUUUCAGAAACUUUAUUUAUCAAUGAGCUCAAAGUGUCAAAUAAGCAUUAAUAACAACAUUCAUAAUUCACUAGUAACAUAAUGCCCAUAUUUACAACAUGACCAGUAAAUGUUUUGGGCGGUAACCCUUUUGUUAAAGGGUCAGCAAUCAUAAGAUCAGUGUUAAUACGUUCUAUUGACACUUUAUGUUUCUGAACUUCUUCUUUAACAGUAAAGUAUUUCAAUUCCAUAUGUUUUAGCACCUUUGGAAUACUUGUCAUUUUUAGAAAAGAAGACUGCUGCGGAGUUAUCAUAAUAAAUUUUCAGCGGCUUGGCAAUACUGUCAACAAUUCCAAGUCCUGAAAUAAAAUUCUGCAACCAAUUAGCCUGAACUGUGGCCUCAAAGCAUGCCACAAAUUCAGCUUCCAUAGUGGACGCAGUAAUGACUGACUGCUUCGCACUUUUCCAUGAAAUCGCUCCUCUGGCUAAAAGAUACACAUAACCAAAAGUAGACUUUCGUGUAUCCACACAGCCAGCAAAAUCUGAAUCUGUAUAUCCAAUCACGUCAAGAUGAUUAGAUCUUUUAUAAGUAAGCAUGUGAUCCUUCGUUCCUUGCAAGUAUCUUAAAACUUUCUUUGCAGCUUUCCAAUGAUCCAAUCCUGGAUUACCCUGGUAUCUUCCAAGCAUAUCAACUGCAAAACUAAUAUCUGGUCGUGUACAAGUUUGAGCAUACAUUAAACUCUCAUCAAUAGAUGCAUAAGGUAUAUUCUCCAUUUCUUUCCAUUCCAAGUCAUUCUUUGGACAUUGCAUGAGACUAAAUUUGUUUCCUUUCUGUAUUGGAACAGAAGAUGUCGAACAUUUAUCCAUUCAGAAUCUCUCUAAAACUUUAUUAAUAUAUGAUUUCUGAGACAAACCUAACAAUCCUUGUGAUCUGUCACGGAAUAUUUCAAUUCCUAUCACAUAGUAUGCCUCACCCAUAUCUUUCAUCUCAAAUUUAUUAGAGAGAAACUUCUUAGUCUCACUUAAUAGACCAAGAUCAUUAGUUGCCAUGAGAGUCACAUAUAGUCUUAAAGACCCAUUUACACCCGACUCUCUUGCAUCCUUCUGGCAAUUCUAUAAGGCCCCAUAUAUCAUUCUAUGUCAUUGAUUUAAGCUCAUAUUUCAUAGCAUCUAACCACUUAUCAUAAUUAUCAUCAUUGAUGGCGUCUGAAAAUGAAACUGGAUCAUUAUCAAUACUUAAGUCAUUUUCUGACUCUUGUAGAUAAACCACAUAAUCAUUCGAAACAACAGACUUUCUUUCUCUUUGAGAUCUUCUUAAUAUUAUUUCUUGUGGUUGUUCUACUACAGGUUCAUUGUUUUCUUCAUGAUCAUUAAUUUGUUGUUCUUCUUCAUUGUUGAGUGACUCAACUACAUUAGGAACAACAAUACUUGAAGUAAAGGUACUUGUACUCUAACUUCCUUAAUCUCCACAUUUUGCAAAGUAUUACUCCCACUGGUUUCACCAUUUUCAAUGAACCGUGCAUUUCCAGAUUCAACAAUUCUUGUGUUAUGGGUAGGACAGUAAAACAUAUACCCUUUUGACUUUGCUGGAUAACCAAUGAAAUAUCCACUGAUUGUUCUUGCAUCCAAUUUCUUCUCUUGCGGAUUGUAUAUUCUGACUUCUGCCUGACAUCCCCAAACAUGCAAGUGUCUCAAACUAGGUUUCCUUCCUGUCCAUAAUUCAAAAGGUGUCUUUUGAACUGCCUUACUAGGAACCCUGUUCAACAGAUGCUUGACAGUUUUUAAAGCAUACAUCCACAAUGAAACGGGUGUCCCAAAAGUUUGUGCCACAAGAAAGCAGAACAAUAAUUCACUAAACUACAUUUAGUGUCAACAUUAUGAUGCAAGGUCAUAAGAGUUUUAGCAUAUAGAUUAUCGAGAUUCAAUUUAUAUAAUUCAUCAUAAAGAGUACCAAACCCUAUCAAACAGGUACGUUGAUAUAAACUGAAACAUUCCCAAAUAUAAAAGAGUAUCCGGCAUCAUUAAGUUUAGACAAUAAAACUAAAUUCCUAGAUAUCCUAGGUACAUAAAAAAGCAUCCAUCAAGUCUAAAUAAAAUCCAAUGUCGAGGAUUAAACGAUAAGUCCCGACUGCUUCCAUUGGAACCUUCUCUCUUUUCCCCAUGAAGACAAACUUUUCAUUUGGCUUUAUGGUUCGGGUUAAAAGGAAUCCUUGCAUCAUGUUAGAAACAUGAGUUGUGCAUCCAGAAUCAAUCCACCAAGAAUUAUGUCAAACUUCAGUUAAGUUUGAUUCAAAACAUACAUAAUAAGCAUUAUGCUUACCCUUCUUUUCGAACCAAGCCUUACGUUUCAGACAAUCCUUUUGGAAAUGUCCAGAUUUCUUGCAUAAAUGACAUUUGCCAUUCUUCUUCUGGAGCUUAGUAGAGGACUCAUUUAUCUUCAGUGGUCCUUUACCCUUUCCAUGUUUCUUGAAGACCUUCUUUCCAGCUCCCUGAUUGUUCACAUAAUNNNNNNNNNNNNNNNNNNNNNNNNNNNNNNNNNNNNNNNNNNNNNNNNNNNNNNNNNNNNNNNNNNNNNNNNNNNNNNNNNNNNNNNNNNNNNNNNNNNNNNNNNNNNNNNNNNNNNNNNNNNNNNNNNNNNNNNNNNNNNNNNNNNNNNNNNNNNNNNNNNNNNNNNNNNNNNNNNNNNNNNNNNNNNNNNNNNNNNNNNNNNNNNNNNNNNNNNNNNNNNNNNNNNNNNNNNNNNNNNNNNNNNNNNNNNNNNNNNNNNNNNNNNNNNNNNNNNNNNNNNNNNNNNNNNNNNNNNNNNNNNNNNNNNNNNNNNNNNNNNNNNNNNNNNNNNNNNNNNNNNNNNNNNNNNNNNNNNNNNNNNNNNNNNNNNNNNNNNNNAAAACAUUAUAUGUAUACUAAUGUUCUCCUUUGGGAGAUUCAUUAAUACACAAAACAUAAUGAUGCUAAUAGUAUUAACUUUAUUUGGUAAGAUAUAUGCAUUAACUAGAAACACUUGUUAUCUUUGGAUAUACAAGCAAAACUAAUAACACAUACUCACUACCAACAAUCAUAUCCAUUAAUUAUAAGGACAACUAAUCAACCUUUGGGUGAUCCAUAAUGCCCUAUAAUAAUGAAUUUCCAUUUACCCAUAUAUAUAAAUAAUUUAGCAUCCAUUGUAUAGGUAAUUGGAAUAAAAUUUAUCAGUAAUCUGGAAUUAAAUAAAACUUAAAGAUUUGAUCACUUUGGUGAUUAACAAAUCUAUCAUACAAAUAAUUCCAGAAAUUAUAUCAUUAAUUGAAAUAAAAUUCAUCCAUAAUUUGGAAUUAAAUAAAACUUAAAGAUUUGAUCACUUAGGUGAUUACAAAUCUAUCAUACAAAUAAUUCCAUAAAUAAUAUCAUUAUAUGAAAUAAAAUUUCAUCCAUAAUUUGAAAUUAAAUAAAACUUAAAGAUUUGAUCACUUUGGUGAUUACAAAUCCAUCAUACAAGUAAUUCCAAAAUUUCAAUUUAAAAUUAAAUACAUAAAGCGGAAAUAUAAUUUUUCAUUCCUCACUUUCAAUCAAUUAAUUAAACUUUAAUUUAAUGUAAAUUAAAUUACAUUAUGACAUAAUAAAAUUUCAUUAAAACUUUAAUUAAACUUUAAUUUAAUGCAAAUAAAAUUACAUUAAAACAUAAUAAAAUUUCAUUAAAUUUUAAUUUAAUGCAAAUAAAAUUACAUUAAAACAUAAUAAAAUUUCAUUAAAACUUUAAUUAAGCAUUAAUUUAAUUCAAAUAAAAGUACAUUGUAACAUAACAAAAUUUCUUUAAAAUUACAUUACAAAUAUAAUAAAAUAAAAUAAAAAUAAAAAAUUCAUACAUGAUACUAUUUUAUUUUCCCGUAACACAAAUGCAACCAAAUUAGUUGAUACUAUUCACAAUAAUAGGUGCAUCCAAAAGGAUAGGUGCAUCCAAAAGGGACGUAAGGUGCAGGGAAGAAUAUAACAAACACUUAAAAUAAAUUUUGAUGAAUAAUGGGUCAUUCCAUACGGGUCAACUAUUAUUGUGAAUUCAAUAGGUGCAGGAACGAAUUCACAUGUGCAGUUUCAUCCCUUACCUAGGCACCAAACGGUAGUUGAUGUAAACCUUAAUACAUAAACCCUAAUUUUAAAAUUAGGGUUUUUCAAUUGGGAUUAUUUUAAAAUUAGGGCUCUUUGAUUUUGAUGGUUUAGGACAAUUAGGGAUCUAUUAUAGAGGAAUGAAAACCUUAAUCUAUAAAUCCUAAUUUUAAAAUUAGAGUUCUUAAAUUGAGAAUAUUUUAAAAUUAGGGUUCUUUGAUUUUAGAGAAGCAUUAAUGGAGAAUCACAACAUGAGCAACGAGGCUCUGAUACCACAUGUAAGUUUAAACAUGAACACAUUCAAUUAUGUUCACAAAUAGAUCUUAUCAUAUCAUGAUUCUCACACAAUCAUACAAUCAAGAAGGAAUAGACACUUACCUUGAUCCAUGAGUGAUCCUAAUUGAGCAAUUACUUUAUCUCUUUUAUCUCAAUCUAUCUCUUAGCAAUUCCGUACUUGUCACACACUUUCGUGAUGGUUAACACUGAGACAACUAUUAUUUGCAGAGACAGAACCCUAUAGCCUUUAGUUCCCAAUCUCCAUCAGAUGUAGGUUUUCAUUAGGUAUAUCAUCAUAUAUAUAUUUCUCAUGUUAACCAAUGGGCUCUUUAUUCUAUUAUUAUUAUUAAAUCAUAUUUGGACCCAAAGCAACUCUAAGUCAUGUGAGUCACUUUAUAGAAAUUAAUUUACAUAAUUUCUUACAUUAAUAUCUCUAAAAUAGUCUCUAAAAUUGAAAUCACUCCAGCAACAACAACCCAUCAACCAAUAACUAACCAACAAACUAAAUCGAAUAUAGACAUACUAAAGGAUCAAGACACCAAUCUGAAAACAAGAAGCAAGCUAAUGGAACUUUAGAAGUGACCCAAGACCAAGUCUUCAGUUGAGACAAAAAGAAAAUUUAAGAGUGAUCCACCACACCGCCUUUGAAGAUGACCUUAUUCUUAUGGCACCAAAUCUCCCUCACCACCACCAUCCACACACUUUCCAAAACUAAAUUAACAGAUUCAGAUGCAUUAUAAAUAUUGAACUAUAGGAGAUGUGAGUAAAAACUUGGGGAGCAACCGACACCAACCUUAACCAUGCAAAGCAAAGAUUCCAAACAAGCCAAGAAAAUCUACACCCAAAAAACAAGUGGUUAGUAGACUCCUCUUUUAUCCCAAAAAAAAACAACAAAAAAUACUAUCAACCACAAUUCCGCGUCUAGCCAAAUUAACUUUAGAAGCAAUCUUGUUUUCCAACACCCUCCAAGCUAUAACGUGGGUCGAGGGUAAAGCCUUAAUCCUCCAAAAGAAUUUGAACCUACGUGAUCUUUCCUCUUCCAUCUCUCCCCUAGUUUGAUUUGUUCUCGAGGGUGCCUGUGUCCCCUUGGCCAACUUCCUUUUUAUUUCUUCAUUCUCUUGUAUAAGAGCUUGGUUUUCUUCUUUGUUCCACGAUUUCAUCUCUGUCAUCUCCCUCUAAAGGGCCAAAAAUAGGGUCACGCAAUCAUUCUCAACUACUAUUGAAUUUGUUAUUCUUUGCUCGCUAGUCAUGUGUCUUGUAGUUACCAUAAAGUCUUCUACGCCCUUCUCAGUCCCAGGAUAUGCGUCAAUCGUUCUUGUAUGGACCGGAAAGGUCUCAUCUCAGGGAUCAUGUUCACCUACGUCUUCUCGAUCUCUUCUUUGAACAGGUUUCGAUAGUCAACACGCAUGGGAGAUACCUACAAAAGAUCAUCAAACACUCAAAUCAGUAUUUAAUAUGCAGUGAUUGUAAAAAAUAAAUGUUAUUAAAUACGUUCUUGACUUGAAUAUGUUGAACUUAUUUAUAGAAUCAAAUCAAUGAGAUGUGAAAUCUAAUUAACACAAAUAUCCCAACAAAAUCUUGUAUUAAUCUAACAUAAAUACUUGAUUAAAUAUGUUAAACUGAUAAUUAGAUAAAAAUAUUUUUAAGAAACCGUGAUAUACUCGAUCACAUAAUCCUCGAGUGACACAUCUCUGACAUGUAAUUCUUUUAUUUUUUGUUAACACUUUCAAUCCUUUAUAUUAUUCGAUUAUUCAUUACAUUUAAUCGUUUUUAAACUUAAAUUCAGUUUACUUUUAUGUUUAUUUAUUUUUUUAAAAUUUUGUUUUCAUUAAUUCACCUGUAAUUAUAUAUCGUAAUCCUUGUACAUUUACUUUUAAUAUCUUCUACAUUGCUCUAAAUAUAUGUGGUUUACAAUUAUUAUUUUUCAAUUAAUCUUUACUAUUUCUAACCAUUCUUCCUGUUUUUUCGGCUGAAUUUUCAUUUUCGAAUUCUAACAUUUUUUAUCAUAAAAUUUUAAAAUAAAAAAAUAGUUAAAUUUUACUUACAUCUUUUUAAAUCCAAAUGCUGAAUUUCUAAUAAUCUUAAAUAUAAAUUUUGACUCGUAUACUAAUGAAUUAAUUACUUCCUUUAAAUUUAUAAAAAAAAAUUAACUACAAAUCAAUUUUUUUUUAAAAAAAAUUGUAAUAUAUUAUAAGCCUAAAAAUGAAUCGUUGAUUUUUGGUUAAAAUAUAUUAUAACCGAAAACAGUAACUAAGAAUUUUCCAUUUUCUUCCGGGAAUUUCAUUUUUUAUGUAAAUUAAUUCUACACAGUAUUGUCUCAAAAAGUUGAAAUUAAAAGUUAAAGUGCUUGAACCUUUUAGCUUCAAGUUAAAUAGCACAUAAUAAAGAUUAAAAAAGUGGUUUUCAUAGCACGUUUUAUGUUCUUUAAUAUUUUUAUUCAAUAGAAUAAAAAAGUAACAAGGAUUUAGAAAGACAGGUGGCUAGGAUCUUUGUGAUUUGUGAGUUGGCCCAAAUUUCUUAUUCUUAUAAACCUGCAUUUUCCUACUAGCUUUAUAUCCAAACUUAAAAACAACCAUAAACAUACUCAUCCAUCAUCAUCCACAUGCUAUAUUCAUUCCCAAAAAAGAUAACCCUACUUCUCAAAUCCUUCCUUGUGUUCAACAUUUAUCCAUAAAAUACAUAUAACUUUACCUUGCAAAUUUCAUAAUUUAUAAAAAUAAAUACAUUCAAAUAUCUUACUUUAAAUUAUUUUAACUUUUAAAUAUUUAUUUUGGAUGAUAUAAUUUUAAAUAAAAUAUUUAAUCAUUAAAAUAUUAUUUAUAUAUUAGAUAUUAAUAAUUAAAAAAUAUUAAUAUUAAUGACAUUAAUAUUGACAAAAUAAUUUUAAUUAAUUUUUGUCAAAAUUAUCUUUAGUUAAAUUUGAUUAUAACUAUUUAAUUAAUUGGAGUUAUUUUUAUGGUAUUGUUGGUUGAGGUGUUCUUACGCUGAAUUUAUAACCAUUGCCAAAAUAAUAUUGAUGUAAAUGGUAAAAAGAUAAUUGUAAUCGACAUGCAAAAGGUCAGGAUUAACGUAAAAAAAAAGUAAUUAUUAUAAACAUGACACACAAGAAAAAUACUAACUUUUAUAAAGAAGUAAUUCCAACUGAAAUCAAACUGACUAAAGAAUACCAAAAAAAAACAUUAAUUUAAAAAUGUACAAAAAAAUCAUUUUUUAUGAAAUAUAAAAUUAUCUAAUUUUAUGUAAUAUCACUAUUUAGAAUUAUAAAAAAAUUGAAAAUCCCUUUCUUAAACAAAAUAUUUAUCAUAAACAUUUUAAAUUCUCUAUAAAAUUAAAUUAUUUUAUUAAAUUUUUUUUAUUGAAACUCAUUAUUAAUUAAACUGAAAUUUUAAAUGAAGGAUUAACACAACAAAAAAUACACACAAAAUGUUAAUAUUUUUAUUUAAUAUCAUCAUUUAUAUAUUUAUUAUGAGUAUAUGAGCAUUUAACAUAAUUCUUUUAAUCAAUAACUUUUUAUUUUUAUCUUUAUCUUAUAUUCUCUUUGUUUUUAAUUAUAAAUAUUUAAAACAAAUUUAUAGUCAGACUAUUUUAAUUGCUUUUGGAAUCACUGAUUUUUUUUUCAAAAAGCUCUUCAUCACUUCAGUUAAUAGUUAAUAAAUUUUCAAUUUUUUUGCUGUAUGAAGAUUUUAUUAAAAUAAGUUAUGAAUAAUCAAAUAAUCCUACAUUAAUUAUACUAGUCAUUAUAAAUAUAAAAUAUAAUUUAUAUACAUAAAUAUGUAUUUUAUUUUAAAAUAUAAUUAAUUUAUAUAUUAAAAAUAUAUUAAUUACAAAUAAUAAUUAUACACAAAUAAAUACUAUCAAUAAGGUAGAGAUACAGCAAAUGUUACUUCAACUAAUAGUUAUAUUACAGAUGAUAUUUAUUAGUUUCAUAUUAAUUAUAAUAAUUUUUUUAGAAAAAAUAAUAUAUUUAAAUUUUGUGUUAAGAAUAUUAAUGAUUAAUAAUAAACAUAAUGAAAAGAAGUCCACAAGUUGUGUCUGAUGACCUUCCGGUUCACUAAACGGCAACCCUAUCCCCUCAAACGACCCCACCCUUCCUUCCCGUUACUACCUUAUCCAACUACUGUCUCAAUCAACUCACCACGUGCCACGCUCAUGCAAGCUCACCUAUAACUCGUGCACACAUGGUGGAAUCACGCUCUCACACGUCACGGGUGCAAGACUUGACCCGAAUAUAAGUGGAUAUGCCAAGCAUCUCACAACAACCCCACAUUCCCGUCAUUCGGAUCCUACCCGCAUAUCCCCAUUUUAACUUCGCCAAACUUCAAAUGAGUCAAAUCACACACAACAUUGAAUCAAGAUCACAGCAAUCAUUUUAAAUCUGAAACUGUUUUCCACGAAUAUUCUCCAGAAAAUUCCAGCGUUUUGUUCGUCUUUAUAAGUAACUUCCACAGACACAAACCAUUCUCAACCCAAUCCAUCACCAAAUCUAGCAAUUCAUUAUUAAUUGAUCCAAAAAAUUUCAGAAAAAUACGAAUCAAUGGUGGUUUUAGCAAGAAAGAAACGAGUUACUGACCCGUUCAACGACGAAGCCAAAGCUCGUCUCGUCGGAGGCGACCGCCGGCUACUAAGCUACAUCAGCAGCGGGAGCGAACAUUCCGGUGACGGCGACUCGCCGUGCCUCUCCGAACUCGUGCAUGAUUUCCUCGAGGACAAUGACAACUCGGACGAUAGCUCAGCGAAGAACGAUAUUGACUCGGACCGAGUCGACUCGGUCGCCGAUUGCAUCGACUCGGUGGAUGAACUUCUAAUGCUAAGCGAAUCCAACGCUUCCGACUCAUACAAAAACUUGCUUCUCGCGCACGCUUCGGAGGCCGCGGAGAAAUUCGCGCUUUUGAAGGAACAAAACAUUUCGACGUAUCUGCGAAACGCGAUGUCGUUUUUGCGGCAGAACGGACACAAUGCCGCGAUCUGCAAAACGCGGUGGGACUCUUCCGGUGGCAGCACAGCGGGUAGCUAUGACUUUAUCGACGUGGUGCGAUCGGAACAGUCCACGUGGCAUAAGAGGUACUUCGUGGACCUUGAUUUCGUCGGCCAGUUCGAGAUCGCACGGCCAACGAGUGAGUACCUAGAGUUUCUGACCUACGUUCCGAGAAUAUUCGUUGGAACCGCAGAGGAGUUGAAACGCACCGUUCGGAUCUUGUGCGGUGUUGCUAAGCGUUGUUUUAGGAAACGAGGGUUAACUGUGCCUCCGUGGAGAAAAAACCGGUACAUGCAGAACAAGUGGUUUGCUCCGUAUCGGAGAACAACGAACCCUGUUCAGGGAAAUCCGGUUCCCACCGUCGUCUCUGCGUUGAGUGGUGCAAAAUGUAGGUUUGUGGGCUUCGACGACUCCGUUUCGGAGGCCAGACGCGGCAGUGUGGUUGUCCUUACGAGAUGAUUAAUGAUUUUUUUAAGUUUUUUUUUUUUUUUUAGUUUAGUUUAGUGUUGCAUGUAAGAUUUUGUAAAAAAGAAAUAAUAGUUUAAAUUCACUGAAAAUUAUGGUUGUUGAGAUAUAUUAUUGCGUCUACUUUUUUUAUAUUAUUGCGCAUAAAUACAUUGAAUUUAUAUGCGGCAAAUGAACGUUGUUGUUUAUUCUAAGCGGCGAAUAGGAUGUUAUUUUAGAGGCGCAUCUGACCAUCCAGAGUGUAAAGAAACUUUUGUAUAAUUGAAAAAAAAACAAUGUUUUGGAUAAUGAAUUCGGAAGGGGACAAACACGUGAAUGUUUUGGAUUUUUAAAAGUCAGAUUCCUAGGGGAAAAAACCUUCGUUGGAAUAAUAAUAAAAUAAUGAGCAAAAUACAUUUUAAAAUUAAUAAAUUAAAUUAGAGAUAAGUACAUUUUGUUCAUGAUAUUAAUAAAUUGAACAAAAGAUUGAAUUAUUUGGUCCAUGAAAUUAAUAUAAUGUUGACUCAAAUCUUUCCUUUUUAAAGCGCAGAUAAUGUGGUCCUGCGUUUAGACAAUGGUAGACAUCGAAUUGAUUGCUGGUGUGAUAGGUGUGAGCAUAUGGUGUUUCUUGCUAUAAUAAAGGGACAGUUGGCUUGAGAGAACAGGUUGUCGUGGAAUCAAAUAUUUUUAGUUAUUUGUUUUUCUAUGGUGAAAAAUUAGGAUAGCGGGUCAUCUCAUUACUAGUUCAUGAUAGAAAGGUCACGUGAUAACAUGUGACUGAUCUAUACAUGAUGAGUUAUGGGUUGACCAAGUCAGCAAGAUUAACUCAUAAUUAAGAGUUGUUUAGCGUAAUCUUAAACACAAACAAACAUCCUAAUCUGGCCCACCAACAAAGGUCCAUUAAGGUAAUAUAAAUAGCGCAGAUUCUAAGAAUCAAGUACAUUAUCUACAAUACUCUGACAAUCGAGUGUCGACAUCCUUACUGACUUGAUCGUCGGAGUGCCUUCUGCAGGUACCAUCCGAGCCUGGGUCACCAGACGAUCAAGAGGAGGAAGGCGAAGCAAGAAGCUGAGUGUAGAAGCGAGCGACCGAGUGGAGGAGCAAAGCAAUCGUUCUCUAGGCCCCAACACCCGUUCGAGAACAAUUUGUAAAAUGUAGGUUGAGUUGGUCCAUUUCGCGUAAUGAACACAGGUUGUACUCUUUGUCCCGUCCUACAUAAGGGUUAGCCCAUGGGUUUGUGGGCUAGUUCGCAUUCGUUUUUUUUAAAAAAAAAAUCAAUAAAAAUAUUUUUUACUUUUUGCUCUUAAAAAAUUGUCAAAUUGAACCUAUAUUUGAUAGUAUCAAACAUCAAUAUUUUUUCUUCCAUUUCAAACAUAGUCAAACAUCAAUAAUUCAAUUAAAAUAAAAAUCAAAUAUUAAUAUUCUUCCAUUUCAAAAACAUUAAAAAUAGUUAAUUCAAAAACAUUAAACAUAAACAUCAUUACAAUAAACAUAGUUGCAGCGUUGGAAUGAAGGAAUAUGAAUGGAAAAGGAAAACUUAUUUUUUUCAGUUCAAUUUGCCUUGUCAUUGCUAAGUCAACACACAAACUUUUCUUUUUAUGCUACCCAACAGGCCAGUCUGCCCUGCCCUGUAGUUGGCCCGCGCGGGAUAUGGAUUAUGUGGAGCGAGCUAAAGCGGGUCGAUGAGUUGAAAAACUGAGUUUGUCCCGCAUCUUUUACUAGUGAGACGCGGGAUGGCCCGUAUGACCUGUCCGGCUUUAUCAUCCUUGUGUAAAAGGAAGUGUGAAAUGGAAGAAAAAGAAUAAAUAAAAAAUGACAUUAUUUGUUAUACAAAGGGAUGAGAGAAUCUUUUCCUAAUUGAACAAUUACUUUUCAUCGAACUUUGUUUUCUAUCUUUAUUUUUUAUUUUCAAUAUUGGGAGAACACUUGCUAAGGAUGCUAUGAUACUUGAAUAAAUGUUUAAUAUUUCAUACAAAAUAUACCUAAUAAUGACAUAUUUUUGUUUUUGUUGUUGCACUUAUUUAUAUGACUCUAAUGAUGAGUUAUGUUAUUGUGUUGAGUUGAGAUUCACAUGCAAAUCAUGAUUAAAAAUAUAUUAUCUAAUUUUUUUUAUGAUUUAAUUUUAUUAAUUAUUUUUUUUUUUAUUUUAAUACAUUUAAAUAUAUCGAUCUAUACCAGAUAUUGAAUAAUCAUCCACUCCAACUAGUACACGGUUAAAAUAAGUAGAAUAGAAAAGAAAAUAUUACAAACUUUGAAUGAACUUGCUUGAUUCUUUGAUUAUAAAAAAGAAAAUGAGAAUUAUUAUGGAAUUACUAUUAUAUUUUAAGUGACUUAUUUUUAAUUUUAAAAUCAAUUAAUAAUUGACUUUUCUAAAAUUAUCUUUGUAUAAUCAUUAUAGCAUGUUUAUAUUUGAUUAUUUAUAUUUCUUCGUGUAAAAUGUAUAUUACAACACCUAUAUAGUUAUCAUGAUUUAUGUAUAAUUAAUUAUGUUUUUGUAUAUAAUUAAUUAUGCAGGUCUUUAGAUUAAUGUGGUUUUAGAUUACUUGCAUAAUCAAUUACGUGGGUAUCUUACAUCUUAAAAUCAACAUUUUAUAAUCAUUUAAGUAGCUCAUUCAAGAUUAAAGGGCAAUUAAUUAUAUAUAACCUUUAAAAUUAAAAAGUGACGGAAUAAAGGUAUAUAGUUUGUUUUUUUUAUGAACUUUUUAUGUGUAGUGGAGUAGAAUACUUCAAUAAUUAUUAAUAAUUAUUAAGAAGUUUAAGUCUAAUUUAAUUUUAUACUAUUGAUGUAUAAGAUGAGGUUUACAUUCUGAUAGUGUUCGAUAGUCGGUGUAAUAAUAGGUUCAAUAAAUUCUCUUUAUGAUAAGUUCUAAAUGAAACCGAUAUCGAAUCGUUCAUAAACAUAGUCAAAUACACAAAUUGACAGUUUCGACAUGAUGGGAUGUGAUGAAAAUCUCAUAUCAACUAAAAAUAAAAACAUUUUAUAAUAUAUAAAUAUGUACAAACCUAAUUUAUAAGGUUGAGUUAACUUAAAAUUCAUUUCAUAAUAAUAAGUUAAUAAAUACAUAUAUUAAAACAAAAUCCAUAAGAAUAAAAAUUUUGUUGCCCCGGAUUGAUUGACGUAACACUGAAGAAUUUUGCAACCUAUGCGAUUAGGAAAAAUUACUAGUCAACACAUAAAUAUGACUUAUUUUUUAAUUUUUUUAUCAUAUGUAUAAAUAUAUCUGUUUAUUAAUUUUUUUGAAUUUAUAGUAUUUUAAUAAAUAUUCAUUUUAAUUUUGAAUAAUUUAUUUUGGAGAUGAAAUUUAAAUUUUUAUAUAAGUUAAUUAAAUAUAAUUAAAAUAAUUUAAUAAUUUAGUUAGUUAAAGAGCUAAAAGUGAAUUAAUAUUAAAACCUUUUAAAGAAAAUAUUUUGAAAAGGUCAAGAAAGAAAUAAAAAAAUAGAAAAAUAAUAAUUGAGCAAAGAAAGUAAUAUGUAUUUAAAAGUAAGUAUAAAUGAAUGAGGAAAGAAAAUUUGACAAAAUUUAUAUGUCAUUAAAUUAAAAUGAAAUACAAUUUUUUUUGGGUAAGUAUACAAUUGAAAGAGAAAAUUAUAACUCUGCAAAUGUUAUAUAAAAUAUAAAAUAUUAUACAUAUUUUAGAGAUAUAAAUUUGACCUAAACUAUUUAAUGUAAAAUUUAAUGGAUGUAUUUAAAAAUAAGAAAAUAAUUAUUGUGGUAAGAUGUGAAUGCAAACUUAAGAAAAGAAAAAUGCAAGCUAAAACCUUGUUUCGGUAACUUUAACAAAAUAUUGAUCUCAUAAUAUCUCUAGUCUAUUGAUCUCAUAAUAUCUCUAGUCUAUAAUGGAACAACUUAUUUUGAACCAAGAUUUCCCUCUGAUGUGCAUGGUGGUUCAAAAAGAGGUGACUUCUUAGAAAUGAAACACAAGUCCAUUUUAAAUAUUUAUCUACAAAGUAUAUAAUACAAGCAUUAAUAGUGAGUGUAAGUCCAUAGUUUAUUCUUAAUUACCCAAGUGUCCUAAGCUUCACCACAUGUUCUAUACAUGCAAAUUGAAUAUAUAGCAGAAUAAUUCUUUAAUUAUGGGGCCUCUUUUUAUUCUCUUAUACAGGAACAUGUGACUAAUUCAAGAACAAGUGUGUUUUACCAGUCACCAUGUUAUACAUAACAUGCAAUAAUUGAAAAUUUUCUCCUUUAUAUUAAUAGUAAUAAAAGAAAUAAACAAAAAGAAAACAUGAAUUCUUAUACUCAUUGAAUCUUACCUCCAAAUGAAUCACAAAAUAGUUUAGUAAGUUUUGAGUCACGAAAUGGCACAUGUGCAUUAUUUCCUACAAGUACGUUAAUCCAUUUCCCUAAUGCAUUCAAGGACAAAUUGAUAUAUUUAGCUUCUUUUAAUGUAUGUCCUUCACUUCCUAUUAAGUCAACAAAAAAUGAAACGAUCUUAUUAAGCAACAUAGAUGGUAUAGCACGUAAAAUAUUCCUGAUUGCAUGAAUAAUAGGUCUUUGCCAUCUGGUGAUUUUAUCAAGCCUACCUCUUAAAUAUGCUAUUGUUUUUAUUUUGACUACUUAGAAUAUUUUUCUCCAAAUUCUAAGAAGAAACAUAAUUGCAUAUCUUUUCAUCUUGUGUAAUCAACAUUUACCUUGAGUGUGAAUUACAUCAAUCAACACUUAGAUUUCAUAUUUUUUUCAAAGUAUUUAUAUAUCAAGAUAUAAAAUUUAAAGGAAAAAAAGGGAAGACAAAUAUGGAUUGUUUCAUUAAGUAAAGUCUUUGAUAAUUUGAAGUCACUAAAAAUAAAUGGAUAUAAAGAGAUCACAAAAUCACUUUAUUAAAUGUACAAACCUCACUUGUUAAUUUGCUCUGAACCAACAAGAUUAACCAGAAUCAACUUGCCUUCCGAACAAGAAUAAAUAUAGUGUCUUAAAUAUAAAUUUAAUAAUUUUGGUUCCCAAUUUUUCUCUCACUAUUUUCAUUUAUGAUAUAUUUGUAAUUAUUUGUAACUUUAAAUUGUGAAAUAAAUUAUGCUAAAUAUUUUUUUUUUUAUAUAAAAGUUUUCAUGUUAGACAUCACUAUGCAACUUGACAUCUCAGCUAGGCUGACAUCUCAGUUAACAACAAUCAUCUGCCAUCACAUGAAAAAAGAUACAUAGGUAGACCAAAACCCACAUGUUAACAAAAACAAUACAUAGGUAGACUAUACCUAUUCAUAAAGAAUUCUAAGAACAGACUAGAUGAAAGUCUAUUAUACCAAUGAAAUGAUUCUCUAUGAAUGAACCCUAAAUUAGCCAACUUAUCAGCACAUGCAUUCCCCUCACGAAAAAUAUGAGUAACCCUAAACCUGAUUGUCCCACAAAAAUUAAGACAAGUAUUCCAUCGAUUACGAAGCAUCCACGGAACAUUAGUCCUAACAGUAAACACAACACAAACCAAGGCAGAAUCACAUUUAAGCCUAACAUUAGUAAGUCUCAUCUUUUGAGCUUCCUCCAUAGCAUGUAUAAUUCCAUAAAACUCAGCAACCAAAGCAGUCUAAACUUCAAGAAACACUGAAAAAGCACCAAUAAAUUCUCUCAUACUCCCACGAAAAAUACCUCCACAAGUAGCAAGACCAGGAUACCCCCUAGCAGCCCCAUCAAUAUUAAUUUUAACCCAGCCUGGUGAAGGAAAUUCCCAUCUAACAGGAAGAGGACGAAGAACUUUCCCACUACGAGUCUUAAUACAAAAAAAACUUAAUCACGUUUAAAUCCAACAUAUCAUUCUUCAUCGAAGCUUUAGACGAAUUUCCCACUAGACAAGUUAAAUCUUUAAUUACCGAAAUAGCCUUAGAAACCUCAAUCUUAUCCUGAAAUCUAGCAUAAUUCCUCAUACGCCAUAUCAUCCAUAUAGAAAAGGUUGUCACAGCAAGCUUAAUCAAUUUAACCAAAUGACUACCAUCACUCUUAAUAAAAGAAAGAAGAUCAUCCUUAUUAGAGAAAUGAGAAGUAAGAAAAAUCUGUCGAACUUAACUCCAAAUAUGUAAUGCAUUAGAACAUUCAAAAAAUAGAUGUUGAAUAGAUUCUUCAUGCUUUUCACAAAGCGUACACAUAAAACAUAUAUGCAAACCCUUAUUCUGAAUAUGCUGAUCUGUAGGAAGUCGCCCAUGAAAAAUUUUCCAGAGUACUAGAGUUUUGGAAGGCAGAAUAGAUGAAGACCAAAUGAGCUUACCCCAACCACAUGGAACUCUUGGUUCCAAGAAAAAGUCCUAGCCGAUUUAAGAGUGAAACAACCAGACUCAUCUAGAAUCUAAUUAGGAAUAUUUUGUUCCUCUCUAACCAUGAUAUGAUUAAAAAAAUGUGGCAUCUGCUGUAAAGAUAAGGGAAUAUUCCAAUCAUAGCCUAACAAAAAUUGAGAGACUGUAUCUGGAAUGUUAGCCCCACCAGAUAACCCUACAAUAUUUGCUAAAGAAGUAGUAGAGCACCAUUUAUCAUUCCAGAAAUUAAUAAAAGAACCUGUACCAACAGUUCAAGAAGUAUAAUCAAGUAUGAUAGAAUAAAAUUGCUUAAUUCCAAGCCAAAGAGAGGAUGAUCUAUAAAUCAUUCUAAACUCGUAUUUUGAUUUAAGAAAUCUAGCUUUCAAGAGUAAAGACCAAGGUUUGUUGCUAUAAGCAAAGUUCCAAGUAAGCUUAAGAAGAUAUGCAUUGUAUUUUCAUGAUGAAGAUUAAUAAUAUUCAAGCUUCCAUCCUCAAGAGGUGAACAAAUUUUCGCCCAAUUAACGAUAGCGAUACCUUUUUCAUAAUAUCACCAAUCCAAAUUCCGGCACCACUGUUCAACUUGCUUAAUAAGUGAAACAGGCCAUUUAUACAUAUUAAAACUAUAAGCUAGAAAUCCAGUAAUCACUGUAUUGACCAUCUGGAUCCGACCCAUCAUGCUAAGAGAUUUACUUUUCCAAGAUGCUAGCUUCAAUUUGACUUUAUCAGCCAAAAGUUGAAGAAAUCGACACUUUGGAGCACCAACAAAGAUAGACAUUCCUAAAUAAUUGAAAGACAAACAACCAUGACUACAAGAAAGAAUAUUUUGAAUUUUGGUGACAAAUCUUGGAGAAUUAUCCAUGGUGAAGAAACUACUUUUAGAAUUAUUAAUAUAUUGACUAGAAAAAUCACCAUAUGUUUUAAGAAAAGUAUUCAAAUUUCGAAGAGACUUAAUAUCCCCAAAAAAAAUAAAAAAUCUUAGUAAGUUUUAUUUUCCACUCCAAUGUUUAGUUUUAUUUAUUUAUUUAUUUAUUUUGGUUGUAUGAAUUAAAUAUUUUUUUCUUAGACUUAUAGUUGGUUUUAUCAAUAUUUAAAUAAAUGUUCAAAAUAUUAUGAAAAUGAUGAAUUAAAUAUCCAAUAAAUUUUACUGAUUUAUUUAAUUUAAAAGAAUUUAUAAAAAUAUUAAUGUUAAUGUAGUAAAACUAUUAAAUUAUUAUUUAUUAUAUAUUAUUAAUAUUAAUGAUAAUGUAGUAAAAAUAUUUAUUAAUUAUAUUUAUUAUGAAAUUUUAGUUAAUAAAUUAAAUAAAAGUAGUGAUAUGUGUUGGCUUAGCCGAGCUAUAGACGCUGCUGGGAAUGUGUUGGCUUGGCCGACAUAAGUUUUAUGUCAGGUUUUACGUUGUUUGCAUCGGUAUGAGCCGACACAAACUUAUUAAUAAAUUUCAACUUCGUCUCCGUGCUUUCACUUUCCCCCAAAAUAAAAAUUGAAAACCUAGUUUUUUCUCUACGUAGCUCCCUCCUUCCAUCUAUCGCUUCCUCUCUCUGUCGCUACCUGCCUUCGCCGCUCUCUCCCUUCACUUCCUUACUUUGUCGCUCACUCUCUGCGACAUGUUCUCCUCUCUCGUCACUUCCAUCUUUCUCUUCUCUUCAUUUCUUCUUGUAUUUUUGUUUUAUUUCAGCUCCAUCUUCCUAGUGCAUAGGUCGUCGCAAGCUUCCUCUUCGUGCGCGUAUUGUCUCAAGCAAAGCUUGACGAAGUUCCGACAAAGCUUCAGUUUAUACGUACUUUGAUUUUGGUACUUUGAUUUUGGAUUACCAAGUAACUAAUUCGAUACCAAUUUAGAAACUAAUUUAUAAAUUUUUAUUAAUAAUAGAAAAUAUUUUAAAUACCAAUAAUUUUUUACUUUAUAAAAUAAUAUCUAAUUAGCCAAUAUAGUAACUAUAAUUAUUUUUUAUCUAUAAAAUUAAUUUUUAUUUAGUAUACUUACCAAAAACAUAUAAACUAUUCAUUUAGAGGACAACACUUUUAUAACUUGCCAUAAUUGUUAGCUCCAAGAUCAUUUAACUUUUUCUUUCUUAUAUUUAUCAUCAGAUUCCUCCUUUACUAUCCACGUCCAAUUUUGUUUGAGCAACCAAAAGAAUUAUUGAAUAAAAUAGAGUAAAAUUUAUUAAAAAUAAAUAAAAAGUAUUAACAUAAAAUGUCACUGCUAAGUGCAAAUUUGUUAUAACACACUGUCAAUAAUUUUUUUUUUCUUUGACAUGUGACUUCCAAUCCUUUUUUCUUUGCUUCUACACAAUUGUAUUUUCUCAAUAUUGUCUUAAUCUCUAGAUUCCAUAAUAAUAAAUUAGUCCCAUUAAACUUCUCUGUCUCAUAAUUUUUUCCAUGACUUUAAAACCGGUAAUAAAUAGUAUUGUCGAACUAAUACAUUAUAUAAGUUUAAAAGAAAAAGACGUGGAUCACUAAUAUAUACACUUAAAUACCUAUUUUUCUUCUUCUUUUAUUAGAUGCACUUUCACAUUACCACAUUCAUAAUUAAGCCCUAAUAUGGUAGACUUAUCUUCUCACAUGUUAGAGAUUAAAAGAAUGUGAGAUUUGUUCUGGCUAAGAUUUGAGAAAAAUAACUCACAUGUUAGAGAUUAAAAGAACUUGAGAUUUGUUUUGGCUAAAAUUUGAGAAAAAUAAUAAACUUGAUAAAAGAUAUAUAGAAUAGAGAAUACAUGAUAUUAAUAGCAUACUUUUUAUUUAUUUAUAAAGAUAAAAACAUUUUUUUAAACAUAUUUUUCUAUUUCAAUUUUAUUGAAAAGUUUAAAUUCGUUACAUAAACAUUAAUUAAGGUAAAAUUAAUAUACUUUUGUUUAUAAAAGAUAAACAAGUUUUUUAAACAUAUUUUUUCUAUAUGAAUUUUAUUGAAAAUUUAAAUUCGUUAGAUAAACAUUAAUUAAGACAAUUUUUUUUUAUAUUUUUUCUCGAUUUUUAAUAAAUUUUAUUUUAAAAAAGAGAAUGAGUUAAAAAGAUUUGAUUGUCAUUAUUUUCCCUGCAGCAGAGGACUCACCGUUCACACCAUAACAGUGACAUUAGAGUGUUCUUUCCAUUUACAUGUCCCUUCGCACUGUGGCAGCGUUCAUGGGUCCUUCAACUUCUUCAAUCAAACACACUUUGCUAUGUAACUGUUACUCUCCAAGUCACUGAAAUCUAGUUCACUCUUUACCCUCCUCUUCUGACUGUUUCAAAACGAAAAAAAAUCGAAAAAAAAAUUAAGGAAAACCCAAAAUUUCAGCCCUGUUCUUGUUCCUCGUCUUCAACAUUUUUCAACCGAAGCAUUUACGGUCUCACUCUCAUGCUUCGGUUUCUCGCAACUGGAUCAAAUAUUUCUCAUCCUUUUCCACACACAGCAGUUAUAAAAGCUCUGCGAGUGUUCACAUCCACCACCUGUUCGAGCAUUUGCGUCACCCAAACCAAGGUUGAAGUUGAAGAUGAUAAAGGCAAAUGGAGUGAUGCUACUGAACUUUUGAGAAAAUGGGGUUGCAGUGAUGAUGAUUUGGUGAGAAUAUUCUCGCGCUGUCCCUCGUUGCGCAAUGCUGAUCCCACGCAGGUCCAAUCUAAACUGUGCCUGCUUAGUGAUUUGGGCUUGCGUGCUUCUGAACUUGUGAAGAUUGUCAAUUGUAGACCACGGUUUUUCCAGUCUCGGAUUAACUCUUAUUUAGAAGAGAGGAUUGGACAUCUCACAUCAUUGUUUGAGUCCAGGGAAGUGCUUCAGAAGGCCAUUGUAAGGAACCCUUCAUUGCUGCUAUCGGAUGGUCGCUAUAAUGUUAAGGCCACAGUUGAGCUCUAUGAGAAGUUGGGUGUUAAGAAAGGGGACUUGGUUCAGAUGCUGCUUUUGCGGCCCACGGUUAUUUCAAGGACUUCCUUUGAUGCUGAGAAGCUGGAAUAUUUAAGCAGGACUGGGCUUACUGUGGAUUCAAAGAUGUAUAAAUAUGUGGUGACUUUAAUUGGAAUCUCUCGCGUGGAAACUAUCCGGGAGAAGGUGGCCAAUUUCGAAAAGUUUGGGUUUUCUGAAGAGGAGAUAUUUGGUCUUGUGGGGAGGUCUCCUAAUGUUUUGACAUUGUCGACAGACAAGGUUCAGAGGAACAUGACUUUCAUUUUGGGCACGAUGAAGCUUGAUGCUAAGAUGGUUCUAAAGCAGCCGUAUCUAUUGUAUGCCAAUGUGGAUACUGUUUUGAAGCCAAGAGUUCUACUAGCAUUGAAGAUUCAAGAUAUGGAUUCAAAGUGGCAGAUCAUAGGACCAACGAUAGUUAGUGUACUUAGGAUGCAAGAGACGAGAUUUUUGGACUUGUUUGUCAAAUGCCAUGGGGAGGAUGUUGCCAAUGAAUUGAUGGAUUUCUAUAAAAGGACAAAAGAGGUUAAGAGAUUAGGAGAGUCAUCAAAGAAGUGCAGUAGGAGAGGAUUCCCUUUCUGAAAUCUGAACUACUUAUAUGCUAUAAAGUGAUUUAGAGCUGAGAUCCAUAUCCACUUUUUUGGUUAUCUUGUUAUUGGAAAUUAUUUUUGUGAAAUUUACUAUGCUUAUUUCUCUCUAUUUGAUUUUUAAUGAAGAUUUUUCCUAUCUAGAACAAUUUUGUAAUACAGGUGAGCGGCAAAGCUUCAAAAUCAAGAAAUAAUGUAGGUAAUUGAUUUGCGUAUACUAUGUUUUAAAGAGUAACCUUACAGAUAUAUUAUUGAUCCUCAGUGCCCUCAUUUUUCAUCAGGGUUCGGCCUUGGCCCUAAACAACAUUCCUGAUUUUUAGUUUAGAACUUUAGAUUAAUUUUCACAUCAAAAUAGCUUUCCCAGCUAGGAACUCACUGUGACUUUUCAAUUACAAUCUGUAAACUAUUUUCACUUAAAAUAAGUUUAUCGAAACAUUAAAAUUUUCAGAGAAUUUGCUUUCAAUCCUUGACAAAUACCAUUAAAAAGAUAUCAAGAAGGACAAUAACAUUGCAGUAAAAACAAUUUUGUUUCCCCCCCUGUUUUCAACAUCUACUUCAACAAUAAAUUUCUGUUGCUUGAUACUUCUGUCUGUUUUGUGCUGCUAUCUGUUAACUUCUAAUGCUUUCUAUUCAAAUUGAAUUUCAGGUAAAAUUUUGGUUGCUGUAAAGGAACUGAAAUAUGUCAUUAACUUUGUUAUUAUUGGCUGUUGUAUUCAUUUUAUGACUACAUUAAGUGAAAACUAAUUAUCUCUCUUAAUUUACCACAGAUAAAACAAUUAUGUUUUUAGUUCACUUCAGUUCCGAAUAUCCCCAAUUAAAACUAAAAGAAAAUUUGAUGGUUGAAAAAAAGACUUCGAGCAAUCAAAUGAAAAAAAAAAUACAUUCCUUAAUCUACAUUCAUUUUCUCUUGGAAAAGGCAAUGACAGAAGAAUGUUUUUAAUUAUCUAAACAUGAAAUAUUACGUAAAAAAUAUAUAGAUAGUAGAAAUGUGAAAGCUCAAAGAAUCAACCUUCUGCUACUACUGCACUCGUUGCUUGCUUGCUUGCUUCUAAUUUCUAAGCCCUUACACUCUAUGCAUGACACUGUUGUAUGAUGAAGAGGAGAGUAGGCUCAAUGACUCAAAAUGAAGAGUAUAUGUCCAAUAUAUAGAGCUCCAAUCCAAAAUGCAUGUACAUUAUGAGAUAAUUGAAUUAAAUCUUUAUUAAAAGUUGGACCAUAUUCAUUAAAAAUACUAAGAUAUAUCUAUUAAACCCUAAACAUAUGAUAUGAUUAUUUAUUAAAUAAAGUUUAUUUAAAUCAAAUUAAUCACACAAAACACAAAAUCCCUCACAUUAACAUCUACUAUUCACAAAUUAAUUUGACAUUACACUUACUUUCUAAUAAUCAAUAUAACAUUAAGUUAUAAAGUUCCCGGAUCAAUUUGUAUUUCUUUUACAAGUAAAUCAUAUUUUUUUUAUAAAUUAUUAAUUACAAAUUUCGGUUUAGGUAUGAAAUGUAUCAUUUAUCAUCAAGGGAAAGAGACAUAUUUGAGUUUGACUAUCUCAUCAUCGAAAUAAAUAUUCAUCUUCAAUUUUAUCCUUAUACUUAAUGGGUAUGAAACUUUUGUUUGAACUUGACUAUCUCAUUUUGAAGUAAAUAUUCAACCUUAUUUCUGUCCUCAUACUCAACGGCAUAAAUUUUUUAUCUCAUGGCCAUCUCCAUUGAGAAUGGGUAUACUCGUACUAUUUUAAAUAUUAAUUAAAUAUUUUUUUAUAACAAAUAAAAAUCGUAACAAAAGAAUCAUAAUAUUAUCAAGUAUUUAAUGUUAAAAGAAUACACAAUUUCUUUCUCUCUAAUGUCAAAUAUAAAGAAUAGAAAUUAUAACUACAUAACUGCAUAAAUAACAAAUGAGAGUAUCAAAUAAAAAUUUGAUAAAAGUUAAAUAAUUACAUAAAAGAGUAAAACUAAUCAAAUAUAUGACCUAUAAAUAAGUUACAAAACUAAGGACCAAUUAAAAGUUAAUAUAAAUUAUUUAGAUUACUUAAUAAAUUAAAGAUAUUUUAGUAAUUUAAAAUAGAAAUGAGUAUGGAAACAAGAUAUGUAUUGGGACUAGUAUGAGAUAUGACGAAUAUGCACAUACCAAUAUGCAUUCUCAUACUUAAUUAAAAAAUCAAAUAUUACUUAUACUCCUACUUCACUGAUACGAAAAUUUCUCAUAAAAAAUGUGACAUAUUCAAUCAAUAUCCGUAGAUGAAUUCAUUUGCCUAGCUAAUCCUAAAAGUUACCCAGAGCCAAUUUCUUAAUGAUUUGAAGAAAAAUACAAUUUAUCAUCUCCUAUAAUACGUGAAAAUGAAAUGGGUUAAUUACAUAUUAUUUCAGAAAUUAAUUAUUUAAAUAUUUAGUGAAACAAUAAUUAUAGGUAUAAUUCUUUUGCAAUUAGUUGUAGUAUUUAUCGAAAUCAAUACCUAAGCGAGCUGAGUUUGACUGGCGAACAUCUACCCUAAACAGGUAGUUUGGAAGCAACUUUUAAUCAUGCAAUUUUUAUAGUUUAAUCCUUCAGAUUUUUAAUGUUUUAUAGUUUAUUAAUUAUAUGUUUAGUUCUAGAAUCUUAUAUGAGGCACAUUUCCUUUGUUCUUCUUUUUAUGGCAUUAUAAUCUCUAUAAGCAUGUAAGACAAACACGUGUUGUGCAUAUGAAAGUUGAAUAAGAGAGAGAUUUUGUUUUUUUUUUCAUUCCGACUCAGUUUUCUCAGUGUUUAUUUUUCUUCCUCUGUUUUCUCAGUAAAUCUUCUUCUUUAGUCAUGAAAAUCGUUAUGGUAAUAGAGCGGACAUGUGUCACUCUGAUAAAUUUUUUUUUUCAUUAGUACAAAAUAUCAAAAUUACGAUCCUAUAUUCAAGGCGUUUUUAUGGUCAGAUUCAAAACAAAAUAACAUUUUUUAAAUUAACUUCCGGUAAGAGGGUGGUUAUUUGGUAUAGCAGCAUUCUUAAACAAAGCGCUUUGUUUAAGAAUGUGACUAUAUCAAAUAGUCACCCUCUAUACCAUUUUUUUACUCUAAUACUUCCUUUCUCUGACGCUUCAUUUUCUCUUCUCUUUUACUCUGGUGCUUCCUCUCGUCUUCCUCGAGCCUGCAUUGUCUUUUUCGUGCCAUUAGUAAGUUUGUUUUGAGCUCUCUACUUCUUCUUCACCCUUAGUUUUUGUAUUUUCUUCAUUUCUCUUAUUUGUUACUUUUCUGUCAUUGCUCGAAGGCCACCACUGUUUCAUUGCCACGCUGGUGUUUGAGUUUAAACUGUGCCCUAUUUGCUCCGUCGCUGCUUGUGCUGCCGCUAUUGCCGUUGUCGUGCCGCUCUUUACCACCAUCGUUACCUUCACGCACAAGGUUGGUGGUGUUUUAUUUUUUUUUUUAAUUUUUUCAAUUUCUUUAAUGUUAUUAAUUUGUUUACUUUUUUUUAUUAUAAUUUUUAUUUUUUUUAGGUUAAAAUAUAAUUAUUAAAUUAUUUGACGGUAGAUAGAUUUAUUUUAUUUAAUAUUUAAAAUUAAUUUAAUAAUUUUUAAUUUGAUAUUUAGUAUGUAUUAUAAUUUGUAUUUAUUAUUUAAUUUAUAUAAUGUUAGUUGUUAGAUUAUAAUAGAAUUAUCGUGUUGGUAUUGAGUUCGAGGAUGUUCGACCUUCGACAAUUGAUACGUUUUGGUAUUGAGUCUGAAAGUGUUUGAUCCUCAGCAAUUGAUACGUGCUGGUAUUGAGUCCGAAGGUGUUUCACCCUCGGCAAACAUGAGAUUUCACACUCAUUAGUAAACACCUGAAUGACUAUUAUAGAAUAUAAUGGAUCGAAAUUGGAUUAAUUAUGUUUGCAUAAGCGAUGAGUACAAAAGAGGAGUAGAAGAAGUUAUACAAUUUACACUACAUAACGCGAAUAAUAGUGGUCAUGAUGGAGCAAAGAUUAGGUGUCCGUGCGUUAACUGUUUGAAUGGAAGGAUACUGGAUGUUAAGAAAAUCAGGGAUCACCUUCUAUGUGAUGGGUUUCUUCGAUCUUAUACAACUUGGACAUGGCGUGGUGAAUCAUUAAAUUUACAAUGGAGUCUCUGCAUCGCUUGACAUACUUCCAUAUUCAUGCACUUCUGCAAAAGACUCAGCUCCCACAUCACGAAUCAUGUCCUCCAAUAGAUCAUCAUCUACUUCACCAUGUACUGCAUCAUUCAUGGUGGACCCCACAUAUUCUUCAUAGUUCACAACCUGUUUUACUAGUUAUGUACAACUUACCUCCUGGAUUGUGCAUGAAGCAAAAAUACAUGGUGUUGUCUAUGAUGAUAUCUGAUUCGUAAAAACCAGGAAAUGUUAUAGAUGUUUAUCUAAGUCCCCUAAUUGAAGAUUUACUUUAUGUUAAAUUAUUAUUGAUUAUGCUUUAACUAAUAACUUGCAGGUUUUGCAUGGAGUUUCUAUCAAUGAUGGGAAUGAAGAUGUGUAUGGAUUCUUAGAUCCCUCAUAUACUAAUCCCAUUGGAACAAAGAAAAGUGAAACUCAAUCAUACGCAUCACUAACACCCUGGAAAAAGAGGGAAAACAAAUUUAUUUAUGCUCUUAUAUUAAUGAGUAAGUUUAAUUAUAAGUCAUCAAUUAUUACUAUUUCAUGUUUUAAAUAUUUACUAACUCUUUUCAUGGAUGAUAUAAGGGUCAUUGGCAGUUACUUGUCUUAUUCACGGUUGAUAAAACUGUUGUGUGGUUCUGUUCCCUACACAAGAAGCCAUCCACACAUAUGAAGAAUAUGAUUGAUAAGUAAGUACACCAUAAACUUAACUCCGUAUGUUACUAAUUAAGCAUCUACUAACGCAAUUUUUUGUAUUAAUGAGUUCAUGGCGUGAAUAUAACAUCCUAAAAGGUCAAUCAAAUUCAAAUUUUCAAAAUCUGAAGUGGAUGACACUAAAGGUUUGUAAUUUUUGUCUUUCUCUUUUUAUUGUUUAUCAAUAUUAACUUUUACUUUUUAUUGGAUUAUAGUGUAAUUGACAACCAGGAAGCUAUGAGUGUGGCUAUUGUGUUAUGCAAUGGAUGGUUAACAUUGUAAGACUAGGCCUUAAAAGUGAUUGGGAUCAGGUAACAUAUGAUGGUAAAUUAUUUUUAUAACUAUUUAACAUAUAUGUAUCUUAACACUAAUUUACGUGAACCUUAUUUUGUAAUGCAGUUCUUCACGGAUGAGCAACCAAUGUCUUCAGCCGCCAUAUAGUAUGUGAGACAUUCUUGGUCCACAUAUUUUCUAAAUUUUUAUAACUCUAGGAUAGCUAAUGAAUAGUGUAGGAAUUAGAUAGAUAGAUAUGAAUAUAGGUAAAGAUAUAUUAUUAGUGUUUGUAAUACAUUUUUAUCAAUAUAUAUAAAUUGAAUCUAUGAAUUUAUGUAUUUGUCUGGCUAGAUUAUAAUUGAACAGGUUAAUUUAAAUGAGAAUUAGCAUUAAACAAAAUGUACUAAAAAAAGAACCAUAUACAACGACGAAUAUUUACCAUAGCCGCAUUCUUAUAUGCAGCACAAAGAUUUGUACACCUCCCUUUUAUAAAUCAUUCUAAAGCAUAUAAGAAGGCGACUAUUUACCAUAGCCGUCCUUAUAAACCUGAAUUUAAAAAGAUGACUAGAAAGUCACCGUUUUACAAUGAAAAUAGCCGCCCUCUUUAAACCUUUAUGCAUCAGUGUCUUGUCUUUCUCUUCUUGCAUUUCUUAUUUUCUUUGUUCACCCUCACCAUGUUUAGUGAGGACCCCUCACUGAAUUCGACGAACCCUUACUAUCUUCACACUGGAGAGAAUUCAGGAAUGGUACUGGUCACACUGCAACUUGGUAGCAAUUAUCACCAUUAGAGUCGAGCAAUGAAAAUGGAACUACUCUCAAAGAAAAACUCAAGUUCAUCAUUGGGGAGAUUCCAGAACCCACAUAAGAGUCAACAAUAUGAAGCAUGGGAGCGUUGUAACGUGAUCGUGAUUUUCUUGGAUAACACGAAGCUUGACAUCGCAGAUAACGCAAAUCACAAUUUACAUCGACAACAUAAAAGAUUUAUGGGAAGACUUGUGGGAAAGAUUCUCCAAAAGUAAUCACUUCCGCAUCUCAAAUCUCCUUCAAGAAAUGAAUUUGAUUAACCAAGGAGAAAGAAGCAUCUUAGACUAUUAUAAUGAUUCCAAGAUUUUGAGGGAGGAGCUGCAUUCUCUCGGACCUAUAGCCGUUUGUGUUUGUAGCGUGAAAUGCGAAUGCAAAUUAUCCAAAAUCAUUAUUGAGUACACAUAAUCAAAAAGAGUAAUGUAAACCUAUAAUAAUGUGAAAACCCAGAUUCUUCUUAUGGAGCCUUUGCAUGAUAUAAACAAAGUCUUCUCUCUCUCACUUUACAACAAGAAAGUCAAGAAAGGCACUUCAAUGAGACAAAAACCAUGGAGUCAAAGAUCUUGAUAAACAACACAAGUCAAUCCAACCAAAACACAACUCAAUUCCACCAAAUGCACUACAACAAAAAUGUUGAUGGAUGGAAAGGAACUGGAAGAGGCAGAGGAAAGAAUUUUGGGAAGCAAUGCUCAUAUUGCAACAAGAUGAAUCAUACUGCAGAUAAAUGCUACUCCAAACAUGGACAUCCUCCCUAGAUAAAGCAGAGAAUUAGCCAUGAUGUAAAUGUUGUUGAAAGCUUAGAAGAUUAGAUCAAUGAAAGGAGUUCACCUCAAAAUACGUCCUUAAAUGAUUAUGCUUUAUCUACUGAACAAUUGCAAAAAAUAGUUGAUAUCCUUCAAAUGAAUAAUGACAAAGGAAAAACGAAUAAUGAUAUGACGGAUCAACCACAUGAGAAAGGUAAAACUCAUAAAAAAUCUUGGAUUCUUGAUACCGGGACAACUAAUCAUGUUGCUCGUUAUAUUUUCCUUUUUCUAAGUCAUUAUGAAAUAAAACCUAUGAGGGUGAGGCUUCCAAAUAAUGCUUAAAUCAUUGUUAGACAUUGAUAAAUGCCAUAACUUAGUAAGAUUUAUGCAAAAAAAGCUAUCACUUAUGGAUUUAAUUGUUAAUAAAGUUAUAAUUCGACCUUAAUUUGAGAAAUUUGAAUCUAAUAACAUAUUUUUGAUUAUGAUAUGAAUAAGAACUAUUUAUUCUCAAUUUUGUGCUAAUUUCAGGAAUCUAAGAGAAGAUGAAGACAAAGGGCUAGAGUAAGAAUAGAAAAGUUAGAGAUGAGGAGAAAAGACAAAGCUGAGCACCCAAGACUCGCUUAGACUUGCCCAACGAGAUCACUGCAAAGGAAAACUUGCCCUCUGGACCAAACUCGCCCAAGCGAGAUCACUCUAGAAGCAAACUUGCUCUUUGGACUCAACUCGAACAGAACUCAAUCAGACUCACCCAAGCAAGAACGCUAUAGAGGCAAACUUGCUCUUUGGGCCAAACUCGCCAAAGACUCGCCCUGACUCACCCAAUACUCACCCAGGACUCGCUUAGGCUCGCUUGAGCGAGUUUGUUCUAGUGAAGUUGGUUUUUAUUUUCUCUAAACUCGCUUGAGCAAGUAAUAUUUUGCUUGAGCGAUAUGUCACUUAACCUACACCCAAUUAGGUUAAAUAAGGGUGUGAGGCAGAGGAAAAGGGAUACCAGGAUGAAAAUCAGAGAUAGAAAACCCUAAAGGAGGUAGUCGUCAAUGAUAAAUGCUCUGGAUCUUCUUUUCUUACUUUCAAUGCUUGUAAUGGCCACCAUGAGAGGCUAGUUCUUCCCUUUGGGUUUGAGAGUAAUCUGUUCAAACUCUGAUAUAUUGAGGUGAUAUUUAUUUUAAUAUUUCUUUCUUGAUUGAUAUUGGUAUUAUCAUUUUAUUCUCAAACCUUGAAUUUUUAUUCAUGAUUAUGAUUCUUGGAUUUGACUGUAAAGUACUUCUGAGGAUCUGACCUAAAUGAUAAUGCUUGGCAUAUUUGAAUGCUAGCAAUAUAUUUGAAAUGUUAAUUUCUCUAUAACAUCUGCUUUUAAUGAUAAGAAUGUUUUUCUAAAUAUGUGAGGAAUCAAUAUUUAGGAGACAAUCUUAAUAAUUUUAUAUGCGAGGAAUCGAUAUAAAUGACUUUAUAUGUGCACCAAUGUCAAUUACGUUAGAAUAUUGUAUGCUUUUGUUCAUCCAAAAUACAAAAGAGUGAGAAAGAUUAACCCCGUUUCCAGUUUUCUCAAUUGAAUUAUUUUAAUCAUUUACGAUGUUUUAAGUUAAUUUCUCACGUAACUUUAUAAUGCAAAUGACUUUUCAAUCAAACUUUUGCACAUCUUUUAAUAUUUAGUGAAUAUUGUACAUUGAGAUUUUAAAAGAAUUGUUCCUUGUGGAUUCGAUAUCUGUCCUUAGGAACAAUUUAUUUCUUUUGACUAAGUCACCAGACAUGCAGAGACUGUGAUCUUAACUUAAAGAUUAAUCAUACAUAGAGUUUUGUACAUUCCUAAGUUUUCUUUAAAUAUUCUAUCAGUCCAAAAACUUACCACUUCACUAAACUAUAAUUUUUGUUUCUCAUGAUGAUGAGUGUCAGAUUCAAGAAGCACUUACAUCUAAGACGAUUGGACAAGCUAAGCUUCUUGUAGAACUCUACAAUCUCAACUUCUCAACAGAAAGAAGUGCAAUUCUCUUCACUCAAACAAAAGACUAUUUUCAAUGCGACAAAAGCCUUGAUGUAUGGCAUUGUAGGCUAUGGCAUCCUUCGAGUAAGGUGUUAGAAUGCAUGAAUAAAACUUAUCCCAAUAUACAUUUUGAUAAACAUUUGUGCUCCUUGUCAUUUUUCUAAAGAACAUAGAUUACCGUUUCUUAUAUGCAAAAGCACUUCUGAUAACCCUUUUGAUCUUGAGCAUAUUGAUAUUUGGGAACCCUUUGGUGUUCCAUCUAUACAUGGGCAUAUAUACUUUCUUACUGUUGUUGAUGAUCAUACUAGAUUCACUUGGAUAUAUCUGAUGAGAAGUAAAAAUGAAACCAAAAAUCUUUUAUGUAGUUUUGUUGUUUUAGUUAAAAAUAUCAAAGCAUAAGAAAUGAUAACAAACAAGAGUUUUAUUGGAAAGACUUAUAUGAAAAAUAUGAAAUUAUUCACCAAACAACAUGCUUUGAAAUACCUCAACAAAACUUUGUGGUUGAACAAAAACAUCAACACAUCUUGAAUGUGACUAGAUGUCUCAUGUUUAAAUCCAAACACUCUCAAGUUUCCUUGUAAUAUGUUGUGGUGAUUUUUUCUAUUUCAUUAACAAAAUUCCUUCACUGGUCAUUUUGAAUAAAAGCCCGUAUGAAAAAAAUUAUUCCACUGUGCCUAACCUUUAUAAUCUCAUAAUUUUUGGAUGUUUGUGUUUUGCUUCUACUUUAGAAAUGGAAGGAACAAACUUGAUCCUAGAGCCAAAAAGUGCAUAUUUAUGGGAUUCAAGGCAGGGUGAAAAGGAUACACUGUCAUUGACACACAAACCAGAGAAAUUUGUAUCUUCAGAAAUGUUCUUUUCUAUGAGCGAACCUUCUACCAAGAGAGUAACAAGAACGAGCAUAUAUGAAGUCAGUUAUGAUCAAGACUUCCUUGAAUGCAUAUAUGAAGUUCCACAAAACAGAUAGGACUAAUUCCAAUGAAGAAGAAACUGAAGAAUCAAGUGAAACUGGAAAUCCUAGAAGAUCUAUAAGAUCACGCAAAGCUCCUGCAUACCUUGAAAGUCAACUUCUUUGUCUUUACAAACUGAACCACACACUUAUGAGGAUGCAAUUCAAUAUAAUGAAUAUAGAGUAGCCAUAGACAAUGAGAUCAAAGCCCUUGAACAAGACUUGGAAUUUAGUUGAUCUUCCAACAGACAAAACACCCAUUAGUGCAAGUGUGUAUACAAAAUCAAGAGAAGAGCAGAUGGCAACAUCGAGAAAUACAAAGCAUGCCAGUGGCAAAAUGUUACAUACAACGGGAAGGCAUUGAUUCUACUAAUACCUACUCGCCCGUGGCAAAGUCAACUACGAUUCGCAUGAUCCUUGUUGUUGUCGUUAUCAAAGACUGGUAUCUAGAACAACUUGACAUAGACAAUGCUUUCCUACAUGGAGCCUCUCUGAAGAAGUUUAUAUGGAGGUUUUCCCUAGAGUCAUCAAUGAAAAACCAAGCCAGUCGACAGUGGUAUGAGAAGCUUACUUCAUAUAUUUUGACUAUAGGUUUUAUCCAAUCAUUAGUUGAUAGUUCUUUGUUUAUUAAGAAAACUAAAAAUUCUUUUGUUGCCUUGUUAUUAUACGUGGACGUGGAUGAUAUAAUUUUAGUUAAGGAUAAUAUAUAUGAAAUAAUAUCUGUCAAUAAAUCCCUGAAUUCUGUCCUCAAAAUCAAGGACCUCAGAAAGCUAAAAUAAUUCCUCGAUCUAGAGAUUGCUCGAACAAAGAAAGGGAUUCACAUCUUCCAAAAGAAGUAUGCUCUCGAAACUCUUGAAGAUACAGGAAUGCUGGGUGCUAAGCUUGCGUCUAAUCCCAUGCAGAAAAAAGCUGAGAACAUGUUCGAUCAAGAAGCUGAUGUGCAUGAUCCUUCAAGUUUUAGAAGAGUUACUGGGCGGCUUUUAUAUCUGGUAAACACUAGAUGUGAUGUAUGUUUUGCAGUGCAAUUCGUCAAUCAAUUCAUACAAAGGAAAACCAUCCAUCAUCAUCAUCAUCAUGUUGUUCAACGUAUAUUACAGUACAUAAAAGUUGCACCUGCACAAGGUUUGUCUUACUCUAGAAUAAAAAGCCUGUAGUGAUUCUGACUGGCGUCUUGUUCUAUAACACGACACUCCACAACUGGAUUUUGCAUCUUUCUGGAAGAAUCAUUGGUUUCAUGGAAAAGUAAAAAACAAAGUACAGUCUCAAGGUCAUCCUCAAAAGUUAAAUAUCGUGCCUUAGCCUCUACAUCUUGUGAACUACAAUGGUUAACUUUCUUGUUAAAAGAUCUCCACACCAUCAUCCCCAACAUAACAUGUCUCUAUUGUGACUCACAAUCUGCUAGACAUAUUGCUCUUAAUAAUAACUUUUAUGAACGGUCCAAACAUAUUGACAACUGUCAUGUCGUUCGAGACUCAAAACAAAAUCUUUUUUACCUUUUCUCUAUUUGCUCUUUAGAACAACCAGCUGAUGUUCUAAACCGCUUGAUCGAGAAGUUUUACAGAAAUUCAUCACCUAGCUUGGAGUACUCUGUAUUCACACUCCACCUUGAUAGGAGGGUUUUACAGUUUAUUAAUUAUAUACUUAGUUCUAUAGAAUAUUAUCUGAAACCUAAUUAUAUCUGAAACCCAUUUUCUUUUUUCUUCUUUUUAUGGCUCUAUGUAAGCAUGUAAGACCAACACAUGUUGUGCAUAUGAAAGUUGAAUCAUAGAGAAGUUUUUUCAUUCUGGGUGUGUUUUCUUCUUCCUCUGUUUUCUCUAUUAUUUUCAAGCAAUUUCAAAUCAAAAUAUUUCUUCUUUUGUAAUUUAGAGGCUCAAUGGUUAUUCUUUUUUUUUUAAUUUGAAAAUAAUUUAAGCUGCAUAUUAAGUAGUUUAAUCAUUAUUAAAUAAGAAGUGUGGGUCUUACAUAUUAUAAAAGACAUAUAAGAGUAGUGUGCAAGGCAAAGGUGGUUAGCACUAAGGAUCAUCAUCAUCAUCUCUCAGUGUUUUCUGCAUUAUUGCUUUCUCUUCUAACCGUUGACCUCAACUCCUUUGAUGGCAUCCGCGUCUUCUUCUUCUUCUUCGUUUUUCUCAAAAUCCAGAAAUCGAGAGGAAGUGUUCAUCCAAUUUUUUGGAGAAGACAUCCGUAAGAAUUUCAUUUCUCAUCUCAGUUCUGCCCUUUUACAGGCUGGAGUAAAACCUUCCUUCCUUGCCGAGGGAAUGAUGCCGAGAAUACUUUUGUCAUCAAUUGAAAGCUUUCAGAUUGGAAUAGUUGUUUUCGCCAAAGCAUACAGUGAAUCUUCUCGGUGUGUUCAAGAGCUUGUGAAAAUCGUUGAAUGUCACGAGACUCACGGCCUAAUGGUUAUGCCCGUGUUUUAUGAAAUUGACCCAUCCGAUGUAAGACAUCAGAAGCCUUAUAUUCCAAAAACGGCAAUUACACAAAACAAUUUUUCAGGAAAACACCAGACCAUUUGGCCCCUGAGGUGGAGACGUGCACUCACCAAAGCUGCAAAUUUGCCUACUUGGUGGGAUGGCAGCAAACACAGGUAAACCAAUCCAUACUUUGGAAACUUUUUCUUAAAACAUUUUAAGCAUAGAAAAUAAAAAAAAAUUUCUACACAAUUAUUUUUAAUAAAUACAUAAAAAAUUAUCUGAACAAAUUUUCUAUACUAUUUGGCGCUCAUUUAUUUGACAUUUGUGUCUUUUGUAUUUAUUGAACGGGAAGGAAUGAUGCUGAACUAGUAGAGGAAAUUGUUAAGUUUGUUCUCGCUAAACUUGUGCACCUUGAACACCCCUUGUCUAUAACUAAAUUUCCUGUUGGAUUAGAACCCCAUGUGGAAAAAGUGAUGGGAUUGUUUGAAAAUCAACCCACCAAAGUUUGUAUUAUAGGGAUAUCAGGAAUGGGAGGAUCGGGUAAAACUACCGUAGCCAAAGCCAUCUACAAUCAAAUUCCUCAUACAUUUGGUGAUAAAAGUUUCAUUCAAGAUAUUAGACAAGUUUGUGAAACAGAUGGCAUAGGCCUUGUUCAUUUACAAGAACAACUUCUAUCAGAUGUCCUAAAAGCAAAUGUGAAGAUAGAGAGUGGUAGGAUGGGAAAAACUAUGAUCGAGAACAGACUUUCUGAAAAAAAGUUAUUCAUUGUGCUUGACGAUGUGAAUGAGAUAGACCAAUCGAAACACCUAUGUGGAAAUGGUAAAUGGUUUGGUCAAGGAAGUAUAAUAAUCAUUACAACUAGAGAUUUAGACCUGCUUUGUCAACUUAAUGUUGAUUAUGUUUAUGAGAUGGAUAAAAUGGACCAAACUGACUCCCUUGAACUUUUUAGUUGGCAUGCUUUUAGAGAAGCAAAACCAAGGGAAGACUUCAAUGAACUUGCAAGAGAUGCAGUUGCUUAUUGUGGUGGACUACCACUAGCUCUUGAAGUCCUUGGUUCUUAUUUAUGUAAAAGGUCAGAGAAUGAAUGGAGAAGUGUAUUGUCGAAACUAAAAGUAAUUCCCAAUACUCAAGUUCAGAACAAACUAAGAAUAAGCUUUGACGGUUUACGCGAUGACAUGGAAAAGGAUAUAUUUCUAGAUGUAUGUUGUUUCUUUAUUGGUAAGGAGAGAGGCUAUGUCACAGAGAUACUAAAUGGGUGUGGACUACAUGCUGAUAUUGGAAUAACAAUUCUCAUAGAGCGUGGUCUUAUAAAAAUUGAAAAGAACAAUAAACUUGGAAUGCAUCAUUUGCUCCGGGAUAUGGGACGAGAGAUUGUGCGCCAAAGUUCAACAAUGCAACCUGGGAAGCGCAGUCGAUUGUGGCUUUCCAAGGAUGUAAUUGAUGUAUUGACAAAGAAUACUGUAAGUACAUUCUUCAUAUAACAUUUUGAAACUUCAAACUGUUUUCCUUUAUGUUUCCUUUUCUAGUGAGCUAACAAUAGUGAUUUCCUAAUUUGUUUAUUUUCUCUUAUCAUUACAGGGGACAGAAGCUAUUGAGGGAUUGUCUCUGAACUGUCGGUCAACGAGCAAAGAUUUCUUCGAAGCUUAUGCUUUUGACAAAAUGAAGAGGUUGAGAUUCUUGCAACUUGAUCAUGUACAACUCACUGGAGAUUAUGGAUAUCUUUCUAAGCAACUGAGAUGGAUCUAUUGGCAAGGAUUUCCAUUAAAGUACAUACCUAACAACUUCUAUUUGGAAGGUGCAAUUGUGAUGGAUUUCCAACACAGUAAUCUUAGACUAUUGUGGGAAGAACCCAAGGUAUAUAUUAAAUCCAAUUUUCUUUUCAGACUCGUAGGGUAAUUAAAAUUUUAAGAAUUGCCUCUUAUCACGGUUUCCUUUAUUUUGUAAAAAUACUAUAUUUUUUUGUAGGUUUUGCCGUUGCUAAAAAUCCUCAAUCUUAGUCAUUCCAAGAACUUGAUAGAAACCCCUGACUUUUCAAAAUUACCAAGUCUUGAAAAGCUCAUUCUCAAGCAUUGUCCAAGUUUGCGCAAGGUACACCAAUCCAUUGGAGAUCUCCACAAUCUUCUACUUAUAAAUCUGAAAGGUUGUACAAACCUAAGCAAUCUCCCAAGUGAGACAUAUAAGUUGAAAUCUUUGAAAACUCUCAUCCUAUCAGGUUGUCUGAAGAUUGACAUCUUUAAAGAAGAUAUAUUGCUCAUGGAAUCCCUGACAACUCUAAUUUCUGAAAAUAUUGCUGUGAAACAAGUUCCCAUUUCAGUAGUAAGCUCAAAAAGCAUUGGAUAUAUACUUCUAGACGGAAAUAAAGGAUUGUCACUUACUGUUUUUCGUUCUAUCAUUUGGUCUUGGAUGUCACAUACUAUUAAUCCCCUGUCUCGUAUUCGUCCGUUUCGUGGCAUUUCAUCAUCUCUAGUUUCCAUGAAUAUCAAGAAUAAUGAUUUGGGGGAUCUAGCACCAAUCCUAAGCAGCAUUUUAAAUCUGCGUAACGUUUUGGUGCAAUGUGUCACGGAGAAUGAAACAGCGACACAAGUAAUAACAAUUUUGGAGGAAGUUCGUGGUGUAAGUUUGAGUACAUUAAAAAUAAGACCAUCUACACCAGAAAUUUCAAAGCAUCCCUUAAGACCAUAUUGGAUUGAACUUGGAAGUUAUCAAGAAGAAGUCUUCAAUACUCUCCGCAAGAGCAUAUUUGAGGUUCCUUCUCUUUUUCUCAUUAUCUACUUACUUUUAUUAUUCAUUUUAGCUGUUAAUUUUAAGACCAUGAAACAUUCCCGUAAAAAUAAUUCAAAGUAACUUCAAUCCUAACAUUCCUUUAGCACCUUCCCCUUCUAUAACCACCUGGCUUUAUUUAAAAAAUACCUUUUUCUAAUACUCAACAAGGCGAGUGACGAUGCUAAGCACUAGGAAGUUGAUUUCCAUUUUGGGCUUGCAUUGCUUGCUUCAUACUGGUCAUAUUCUCAUAGAUCAUAAAAAAUUAUUUAUGCGUUGAAAGCACAUUAUUAUACACAACAAAACUAUUAAAGCAAAUUUGUCUAGAUAUGUUGGAAAUUUUAUAUCAAAUAGAGGUAUGACCAAAUUAUGGUAUAUAAGUAAAUUCAAAACUUCUAUUACAAGUUGUUAUUAUAAAAUUGAGUUAAGCCUGUUGGGCCCAUAGGACCAUCUGCUAUUAUAUUUAGUGUCAUGUUUGAAAUAUGCAGUCAGUGAGUUUGUUGGAAAUUUCAUAUUAGUGAGAGAUAUGAUUAAAUUGUAAUAUAUAAGUAGAUAGAAGUUUUUCUAAGAUUGAAUUGGGUCUGAAUCCACCUUUUAAGAGAAAUAAUUACGGGAACUAUGUUCUAAUUUAUUCAAUAUGUAGUUAUUCUCUUAAAUUGUUUGUUUUGUACUUUGAAAUGAUAAAAUGAUUGAAGAUGUCCAUAUGAACAGAACCAAUACAAAAUGACUAAGCUAUUUUUCUCAUUCUACAGGGAUUGGAAACCAGUGAGUCUUGUGAUGUUUUUCUCCCCAGUGACAAUUAUCCUUAUUGGUUGGCUUAUAUGUCUGAGGAAGACUCAGUCUUUUUCACUGUGCCUGAAAAUUUUAACAUUGAUGGAAUGAUUUUGUGUGUUGUGUAUUUAUCAACCCUUGAAAACACAACAACUGAAUGUCUUAUUAGUGUCUUAAUGGUUAAUUACACAAAGUGCACAAUCCAGUUACUCAAGGGAGACCCGACAAUUUCCUUUAAUGAUGUAGAUUGGCAGGGCUUGAUAUCACAUUUGGUAUGUGGAGACAAGGUGGGGAUUUUUGUUAUUUUUGCAGAUGGAUUUGUAGUCGAGAAGACAGCUGUCUAUCUAAUGUGUGAUGGAUCAAUUGACAAGGAAUGAUACGAAGGUAAAAACGAAUAAUGAUCUGGAAAAAGUAAGAGUGGGAGGUCCCGUCGGACAAAUAGACGACAAAUAAUUAGUUAGAGGUGGGGAACCGAUGCCCUAGAGAUCCAUAUGUGGGACUACGUAGGAGUGAAAGGUAAAGAAAAUGAGAUCUUACAGAGUAUUGGCCAAAUUAAGAUAUAAUUGAGGAGAGUGAAGGCUUCUGGUCAAGAUUGUACUCAUCCUCUCUUAUUGGCAGUUUCAUCCUUUUCCUUAACAUAUUCUGUUUCUUUAUACUCAAUAUGGUCAUUUAAGAAUAUAACUUCCUUUCUUAUUGUAUGAAAUCCACUUUUAUUUAUAACAAAGUACAAAUAGUUUAUUUUCAUGGGUGAGAACAGCUAGCAUCUGGGCUCGCCAGAUAGCAAAGCUGAUUUUACCAUCAAAUUUCUCAAUAUCCAAUUUUGACAUUAUUGAACAACAGAUCCUGGUUGAAUUAUCGAAAAGCUCUGAUGCCAAUUUGUAGGGAUAUUGUGUGCGGAAGCGUAAUUAUUUAGAAAUAGAAGUUUUCAGCCAAGUUGUUGUUCCUGUAGGGAUAUUGUGUGCGGAAGCGUGGAAAACCCCGUUAAAUAGAGGUAAAGAACCACCGGCGAGAGAGCCAAAACUUCCACUAUAAUGGUACUGGGAGUACAAUAAAUUCCUCUCAGGCUAAUAGAUAAAUAGCCCCAAAACAAAUUCUCUCUAUAUGGGUUAAACACUUACAUCCAAAAGCAGAAAUAGAGAGUAUGGAAAAGAGAGAGGAAGCAAGUGUGCGUAUGUUGUGUCUUACAUAUAUAUAGUGGUUCUAGGAGACAACAAUAAUAAAUACAAUUAAUGGUAAUUAACCUCCCAUUGAUUGCAAUUGAUUGCGGUAAUUAACCUCUCAUUGAUUGCAAUUGAUUGUAGCAAUUAACCUCCCUCCCUUUAAUAACAAUUAAUUGUCAACGGUAAGUCAUAACCCACAAAUCUCCACCUUGACUUGCCUUUGACUGGAACACUCUCUCGCCAUGAAGCCUUGAUUAAGUAUGGAUAAUCAGUAGUAAGCUCAAAAAGCAUUGGAUAUAUACAUCUACACGGAAAUAAAGGAUUAUCAUUUGCUGUUUUACGUUCUAUCAUUUCGUCUUGGAUGUCACAUACUGUUGAUCCCCUGUCUCGUAUUCGUCCGUUUCGUGGCAUUUCAUCAUCUGAAGUUUUCAUGAAUAUCAAGAAUAAUAAUUUGGGUGAUCUAGCACCAAUCGUUAGCAGCAUUUUAAAUCUGCGUAAUGUUUCGGUGCAAUGUGUCACGGAGUGUCAAACAUCGGAACAAUUAAGAACAAUUUUGGAGGAAGUUCGUGUUGUAAGUUUGACUACAUUGAAAAUAAGACCAUCUACACCAGAAAUUUCAAAGCAUCCCUCAAGACCAUAUUGGAUUGGACUUGGAAGUUAUCAAGAAGAAGUCUUCGAUACUCUCCGCAAGAGCACAUUUGAGGUUCCUUCUCUUUUUCUCUUUGUCUACUUACUUUUACUGUUCAUUUUAGCUGUUAAUUUUAAGACCAUGAAACAUUCCCGUAAAAAAAAUUCAAAGUAACUUCAAUCCUAACAUUCUUUUAGCACCUUCCCCUUCUAUAACCACCUUGCUUUAUUUAAAAAAUACCUUUUUCUAAUUCUCAACAAGCCGAGUGAUGAUGCUAAGCACUAGGAAGUUGAUUUCCAUUUUGGGCUUGCAAUGCUUGCUUCAUACUGGUUACAUUCUCAAAGAUCAUAAAUAAUUAUUUAUGUGUUGAAAGAUCUGUAUGUAAACAUAAUGGGCUGAUUUAUACACAACAAAACUAUUAAACCAAAUUUAUCGUUGAAAAUCUUAUAUAAAAUAGAGGUAUGACAAAAUUAUAGUAUAUAAGUAAAUUCAAAACUUAUAUUACAAGUUGAUAUUAUAAGAUUGAGUUAAGUCUGCUGGACUUGCUAUCAUAUAAUUAUCGAAUCAUCUAUAAAUAUUCAGCUUUAUACUUGAGAUAAGUGGUCAUCGAUGUAAAUGAGUGUGUUGGAAAUCUCAUAUUGAUUAGAAAUAUGAUUAAAUUGUAAUAUAUAAGUAGAUAUAAGUUUGAAUUGAGUUCCUUCUAAGAGAACUAAUUACGGGAGCUAUGUUCUAAUUUAUUCAAGUUAUUUUCUUAAAUUGUUUGUUUGUACUUUGAAAUGAUAAAAUGAUUGAAGAAGUCCAUAUGAACAGAACCAAUACAAAAUGACUAAGCUAUUUUUCUCCUGCUACAGGGAUUGGAAACCAGCGAGUCUUGUGAUGUUUUUCUCCCUAGUGACAACUAUCCUUAUUGGUCGGCUUAUAUGGCUGAGGGAGACUCAGUCUGUUUCACUGUGCCUGAAAAUUUUAACUUUGAGGGAAUGAUUUUGUGUGCUAUGUAUUUAUCAACCCUUGAAAAGACAACAACUGAAUGUCUUACUAGUGUCUUAAUGGUUAAUUACACAAAGUGCACAAUCCAGUUAUUCAGAGGAGACACAAUAAUUUCCUUUAAUGAUGUAGAUUGGCAGGGCUUGAUAUCACAUUUGGUAUGUGGAGACAAGGUGGGGAUUUUUGUUAUUUUUGCUGAUGGAUUUGUAGUCCAGAAGACAGCUGUCUAUCUAAUGCGUGAUAGAUCAAUUGACAAGGAAAUGGAAAUGGGUGUAACGAGUCUCAAUCAUAUAUUGGAACGACUGAAUUAUUGACAACCCUAUUUAUUUUAAUAUUUUUUUAUAUCAUUUUAUUAUAAUUUUAUUUUUUAUUAUAUAUAUUUAUAUUUAAAUUAAUUACAUUAAAAAUUAUAAUUGUAAUUUUUAAACCUGUCAAAAUAUCAUUUUUAAAACGAAUAAUGAUCUGAAAAAAGUAAAAGUGGGAGGUCACGUCGGACAAAUAGAUGACAAAGAUUUAAGUGACGUGUACUUAGUGUACUCAUCUUAAAUUAAUGUAAUGGUGUUAAGUGACGUGUACUUAGUGUACUCAUCUUAAAUUAAUGUAAUGGUGUUAAGUGACGUGUACUAUUUUAAAUUUAAAUUAAUGUAAUGGUGUUAAAUGAUAUUAACUCAUUUUAUAUAGAAUUUGAAAAUUGAUAACUUUAAAAAUUGUACGAUUACAUUAAAAAAAUUAUAAAUAUUAAGAUAACAAAUUAUAUUUAAAAAAAAUUAAUCUCAUUGUUAAAAAUUCCAUAAUAUUUCCAUUAACAUUAAUGGAUAAAUAUGUAUGGGACACAUCUCGUCAUCCUUUUACAAAUAUUUUUGUGGAUAUUUGUAAAAUUUAUUUAUUCUUUAUCAUAUAUCAUUUUUAGAGAGUAGUGAGGAGACUUUAAUAUUUUAAAGUAGUAAGGAGAGUUCAAUCUAAUUUCAUAUUUGAUGUAAAAAAAAUUAUAAUUUAUCAUGUAUUAAUCUAAUCCAAUAAAGUGAAAGUUAUAUUAAUGAUUGAAUUUAUAUGACGAAAUUUAUUUUAGGAUUAACAAAGUAUGAACUUCACAAAACUUUGGUAUAUUUUAAAAUUGAGUUUGUAUUAAUUUUUUUAUCUAUUAAGUACUUGAAAUUUUAUAUUUUUCAUCUUGAAUUUAUGUUUUUUAAUUUUUUUUAUUAAUUAGAUGACUUAAUUAUUAUAUCUCCGACAUGAUUGCUAUCUUAUCCCAUCAUUUUGCUUUUUAUGAGUUAAGAAAUCUGAGAUUUUGUGAUUAAUAUAAAAUGAUAUUGAUUUAACGUAGAACACCAAGUAAUUUUUAUGUUUUAUUUUAUGAAAAACAUUUUAGAUAACGAAUGGUGACACUGAUUAUUACAGUACUGAUGAUAUGAAAAUCAUAGAGAAGUUUGACUACUUCAUUCGUCUUAUAUUAAACAUAAAAGUUCACAUUUUUAACAUUAUACUAAUCAAGAUGAAAGACAAAAUAAUAAUCAUAUCCUUUAAUUAAUGAAAAAAAUUAAAUAAUAGAAACUUAAUGAAAAAAUAUAAAAAUCAUCCGGACUUAAUAGACAAAAUUGUUUUGUAAAAAUCUUGAGAAGUUAAUAACAACUUUUUGUAGGAACUCAGUUAAAAUACUCAAAUUUAUGAGAAAUUUGAAAUUUAAUUAAAAAUUUAUGAGAAAUUUGAAAUUUAAUUAAAAAUUUAUUUUAAAGUUAUUUAUUUAAAUAUUUAAUUAAAAAUUAACAAUUUAAGUAUUUUUUUUCCAUGGCAAAGGAUGUAAGUAUUUAUUGAAAUAUAUAUUAAGACACUAGUUGAGCUGGAAGAGGGAGUCAUCUUGUUUUCCAGUUCAUUAAACUUUAAAUAUUUUAGUAAGCCUCAAAACUAAUUUUAUUUAAGUGAAUUAUUAACCAUAAGGUUUUAAAAUUAUAAUAAUUCUUCGUUUCACUUUGGAAAAAAUGUAUUUAAAAAUUUCAAAAUAAUUUAAGUUUUCCUAAAUCAAAAAGUUGGGUAAAAAUUAUGUAAGGGUAAGGGUGGUAGAACUAUCAUUUCUCUCUGUAUUCUGAAUUAUUGCUUUCUCUCCAAAGCGUUGACCCUAAUUUCAUUGAUGGAAACGGAAUCGUCUUCGCCAUCAUCCAAAUCCGAAUGGAAAUACGACGUGUUCAUCAAUUUCAGGGGAGUAGACACCCGCCGGAAGUUCGUUUCUCAUCUCCAUUCUGCUCUCUCAAAAGCUGGAGUCAAAACGUUCCUUGACGAGGAGAAUCUGCUGAAGGGAAUGGAGCAGCAAGAACUAUUGCGAGCAAUACAAGUGUCUCAGAUAGCAAUAGUUGUUUUCUCCAAAAGAUACGCUGAAUCUAGUUGGUGUCUUGAUGAGCUUGAAAAAAUCUUUGAAUGUCGCCAAACUUGUUGCCAAAAAGUUUUACCUGUAUUUUACUAUGUUCAACCAUCCGAGGUACGAGAGCAGACGGGUGAUUUUGGAGAUGUGUUGAGAGCAGCUGCAGAAAAUAGGUAUGAAGAUACGUUGUUGAGGUGGAGCCUUACACUCACCAAAGCUGCAAAUUUGGCGGGGUGGGAUGUCAGGAAAAGCAGGUAAAUCAACCAUUUAGAAUUUAUAUGGAGAAAACUUCCUAACAAUUAUUUUAAUUUUAAAAAUAAACUAAAUUUAAUUUAUAAUAAGUUAAAAAUCAGAUUUAAUAAAAAGUAAUUUCAAUUAAUUAGUUUAAGGUUUAAUUAAAGGUGUAGAUCUGCUAUUUCUGGCUUGAUCUAAUUUGAAGAUUUUUUCCCCAAAUAUGAGUCUUGACCUAGUUUCUGGUACUAGUUUGAAUUCUUUUAAUAAUACUUCGUUUAUGUGAUGAGAUGAUAGUUGAAAUUUAGGAUGCAGUCUAACUCAGAUGUUAGUUUUCUAUAUCUAAUUAAAACCUUUCAUUAAAAAAAUUAAGGCUUAAUUUAUAUACACAGCAAGCUACUUUUAUUUUUUUAUAAUUUUCUUAAUGAAACAUAUAUUUGAACUUCUUAUGAUUUAAUUUGGUAAUAAGUGGCAUUCUGUUUUAUCUCAAAUUAUUAUUGCACUUGAAGGUCUGAAGCUGAGCUAGUGGGUGACAUUGUUAAAGACGUUAUUAACAAACUUGAUUACAAUGUCUUGUCUAUCACGGAAUAUCCUGUUGGAUUAGAUCAUCGAGUGCAAGAAGUGAUUAGAUUUAUUGAAAGAACCAAAAAUUCUUGUAGGAUAGGGAUAUGGGGAAUGGGAGGAUCUGGUAAAACUACCAUUGCUAAAGCCAUCUACAAUAAACUUCAUCGUUUAUUCGACAAUAAAAGUUGCAUUGAAGAUAUUAGAGAAGUUUGUCAAACAGAGAGAAGAGGGCUCGUUCGUUUGCAGGAAAAACUUCUUUCAGAUGUCCUGAAAGCAAAGGUGGAGAUUCAAAGCGUUGGAAUCGGACAAAGUAUGAUUGACAACCGAUUUAUUGGAAAAAGGGCGCUUAUUGUUCUUGAUGAUGUGAAUGAGUUUGACCAACUAGAAGCUCUAUGUGGAAAUACUCAGUGGAUUGGUGAAGCAAGUGUAAUAAUCAUUACAACUAGCGAUCUGCAUCUGCUGAAGAGAUUUGAAGUUGAUUAUGUUUAUGAAAUGAAGGAAAUGGAAGCAAAUGAGUCACUUGAGCUUUUUAGUUGGCAUGCUUUCAGAGAAGCAAAACCAAGAGAAGAUUUCAAUGAACUUGCAAAAAAAGCAGUUGAUUAUUGUGGAGGACUACCACUAGCUCUUGAAGUCCUUGGUUCUUAUUUGAGAAAGAGGACAGUGACUGAGUGGAGAAGUGUGUUGUCAAAGCUAAAAAUAAGUCUCAAUGCCCAAGUCCAAGCGAAACUAAGAAUAAGCUUUGAGAAUUUAUUGGAUCAAAUGGAAAAGGAUAUAUUUCUUGAUGUGUGUUGUGUCUUUAUAGGUAAGGACAGAGGCUGUGUGACCGAGGUACUAAACGGCUGUGGACUAUAUGCUGAUAUUGGAAUAACAGUCCUCUUAGAGCGUAGCCUCAUAAAAGUCGAAAAGAACAACAAACUCAUAAUGCAUCCUUUGUUACGAGACAUGGGAAGAGAGAUUAUUCGUGAAGGUUCAAGAAAAGAACCUGGGAAGUGCAGUAGAUUGUGGUUUCAAGAGGAUGUACGUGAUGUAUUGACAAAUAGUACUGUAAGUACAUUAUUUACAUACAUUUUUAAACUUGAAAGAGUUUGCCUAAACAUGUGAGCUAACAAUAGUGUUUUCUCAAUUAUUCUCUGGUUUUUUCAUCGCAGGGGACAGAUGCUGUUGAGGGAUUGGCUCUGAAAUUGAAUUUAACCAACAGAGAAUGCUUUAAAGCAGAUACUUUUGAGGAAAUGAGGAGUUUGAGACUGUUGCAACUUCAUCAUGUAGAACUCACGGGAGAUUAUGGCUAUCUUUCUAAGCAAUUGAGAUGGAUCUAUUGGCAAGGGUUUCCUUCAACAUACAUACCUAACAACUUCUAUCUGGGAGAUGCAAUUGCAAUUAAUUUGAAACACAGUAAUCUUAGACAAGUAUGGAAAGAACCCAAGGUAUGUAGUACAUGCAAUUUUCUCUUAAACUAAGGUUAAUUAAAAUUGUAACUGUUGUCACUUAAAAUUAUUUCCGUUUUUAUUUUUUUUCCUUAAUUUUUCUAAAUAUUAUCUUUUUGUAGGCUUUACACAUGUUAAAGUUCCUCAAUCUUAGUCAUUCCAAGAACUUGACAGAAACCCCUGACUUUUCUGGACUACCAAAUCUUGAAAAGCUCGUUCUCAAAUAUUGUCCAAGUUUGUGCUGUGUACACAAAUCCAUUGGAGAUCUCAGUAAUAUUGUGUUGAUAAAUUUGAAGGAGUGUACAAGCCUAAGCAAUCUUCCGAGAGAGAUAUAUAAGUUGAAAUCUUUGAAAACUCUCAUCCUAUCUGGUUGUUCGAAGAUUGACAAAUUCGAAGAAGAUAUAGGGCAGAUGGAAUCCUUGACAACUCUAAUUGCUGAAAAUGCUGUUGUGAAACAAGUGCCCUUUUCAAUAGUAAGCUCAAAAAGCAUUGGAUUUCUAUUCCUACGUGGGAAUGAAGGAUUGUCGCAUGAUAUUUUACGUCCUAUUAUUUGGUCCUUGAUGUCACCGACAAUGAAUCCCCUGUCUCGUAUUCUUCCGUUAUGUGGCAUAUCAGCAUCUCUAGAUUCAAUGAAUAUGCAGAAUAUUGAUUUGGGUGACCUAGCACCGAUCCUUACCAACCUUUUAAAUCUUCGAAGUGUUUUGGUGCAAUGUGACACGGAGUUUCAAAUAACUAAAGUAAGAAAGUUUUUGAACGACGUACAUGGGAUACAUUUCACUGAGUUAGAAAUAGCACCAGGUACAUUAGAAACUUCAGACAAUUCCUUGAGAUCUUAUUUGAUUGGAAUGGGAAGCUACCGAGAAGAAGACUUCAAUACUCUUAACAAGAGCAUAUCUAAGGUUCCUUCCUUUUCUAUUUGUAUGCUUACCUUCGCUAUUACUUUUAGAUAUUAAUUAAGAGAACAUGAAAAAAUCAUAAGUAUCUAAAGAAAACUUCAAUGCUUAACAAGAUACUAACUUGUUGGAGAUCUCACAUCAAUUAUAAAGAUAAGAACAUUUCAUAGUAUAUAAGUGAGUACAAAUUUUAUCUUAUAAGCCGGUUUUAUGAGGUUGAAUUAGGUUUAAAGUCCAGUUUAUAAUAUGAUAUCAAAGUCAUUUAAAGUCAUAGUGAGAGUUUGUUGGUCGGUAUUAAAUACUUUAUAAGGUUGAAUUCAGCUUAAAGUCCACUUCUUAUUAUAAUUGAAGUACAUUUGAAUAACACAAUUGCAUUAAUGACUAAUUAAGCUAUUCUGCUAAUAAUGCUGCAGGAAUUGGGAACUGGUGGAUCUUGUAAUGUUUUUCUGCCAAGAGACAAUCAUCCUUUUUGGAUGGCCCAUAUGGGCGAGGAACAUUCAGUGCAUUUCACUGUGCCUCAGGAUUGGGACAGGAUGGGAAUGGUUUUGUGUGUUGUGUAUUUAUCAACACCUGAAACCGUGGCAACUGACUGUCUUAUUAGUGUCUUAAUGGUUAAUUACACAAAGUGUACCAUACAUAUAUACAAGCGAGACACAGUAAUUUCCUUUAAUGAUGCAGAUUGGCAGAGCAUAAUAUCUCAUUUGGGAGCUGGAGACAAGGUGGAGAUUUUUCUGUCUUUCAGGAAUGAAUUGGUGAUGAAAAGGGGAAUUGUCUAUCUCACGAAUUAUGAAUUCAUUGACAUGGAAAUGAAAGCUGUUAGUAAACCACCUGUUAUGGAGAUUUAUAGUUUGAAGAGGAAUCUUAAGGGUCAAGAAAGCAGCCGGAAGAGAAAAUGGUAACAGAGUAUUAGAGACAAAGAUUUAUUUAUAAUGACACUUAUAAAUUAUAAUAAUCAGUAAUUAUCCGUUGAUUCUUUACCAAAUAAAUUGUUUAUGGUAGGCAAGGUAUACACAACCUAUAUAAUGCAUUUUAAUGGUUUGUUGAAUUUCUAAAUCAUCUCUUCACAUAAAAAACUUGACAUUUUGAAUAAGAGAUUAAAAAAAUUGAAUUAGACCUAAACUCACUUAUCAUCAAAACUUAUCUUAAUGUAAUUUAUAAGAUUUAUCAUUCAACCAUCUACAUAUAUCUAGUUUCAUAUUUAUAUGUCCAACCUCAACAUAAAGAUAUCUGUCCAAGACUUCACCAUGGGAUAAAUAUAUGACUAAAUUGUAUUAGAUAAAUAGAAAUUCACUUUGUAACAACAAAAAUGAUUAUGUGGAGAAAUAUCUGACAUCUGAUCUGAAGCUUAUUUUUGGGAAUAAUAUAUAGUUUGACACUAUAACCAAUUGCUUAAUCAUAAAUGUAAUACAAUGUCUGAGAUAAUUGAACAAAGAAGCCCUUGCAGUUUUGCUAACCCAGUGCUCACAACUGAACUCUAAGAAGGUGUUGAAAGUUGAUUUUGCAUUCCAUGGCUAGAUUUUCCCUCCACAAAAUUCCCCCGACACCCUUUUCCGUUUUAAAAAAUUUCAAAAAGAUAUCCUGGCAAAUAUAUUAUAGUCUCGAAUUUAUAUAUGAUUCAUUUAAUAACUCUUUAUAAUAUUGAAUAAUUAAGUCAAUAACAACUUCCACAAAUAUUAAAUAACCUUUUUAAAUAUUUAGAGUCAUAAAAAUAAUUUUUAGCAUAAUAGUAAGCUGUCGUGAUUGCCUUAUUUUAAAAUAGUAUUAAUAUGUUGAUAAGUAUCUUAAAAGCAUUGAUUAAACAAACAUUCAUGAUUGUAUUUUUUUACUAGAUAAGUGAAAGCGAAGUCCGUGAUAGAAGUACAAUCCCUUGGACGAGUUGUGCAAGGAGUAAAGUGUUUUCACUUUAUGUCAAAGUUUUUUAAAUCAAUAAAUUAUUAAUUAAAUAAAGAAACAUGGAACAAAGAUAGUUAUUAUCUCAAGUAUUGAAUUAAGUUUUAUUUGCAAAAGGUUGUCUUAACGUCAAGUUGAGAGUUUUAAUUAAGAAUAGUAUAAUGAAGAGAAUUAAGAAUGGUUGGGAAAAUCAAGCUUUUGAAGGAAAUGAUAUAUGAAAAAUAAAAGAAAAACUGAAAUAUUUAAAAAAGAGUAUUAAUACUUGGAAUAAGGAGGUGUUUGGCUCACUGCACACAAAAUUAAUUGAUCUUGACCAAAUGAUCAACCGCUUAGACACAAAAGACGAGCAAGGUGGAUUAAAUGAGGAUGAAAGAAAAAGAAGGAAUUUAUUUGCUGAUCUGAAAUGUUUAAUAGGAAGAAAUCAAGAAUUAAAUAACUAUAAGAAGGAGAUUUAAAUUGACAAUUUUUUCAUAACAUUAUAAAGUGGAGGUCAAAUAAAAACAUAUUUAAUGGGGUGUUUGUAGGGAAUGAGUGGUGUGAGGAACUAUCAAGGGUCAGGUGGAACUAAGGUUCUAUAGAGAAAGAUUCACGGGCUCAAGAGAUAAUUGUUGUUAGAUAAUGUUUCUUUUCAAAAAAAUUAGCAGUGAUGAUAGGUUUUGAUAAAGGCAUCUAUGGAAGAAGUGAAACAGAUAGUGUGAGACUAUGAUAAUAAUAAAUACCCCGAACCAGAUGCAUUUAAUUUUAACUUUUUAAAGAAUUUUGGAAGAUUGUAAAUACAUAAUUAUAUAAUUAUAUAAAGUUGUAUGUUGUUUUUAUAAAUGGGGAGAUGACCAAAAGGAUGUAAUGUCUCUUUCAUCACAAUUAUCCCCAAAAUUGCUAACCCGGUGAGAUUAGAGGACUUUAGACUAAUCUCCUUAGUUGGCAGUUUUUACAAAAUUAUAGCAAAAUUUUUAGCUAGAAGACUACAGAAAAUCAUGCAUAUAAUCAUUGAUCAUAAACAAUCGACUUUAAUUCAAGGAAAGGGUAUCCUUUAUAGUAAUUGUGGAAAAUGAAGUUAUGAAGGAGGUAAGAAAAAAGAAGAGUAAGUGUAUCAUUGUUAAGGAUGACUUUGAGAAAGCUUACGACUCUGUGGACUGGAAUUUUCUAUUUUAUAUGUUACAGAGGAUGAGGUUUGGAAACACAUGGAUUAAAUGGACCAAGAGUUACUUAGAAUCAUCAUCUAUAUCCAUACUUGUUAAUGGUAGUCCUUCUGAGCAAUUCCAACCUACAAAGGGUCUAAGGCAGGGUGACCCUCUAGCACCAUCUCUAUUUCUAAUGCUGGCCGAAGGAUUGGCUAGAGUCAUGAGAGUGUCCCAACAAAAAAGACUCUAUGAUGGGAUCAAAGUGGGAAAUGAUUAGAUUGAUGUUAGUAUGUUACAGUUUGUUGAUGAUAGUAUUUUUUUGUGAGGAUAAUGUGAAAAACAUCACAACAAUUAAAUGUACUAUGAGAUGUUUUGAACUUGUGUCUAGGUUGAAGGUGACCUUUAGAAAAAUUAAAAUUGCAGGCAUAGGUGUACAAAGAAAAAUGUUUAUUUGACACUCAUACUCCACCCUACACCCCAAUAAAUAUUAAUAUUGUUAAUCAUUUAUAAAAAUUUAUAUUUUUUUUAAAAAUUUUGAAACAUUUUCUAUUCUACUUAUAUUUUCAUUGAGAAGGUUUUUGCUUUUUUCUAAUUUUUUUUAUUAUAAAUAUUAAUAUUUAUUGUGGAUGUAGGAUGGAGUAAGGGUGUCAAAAUAUCAUUACUCGUGUACAAAACACUGAAAUUCUAAGAGACUUUGUGAUUUUAAAUUGUAAUCAAAUGCAAGUUCCUUUAAAAUAUCUAGGGAUUCAUGUGGGUGAUAAUAAUAGGGAAAAAGUGUUUUGGAAUGACAUGAUCUUAGAAAUUAAAAGUAAGCUUACUAAUUGGAAAGGAAAACAUUUAUCUUUUGCUCGAAGAGUUAUUUUGAUAAAAUAUGUCAUCUUUGUUGUCCCUCUAUAUUACCUGUCUCUAUUCAAAAUGCCCACAACAAUUGGGAAAUUAAUCACAAGAUUACAAAGAGAUCUUUUUAUGGGGAUGGGGAAGCGAUAGAAAGAAAAUAGCUUGGACCAAAUGGGAAUUCCUAUGUCAAUCCAAAUCGGAUGGAGGACUAGGAAUUAAGGAUGUAAACCUUUUUAAUAUGAAUCUUCUUGGGAAAUGGAAAUGGAGACUUAGUUGUGAAAAGUCAGGACUUUGGAAAUAGGUACUGGAAUCUAAAUAUGGUUCUUGGAGAGGGUUGGAUGAUAGUGUUGUGUCAAAUACUGAAUGUUAUUGGUGGAGAGAUAUCAAGAAGGUGUGUGAAGGAAACUCAAAUUCCUAUGUUUGAUAAUAAAAGAAGGUGGAAGGUAGGUGCAGGGAGUAAUAUUCUACUUUUGGCAGAUUGUUGGGUAGGAAUGACUCUUAAAAAUAGAUAUCCCAGACUCUUUUCAAAUUUAGUACUUAAAGAGGGAUCUAUAGAUAAAUAUGGGGUAUGACAUGAAAACUAGUGGGUAUGGCAAAUAGAAUGGAGAAGAGACUGGUUUUUAUUGGAAACUGAAAUUAUAAAUGCCUUUAUGGAUGAAUUGAAGAUUGUUAAAAUAGAUGCUUGUAGAAAUGAUGAGUGGAUGUGGCUAGGUGAUAUAUCAAAUUCUUUUACUGUUAACUAUGCUUAUAAAAUUCUUUUGCACCAAAAUAUUUUGCAGCCACAUUUAUUCUCUGCAUUUAAUUUUGAUUAUUUUAGGAGUCUAAAAGCUCUUCCAUCAACACAUUAUUGCAAAAUCGCAACCUAUGAUAAUUUAAUACAUAGAGGAAUUUAGGCUGGAGGGUGUUGGAUAUCUUGAAGAUCCUACUCAACUUUUAUGCUUGAUGAAUAAGUGUUUGAUGAAGAAAAUAAGCUUGGAGAUGUAUAAGUAUGGAUGCUCUCAUAGGGAGUGUGUUUUAUUGUCUCAGCUCCAUAUCACAUAGCCGUGGUAAUGAUCUCAAGCACAAGGGCUUUUUAAAAGAUGUUUAAAAACUAUUACAGGUCUUUUUUAAAAUCUGUUCAAGCUUUUCCAAAUUGCUUGUACUGCACUAAAAUUUUCAAUUUGUUUUUUAGUGAAACAAUUGAUUUAAUCUUACUGCACCAAAAUUGUUUUGGUUUUUCAAAAAUUUGUUUUGUUUCCAAAAUUCAGUUUUUUUCCCACAUACUCAAAGGUUGGUUAUGUUUCCAUCAAGUGCAUUUUCAAAAUAUAAUCUGUUCUUUAAGCUUUUAAUCAACUAUUUUUUAACAGUUUUUUAAACUGUUUUGGGAAAUUUGUUAUGAUUUGAGUCCUAUAGAAGGAUUUUAUCACAAAACAAAUCAUCCCUUGCAAUACAAAUUGUUUACUGUUAUCAAGAGUUUUUUUUAGGUUCUCAAGUGAGUUUAGUUUUUAGAAAGUUUUUUUUGAAAUUUUUUUGAAGUUCUUGUGCUAUUUUUCACAUUGGCUUGAGAUUAGAAGUUUCAUCAAAGUGCUGCAACUGUGGAGAUCCAAUUUGAGUCUCUAAAGUCUACAUACACGGUGUUUUCUUUCCUAAAAUCAUUUUCUCUAUAAAGGUGUAUUCAUUUGCUUCUUGAUAGAGUUUCUUGAAGUAGGAAGUUGCUGAAAUAGUGUUUUUCAUAUUGUAGUUUUUUGUUCUUGAAGGGUUCAAGAACUGGUCUUUUGUAGUUUUGUGAAAAAGAUUAAUUGUGUCUUAGUGGAAUCCAUCUUAGUGUGAGAUGGGACUGAAUGUAGCUCAAUAUUGAGUGAACCAGUAUAAAUGCUUGUGUGUUAUUCUUCUUUCAUAAUCACUGCUUCUAAAAUUGAAAAAUCUGUAGAACUGUAAUAAAUUGAAUAUGUUCCUUUGAAAUUGAACCUAAUGUUUUACUGCCGUAUUGAUUUGGACUAUAUUCUGUUUUCAAGAUUCUGAAACGAAUUUAAUCAAACUUAAAAAUUGUAAGGCUCCCUUGAUCUUUCACAGGUUCAUACUUAAAUUAAAGUCAUUAAUAAACAAUCUUGGAAUUGUUUUUAAAUCUCAUCAUAUUAAAUAUGGUUUUAAAAUGGAAUUCUGAAAAAAAAUGUUUUACUAUUUUUAAUAGACUGUUAUUGAAAGCUGAUUUGAAUCUUGGUUAACAAUUUAAAAAUCAAGCCUCUUAUCAAAACACAAUGUUGUAGAACUUAUUUGAAUCUAGUUUUUUUUUUUUUAUAGAAAACUAUCUUUUUAAUACAAUGUGAAGCUUCUGAAAGAUUCAAAUUAAAUCUGUUAAAGAUUAACUCUCUGUUAUGGCUUAAACUAUUUCUGCUAAUGUAAAGUCACUGUGAAAUUAGAAUAUGUUGUUUUAAAUUCUAAUAUGUUAUUUUUAUGUGAUUGCACUUUGUUAAACAAUUUUGAAUCUAUUAUCUGUUGAAAUAAUCUAUUCUUUAUUGUCAAGUCUUGCUUAAAGAUUGCAUUUGCGAAAAUUAUCCUAAGUAUAAUUCACCCCCCUCUUGAAUUUAGACUCCCAUAAAUUCAACGGAGGGGGGAUGUGUGUUAUGUGUGGGUAUGAGUUUGAAACUGUAAAUCAUAUUUUCUUCACAUGUAAAGUGACUUCUAAAGUGUGGUAUAUGUCUGAUGUUUGGGGAUAUAGAGUUUUUGUACAUUGUGAUAAUGCUAUUCAACCCUUUGAAUAAAUAAGUUUUACUGAUCUAAACUACUUAAGAAAUUGUAUUUGGAAAUGUAUAUGGAUUGCCAUUAUUUGGAGAAUUUGGAACCAUAGGAAUAGGAUAAUUUUAAUAAUGCAAUGGUGGAUCCUUUUGAAAUUUUUGCUAUGGCCCAAGUAAAGGCGUGGACAUGGGUAACUUAUAAACUCCCAACAUCAAAUUUCUCUUAUUCUGAUUGGUGUAUUAAUGUAUAUGAAUGUUUAAAAUUACAACAUUGAUGACUGAUGAUUUUUCUCUGCUUUUUCUCUGGUUUUUGUUUUGGAUGAGAGGACUUUCCUUUGGGUACAACUAUAGCCACAAGUGAUGCGUGAGAAACUACAGUAGAUAACAAGGAAGCAAAUUUUUCCUUUGAGUACCAUGCUUUAUAUCCUGGAAUUGGACAAAGUUGAUGGGUUUUUUGAUAGAUGUAGCUUGAUAUAUAUGUACCGAUGUCUUGUUAAGAGGUUUAAGCUUACCAGAUUUAUAUGUACAAAAUAUGACCAUGUUUUAGCCAUUUUUCUCUAGAAACCUCACCUCUCUAGCUUUGAGGAUUUUUGUACAUGAGUUAGAGUAUUCUGAGUAUUCCCAUUUAUUAAUUUUUAUUGUUGAUUAAAAAAAGGAAGUGAAUUAAAAAUGAGUCACUUUGCUCAAUUUCUACUUCCAAUGCGAUUUAGACUUGCAAUGUGAGUUCAAUUGAUUUGGAGUGCGAAUUGAAGUGAAAUUUGAAUUUUCCUUGUGCCGUUAGAUUUUGUAGAGCUGGGUUUUGAUUUGUUUGUUUGAUUAUGUUUUUGUUUCGAUGUUGGGGUUUUUUAGGGUUAGAGUGUGGAAAUGUUUGAUUUGAUGUUUUGAUUGUUAUAUGUUGACUGAAGAUGAUUUUGUUUUUAAGGGUUUAACGUUUUUUUUUUCAUUUUGGGUUUACAGGGUUGUACUGUCGUGGGUUUGUUUAUUUUGAAAUGUGUUUGUGCUCUUUGAAUUUAGAAUUUUUGUAGUUUUGGUUUUUGAUUUGCAUUUUGCAGUUAUGGGUGUUUUAGGAUUUAGGGUUGUACAAUUGGUGAUAUGGUGUUUGUUUGUAUUUGUUAUUUAUUGUGUUUUUUUUACCGUGUGUUUGUUCACUUUUUAAAGUGUGCAAAGAUAAUGAUUUUUGUGUUGUUGUAGACUUGAACUGUGAUAUUCUUAUAUAUUUGGUUUUAGAACAAGGAAAGAGAACCCAAACUUUAUGCAUGACAGAAAAUUAAAAAGAAACAAUUUUUAUAAAUAACAACAAUAAAGCGGUUAAGUUUGGUUAAGACUUGUAGUAAAGUUUAGAAAACAAUUAAUGUUUUCUUAAUAAACAAUUGUCGAAUUAAUAAAUUUUUCAGGAUAUAUUGACAACUAAGGGAAGUGAAGAUGUUGAAGUGGUUAUGGAGCCAAAUGUUUGAUUGAAAACAUUAUUUCAUUUUGAAGGCACACAUGAUUAUAUAUUUGUUUUGUUAUAAGUUUAUAUAUUAAAUUUAUAUGUAUUUUAUAUGUAGGUGUUCAGGCAUUAUUGUAGGACAAAGUUUUUUGCUAUUGUCAACAAGAACUUAAGUGUUGAACAAAAGUCUUAUGUUCAGUCAACCCCGUUUGAAUGACUUAUGUUUUUGCGUAAGGAGGUAAAAUUGAGUUGUGGACUUUUAAGUUAAUAAUGUAGUAGUUGGUUGGAGAGGAAACAAGGUUUUGCAAUUAGGUGCGAAGUUUUCCCGUUCAUGUUGUUAAAUGUUUUUGUUUAGGUAUAGGUCUAAGAUUUGUGGAUAAAAAAAGUUAAUUUAACGAAAACAGGAAAUAAAUCUCGCAAUAGGAGAGUAUUUUUUAAUAAAGUGAUGUAAAUGUGGAGAUGAUUUUUGAUGAAAUGUUCAAGCAUCACAAUGAUGGUUGCGUCGAGAAAUUUUGUAGGUUGUACAUUUUGUAAGGAUUUUCGGAGUUUUUAUUGCUUAAUAGAAUUUGUUCAGUUCAUUUUAAGUUAUUUAGCGUUGUCGAUGAUGUAAGUCAACUGGGUAGGUAUAAUUAGAGGGGUUUAGUUUAUGAGUUUUUGUUUGAUAGUUUGUGUUUGGCUUCAAUGUGUAUGAGCAACGAAAGUAAUUCGUCAUCUAUCCAUGUGGGUGGUUCUGUGUACUUGUUGCAGGAAAUAUGAAAUAUUUUAACCUCAUUGGUAACAUAUUUGUGUUUUGUCAUUUGAAAAAUCAAUAUUUUUUUAAACCUAUCGUCAUUACAACCCUGCAUAAGACCUUAUGCUUCAUGUUUCUGAUGUGAUUUUGAUAUGAGAAAAAUGAAAGGUAACUAUGAUUUGUUAGGAUUCAAUGGAAAUUGAGAGAAAACACUUACUUGAGAAGAAAUUCCUUAAUAAAAUUGUCAUUUCAUUGUUACAUAUGUUUAUCUUAGAAAAUUGAUUAUAUUUAUAUCUUGCUACAUUUGGAAUAGGAAGCACCAUAAUUUUCUAAUUAUAUUUGUUGUUUAAUGAAUGAAGUUGUUUAGAGAAUUGAACCAGGGUUCGAUUUGUCAGGAUUUAGUUACUUUGCUUGAGGACAAGCAAGGUUCUAGGUUGGGGGAGUUGAUAAGCGUCAUUAUUUAGUAAUAUUUGAUACACAAAGGCUUGAGAUAUAUGGAUUUUAAUUGUGAUUAAGCUAUGACUCAACCCUAAUUUAAGAAGUUAUAAUUCAAUACUAUAUUUUUUGAGUUAUGUGAUUAAUGGAACUACUUAAUCCCAAUUUUAUGAUAUUUUCAAGAAUUUAAGAGAAGAUGGAGCAAAGGGUUAGAUGAUGAAUACAAAAGAGUUAGAAAAGAAAAGGAUUGGACAUUCAAGAUUCACCUAAAUUCUUUUAAGCAAGCCAAAUUCGCCCAAGCGAAAUUGUUCUAGAGACAAACUAACUCAUUGGUCUAAAUUCGCCUAAGUUCGCUCGUAUCUCGCUUGUGUCUCACCCGUAUCUCGCCAGGCUCGCUUGAGUGAUAUUGUUCUAGAGAAGAAGGCUUUUCUAUUUUAUUAUCUCGCUUGAGUGAGAUGUCACUUAAACCUAAGCCGAAAUAGGUUAAAUAAAGGUGUAGGGAAGACAAAAAAGGGAUGAAAGAUCCCUAGAGAGCAUCUAUCAAGGAGAAACGGUCUGAAUCUUCUUAUUUUGCUUUUCCACUAUCUUUUGGUGCAUGUAAUGGUUACCAUAAGUGUCUGGUUCCUUUCCUUUGGAAUUGAAUGUAAUCAUUUCAAACUCCUAUGUAUUAAGGUGAUAUUUAUCUAUAAUAUCAUGUUCUUAUUUGAUAUUGUUAUUUUCAUUUUAUGCUUAAAGCUUGAAUUUUUAUUCUUGAUUUAAAUCUUUGGAAGUGACUAGAAGUAUUUUUGAUGAUCUAACCUUAAUGAAAAUAGUUGAUGUGUUUUAAUACUAGGAAUAGAUUAUAAUAUAUAUCAAAUGUUUUGUAACAUCUUUUCUUAAUGAUAAGAAUGUUUCUAAAUAGUUGAGGAAUCAAUGUUUAGGAGAUAAUCUAAAUAAUUUCAUAUUUAAGAAAUCAAUGUGAAUGACUCUUUUUAUUGUAUUAAUAUCAAAUAAGUAAGAAUGUUGUAUGAUUUUAUUUACUAAAAUAUAAAUGAGUGAGAAAGAUUAAUUUCAAUACCAAUUUUAUCAAUCAAAUUCUCAUAAUAAUUUAUUUUGCUUUUUAUUUAAAUUACAAGCACAUUUUAUUCAAACAAUGUUCACAUAUCUUGAAUAAGUUCAUUGCACAUAUUUCAAUAUUUAGUGAGUUUUACACAUUAAAAUUUUAAGAGAACUAUUCCUUAUGGGUUCGAUGUAUGUCUUUUAAGACAAAUUAUUACUUCUGACUCAGUACACUUGCCGAGUUAGGCCAAUAAUACACUUCCUCAAAUCCUCACACACCACCUCCCUAAUCCAAACACACACUGAGAGAUCAUGAUCUUUAAUGCUACCCUCCAUUUCCUUACACACUACUCUUAUAUGUAAGACGUAAACUUCUUAUUUAAUAAUGAUUAAACUACUUAAUGUUCAACUUAAAUUAUUUUCCAUUUUUCCAUCAACCUCCUAAUUAAACAAAAAUAACCAUUGAGCCUGUAAAAUAAUUUGACGCAUUAAAAAUCUUAAGGACUAAACUAUAAAAAUUGUAUGACAAAUUCUCCCUACACCUCUAUAUCUUCCUCUUACACCUCUAUACUUUUUAAAAUCCAACAAUAUCCUUUUAAGUAUGUUGGAGAGUGUAGUGUCUUCUUUUUCAUUUUCAAGUGGUGAUAGUGGUUGCUUGUGGUGGCUGGUCGUUGAUGGUUAAGGUAAGUUUUCUGAUAUGUUUACUUGUGGUGGUUGUGUUUCAUUAUCUUAUAUUUUUACAUUUUUUCGGAAGCCACAAAACCCAAAAAAAAAAGAGUAAAGUAAAAAAAAUGGAAGUACAAAAGUAAAAAAAAAUAUUUCGCAAUGAGAAAAGUCAAAUACAACAAAUUUUCUUAACAACCCUUUUACACAUUUAAAUAAUAAAAUUGUUUCUCAAACAUUACGACCGAAAAAGAAUGAGAGUGAUACAUUGAAAAGAAUAUAUGCAUAAGAAAAAUAUGAAAUUGUGGAGGUGCAACUGAAAUUUUAAAAAAUAUAAAGUUAUAUUUUAAAAUUGACUUUUUAUAAUUAGUAUGAAAAUAAAGAGAAGAUGAAUAGAGAUGGUGGCAGAAUUUGCCUUAGUCUUAUCACACUCUAUAGAUGACUAUUAUCUUGCCCAGAGUUGAAUGCGGUUAUUAUUACCGGCGGUACACUAAAAAAUGGUGAAAUCCAAUCCUUUUCAUAAUUAAAACACUUAUCAGACUGCUUUUAUCUUGCACAAAUUUUGACGACUUAAUUAUAGCCAUACCUACUGCCAGCUUCAUCUUACUUUUAGUUUUACUAAGAAUAUUCUUGUUCUUUGUUCAUAUUUUAAAGUUCGUUUUUUUUUUUCAUUAAAUUCACAAGUUUCUUUCAAUACUUUCUUUAUAUUUGUUUUCUCUUUCCACGGUACCAAAUAAUAAAAUAUUCAAUUUUAUUCUGAUGUAUUUUUAUUUUCCCAUCAUAGUUCUUUCUAAUAGUAGCGAUUCACUAGAAGACUGAAGUAAGAAGUGGCUCUGGGUCGUCAUCUCUCAGUCUUUCUGCAUUAUUGCUUUCCCUUCUGGAACCGUUGACCUGAGUUUGUUUGAUGGAGUCCGCAUCUUCUGCGCCAUCGUUCGCAAAAUCGAAACACCAGCGGAUACACGACGUCUUCAUCAACUUCAGGGGAGAAGACACACGCAGGAAGUUCGUUUCUCAUCUUCACUAUGCCCUCUCAAAUGCUGGAGUCAACACCUUCUUUGACGAGGCCAAUCUUGUCAAGGGAAUGCAGCUUCAAGAACUCAUGCGAGCAGUGGAAGGAUCUCAGAUAGCGAUUGUGGUUUUCUCCCAAACCUACACUGAAUCAACUUGGUGUCUUGAUGAGCUUGAGCAAAUCAUCAAAUGCAACCAAACUCAAGGCCAGAGUGUUCUCCCUGUGUUUUACGAGAUUGACCCUUCCGACGUGCGUCAUCAGAAGGGUGAUUUUGGAAAAUCGUUGGAGGAAGCCGCGCAGAGAAGCUUUUCAGGAGAGCAACUGGAGCAGGCGUUGUCCAGGUGGAAGGGUGCGCUGAACAAAGCUGCGGGUAUCAGUGGUUGGGAUGUCAGAAAUUUCAGGUAAACCAAUGACUCCUUCAUGCUUUGUUUGAUUUGAGACUGAAUGAAGCAUAUUUUUAGUGACAAUUUUGUAAUUGCUGUUGUUGACCUUGAAGGAAUGAAGCUGAACUAGUGAAACAAAUUGUUAACCGCGUUCAGACAUUACUGGACUACGAAGUCUUGUCUAUUACAGAAUAUCCUGUUGGACUAGAAUCCCGUGCGCGAGAAGUGAUUGGACGCAUUGAAAAGCGUUCUACCCAAGUCUGCAUGAUAGGGAUUUGGGGUAUGGGGGGGUCGGGGAAAACUACCGUUGCCAAGGCCAUCUACAAUCAGAUUCAUCGUAGAUUCAUGGAUAAAAGUUUCAUUGAGAAUAUCAGAGAAACUUGUGAAAUGCAUGGUAGAGGGUAUGUACCUUUGCAAGAACAGCUUCUUUCAAAUAUCCUAAAAACAAAGGUGGAGAUACAUAGUGUUGGGAUGGGGACGACUAUGAUUGAGAAAAGACUUGCUGGAAAAACGGCACUCAUUGUACUUGAUGAUGUUGAUGAGUACAGCCAAUUAAAAGCUCUGUGUGGAAAUCGUAAAUGGAUUGGUCAAGGAAGUGUAAUAAUCGUUACAACUAGAGAUUUUGGCCUCCUUAAUAGACUAGAAGUUGAUUAUGUUUAUCAGAUGGAUAAAAUGGAUGAAAACGAGUCCCUUCAGCUUUUCAGUUUUCAUUGUUUUGGAGAUGCAAAACCAAGAGCAGACUUUAGUGAACUUGCCAGUAACGUUGCUGCUUAUUGUGGAGGACUACCUCUGGCUCUUGAAGUGCUCGGUUCUUAUUUAUUUGACAAGACGUCAACGAGAGUGUGGGAAAGUGUAUUGUCGAAACUAGAAAAAAUUCCCAAUGAUCAGGUUCAACGGAAAUUAAGAAUAAGCUUUGAUAGUUUAAGCAAUGACAUGGAGAAGGAUAUAUUUCUUGAUAUAUGUUGCUUCUUUAUUGGUAAAGACAGAGGCUAUGUCACGGAGAUACUAAAUGGUUGUGAACUAUAUGCUGAUGAUGGGAUACCAGCUCUCAUAGAACGUAGCCUCAUAAAAGUAGAAAAGAACAACAAACUUGGAAUGCAUCCUUUGCUACAAGAAAUGGGAAGAGAGAUAAUACGUGAAAACUCAAGAAAGGAACCUGGCAAGCACAGUCGAUUGUGGUUUCAAAAGGAUGUAGUUGAAGUAUUAACAAAGAAUGCUGUAAGUACAUUUUCUAUGGACGGUUUUCAUUUUCUUUUGCAAGUGUCUUCUUUUUCCAUGUGAAAUAUAUAAGUUGAGUUAGGCUCAACUGAGCCAACAAAAAAUACUUCUCAAUUUAUUUCCCUCUGCUCUUUUCAUCACAGGGGACAGAAGCUAUUGAGGGAUUGGUUUUGAAAUUGCAUUUAACCAGCAGAGAUUGUUUCGAAGCCGAUUCUUUCCAGAAAAUGGAGAGAUUGAGACUCUUGCAACUUCAUCAUGUACAACUUGCUGGAAAUUAUGGGUUCCUUUCUAAGCAACUGAGAUGGAUCUCUUGGCAAGGCUUUCCUUCAAGUUGUCUGCCAAUCAACUUUUGUAUGGAUGAUGUAAUUGCGAUUGAUUUAAAACACAGUCAUCUUCGAUUCGUCUGGAAACAAUCCCAGGUAUUUAUAACAUGCCUUUUUCUUGUAAAAUUUAUAGGUUGGUUCAAAUAGAAAUAGUACUUGUUUCCAUUUACUACUAAUUUAAUUUUUUUAUUUUAUUCUCUAAUAUUUAUCAAAAGAAAAAAAACUAUCUUGUUGUAGGUUUUGAGGUGGCUAAAAGUCCUUAAUCUCAGUCACUCCAUGUACUUGACAGAAACCCCUGUCUUUUCGAGAUUACCAAGUCUUGAGCAGCUCAUUCUCAAAGACUGUCCCAGUUUAUUAGAGAUAGAUAAAUCCAUUGGAGAUCUGUGUAAUAUUUUAUUGAUAAAUUUGAAGGAUUGUACAGGCCUAAGAAAUCUCCCUUGAAUGGCAUUGCUGGGAGGUCAAUCCUUUCAAUCUUCCAACAAUCGUGCAGGUAUGAGCGCUCAAAUUCAACCGACCGCGCCGAUCAGACAAUCANNNNNNNNNNNNNNNNNNNNNNNNNNNNNNNNNNNNNNNNNNNNNNNNNNNNNNNNNNNNNNNNNNNNNNNNNNNNNNNNNNNNNNNNNNNNNNNNNNNNUUUUAAACCAUGUGGUCGCAAUGAUAUUCUUAAUGUUGCUCUCGGACGACCUGAACACCCUGGACGUGUUCGUGUAGCUGGAUAUGGGGUUGGGAUUCGGUCAUACUUUGGACCUCCAUCACACAGCAAGGAACAAUUGUCCAAUGAACCUAGCCAAGAGUAUUUACUACAACUACGUGAGCAGUUAAAGGUUGAGGUAACUCAAGAGCUUAAAGAAAGCUUCAUGGAGGAGUUUAGUGCGCGAAUGGAAAUGGAGUUCAAAAAGCGGUUGGAGGGUUUAGGACACUCACAGCAACCACCUACUAUGGUAGAAGAUGAACCACCUCCGCCUCCUAUUAAGAAAGUCAGCACUAAAGGGAGUUGUUCGGUAGUUGAUCUAUCAGGGGAUGACUUUGGCUCAACUAGCCAAUGCGAAUUAUAUGUUGAGUGUAAUUCUUUGACCCGAUUUGUUGCCUUGGGUAAGUGUUAUGAAAGGGUCACAAUGUUACACAAUGUGCCUCUUCCUUCUAAUUUCAUGAAGGUCACGGUGGAGAAGGUCCUUUAUGGUGAUCUUGCAGUUCCUGUGCCGACAUCAGAGGUGACAAUUGUGGCAGAGGCAUUACAUACUUUCGUUGCCUGGCCUAGACAUCUCGUCAGACCUAUAGACUCUAUGGUAUAUAUUUGCACUAAUACUAAUACAAUUAUAUAUCAGAUAUAUUACAUUCUAACUAAUUUAAGUAUUUGUUUGUUUUUAAGAGUAGCAGGAACCUAAGACAAAUUUGUCUCUGGGAAAGAAGAAAAUAGUCUCCAUUGAUGAUCCUCUGGCGGCAUUGGUGGAAGUUGCUACAACUUUAGAUACAACCGUNNNNNNNNNNNNNNNNNNNNNNNNNNNNNNNNNNNNNNNNNNNNNNNNNNNNNNNNNNNNNNNNNNNNNNNNNNNNNNNNNNNNNNNNNNNNNNNNNNNNNNNNNNNNNNNNNNNNNNNNNNNNNNNNNNNNNNNNNNNNNNNNNNNNNNNNNNNNNNNNNNNNNNNNNNNNNNNNNNNNNNNNNNNNNNNNNNNNNNNNNNNNNNNNNNNNNNNNNNNNNNNNNNNNNNNNNNNNNNNNNNNNNNNNNNNNNNNNNNNNNNNNNNNNNNNNNNNNNNNNNNNNNNNNNNNNNNNNNNNNNNNNNNNNNNNNNNNNNNNNNNNNNNNNNNNNNNNNNNNNNNNNNNNNNNNNNNNNNNNNNNNNNNNNNNNNNNNNNNNNNNNNNNNNNNNNNNNNNNNNNNNNNNNNNNNNNNNNNNNNNNNNNNNNNNNNNNNNNNNNNNNNNNNNNNNNNNNNNNNNNNNNNNNNNNNNNNNNNNNNNNNNNNNNNNNNNNNNNNNNNNNNNNNNNNNNNNNNNNNNNNNNNNNNNNNNNNNNNNNNNNNNNNNNNNNNNNNNNNNNNNNNNNNNNNNNNNNNNNNNNNNNNNNNNNNNNNNNNNNNNNNNNNNNNNNNNNNNNNNNNNNNNNNNNNNNNNNNNNNNNNNNNNNNNNNNNNNNNNNNNNNNNNNNNNNNNNNNNNNNNNNNNNNNNNNNNNNNNNNNNNNNNNNNNNNNNNNNNNNNNNNNNNNNNNNNNNNNNNNNNNNNNNNNNNNNNNNNNNNNNNNNNNNNNNNNNNNNNNNNNNNNNNNNNNNNNNNNNGGCAACCUCAAAAUUAUGAGUGCGGUUAUUAUGUUAUGCAGUGGAUGUUGACUAUUUUGCAAGCUGAAAUUAAGAAAGGUUGGGAUAAGGUAAUACCUCAAUACAAUAAACACUUUAAAAUUUGAGAUUUAUUAUUCAUGCACUAAUUCAAAAUAUUUCAAAUGUCACAAUUGUUCAACGACCAACACCCGCUAGAUUUAGAAGCAUUGGAGUAUGUGAGAACAACAUGGUCAAAGUACUUUGUAACCAUGUAUAACACUUUAGAAUAGAUAAAUCAUUACAAUGACAAAUUUUUUCAUAUAUUACCAAACUUUUUUGUAUUAUGUUAUAAUUUGUUGUAUGUAAUUUUUAUAUUUAAAUUAUGAUUUGAAAUGUUUUUAUUUUCUGUAAUUGAAAACUUUAUGCAGGUUGUUUGAGAUUUUUAAAAAAAUCAAAUUUUUUAUUUUUUUAAUCAAUACAUAUAACGACAGUUCCACUUGGAACCGUCUUUAAAAAUCCUUAUUUACAACGACGGUUUAGGAACCGUCGUUAUAAGUCCAUACCUUUUAACGACGGUUCCCAGAACCGUCGUUAUAAGUUCAUACCUUUCAACGACGCCUAUAAUAACGACGGUUCUGGAACCGUCUUUAAAUGUUGAUUUUAACCGUCGUUAAUCUACCUUUUUGUACUAGUGUAAAUGGAUUUUAUAACAGUAACCUAUAACCACUAGUAAUUUAUAACCAAUUUAUGAUUGAUUUAUGCGUCUUAAAUAUAAUAUUAAAUGGACAAUUAUUGUCUGAUUUAUGCGACUUGAUUAUUAUAUUAAAUGAGCGGUUAUUAGUCUGAAUGUACUCGGUCGUAAUUGGAGGUAUGUACAUAAGUCCCCCAGUUCGGAAUUUGAGAAGAUGUACAGGUGGAUCAAUUUGAAGGAUGAACGAGUUUAGCUUGGACCAGUUUGGAUUUUGUUUUUAGCUAUGCUCGUGGUUGAACAUUUCGUUCUUGAUUGAACUUGCAUUAUUUUGAUUUGCUCUUGGUUGAGUGUCGUGCUCUUGGUUGAAAGUUUCUAGUUCUUGAUUGAAUUUGUAUUAUUUUGCUUUGAUCUUAGUUGAGCGAGUUAUUGUGCUCUUGGUUGAGCAUUGCUAGUUUUGUAUUGAACUUGUGAUUUUGCGCUCUUGGUUGAGCGUUGCUAGUUCUUUAUUGAAUUGUGACAAGAUUGUGUUCUGAGAAAGUGAUUUUAUUUUGCUGAGCUUGCCUCAUUAAAACCUUGCUUGGUAAAACCCUUCUUAGGGAAAAAAACUCGAGCUAAGGAAAAAGAGUACAAGUUCCCUCUUUUCAACUGUAAUACAUUUUUAAGUGGGUAUUGUUCCACAUUCUCGAAAUUAACUUUCCACUUAACUCUUUGAGCUUGUAUGCUCUGUUUUUCAAAGUAUCUACUACCCAAAAUGGGUCAUCCCAGUUGGGUGUCAGUUUUCCCUCUUCUCGACAUAUCCUUUCUUCCCCGACCUUUAUCCAUACAAGGUCUCCUUUUCGGAGUUCCCGAGCUUUGACACGGGAGUUAUACCGCUGAGUUGUUCUCCCCUUGGCGGCAUUCUCUCUUACCCAGGCAUCUUCCUUGAUCUCGUGGAUGAGGUCCAGGUCUGCCUUCAGGUUACCCGAGUUGUGCUCUUCCUCGAAGCUUUCGCUUCGCCUACCUCUACCAGAAUCAUCGCUUAUGCCCCGUAAGUGAGGCGAAAUGGAGUUUCUUCCAUGGAGGAUUGGGGAGUGCAGUGGUAUCCCCAUAGGAUGCCCGGGAUUUCUUCUGCCCAGAGGCCUUUAGCAAAACCUACCUUCUUUCUCAAUUCCCUGAGAAUCACCUUAUUGGCCACCUCCGCCUGAUCGUUGGUAUGUAAGAUGCUCAACCGACGUCACACAGUUUUUAUUCCCAACUGAGUUGGGAAGCCUUCAAACCCUUUGUAUAUACAUUGUCUUCUGUUAUCGUUGACUACUGAGUAUGAGAGGUCGUGCCUACAUAUGACAUUCUUCUAGAAGAAGUAUUGGACCUGUUAGGCAGUGAUCGUUGCUAGUGGUUCGGCCUCAAUCCAUUUGGUGAAGUAGUCUAUUGUUAUUAUCAGCAAUUUGACAUGGACUCUAGAUUGUGGAAAGGGUCUUAGAAUAUCCAUUCCACAAGUAGCAGAGGCCAUGAAGGGAUAAUAGAGUAUAAUUCCUCCGAGGGAAUGUCAUAUAUGUAUAUCCAUUCUAUCUCCGGAGUGUACUCCGCAAAUUCCUCGAUGCAACUCGGCAAGGACAUAGGUCGUCUGCUCUUCAUCUAGACAUUUCAACAGUGGUGCCGAGAAGGAUCUUCUAAAUAACUCACUAUUUUGUAAUGUAUAAAAUGACGCUUGCCUUCGGAUCCUCUUCGCCUCCCUCUUGUCCUCUGGUAGGUCUCCCUGCCCGAGGUAAUUCAUGAUCGGGGUCAUCCACCCUACCUUCCUGGUUGCAGUUGGAAUACCCCAUCAGAGUCCCAACUAGGAGAGUUUAAGGUUUCCUGAAUGAGGGUGCGAUGUUGUCCUGGUUUUCUUUUACUUGCCAAUUUUGAUAUAACGUCGGCCCGAUUGUUUUGCUCUCUUGGAAUAUGGGUCAUGACAAAAUCCUUGAAGUCGCUGAUGAGGGAGCUUGCCAAUUGAUGAUACUUUUGCAGUACGAGUUCUUUUGUCUCGUAGUCUCCCUUAAUUUUUCUUGUGAUCAACUCGGAGUCAGUCAUGCAAUUAACCUUCUUGACGCCCAACUCUCUUGCUAGCCUGAGGCCAGCUAUAAGGGUUUCAUACUCGGCUUGAUUGUUAGACGUUUCAAAUGUGAAACGAAUAGAUUGUUCCAACAUGAUUUCGUCUGAACCCUCCAAAAUAAUGCCCAUGCCACUCCCCUUUUUAUUCGAGGAGUCAUCAAUUUGGAGCUUCCAAGCAUUAUUAUUCAUCUUUAUCUUUGGUAACUCAGUCAAGAAAUCAACAAGGAACUGAGCUUUCACAGCCCCCGUGCUCGUAGCUUAGGACAAACUUGGAUAGUUCGACCGACCAGGUUGUCAUCGGACCUGCAAGCUCGGGCUUCCGUAAAAUUUGCAUGAUCAAGUAGUUAGCUCAGGCUUCUUGCAGAAAAAACCAAGGCCAAGAUUAGCCUCUCCACCACCUGGUAUCUUUCUUCCGUCGGCUGGAGGGUUCGACUAGUGAAGUACAUUGGUUUCUGAGUUUUGCCUACCUCGUGUACUAGGACGGAGUUGAUCACUACCUGGGAGAUCGAGAGAUAUAUAUACGAAGGAGUGUGUGGUGGUGGAUUGGUUAAGACUGGUAGGGAGACAAUGUCUUUUUUUAUGUUUGCAUAGGCUUGUUCGCAUGCCUCAUCCCACACGAAGGUUACGACUCUGCACCCUUCCCAUCACCUUUCUCAAGUGCUCGGGGUGAUCCCCCGCAGUUGCCGACUUAACAACAAUAUCAUCCACAUAUACCUCCAUGAUGUCUCCUAUGAGUUCCCCAAAGACCUGGUCCAUAAGGCAUUGAAACGUGGCUCCUGCGUUUUUUAGCCGAAAGGGCAUAACUCUGUAGUAGUUGGCCCUAUUCAUCAUGAAUGUCGUCUUCUCCUCGUCAGGCAGGUACAUCCUAAUCUGGUUAUACCCCGAGUAUGUGUCUAGGAAACUUAGGAGUUCGUACCCGACUGUAUUGUCAAUCAACUGAUCUAUGCAUGGGAGGGGGUAUGUAUCCUUGGGACAUGCCUUGUUUAGGUCAGAGUAGUCUACGCACAUUCGCCACUUACCACUGGCCUUCUUCACCAUAACCACAUUGGCUAGCCACGUGGUGUAGUUCACUUCUCUGAUAAAUUCAACCUGAAGUAAUUGAUUUACCUCAUGGUCUGUUGUCGCUCUUCUAUCUUCAUCCAAUCUCCUUUUCCUCUGUGAGAUCGCUUUUGCCUGCGAUAGAAUGGAAAGUUUGUGGUAGACAAAGUCGGGGUCAAUUCUGGGUAUGUUAGAGGUAUUCCUGGCAAAAAUAUCUGAGUUGGUUCUUAGCAUGCUUUAAGUCUCCUUUUUCAAUGAUGGGGCCACAGAGUGGCCAACUUUAGUGGUUUAUGUCGUGCAAGUGCCCAACUGUAAAUCAAUCAUGGGCUCAUCGAAAGAUGGUCAGUUUUCAUCAAACUCUGCCCUCAGAUCCAAGUCAAUUUCCCUUACCCCUGGCUCACAGGGUUUUUUUCACAAAAGGGGCAUGCCAUGGGAGAUUACCCUUCAUUUUGUUCGUUCAAUUUCUUUUUUUCCUCUGGAUAGGAUAGAUCUAUACUCGUACUUUCUUUACUCGGUUUGGUUACCGAGUAAGGUGUUACCCUUAGACUUUGGCCAUAGCAUUCUCUGGCCACUUUGGGCUCAGCCUUGAUGGUGAUAAUACCCCUCAUUUCAUCAAGGAACUUCAUGGCCAUGUGGGGUGUUGAUACUGCCGCCACCAACCGGUUCAAAGUCCUUUUGCCGAUGAUUAUUUUAUAAGAGGUAUCGGCAUCCACUAGGAUGUACCGCACAGUUAUAGACCGGUGUGCCUCCCUUGUUCCGAACGUGGUGAGGAGAUCUAUGUACCCCCCCACCCCUUGUGUUAACUCUUUCCCCAGCAAAGCCGAGUAAUGGAACGAGGUAGGCUUGGAUUUAGCCCUCCGAGAUGUUCAAUUUUUUGAACACUAACCAAAAUAAGACGUUGGUUGAGCUACCCUGAUCAAUCAAGAUUCGUUUUACCCUCCAAUUUGCUACGGUGGUCGUGAUCACCACAAGGUCAUCUUACUUAGGAUCCCAGGCCGACCGAUCUUCAUUCGUAAAGUGGAGAUCAGACUAGACACAGAGGUAUGAGGCUAACAGCAUUGACACUCCAAAGGUGUCUCUUUCUCGUCGAACUUGUAGGACCACUCCUGACAAAACCGCCAGCAAUGGUGUUAAUUUCACCAUGACUCCUGCUAACCACCGACUCAUCCUGGUUUCCAGGUCCUCGCUAGGAUUCUCCCAUAUCAUGCUAGCCUGUCUGUGCUCUACUUCAUUCUAGGGUUCCAGUUCGACCAGCUUGGUAAUAACUCUCUGCCUUACCACCUCGUUCCCGACCCGAUCUUCCUCGUCCUCUGCCCCGAUUAUUCUCGGACCAAGAGAUGAAACAGUUCAAGGCCCCUGACCUGAAAAGUUCCUUCAAGAGGUCUUCACCUUGAAGCAUUCUUCAAUGCUAUGCCCAGAAUUCUGGUGGUAGCUACAAUGUUUUGUUUGAUCUCCCCAAGGGUUGUUAGGGGUUGGGGAUGGUAGGCGUACCAACUCUAAGUUACAGGCCUCUUGUAGCACAAUCUCCCUCGAGGCAGUAAGGGAGUGUAAUUUUCAAAUCUCCCCUGCCUUCUUCUCUUGUGGCCCGGGAAAACUGCGGUAGUCGACGCCUUCACCGCCUUCUUCCUUGCAUUGGCAUUUUCCUCGAUGCUCAUGUAUUUCGCUGCUCUAGCCCGCAGCUGAUACAUGUCCUCGGGGGGUUCCGCAUAGAGGGUGUAUAAGAAUUUCCCAGUCAUAACCCUACUAGUAGUGCGUGCAUGGACACUACCGGGUGCAGAUUAGGUAUGUUUAGGGUAGCCCAAGCAAAUCGGGCCAUAAACUUCCUCAAGCUCUUUGUCUCUCCCUGCACAAUAUUAUGUAUGGAUGCUGAGGUGGUGGCCACAGGCUUGCAAUCCGCGAACCUAGCAAGGAACCUGCCACAAAAUGUGUCAAAGGAAUCUACCAAGUUCCUAAGUAGAGAAUAAUACCAUUUUAAGGCCACUCCUACCAGAGUGGUUGGAAACAGUCUACAAUGCACAUCCAUGUCUUCUGAGAACAAUUGGGCCUAGGUAAAAUAGGCCUUAACGUGUGUUUCUGGAUCUGAAGCACCCGAGUACUUUUCCAAGUUGGGCCAACUCCACCUCUGAGGCAGCUGGGCCUUCAUGACCUCACUCGUGAAAGGGUGAAAACCCCUUUAAGUUGGUCCUCAUAGUGCGGUUGAUCAACAGGUUGGGGUGUGUUCUGAAGGGCUGAUGUUCGUGCCCCCAGCCUGCCUAGUCCCUCCUUGCAUGGAACUUGGGGGAGUUUCAUUCCAAGAUGACCUAAAGAUGUUAGAGCAAGAUUUCGUCCUCUCCUGCCAAUCUAAGUUUUAUGGGGGAACCUUCUGGGACUCGGGGGUAUGCUCCGUGUGCCCCUACUUAUCCUAAGUAUUGUUGUAGUUCCUGCAAGUUAUCUAGUCUUGCAGUGCCAGCAACUUUGCCCUGUGUUAUUCCUUCGGGAUGUCAAAUCCUGCUCCAUCCUUUCUUGAAUUUGGUCCAAGGCGUCCUUCACAAUCCUUGGUAGGUCCACUACAUUGGUUGGAAGGGAGUUCUCAAUCGGCUGAUUUGCAUUUUUCUGUUGAGUACUCAUCUUGAGAGCGUGUGUCUAGAUGUUUAUAGUGGUCUUGGGAAAAGUUUUACCAGGUUCCACGGUGGGCACCAGAUGUUCCUACCGGAAAUGAACUCGAGGAGUACAACUUGGCGAGGACUGCGUGUUCCUCAGGGAACGAGCUUUCAGUUGGUCUCCGAUGAGAGAGGGAGGUUUACCUGCAAAAGACUAUUUGAUGCUUAAGUCUAUAGGAGAACAAAUAUGAUGAUGAAUCCUUAACAAAGAGCUAAGAGUAAGAGUAUAUAAUAGAGUUUAAUGUGUCCCUUUACUGAGAGCGACAUUGCUUAUUUAUAGGUCUUGUUGGACUCAGACCAUUAAGAAAAACAUUGAAUGGUCAUCACGUGAUAUAAAUGGAUUUUAUAACAAUAACCUAUAACCACUAGUAAUUUAUAACCAAUUUAUGAUCUGAUUUAUGUGUCUUAAAUAUAAUAUUAAACAGGAUAUUAUUGUCUGAUUUAUGUGUCUUAAAUAUAAUCUAAAACAGGCAGUUAUUGUCUGAUUUAUGUGCCCUAACUAUUAUCUUAAAUGAGAGGUUAUUGGUCUAAAUGUACCCGGUCGUAAUUGGGGUAUGUACAAAGUUAAAUCCUCAUUUUCUAAAAUAAAAUAGUUUUAUUUCUUAUAAAUCUUUGAUGCCAAUUUGAAAUCCAAAAUAAUUAAAAAUUAAUAUAUAUUUUCUAAGAAUAUAUUUCAUAAUGAAAAUUUGUUGAAGUCUUUCUUAUUAGAUAAAAAUAAUGUAAUACUUGCAUUUAGGGAUGACAAAUAAACUCGUCCUCGUAGGUAUUGCUUCAACUCGUCAUGAUUUUUUAUUUUGAUAAAAAAGUUAUGCACAUAUUUGUCUCAUCUUUAUCCCGGAUACCAUACCUGUCUCAAGUAUUAAAGAUCACAUGACAUUGUGUUUGGGUUGUAAUUUCUUAUUUUAGUCGUGUUAUAAGAACUUCUUUAGUUUUUAUUUGAUUCUUUGCUAAGUUAGAAAGCCUUUUAAAGGGCUUUAGAGCCCUUUAUAAUUUUUUAAUUAUGAUUUAAUAGAUUAAAAUGUGUUUAAAUCUAUUAAAAUAUUCUUAGAUUUGUUAAAAACAGUAAGGAAAAGCAUUUUAAUCCAUUAAAAUAAUUAUUUAAUUGAUUAAAAUUACCGAAACCUAAAAUUUGUUUAUUUCACUUUGUUUUGAUUUUGAUAGAUUAAAAUCACUUAAAUAUCAAUUUUAAAUUUGUUUAUUUCACUUUAUUUUAAUUGACUAAAAUCACUUAAAUAUCAAGUUUAAAUUUUGUUUUUAUGUUUUAAUCAAUUAAAACGAUUUUAUAAUAUAUUAAAAUCACUUAAAGUGAUUUAAACAAAUUAAAAUAUUGUUUUGACAUAUUAAAACCAUGUGAGCUUAUUUCUAAAAUUUGUCUUAACCGAUUAAAACUUAGAUGCCAAAUUUUCCAUUUCAAAACUAAGAGACACGAAAUCAAAAUCAAUAUUUCUUAAAAACACUUCGCCUACAAAGUGACUCUAAAAUGAGAUUAAAACACUUCUUAGAGUCUUUGUGUUUUAAUCUUUAACUGAAAUCAUUGGUUUAAGAAAUUUACAUUGUGAUUACUUUGUCUUUUUCUUCUUUGUUGUAUUAUAUCUUUGUGCAUGUGAUUUUGUUCCUUUUGUAUAUUGAACUUGACUAGGGUUAUCAAGAGUGUUGCUUGUAAUGCGAUUUCAAAGAUGGUAUAUCUUAUAGGGUUCAAGAUCGUGUUUUGUAUGUUGUAUUUUCUUGUUUUCUUGAGGGAUUAAUAAAAGGAUUGUCUAAUCAAGGUGAUUAGACAAUUAAAUGUAGCUCUUAUGACGUAGUGAAUUAAUAUAAAUUUCUUUCUCUCUCCCUCUCUCUCCAUAGUUUCGAAAUCAUAGAUUAAAACUGAAUCUAAACACUGUUAAUCAAUUAUUUUAGUUUUUAAUUAAUUAAAACCAUUAUUAGUUUAUUAAAUGACUAAAAUCUGUUCACAACUCUCUGGUUUAAUAUAUUAAAAUCUAACUAACUUGUUAUCUCUCUGGUAUCAUUGAUUAAAGAGUGAGAUAAUUUGUUAAAUCACUCAAACAAAAUUUUCUAACUUUAUGCUUUAAUUGAUUAAAUAAUUUUCUUCAACCUUUUUCAAAAUAUUUUAUAAACAUCUUAACUCAUUUUUAAAGUGUUGUAUGCUUUCAUUGUGAAUAUCUUGUAAGACUCAAACAACUUUAUAAUGAUAGUCAAGACACUUUAAAUACAUCUUCAUCUUCAAAGUUCAUCAUCAAAACACUAUUUCUUGGGACUUGAUCAUCUUCAAGCCUAACAAUAAAGAGCAAGUUCUUGAAAGAAGUUAUGAGUUUCAAAUUUGUUUUCAAGAAAAAUAUAGAAAACAAUUUGCCUUUUGUUGAAGGUGCAUCUAUCUAUAAACCACUUAUGUUUUGCGGGAUCAAUUAUUUGUUAUUGAAAGUAAGGAUGAAGGUCUUUAUUGAAUCUAUUAAUAGAAACAUUUAGGAUACUAUUGUAAUGGGUCUUUCAUUCCAAUACAUAAAGUUGAUGGUGUUUUUAUUGAAAAACCUUGGACUGAUUUUAUUGAUGUUGGAAAUUGUGAGGCACAAUAUCAUUAUAUGGCCAAGAACAUUAUAACAUCUUCACUUAACCUUGACGAAAUUUUAUGUGUUUCAUAGUUUAAUUUUGUCAAGGAAAUAUGGGACCCUUAUAAGUUACUCAUGGCACAAUUGAUGUUAAAAGAGGAAGAAAACUUUUUUUAUCCAAGAAUAUUAACUUUUCAUACAGCAACCAAGAGAGACAAUUCCAUAUGUGCAGAAAAAGUUAACCCAUAUCAUAAUUCAUCUUAUAGGACUUCAAAAAUAUUUUGGGAAUGAGAAGUUGAAUGUAAAAAUUAUGAAGUGUCUUGAUAGAUCUUCACAACCAAAAGUCACAACAAUUUAUAAAUCAAAGGAUUUGUCUACCAUAUCUUGUAUCAUUAUUUGGUAAGCUUAAACAACAUAAAUUGGAAAUUAUAGUAGGCUUGUUAAACAAGAACUGAGUGAUAGGAAAAAGAAAAAUAAAGUGAAAAAGACUCUAUGGAAGGAAAUGAUAGUCACCCUUGCUAUCUCCUAGAUUGAUUAAAAUCAACUAAGGAAGUAAGAAAGUGCUUUAGGUUUUCACUUUUGGUAAGUAAAGAAGAAAGGCAGAGGAAAAAUAAGAAAACAUUUUUUUAUAAAAUAAGUCUUUUUCUUUUUAUCGGGAGAAAAGAAUAAAUAGAGAUCACUUCAGGAGUGAUUCAACCCUUAUACAAACCAUUAGAUACAAAUUACUUCCAAAAAUCCAAACCCAUAAAGAAACUAACAACUAAUCCCAGAACACCAAGAAAAGUCACCAAACUGAAAAAUCCAAAGCAAACACCAAACAAAAGGAAAGCAACAAAGCUUAAAACCAAAAACAGAUCGCCUCAAGACCAACAACGUGCAAAAACAACAACCACAUAACACCCUUACUGUCAAAUCGAAAUCACCCCAACAACAAGAACCCACCAACCAAUAACUAACCAACAAAAUAAAUUGAAUAUAGACAUACUAGGGGGUCAAGACACCAAUCUGAAAACGAGAAGCAAGCUAAGGAAACUUUAGAAAUGACCCAAGACCAAGUCUUCAGUUGAGACAAAAAAAAAAAUCAGAGUGAUCCACCACACCGCCUUUGAAGAUGACUUUAUUCCUAUGGCACCAAAUCUUCCUUACCACAGCCAUCCACACACUUUCCAAAACUAAAUUAACAGAUUCAUAUGCAUUACAAAUAUUGAACUAUAGGAGAUGUGAGUAAGAAUCUUAAGGAGCAACUGACACCAACCUUAACCGUGCAAAGCAAAGAUUCCAAACAAGCCAAGAAAAUCUACACCCAAAAAAAAAAGUGGUUAGUAGACUCCUCUUUUAUCCCAAAAAAACAACAAAAAAUACUAUCAACCACAACUUUGUGUCUAGCCAAAUUAACUUUAGAAGCAAUCUUGUUUUCCAACACCCUCCAAGUUGUAACGUGGGUCGAGGGUAAAGCGUUAAUCCUCCAAAAGAAUUUGAACAUACGUGAGCUUUCCCUUUCCAUCUCUCCCCUUAAAAUACCAUAAGUUGAAUUAACCUAAAACUCAAGAGACUCACCAACGUGUCAAAUCCAACUGUCAUCGAAAGUCAAAAUCGGACUCGUACCUUGCACUACCUCAAGUAGUUGACAUACCUGAAGCUUCUCCCACUCAAAGAGGCCCCUUCUCCAAAUUAAAUUCUCCAACCAUACACUAUUAAUCCAAUCCCCACAAAGAUUCAACGAAAUAUCUUUAUCAACACUAAGGGAGUAAAGUCUAAAAAAUUUACUCUUCAGAGUAACAUUACCCACCCACCUGUCUUCCCAGAAAGAAAUAGUCUUCCCGUUACCAACUUCCCACUUAAGGCAGUCUUCAAAACUCCUACCCCACUCUUCCAACCUCCAAAACUCCUUCAAGUCCCUCAACUAGAGAGAUUCAUAGUUGUUCAUCUUAUGUUCUUUCAUAGAUCUCCAACCUCCAUGCUUAGACUCUAGAAUCUCCUUCCAUAAACCACCCUUAGUUGAACCAACUGCCAAAUCCAUUUUCCCAGCUAGGCCGUGUUAAGGACCUUAAUAUCAAUAGUACCAAGUCCUCUAACAUCACGAUACUCACACACUUUUCCCCAAGAAGUCAAGCAAUCUUCCUCCCAUCAGACCUCAAACCCCAAAGGAAGUCCCUCUGAAUUUUCACAAUCUUCUUUAACACAACUGAAUGUAUUUUGAAUAAGGGUAAGAAAAACAACGAAAAAAAAAAUAACGCUAAACCCUAAAGGAUCUAAAAAUAAGGCUACCAUUGUCUUUGCAUGGAAAAAAAUAUAUUUUCUCUACUUCUUAUUUAUAUAAGCACAAAAGAGUUUGAUAAGUUUAAACUAUCAUUCUUACGUGUCUUCAAUUCAACUAUAAUAAUCCAUUUCAAAUCAAACUUAAACUCAACAAAAUUCAAUCCUAACUAUUUAAAUUUAUGUCAUUUUGCACUUUUUCUAAAUCCAUAUAUCAUAUAAGUAAAUGUGCAAUUUCAAUUUACAAAUAUAAUAAAUCACACACCAAUAGAUACACGUACGAACUUAAAUCAUUUCAUAAUAUAUAUAUAUAUAUAUAUAUAUUAAUUGGCAAAAAAAACAAAUGAAAUAGUAUGAGGUAUUUCAGGGAUACCAAACCCUUAUACAGAGAACUGACUAAGAUACUCAUCUUCAAACAACCUGGCAACAAUUGGAUAACCAACAAGACACACUCAAAAGAUUGUACAUACCUAUCUCCUAGAUACUUUGACUGACUUCAUACAAGUCAAGGGCUCAAGACACCAAUCUGAAUACGAAAAAUUUACACCAUGCGCUUUAGACAAAACCCAUGACCAAGCCUUCAUUUAUGCCAUGGUAAAAAUUUCGAAAUGAUUUAACCUUCCACCUCUGAAGAUCCUCAUAUUCCUGUGAUACCACAAUUCUCCUACAACAGCUAUCCACACACCUCCCCAUAUCUGAUUAACACUUUCCUUAACCCCAUUCAACCUAAAACCUUCAUAAUGUUUCUUUGGCUCCUUAUGAUUCGUCACUGCCAUCCCUAUCCACUCGUAGCACUUAGCCCACAUGAGCCAGACAACUUUUCAAGUACAAAAAAGAUGGGACGUGGUUUCCUCCUCCUCCUGCACAGACAACACGUAAUAGUAGUCAUACCUAUCCCCCUUCUAACCAAGUUUGCUUUAGACGUUAUUUUGUCUUCCAGAACCUUCCAAGUUGUGAGAUGUGAAGACGGGUUUGCCUUCAUUCUUCAGGACUCCCCAAACAUCUCACUAUCCUGCCCCUGAACUCUUUGUUUGAGGAUAUUGUAUGCGGACUUGACCGUGAACGUUGUUGUCUCUUUACCUUUCCAAACCCAAGAAUCUUCCUUAUCCAUCACAAACCUCUUUUCCCCCAUCACUUGCAUCAGUUGUUGUUCUUGUUCCUGUUCCACUCAAAAAUAUUCCUCCUCCAUUUGAUCUUCAAAGUCCACUCUAAAUUCUGUGUCCUCUCCCCCGCCUAUCGAAUAGUCGAAACCUUAUUUGAACAGAUAGAGAAGAGUCUUGGGAAAGUGUCUUUGAGAUUCGAGUUGCCAGUCUAUCUGUCCUCCCAUAGCCUUAUCUCCUUCCCAUUCCCCACCUCCCAGGAAAAGGUAUCCUCAAAAUUUCCUUUCCACUCUUCAGAAGACCAAACCUCCUUCAAAUCCCUCCACCAAAGAGAAUGAGUGUUACUUUUCCUUUGGCUCCUAGGAUCCCUCCAUCCUCCGUAUUUUGAGUCCAGAACUUCUUUCCACAAACCCUUCUUUUCACUACCUAAACGCCAUAUCCAUUUUCCCAACAAGGUAACGUUGAAUCGCCUCAAGUCGAUCAUUAUGAGUCCUCCUUCCUCUUUUGACUCAUACACCUUCUUCCACGAUAUAUAGAUGUGUAUAUAUAUAUAUAUAUAUAUAUAUAUAUAUUCAUUUAUUGUUUUAGUAUUCAUACCUAGAAAUUAUAUGCUUACUCUUCCCACAAGUAACAUUUUUAUGAUUUGUUCUUAUGAAGUGACCUUCUAUAAAUAUUCCGCCAGAAAAUUGAAAUUGCCAUGCAAAUCAGUUCCAAAUUUUCUGGUGAUUAUUUAAUCCGUAAUUGUAAACGAAGAUGAUUUCUGGAAGUGCAAAGCAAAAGAGAAAAAAAUCAUGUUCUAACUGUUAAAAAUGAUAGUAGAUUUACGUCGUUAUUUCGCAUUUUGUUGCAUUGUUUAGUUAACAAAAGUAUUUGACAACUCAGAACAAAAAGCUAAAGCAACUAAGCUAUUAUAUAUAUUAUAUAACCUAAUACAAAUUGAAAUACAUUAAUGAUAGAAGCAUACCGAUAGUUGCAGCGUGUAUUCUAAGCUCCGAAUGAAGUCAACGGCGUCUUCAUCUAGCUACACCCACUGGAUCCAUGACGUGUUCUUGAAUUUCAGAGGAGACGACACGCGCGAGACUAUCGUGUCACAUCUCUACGCCGCACUCUCGAAUGCGGGGAUCAACACUUUCAUCGACGAUAACAUUUUGAAGGGAACGGUGUUGGGGGCAGAACUGGUGCGAACCAUACAAGGCUCUCAGAUAUCCAUCAUCGUUUUCUCCGAAAACUAUGCUUCUUCUAAUUGGUGUCUUAACGAACUGGUAGAAAUCAUGGAGUCUCGCAUAGCUUACGGCCAGAAGGCGGUGCCCUUGUUUUACCAUGUUGAUCCGUCGCAUGUUCGUAAUCAGGAGGGUGGUUUUGGACAACAGUUGGAAGCACUUGCACAAAAUUGUUUACCUCAAGGGUUGAACGAUGAGGUGUUAAUGAUAUGGAAAAAUUCACUCUGGGAGGCUGCAAAUCUUGCUGGUUGGCAUGCAGUGAAUUUCAGGUAUAUCUAAUCUAUGUUGUCUACUUAUUUUGGAUCUCUUCCAACCAUUUAAUGGCAUUUUGACAAAUUUUAUGUAAACACUUAGAAAAAAAAUUGGGUAAAUUGAAAAUGAUCUUUUUAGAGAAAAAUUAUGUAAAUUAAAUUAUGUUUAGCUUAUGAAAGAGUUCAUUUUAUUUUUUAUGUGUUUAUUGAGAGAAUUUUCUAAAAUGAUAGUUUUCUUUGCUUAGUUUUUUUUAUUCAUUCGAGAUUUUACAUUCUUUAAGUCAAAAUAUUCAAUUUAGGUAUGUUUUUAUCUCUUUUCUAUUUAUAUUAUUAAAGAAAUAAUAAUUAUCAAAUUAUACGUUAUUAUUGUAUGUAAUAUUGUAAGGGCAAUUAAUUUAAUAAUUAUAGAAUCUCAUGAUUAGUGGAUCCCUACCUAAUGUAAUUUGGAGAGAGAAAGUCUUCCUACACUAUAUAUAUUUCUUAUGCAUGAAAAUACAUGAAGUGAUGUAAAUAUACACAUAAAAGAAUAAAAAUUUCUUCUUUCUUCUUAUCAUUCUUACCAUCUUCUUACAUACCUUUUCUUAUAUGAUAUCAGAGCACCGAUCUUGGUGCUCUGACAGCCACUCCAUUUUUAUCCGCUAAAUAAGAGAUAAUGUCUGGCAAAAAGGCAGAUAGAAACCUCGUACAAGGUUUCACCGCCGAGCAAAUUCAGCAAUUGGCAAAGACUAUUUACUCACCCAACAAUAAUGGUAAAAGUGACAUGUUUGUUAGCGCUGCAAGUCUGCUUGUCCAUAACUCGUCUAUUAAUUCUGCUUUUACGAAAUCAUGGAUUUUGGAUAGCGGAGCAACCAAUCAUUUUACAUCUGAUUCACAAUUUUUCACACACACUUCAUCAUCAUUUAUUCCAAAUGUUAAUCUGCUCAUAGGCUCAACUGCGCUCAUCUCAUUGACGGGCAGAAUUAAAUUCAAUGACAAUAUCACUCUCAAAAUGUUCUUUCCUUCUUUUAAUUUAAAUCUCAUGUCCGUUAGUAAGAUAACCAGUUCACUAAAUUGUUGUGUCGUUUUUACUCCACGUGGUUGCGUUUUGCAGGACUUGGCUACGGGGAGGAUGAUUGGCUCGGGUAAACAACACGCAGGCUUAUACUACAUGUCCCCUCUUCCAAACCAAACCUAGCAUCUCUUAGAAUCAUUCAUUACUUUUACACAAAAACAAUUUCAGGCAUGUAUUAAAACCAUCCGCGUUGACAACGAAUUGAAAUUUAUUUCUACACGUAAUUUUUUUCUCAAAAAAGGUAUUGAAUGUCAACGCACUUGUGUUUACACUCCUCAACAAAAAUGGAGUAGUAGAAGACAUACAUAGACACAUUUUAAACAUAGCACGAGCCCUCAUAUUUCAGUCCCAUUUACCAUUAGAAUUUUGGGGAAUGUGUUUUAACUGCCACAUAUAUCAUUAAUCAUUUGCUAUAAAUCACCUUUUGAGAUGCUAUAUAAUCGUCCGCCUUCACUUUCUCACUUAAAAACUUUUGGUUGUCUCUGUUAUGCAACUGUUGUUUCACCUAAGCAAAAAUUUGAUCCGUGCGCUCGGCAGCUAUGUAGCACAGACACUGACUCGGAUACUGAUACGACACGAACACGGACACUGAUACGACACGGACACGAAGAUACCUAUAAUAUCUAAAAUGUAGGAAACGGAGACACGAAUCUAUAUAUUAUAUAAUUAUGAAUUAUAAAAAUUGACAAUAAAGAUUUAUGUGCACAAGUAUGUUCUAGAUUAUUUUUGGAACAGAAAGAUGUUUUUCAUGACUGGUUCAAAAGGAUUUGUUUCUUAUUUUUAUAAUCAUAAUAAAAAUUUAUACAAUAAGUUUGAGUUUUUAGAAAAUUAAUGUAUUUUUCCUUUUUAAAAUUGUGUUAGAACCGUACUAAAAUUGUCAGAAAUCCAACAAAUACUUUUUGAAUUGGACACUUCACGAAUACGUGUCCUACAAGUGUCAUACGAGUGUUAGUGUCCGAUAUGAGUAUCUGACACCGACACGCCAUUUAAGAUAAGUGUUUGAGCUUCAUAGCUCGACAGUGCAUUUUCAUUGGUUAUCCUCUCAAUCAAAAAGCAUACAAAUUAUUUGAUAUAGAUGCAGGCACUUUUUUUAUAAGUCAAGAUGUCAUCUUCCAUAAAAGUGUUUUCCCAUUCUGCCAAUAGUCACAGACGCAAUCCUCACUUCCAUUACAAGGUAUUUUGCCCACUAUUGACAUUGAGUUACCCAUUGCUAUCCAACAUUCACUUGAUCAACCUUCUUCUCUUACGAAUCACAAUGCACCUGAACCUCCAUCAAACCAACCUUCUUCUCUUACUCAUCACAAUGCACCUGAACCUCCAUCAAACCAACCUUCUUCUCCUACUCGUCAUAAUGCACCUGAACAUCCAGCAGACCAACCUUCUUCUCCCACGCCAAGAAGUCUAGCACCCAUCACCAAACCUUCUCCAACCGACCUUCUUGUUCGACGAUUCAGUCGCAUAUCAACCCCACUUUCCUGGCUUCAAGACUACGUAACGGGAUCCCAAUCCAAUCAUUAGACCACUGCCCAAGACCGGACGAAUGGAACCAAGUAUCCUAUGCAUCAUUUUCUUUCUAAUUCACGAUUUUCUUCUACACAUAGUGCAUAUCUUGCUAACAUCAUAGCCACCAAAGAACCUCACACUUAUGCUCAAGCUAUCCUUGAUCCAAAUUGGCAAAAAGCAAUGGACGAAAAGCUUUCCGCCUUGCAGCUAAAUCAAACGUGGACCUUGACACCGUUGCCCGCUGGGCAGAAACCCAUCAGAUGCAAAUGGGUCUAUAAAAUAAAGUACAACUCAGAUGAUAGCAUCGACAGAUAUAAGGCGCGCCUUGUUGCAAAGGGUACACUAAGGUGUCGACUAUUCUGAAACUUUUUGACCAACAGCAAAAUUAACAACUUUGAGGUAUCUCCUCACGAAAUUGGUUCACUCACCAGCUAGAUGUGCAAAAUGUCUUCUUACAUGGCACAUUGCAUGAAAUUAUUUACAUGGACUUGCCACCCGGACAUCAUCGACAGGGGAGAACUUUGUAUGUUGAGUCAACAAAUCUCUUUAUGGUCUCAAACAGGCAUCCCGGACAUGGUUUUCAACAUUUUCUCAUGUGAUUAAAUCUGUAGGAUUUCAACUGUCCAAGACAGACUAUUCUCUAUUCACAAGACAGAAUAACUCAUCAUUUACAACCCCUUUUGAUUUAUGUGGAGAUAUUCUUUUGAUAGGAAAUGAUUUGACAAAAAUUCAGACUGUCUAUUACAAUAAUUUCGCAUUAAAGAUUUUGGAGACUUAAAAUAUUUUCUAAGGACUGAAUUUUCCCGUUCCAAAGCUGGUAUUUACAUGUCACAAAGAAAAUAUGCGUUUGAUAUUUUGUAGGAAGUGCUCGUCCAGACACAUUUCCAAAGGAGUAAUACCUAAAACUCACACCAGACGAUGAGGAGUUAUUAAAGGAUCCAGUCAAAUAGUGACUCGUGGGACGAAUGAUAUACCUCACUGUUACUCGGCCUGACAUAGCAUUUUCGGUUCAGACCCUAAGUCAAUAUAUACAGGCUCCACGGAAACCUCAUUGUGAUGUCGCAAUUCGAAUCAUAAAGUGUAUCAAAGGAUUAUCGGGACCAGGAUUGCUAUUGCCAUCCGAGAACAAUCUGACAUUGACAACUUAUUGCGACUCAGACUAGGGAGAUUGUCAGAAAACUCGGAGAUCAACAUCUGGAUAUUGUAUUUUUCUUGGUUCUUCUAUUAUCUCAUGGAAGUCAAAAAAAAAUAGACAAACGUAUCAAGAUCAUUAGCGGAAGCAAAAUACCGCGCGAUGGCCAAUACUUGUUUUGAAAUAGUUUUGGUGGCGAUACCUGUUGCAGGAUUUAAAGGUGUCAUAUAACUUGUAGCUCAACUUGAGGGGAGUAUUGAGGAAAUGGUAAUUAUCAAAUUAUACGCAAUUAUUGUAUGCAAUAUUGUACGAUAUUAUACCUAAUUAUAUGCAAUUAAUUUAAUAAUUAUAGAAUAUCAUGAUUAGGUGAUCCUUCCUAAUUAGAUUGUAAUUUAGAAAAAAAAUGUCUCUUAUACAUGAAGUGAUAUACACAUAAGAGAAUUUCUUUCUUCUUAUCAUCUUCUUACAUACAUUUUUCUUAUAGAUACAAUUGAAUAGAUCUAAACAAUCCUUAGUGUCAUCAGGAAAUAAUUUAGUUAAUUAAAAAAAAUUGAAAAGAUUAAAAUAUACCAAAUUGACAAUUAGCCAAAAAAAAUAUAGCUAUUCUGAAAUUCAGUCACUAAAAUCGCAGCAAGAAAGAAAAGCAUGAACACCAGUAUCGCAUUUGUAUAAAGAAGACUAAAUUGCAAUUUAGCUUAAUAUUAUAUUAUCUUUUCCUAGUUUAUGCUUAUUCUGGUAUGCUUAUAACUAUUGAAGGAGUGAAGGUGAACUAGUGAAUCAAAUUGUUGAGGACAUUAUGGAAAAACUUGACUACGACUUAUUGUCAAUUCCUGAAUUCCCAGUUGGAUUAGAAUGGCGAGCGCAAGAAUUGAUUGAGUUCAUCAAUGGUCGAUCAGAAACAAGUUCUCUGUUGGGGAUCUGGGGAAUGGGUGGAUCGGGUAAAACAACCUUGGCCAAAGUAAUCUACAAUCAAAUUGGCAAGGGAUUCACCCGUAGAAAUUUCAUUGAAACGAAUAACAGAGGAUGUAUUGAUUUGCAAGAAAAACUUCUUUCAGAUGUCCUAAAAACAAGGGUCAAGAUACAUAGCAUUGCAAUGGGAAUAAGUUUGAUUGAGAACAGACUUUAUGGAGAAAAGGUUCUGAUUGUGCUUGAUGAUGUGACCGAGUUUAAACAGUUGAAAGCCCUAUUUGGAAAUCGCAAAUGGUUUGGUGAAGGAAGUGUGAUAAUUAUUUCAACCAGAGAUGUACGCCUACUAAAACUACUCAAAGUUGAUUAUGUUUAUACAAUGGAGGAAAUGGACGAAAAUGAGUCUCUUGAGCUUUUUAGUUGGCAUGCUUUUGGAAAAGCCAAACCAAGUGAAGACUUCAAUGAACUUGCAAGAAAUGUAGUUGCUUAUUGUGGAGGGCUACCACUAGCUCUUGAAGUCCUUGGCUCAUAUUUGAUUGAGAGGACAAAGAAAGAGUGGGAAAGUGUGUUGUCGAAACUGGAAACAAUUCCAGAUGAUCGAGUUCAACGGAUAUUAAGAAUAAGCUUUGAGGGUUUACGCAAUGACAUGGAAAAGGAUAUAUUUCUUGAUGUAUGUUGUUUCUUUAUUGGUAAAGACAGAGGCUAUGUGACAGAGAUACUAAAUGGCUGUGGACUAUGUGCUGAUAUUGGAAUAACAAUUCUCAUAGAACGUAGCCUCAUAAAAGUUGAAAGGAAUAACAAACUUGGAAUGCAUCCCUUGCUACGAGAAUUGGGAAGAGAGAUAAUCCGUGAAAGUUCAAGAAAGGAACCUGGGAAGCGCAGUCGAUUGUGGCUUAAUGAGGAUGCAGUGAAAGUAUUGACAGAGAAUACUGUGAGUAAUACUUCUUAUAUAUAGUUUUGGAAACUUGGUAGUGUUUGACUUUUCAUGUAUCACUUUCUGAAUGAGCUUACAAUAAAUAUUUCUAAAUUUACUUUUCUUUGCUCUUAUCAUCACAGGGAACAGAAGCUGUUGAGGGUUUGGCCCUGACACUGCAUUUGACCAGCAGAGAUUGCUUUGAAGCUUAUGCUUUUAAGGGAAUGAAGAGAUUGAGAUUACUGCAACUUGACCAUGUAAAACUAUCCGGAGACUAUGGGUAUCUUUCUAAGCAUCUGAGAUGGGUCUGUUGGCAUGGGUUUCCAUCAAAAUACAUACCCAACAAUUUUAGUCUGAAAGAUGUGAUUGCGAUUGAUUUAAGGCACAGUAAUAUUAGAAUUGUAUGGAAACAACCCCAGGUAUAAACCACAAGGUUAAUUCUAAUCGUAAUUUUCCACUAAGUGUUUGUUUGAUUUUUCAUUUUCUUCUCUAGUUUUAUAUCUUGUGUAGGUGUUAGGGUGGCUUAAAAUGAUCAAUCUUAGUCACUCCAAGUACUUGAUAGAAACCCCUGACUUUUCAAAACUACCAAAUCUUGAAAAGCUCGUUCUCAAAGAUUGUCCAAGUUUGUGUAAGGUACACCAAUCCAUUGGAGAUCUCCAUAAUCUUCUAUUGAUAAAUUUGAAGGACUGUAUAAGCCUGAGCAAUCUCCCAAUAGAGAUAUACAAGUUGAAAUCUGUGAGAACUCUCAUCCUAUCUGGUUGUUCGAAGAUUGACAAAUUGGAAGAAGAUAUAGCACAGAUGGAAUCCCUGACAACUCUACUUGCUGAUAAUACUGCUGUGAAACAAGUCCCCUUUUCAAUAGUAAGCUCCAAAAGCAUUGGAUAUAUAUCCUUAUGCGGAUUUGAAGGACUGGCACGAAAUGUUUUUCCUUCUAUCAUCCAGUCUUGGAUGUCACCAACAAUGAAUCCUCUCCUUUAUAUUAGUCUGUUUUCUGGCACAUCAUGUUCUCUGGUUUCCAUGAAUACACAAAAUAAUACUUUGGGUGAGCUUGUACCAAUUCUUAGAAGGCUUCCAGAUCUUCGAAGUGUUUUGGUGCAAUGUGAGACAGAGUUUCAACUGUCUAAACAUGUUAAAACAAUUAUGGUUGAAGAUGUUGUAAAUUUUACAGAAUUAGGAAUUUCAAGGCAUCACUUGAGGUCUUCUUUGAUUGGAGUUGGAAGUUACAAAGAAUUCUUCGAUAUUCUCAGCGAUAGGAUAUCUGAGGUUAAUUCCUUCUCUAGUUUUUACCUUUCUCUACUUUACCUUCACUGUUUAUUUUAGCUACUAAUUAAGAGAACUUGAAAUAAUCUUUAUGAUGUGUCUAAAAGAAAAUUCAAUAACCAUAUUCUAAUUUAAAAGUACAUGUUAAGCUGCAGCAAUUUAAUUUCCACUUUUUUCCACCCACACUUGUUUCGUGUUUGUUAGAUUCCCAUUGAACAUAAAAAAAAGUUGAAAGAUCUCUGAGACAUAAACAGAAAUGCAUUUAAAUUCAUAUUGAUCUGCUGUUAUAUAUACAGAACAAAACUAUUAACCAAAUUUAUUUGAAUUAGUUAUCAUUGCUGUGUUUCAAUUUAUGCAAUAAGUGGUCAAGGAUUCGAUCUCCAGGCUUGUGUGUAUAGAAAAAUAUUUGUUAAAAGAUGCUAGUCUGAUAAAUGAAUAUCUUUCAUUAUUUAAAAAACUUAGUCCUGAUUCUGUGAUGACAAAACGGAAGUUUGGGGAAGGAGAUGUAAUUUAGGUUCUUUUAACUCAAAACUCUAUAAAUUCUUAUAAAAAGAAAACUUAAUUUUCUUUCUAAAUUGGUGUAUUCAUGUUUUACAAAUACAUCCUUCUGUAGGGUUAAAUUAUGUGUCACUCUAGACAAUCAUAAUAAGUCUCUCUAAAUUCCACACUAAUACCUAAGUAGUCUUUAAAGUCCACUAAGAAUCUUUAAUGUCUAAUAGUAAGUAACUCCUACUAAUCUAGCCUUAAAUUCUCAGUAUAUGGGUCAUUAUUUUGCAUUAUGAGAACAAAAAUGGUUCAGCUUUCUCUUGUGGUUUUUAAUAUUCCUAUACGACAAUUCAACCUCUUAAUUAAAAAUAUAAUAAAAUUUACAAAGAAAAAAUGCAAAAUUAUACUGACACUCUUGAAAUCAUAACAGUUUGCCUCCCCGAAGUUAUACAAUUCACUUUAUUUUAUUAAAAAUGCUCAUUUUGUAAUUUUGGAAUGAUAAAAAAAUUAUUGUAGGGGUGACUAAGCUUGUUUUGUCAUGUUGCAGGGAUUGAAAACCAAUGAGGCUUGUGAAGUUUUACUUCCAGGUGACAAUGAUCCUUAUUGGUUGGCCCAUACAGGUGAGGGACAUUCAGUGUAUUUCACUGUGCCAGAGGACUGCAGCAUGAAGGGAAUGGCUUUGUGUAUUGUUUAUUUAUCAAACCCUGAAAUCACGGCAACCGAAAGUCUUACUAGUAUCUUAAUAGCUAAUUACACAAAGCGCACCCUGCAGAUACACAAGCAAGACACAGUGAUUUCCUUUAAUGAUGAAGAUUGGCAGGAGAUAAUAUCACAUUUGGGAGGUGGAGACAAUGUGGAGAUUUUUGUGACUUUUGGUCAUCACUUGGUGGUCAAGAAAACAGCUGUCUAUCUGAUGUAUGGUGAAUCAAAUGAUAUAGAAAUUGAGCCGCCUCAAUGCGAAUCGGAUGAUGUAGAAAUUGAGACGAGGCCUUGUGAAUCAAAUGGUUUGGAAAGUAAGCCGAAGCAUGGUGAAUCAAAGGAUAUCGGAAUUGUGUCCACGAACUGUGAAUCAAAUGAUAUCAAAAUUGAGCCCAAGCCUUGUGAAUCAAAUGUCUUGGAAAAGAAGUCUGAUGAUCCUAAGCCAAAUGGAAAUGCUUUCACUAGAUUAUUGAAGAAAUUUGCAAUGUGUGACUGGUAAGUCAUAUUCAUAUCCCUUUUAUGAGAACAAUUCAGAAUUGUGUUGUGGAAUUAAAUCCUAGUGUCCUUGAUUGUAUUUAAUUUCCUUCCAUCAUUUUAUUGUUUUUAUUUUGAGUAGCUUGUAGUUGGAAAAUUCACUUUAUUUUCCCUUGUUUCUCAGUCUAAGCUUAUGCCUCUUUGGUUGUCCUUGACCUGUUCAUUGUAUUUUCUUGGUGUUAUUUAUGAGAAUAUUUUUCGUGUAAAUUGAUUUUAAUACUCAACAAGCCAGUGGUCAUGCUCACCCACACGACUUCAUGAAUUGAUGUCCACUUUUUUCCUUCUACCUUUUUCUAGAAAGAAUGGGGUGAAGUAAAAGUUACCUUCAUUUUAUAAAUUGUCAAACUGAAUCUACCAAAAAAAUAAAAAAACUUCAUCUAUAGGGUCUUGAUUAAGAUUAUGUAUAUAACUAUGUACAUACACCCAUAUAAAUCCUAAUAUAAAUACUCAUGAAUGAACUUUACUACAUGUUUGACCUACAGACAUAAACUCAAAGAGAGUGAAUUAGAGAAUGUGGGACGCACAAACCUACAAAAACAUUAAUAUAAAAUUCAUAAAAAUAUAACACAAAUGUAUCAUAAAAUGAUGAAAUUUCCAAAGAAUAUGUGUCCCACUUUUUUAUAUACUUAUGAGAUUAUGUUUGUUCUUUUAUUGAUAAAAGUUCACCAAAAACAUCUAGAAAAUCAAGAAAUUUAAAUUUAAUGAGAUGUACCCUAUAGGUUACAAUGUUCUUGUUUAGUUGUUAGUUUGGCUGUGAUUUGACCACUCCCUAGCUUAACCAAUUAGAGAAAAUGGGAACAAUUACUUCAUGUAUGUAACUUCUUGUUGCACUCAAUUCAUAAAAAGUAUCUAAAAGAGCAUAAGGAUCUGAUCCUUUCUUGAAAACAAGUGCACUGAAACCAUAUUGAGAAUGCUAGUUUAAUUUCUGUUCCUCUUGCCUAUAGUGGAAUGACAAGUCUAGACGAAUGUCUUGGAUGUUCUCCUUGGAGAUUAAUUACUCUAUCAUCUCCUUGAUUUGCCUCCACCAUGGUCAACCAUGUCACUUAAUGUUCUCAUAGUAUGAGAUGCUUGUGAAUGUGAAAGAGAAGAAUCCUUGAUGCAAUCCUAUCUUGCAUUGCUAUGAUUCUUUUGUUUUGUAUUUUGAGGGUGCGGAAUUUGGUGGGAUUGGGUGGCUAAAAUGAGUAAAAGAAAUUGUGAAGUAUUGGUGUAUGGAGAAUGAUAAUAAAGCUUAAGAGAGGUUAGGCCAACUCCUAAGAGGUUCCUUGCUAAAACACUUAGAAAUAAGGCUAACAAAGAGUGAGCUAAGAGACUAUUCAAAGCUAAUUUACAAGGGGCCUAACACUUGUAUUUAUAGUGCUAUGGGUAGCCAAGGUGCAAACUUUAACCCUAAAAACUCACCACUCAUAGAAAGACAAAUGACUGUCUCUAAUUGGAGCAAAUCCUCUCAAAUUAGAGGUUGACAAGUGUCCUCCUCUAAUUGGAGAGAGUGCUCUCCAUUCCCAUGAAGACAAAUGUCCUUUUGGCAUUGGUGAGAAUUCUCUCCAUUAAGGAAAUGAUAUGUGGACCUUCAUACCUUCCUUGCCACUUCAUGAAGCACAAUUGUAACUCUAGCUAGACCCUUUUUUCUAUGAAAAUUGGCCCAAAUAUGGCCCAAGAAAAUGACCCAAAUAUUAUUAAUAUUAAUAAUAUUUUUAGUUAUUUUUUAAUUAAAUUUGAAAUAAUUUACACACGGAUUUUAUCCGUAUGUAAUAUUUUUAAUUAUUUUUUAAUUAAAUUUAAAAUAAGUACAUAUGAAUUUUAUCCGUAUGUAAUAGUUUUUUUAAUAUUAUAAAUAUUAAUAAUAUUUUUAGUUAUUUUUAAAUAAAUUUAAAAUAAGUUACAUACAGAUUUUAUUCAUACUAUUUAUAGUUAUUUUUUAAUUAAAUUUGAAAUAAGUUACAUACGAAUGUAACAGUUUUUUUUUAAUUAAAUUUUUAAUGUAUUACAUACGGACAUAAUCCGUAUGUAAUGCUUUUUAUUAUUUUUAAUUAAAUUUGAAAUAAAUACAUAUGGAUUAUAUCAUUAUGUAGUAAUUUAUAUUUUUUGAAUUAAAUUUUAAAUAUCUUACAUACGAAUUAGAAUCCGUAUGUAACAUUAAUUUUACAUACGAAUUUUUAUUGGUAUGUAAUUCGAAAUUUCCGUGUAGUCCCUGUACAAAGUUUAUAAAACUAGCUAAAAAUGGAAGAGCAGACAACAAUUAAUUUUCCUUGAGAUUAGAAUCUUUUGAGAUCCUUUUCUUGCUUCCAAUCUUUUUAGCCAAAUGUUUCGAGGUUGGAUGAGUUUUCAUCAAUGAGACUUGAAAACUAAUUUGCAUUUCUUGUUCACAGAGGCAGUAAAUUAUAAGUUCCCUUAUUCCUUAAAGUCAAACCAAGUUGAUUCCUUAAUCUUGGUUAUCAAUAAAUCUAAUCAUAAUAAUCAAUUCCUCGACUCAUGCAUUAAAAGAAUAACAAUGAUAGCUAAAUACAACUACUCUAUUCCCAACAGUUCAAAAUCUUUGGUUGAUUUAGUUUAUUUUAAAAAAAGAAAAUUUCCCAAUAAUAUUCAAGCUCUUGGAGAUCAAGUAAACGAAUUCCUAUAUUGUCAAACAUUAAGCUCAAAAUUAAAUCAAUUAAGAACAAAAUGUACUUGCAUAUGUAAAUCAAGGAAUCACAUAAAAGUUAUAAUGAGAUUCAAUCCCAAUAACAUAGGAUGUUAGCUACUCAUUAUGAGUAGGUUGAUUCAAUAAAUACAAUGAUAACCUACAACUAAGGAUAUUACAUUCUAAACUAACUUUAGUUCUCUUCCUCACCUGGACUAGUCCUUUCCUUUCUAUUUAUAUUGCAACAAAUUGGCCUCAAGUUUACUUCCCAUACUCAUGGGACCACCUUUCUUCAUUUUGAGGGCUUCCCAUGUUCUGAGUGCAACUAUGUCUUGUUAAGCAUAUUUUGAGCUCAAAUUGCACCCUUUUCUGUGGAAUAUGGUCGUUCUAUUAGAAUAGUGAUAAAUACCAUAAUUCAGUAACAUUUCAUACAAAUACAUAGGUACUUAUGAACUUUAUUUGAUAAAAUAGUUAUAAUUCAACCUCUAAAUUAGGAAUUUGAACACUUUUACAUAUUUUUGGAUUAUAAGAUGAAUAUGAACGAUUUAUUCCCAAAUUUGUGUUAAUUUCAGGAAUCUAGAAGAAAAUGGAGAAAAAAGGACUAAAGGAGAAUGAAAAAGUUAAAGACAAGAUGAAAAGACAAAGCUGGAACUUUGAAAACUCGCCCAAGUAAGAUCACUCCAGAGCAAAUCGCCCAAGGCUCGCUUUAGCGAGUUAAUUAACUCCAGUGAAGUUGGGAUUUUUCUCAUAAAACUCGCUUAAGUAAAGUAAUAACUUGCUUAAGUGAGAUGUCACUUAGCCCAAGCCCAAUUAGGUUAAAUCAAAUUCGUGACGCAUAACCCUAGACAUCAUUGGGAGGAUAUGGAUAGAUAGAAAAUCCUAGAGGAGGAAUCGUCAAGGAGAAACACUGAAUCUUCUUUUCUUGUUUUCCAUACUUGUAAUUGCCAAUAUGAGAGACUAAUUCUUUCCUUUGGUAUUGAGAAUAAUUUGUUCAAACUCUUAUGUAUUGAGGUGAUAUUUAAUUGUAAUAUUCAUUUCUUGAUUGAUGAUUGAUAUUAUCAUUUUAUUCUCAAAACUUGAGACUAUUAAUGAUUUUGAUCCUUAGAUUUGACUGGAAAGUACUUCUAAGUAUCUGACCUAAAUAAUAAUGCUUAACAUAUUUAUAUGUUAGGAAAACUCAAUUAAAUAAACUAAUUGAUUUACUAGUUCAAUUUAUUGUAAAAAGCACAAGAGCAAUUUUAUCAAAAUAUAAACUAGUUGUUUCGAGAAUUCAAUCAAUUGAUUUACAUGCAAAACACUGUAAAGUAGACCAUAUACCAGAUAUCAGAGUAAGAUAGAUAGAUAAUGCACAAAAGAUUUAUAUUGGUUCACUCUUAACCAAGAGCUACAUCCAAUCCUCAGCACACAACUGCAAAUUCACUAAAAACAAUUAAACAAGAUUACACGAGAACAACAAAAAGUGUUGAUUUUGAACCCCAAGAACAUGAAACACUCUUAACCACACACAAAAUUCAGAAACUCUAUCUGAAUCUGUUUACAACAUAAAACAAGGAGAAAAAAUAAAGUUCGAAUACACUUGGGUUCAAUACAAAUGAAGAACAAAAGAAUUGAUAACCUUAAAACCUUCUUCACAUCACAACAAUGAUCCAAGAUACAAAUGUAAUCUCCCCACUUUCCUUCACCACCCAAUGCAGUCAACCCAAUUCACAUCCAACAAACCUAUUCUCAAUCUCUCAGUGUAGCAAUUGUUGUUUUCACCCAAACCUAUUCUCAAUUUGCUUGGUGUCUUCAUCAACUUCAACAAAUAAUCAAAUGACACCAAACUUAUUUUCUUUUUCAGCAAAGAAUAAAAUUAAUCCCAACCCGUAUUAAAAAAGCAAGAUAUUUUCACCAUGAAUGGACAAAGGAUUCCCACAAAAAAGCCCCAAAAACCAAAAGAGUUGCUGCCAUAACAACACCUAUAAAAAACACUUACAGCAGAACAAAAAACUGCACCUAUAUUCCUAAAAAAAACAGCUACAUUCCUACAUAAAACAACACCCAAAGAAGCAUUUUACACUAGAAAAGGUUUUACCAACACCUCCAAGAUCAACAUCUGCGUGGUUCGGUUCAAUUGUUCCCAGCUCCUACAAAGUUACCAUUCAUCAUUAUUUAGUGUUUGUAACAAAAACAUGAUCUUGGGACCAUUCCAGUGAUAGAGAAAGUAACAUGGCAUCUUCCUUUAAACCUGAAUAUUCCUUCAAUUCUUACACUAAAUAGAGUCUCGUAACCUUGGCAACACCAACAUCAUCAAUCCUCCCCCAGCCAGCAACAAAACCAAACAUAAAAAAUCGGCCGCUGGACCUGUAUUCUCUGUAAGAAAUUAUGUAAAUUAAUUUCUAUAAAGUGACUCACAUGACUUAGAGUUUGGGCUUUGGGCCCAAAUAUGAUUUAAUAAUAAUAAUAGAAUAAAGGCCCAUUGGUUAAUGUGAGAAAUAUAUAUCUGAUGAUAUACCUAAUGGAAAACCUACAUCUGAUGGAGAUUGGGUACUAAAGGCUAUAGGGUUCUGUCUCUGCAAAUAAUAGUUGUCUCACGGUUAACCAUCACGAAAGUGUGUGACAAGUACGGAAUUGCUAAGAGAUAAUUUGGGAUAAGGAGAUAAAGUAACUACUCAAUUAGGAUCACUCAUGGAUCAAGGUAAGUGCCUAUUCCUUCUUCAUUAUAUGUUUAAUGUUUUGUGUGAGAAUCAUGAUAUGAUAAGAUCUAUUUGUGAACAUAAUUGUAUGUGUUCAAUUUACGUUUAUUCAUGUUUUGACUUACAUUCUCUUCAACGCAUGCACCUUUGUGAUUCCUUUACAUAGACUCAUCCAUCCUUCCUUCCAUCAAGAGUGGCUUCCCAUGGACUUUCCACACUCUUUCCCUCUGAAUCAAGAUUAGACAAAUUCUUUGGUCAUAUUAUCAUUUUUAUUAUACUUAUUAUUAUUAAGAUAAUUUAUACAUAUUAAUAUAAUUAUUAAUAAUAAUAAAAAAAUAAAUUAUAUUCAUAUUAUUAAUAUUAUUCAUAUUAUUAAUAUUAUUCAUAUUAUUAAUAUUAUUCCUAUUAUUAAUAUUUAUUAAUAUUAUAUUCAUAUUAUUCAUAUUAUUAAUAUUUAUUAAUAUUAUUCAUAUUAUUACUAAUAUUAUUCAUAUUAUUAAUAUUAUUACUAAUAUUAUUAAUAUUAUUACUAAUAUUAUUAAUAUUAUUACUAAUAUUAUUAAUAUUAUUACUAAUAUUAUUAAUAUUAUAUUCAUAUUAUUCAUAUUAUUAAUAUUAUAUUCAUAUUAUUAAUAUUGUUAAUAUUAUUAAUAAUUAUAAGUAUAAUAAUAAUAAUCAUAAUAAUACUAAAGAAUUUGCUUGGUGUGCAUCAUCUCUCAUAUCAAGCUCUUGUAUAACUUCUCCAUUUAUUUUUAACAAAGUUGUCAAACUCCUUAUCUUCCUGCCAAAUGUCAAGAAACCUGAAUGGUUUUGGUCCCCAAUCUGUCAUGUUUGAUUUUAACACCAAUGCACAGUGAUGAAAUAUUUGUCUAUCCAAGACAUAUUGUUUGCUGCCCGAUCAAUGUUGCAGCCAUUCAAAGGUGGUUAAAAACCUAUCAAGCCUGCUUUUAGCCUUGCCAUUAGGUCUAUACCAGGUAUAUUUCCUUUCAAUACAGGGUAUAUCAACCAUCUCCACACUAUCAAUGAAAUUAUUAAAACCUUGCAUUUCUCUCUUAUUAUCACUGGCUUGACUCAUCCCUCUUCGUUCCCCUUCACUUCUUAUAGAAUUGAAAUCCCCCAAUAUGCACCAUGAGUUACAAGGUUCCCUUUGUCUGAUUUCUUUUAAUUCCUCCCACAUUUACAAUUUCGUUUGAAGAUUACAUGAAGAAUACACAUUUGCAAUGACAACAGGAAUAUUACUGUCCCUAAAAAUCCCAAGAAACACUAUGAACCAUCUAUUAAUAAUAUGAUUAGAACACUGGAAAUUUUUUUUGUGCCAUAUUGUAAGAAUACCACCUGCUCCAUUAACUGGUUCACUGUAUAGAUAAUCUAUAUCAUUAUCCCCCAUAACUGACAACAAUUGUUUAAACUGACAUUUACCAUUUUCACUUCUUGCAAGCAUACCAUUAUGACACCUUCCUUCCUGAUGAUAUCUUUAAUAUAUCUCCACUUCACACGACUCCCGAAUCCUCUCAUAUUUAUAGAAAAGAUUCUCAUUGAUAACCCAUAUUUUUCCCCCCUUCCCUUAUUGCCGACAUGUUUUGGCCAUUUAUUAUAAAAUUUAGCCAUCUUAUGUACGUCUUCAGAAAGGUGAUUUUGAAAAAGCCUUCAAAGCAACUGCACACUAAACAUUUUCAGGACAACUGGAGCAUGGCAUGUCCAGAUGGAGCCACGCACUCACGAAAGUUGCAAAUUUCUUUGAAGGAGUGAUCUCGAACUAGUGGAAAAAAUUGUUAAGGGCGUUCUUAGUUUACCAGUCUUGUCUGCUACUAAAUUUCCAGUUGGAUUACAAUCCCGUGUGGAAGAUGUGAUUCGAACCAUCAAAAAUAAAUUCACCCAAUUUUUUACUAUAGCGAUAUGUGGAAUAGGAGGAUAGGGUAAAAUCACCCUUGCCAAAGUCAUUUACAAUCAAAUUCAUGGUACAUUAACAGAGAAAAGUUUUAUUGAAGAUAUUGCACAAGUUAGUCUAAUAAGAGGGCAUGCUCAUUCACAAGAACAUCUUCUUUCAGAUGUCAUAAAAGCAAAGGUGGAUAUACGAAGCAUUGAGAUGGUAAGAAGUAUGAUUUGGGAAAGACUUUAUGGGAAAAGGGUGCUCGUGGUCUUGACGAUGUGAAAGAGUUGGUCCAUUACACCUAUGGGUUAGUAGUUCAUGGUUCAGUGAAGGAACUAUAAUGAUCAUUACAACAAGAGAUGAAUUUUUUUUGGAUAAAUCCAAUGAACGCAAAUGAGUCCCUUGAGCUUCUUAGUUGGUACACUAAGAAUUUUUUUUGAAUAAAUCCAAUGAACGGAAAAUAUUUGUUACUUGAUGUAUGUUGUUUCUUUGUUGGUAAAAGUAGAUCCUGUCAUAGAGCGUAGCCUCAUAAAAGUUAAAAAACAACAACAAAUUUGGAAUGCAUUAUUUGCUAAGAGAAAUGGGAAGAGAAAUUAUUCGUGAAAUUUCAAGAAAUGAACCUACCUGGGAUUAACAGUCCAUUGUGGCUUCAACAAAACAUGCUCUGUCAGAGAAUACUGUAAGAACAUUCUUACUCCAUGGUUUUGAAAACUUUUUUUGGAUGUGUUUGCUUUCUCAUGAGCAAUAUAUUUGUUUUUCUUAGUUCUUUUCAUCACAGGGGACAACACUCAUUCAGAGAUUUCUUCGAACGUUAUCCUUUAAAGGUAAGAAACCCAUCAAGACUGCUGAAACUAGCUGGAGAUUCUGAGUACCAUUAUAAGAAACAGAGAUGGGUCAGUUUGCAAAGGUUUUUUUCAAAAUACCUACCUAACAACUUUUAUCUGCAUGAUGCAAUAGCGAUUGAUUUAAAUCACAGUCUUCUUCUAUUAGUCUGGAAAGAACCCCAGGUUUUUAUUACGUGCCAUUUUCUUUUAAAACUCAACUUAAAAUAAAAAUAAAAAUAGUAUUUGUUUCCACUAAUAACUAUUUUUUUCUUCAUUUUCAUUUCUAAUACUUCUUGAAGGUUUUGGCGUGUCUAAAAGUCCUGGAUUUAGUUACUCUAAGUACUUAGAAAAACCCCAGACAUUUCGAGACUACUAAGUCUUGAACAGCUCAUUCUCAACUAUUAUCAUGAAUUAUGCGAAGUACACCAAUCAAUUGGAUGUCUCUGCAAUCUUAUGCUGCUAAAUUUGAAGGACUAUACAAGUCUAAGCAAUCUCCCCAGAGAAAUAUGUAAGUUGAAAUCUUUGAAAACUCUCAUUCUUUCUGAUUGUUCGAAAAUUGACCUAUUGGAAAAGGAUACAGAACAAGUGCAAUCUUGAGAACUCUAAUUGCUGAAAAUACAGCUAUGAAACAAGUGCCAUUUUCAAUUGUAAGCUCAAAAGGAAUUGGAUACUUAUCCCUAAGUGGAUUUGAGGGAUCAUCACAUAAUCUUUUGCCUUCUGUCAUUCGGUCUCAGAUGUCGCCACCAAUGAAUCCCCUAUCUUAUAUUAAUUCCUUCAUGCACAUGAAGGAUAAUAGUUGGGAUGAUAUUGCACCAUUGCUUAACAGCCUUGCAAAUCUUCAAAGUGUUUUGGUGCAAUGUGACGCCGAGUUUCAACUAUCCGAGCAAGUAAAAACUAUGUUAGUCGAAUGUGGUGGAAACAUUACAGAAUCAGGAAUUUCAAAGCAGCAGGUCUUCUCUAACUGGUGUCGGAAGAUACAAAGAAUUCUUCUAUACGUGACUUGUACAUAAAUGAAAACUGUAAAGAAACUUAUAAAUGUAAAUGAAAAAGAAUUGAUAUAUUUAAAUAAAACAAAUAGGAUCAGUAUAAAUAACGAGAAAUGAAAUUAAACUUUGUUUAUUUAGUCUUAAAGGAGUGAGGCUACGGUGCUUCUCAUGUUGAAACAAAAACAGAGACUACAAAGCAGAUAGCAAGGCAAAACACAUAACAAAUCAUCGAACUGCAGCUAUCUUUAUUUCAUAAUGUAAUAUUUUUUACGAGAAUUUCUAAAAGCAAUAUUAUAUGCUAAAAAGGGAAAAGAAUUGAAAAAAGUAACAACCAGAAAGAGAAUAAAAUAAACAGCUCAAGUAAAGCCAAGGAAGCACAAUGUAUAGAAACAAGUAAGAUAAACAUGAAUUUCUUAUCUGUAAGUUAUACUCAAAGAAAAACAUGGAACGGAAGAGAAAAAAUAAAUUGCAAUAAAGGGACACAAGGAUUAAUUCCAUACCUCAAGGAUCCUGCUGUUCUCAAAGAAGAUAAAUGAGCUACUAGAGAAGUCAAAUUACAAAUUUCUUUAGAAAUCUAAUGAGAGAAUUUUUCUUUGGUGCAGGCUCCUUUUCUAAGUCAUUUAAUUCACUACAUAUUAGAUACAGUUGUGUUCUUGACUACCAAUCCAUGACCGAAAGUCACAAAAAUUUCCACCUUGUCUCCUGAUCCUAAAUUUGACUUUAUGUCAUGCCAAUCUUCAUCAUUAAAGGAAAUUAAAGUGCCAUGGUUGUGUAUCUGACAUGUGCACUUUGUGUAAUUAACAAUUAACACACUUCUAAGACAUUCAGUUUCCAGGCUUUCAGGGGUUGAUGAAUAAACGACACACAAAGCCAUUCCCUUCACCUCAUGAUCUCGAGGUAUUGUGAAAGAAACAGAAUGUCCCUCACCCAUAUGGGUCAAACAAUAAGGAUCAUUGUCACCUGGGAGAGAAACAUCACACGACUCACUGCUUUCAAAUACCUGUAUCAUGUCAUAAACAAGGGCAUGUUUAGUUAAACAAAAAUGUUAUACUUGAUUAAAAUGUAUCAUAUGUAGUUUCUACUAGAUAUUUCAUUAGGAUUAUUCUAUUUUCUCUCAAAUAAUAGCUAAAAUGAUGACAAAGGUAAUAAACAAAGGGAAAGUUAGAGAAGAACCUUAGGUAUUCUAUCGAUCACAGUAUUGAAGGAUUCUUUGUAUCUUCCAACACCAGUCAGAGAAGACCUGAGAUCAUGCUUUGUAUUCUUGAUUUUGUAAUAUUUGCACCAUAUUCGACCAGUAUAGUUUUUACUUUCUCGGAUAGUUGAAACUCGGCCUCACAUUGCACCAAAACACUUCGAAUAUUUGCAAGGCUGGCAAGUAAUGGUGCAAUAUCAUCCCAACUAUCAUCCUCCAUAUCCAUGUAGGAAUGAAUAUAAGAUAAGGGAUUCAUUUUUGGCGACAUCCGAGACAGAAUGAUAGAAGGAAACAGAUUAUGUGACAAUCCCUCACAUUCACGCAGGGAUAUAUAUCCAAUGCUUUUUGAGUAUGCAAUUGAAAAAGGCACUUGUUUCACAACUGUAUUUUCAGCAAUUAGUGUUAUCAAAGAUUCCAUUUGCAAUAUAUCUUUUUCCAAUAUGUCAAUUUUUGGACAACCACAAAGAAUUAGAGUUUUUAAAGAUUUCAACAUAUAUAUCUCACUCGGGAGAUUGCUUAGACCUGUACAGUCCUUCAAAUUUAGCACUAUAAGAUAGCAUAGACUUCCAAUAGAUUGGUGUACUUCGUGCAAUCUUGGACAAUCUUUGAGAAUGAGCUGCUGAAGACUUGGUAGUCUAGAAAAGUCGGGGUUUCUAUCAAGUACUUGGAGUGACUAAGAUUAAGGACUUUUAGCCACGUCAAAAGCUUCAUGAAGACAGUUUUCAAUAAAAUAUUAGAGAAGAAAAUGAGAAAACGAAAUAGUUAUAAGUGGAAACAAAUACUAACUUAAAAAGAAAAUGGUACGUAAUAAAAACCUGGGGUUCUUUCCAAACACAUCGAAGAAGACUGUGUUGUAAGUCAAUCGCUACUGCAUCAUGCAGAUAAAAGUUGUUAGGUAGGCAUUCUGAAGAAAACCCUUGCAAUUGGAUCCAUGUCAGUUUCUUAGAAAGAUACUCAGAAUCUCCAGCUAGUAUCAGCAAUCUUGAUGGGUCUCUAACCUCUAAAGGAUAAGGUUUGAAGAAAUCUCUUCUACUAAAAAACAUUUUCCCAGGCGAUCUCUGAAUGACAUUUGUCCCCUGUGAUGAUAAGAGUAAGAAACAAAUAUAUUCCACAUGAGAAAGCAACCACUUCCAAAAGAAGUUUAAAAACCAUAGAUUAAGAAUGUUCUUACAGUAUUCUCUGACAGUACAUAUUCAAACCACAGUUCACUGUUCUCAGAUUCCUUUCCUGAAAUUUGACGAAUAAUUUCUCUUCCCAUUUCUCGUAGGAACGGAUGCAUUUCUAAUUUGUUGUUCUUAUUAACUUGUAUGAGGUUACGCUCUAUGAGAAGUCUUAUUCCACUAUCGGCGGCGUCUAUUCCACAGCCCUUUAGGAUCUUCAUAACUUUGGCUCUGCCCUUGCCAACAAAAGAAGAACAUACAUCAAGGAAUAAAUCUUUUUCCAUUAUUUGAUUGCGUAAACCGUCGAAGCUUAGUCUCAAUAUAUGAUAAAAUUCAAGCUUGGGAAUUUUCUCUAAUUUUAAGAAUAUUGUAUUCCAUUCUUCUUUCGUCCUUUCAUAUAAAUAACUUCCAAUGACUUCAAGAGCUAGAGGUAGUCCUCCGCAAACAGUAACUAGUGUUUUUGCAAGGUCAUUGUAUUCUUUUUUUGGUUUUGCUUCUCUAAAUGCGUGCCAACUAAGAAGCUCAAGGGACUCGUUUGCGUUCAUUGGAUCUAUGCGAAAAACAGAAUCAACUAUACUCUGUAGGUCUUCGUCUCUUGUUGUAAUGAUUAUUACAGUUCCAGCACCGAACCAUCCACGAUUUUUCCUUAGGUCUAAUAAUGGAUAGUACUCAUGGAUCAUAUCGUCAAGUACAAUGAGCAUCCUUUUCAGAGAAAGUCUUUCCCGAAUCAUACUUCUUCCCAUCUCAACACUACUUAUCUCCACCUUUGUUUUUAGGACAUCCGAAAGAAGUUGUUCUUGUAAAUGGACAUGCCCUCUUGUUUGACUAACUCGUGUCAUAUCUUCAAAGAAACUUUUUUCCAUGAAUGUACCGUGAAUUUGAUUGUAGAUGGCUUUGGCAAGGGUGGUUUUACCCGAUCCUCCCUUUCCACAUAUCUCUAUUGUAACAUCUUGGGUGGAUUUUUUUUUUUAUGGUUCGAAUCACAUCUUCCACACGGGAUUGUAAUCCAACUGGAAAUUCAGUAGCAGACAAGACUGGUAAAUUAAGAACGGUCUUAACAAUUUUGUCCACUAGUUCAGCAUCACUCCUUCAAGGUCAAUAACAAUUAUAGAACAAGUCAUGUAUUACAAAAGUUGAAGUACAAGCUUAGUGAAUGAGUGAUUUACCUGUAAUUGCUCUCAUCCCAUCCAAAGAAAUUUGCAGCUUUGGUGAGUGCGUGGCUCCACCUAGACAUACCAUGCUCCACUUGUUCUGCUGAAAACGUUUGGUGUGCAGUUGCUUUGAAGGCUUCACCAAAAUCACCCAUUUGAAGACGUACAUCAGAUGGCUGAAUUUCGUAAUAAACUGGCAGAACAUGCCGGCAAUAAGUUUCGUGCCAUUUGAUGAUUUGUUGAAGCUGAUGAAGACACCAAGCAGACUGAGAAUAGGAUUUGGUGAAAACAACAAUGGCUACACGAGAGAGAUUGAGAAUAGGUUGUUGGAUGUGAAUUGGGUUGAGUGCAUUGGGGUGGUGAAGCAAAGUGGUGAAGCCAAAGGCAGAGAGGGCAGAAUCGAGGUGAGAAACAAAUUUUCUUUGGAUGUCUUCUCCAUUAAAGUUUAUGAGAACAUCGUACAUCUGCGGGAGUUUGGACGAUGAAGACUCCAAUUCCAUGGAAGAAAUUGAUGACGUCAUGAAGUGUUAGAAGAGAAAGCAAGCAAUAAUGGAACACAGUCAAAAAAAGAUUAUCUGUAGAGACACAAAACCAUUCAAAGUAGCCAAAGAUUAAUGCAUUUUUUUUUAGUCGUGGAAGCGCGUGAAUCGCAGCACCCAUUUUACUUUAGCCACUUAAGAAGUUCGACCAAUCCACUCUGAACCACUGAAAAAAUAUUACACUAAUAAGUAUAUUAUUGUUCUAAUUAUAUUCUGUUUUUUUUUUUUUUACUUUAGGCACGUAUCUCUUUAAAUAUUAAAAGAAUAAAAAAUAAAGUUUUUUUCCACUUUACCUUGAUGUAUUUACACUAGUCGGUCAGAUGACAUUCGAUACUGGUGUUAUAUGAUCGUUUGGCCUCGAUCGGUACAUUUGCCUCCCAAGCUCAAGGGAAAUCUUUCCAGAAGAGUCUAGAUGUGCUCAUUUUGUCCUUCGAGGUUGGAGGGAACAAGGCUAAACGUUUGUCUUUGCAAAUUCGACGUUGAUGGAACACUUUUCAUGAUGUUUCUUAAAAGUGAGAAUUGUAAUUGCCCCAUGUGAAUAGAUCUGACGGUUCUACUAUGUUUCAAGUCGGUACGGUUAGACCCAUUAGAUGUGAGUAGAUCUAACGAUUCUGAGGGGUACGACACUUCACGUUCCCGUGGUAGGACAUCAAUAAAUAGUUGUUCCCUUCAUGUGUGUAUCUUUGUUAAUUCUCUUUGACUCCAAAUACCAAGUUAUAUUCCGAGUAUUGAAUUGUGGAGAGGUGUUUUACACUCUAUUCAAAAGGUUAGUGAUUUCUUCUUCUGAGUCUUCGUAUUUGUCUUCCUCUUCAUCUGGGGGGAUUUGGUCGUGAAGGGGAACGACUUGAAACGGUUGUUUAGCCCAAGUGGGGCUAUUGACCUUGAUGGAAGAGGGCCCAAGCUCACCACACUAUGAAAGCCAAAAGACUAAGACUAGCUUCACAAAGGAGCGUCUAGCCUCUCAAAGGAGCGUCUAGUCUUCCAAAUGGAGCGUCUAGCUUCACAAGGGAGCGUCUAGCCAUGGCUACAUAAGGAGCAUCUAUGAAGAAGUCCUAGACCGUCUAGCUUCACACACACAUGAGCCAAGCUACGGUUUAGGAAAAGAAGGCUUUGUUGCAUAAAGGCCCAUUAGGGGUACUUAGUAGAUAGGAUAGUGUAGAAAGCACUUUGUGAAGGAAACAUUCUAGAAACUAGGUUAGUGUGGCCGGUCAUUGCACAUGGCACAUGGCUUAGGUUUUACAUUUAAUUUUUGUUUUCUUUUCAUUAGAAAGUAGCUUACCUUUUACGUCCAAGAUGGCCUAUAAAUAGGAAGGCUAUCUCAUUGUAUUUGACAAGUUUAAUUGAGUAUUGUUAUGCUGCCAAUUUUGUGCACUAGCUUUACUUCUCCUAGAAAUCUAGGCUAUAAACUUCAAUCCUUCACCUUUCUCCCUUGAGCUGGCCGAACCUCUCAAACCCAUACUCAUCAUGCACCUUCAAAGCCAACACAACUCCUAGGAGGGCUUUGUUUCACUCACCCAUUGCUUCCGCAUCACUUUCACUACUUUGAUUCAAGAAGAACACAUGAAAAUGCCAUCAGACCUUCUAGCCGAUUGCCUCGUCGGGUUGGUUACGACUAGGUAGAUCCUUGUGUAGUCGAGCAUAUCACAUAGUACCGGGGCUUAUCCUUGGUCGACUCCUUCGUGUCAAAAGUGUCUAUGUUAAAGUCGGACACACCUUUAAACUUUGUUACAACCGACUGCUGCAACACCUCUAAAAGUGUUUGUCAUGGUUGGAAGGGACGAGUCAAGAGUUUAUUUAUGUUUAUUCUUGUCUUUUUGCCGACCUCCUGAUAACUUUUGACGAGUUUACAAUGGAGGCCUUAGGAUUCUCAACGUGGUUCUGACCCAAUUUUAUUGUAAUUUGUGGGACGCAUUGCAAGCCUUUCGAUUUAUUUGUGAUUUAUUUAGACUGAAGUCGUCCCCUUAGUCUUUUCUCUUUUAUUACAACUUCCAUUCGGCCAAUCCCUUGGGCUGGUUUUCUUUAUCUAGUCGACGGGGCAAUAUUUUUUUUUGCCCCUUUUACCUCAUCUUACAAAACUUUAAAGGUAGAUUUUUUAAAUUAUUCAUUGAACCGGAAGGGAAGCCGUAUUCUUAUAUUGUUGAUGGAAAACUAAAAUUUCCAUUUUAUGGACUCGGUUUCCCAUUUGGUAUGAGUCUUGGUCGAGGUCAUCUAUGACUCCCCUAGACAAAGAAAUUUUCUACGUUUUUGAUUAACUACUGAAGAGUCUACCUAGAAGAUUCUUGUGGUGUAUUAAUUCUCACACCGUUGGGUGAAAUUUUCCGGUAUGUAGAAAUUUCUUUGAGUCUUAUUUUCCUAAGAUUUUUAAUUGUGCUAAAUUUAAUUUUUUUCAUAGGUAUCAUGGAUGAAACAAAUCCCAUGGCUGGCAACAUGAUUAAGCAGCUCUGUCAGCAGGCUACAUAUUAACAGAAGAGCUCACUUGAGCUUGUAGCCAGGGGUUCGGCCACCCUUGUGAUUGACUUACUUCCUUUGUCUAGCGGUGAAGGUAGAACAGAAAGGUCCCUCAAGAGGUUCUCUCGCCAGGCAUCAUCGGGUGUUGGUGCUAGUUCUUUCUCUCUAUUUUAGAGAGAAUCUUCAAGUUUCAAGGGGAGUGCAGGUUGCACUUACCCCUUUCGAGGAGGAGGUAAUGAACUAUCAGCGUCGAUCAAAUAUAUGAUAUCAGUUUGCAUCGAGAUGUUGAGCGGGUCCCUAGUUCUGACUAGGGUGAUCAGAACCGAGGUGCAAAAGUCCUCCUUUGCUACGACUAAAAACUUAAAGGCAGAGUUAACUGACUUAACCAGCUCAUUGGAGGCGAAUACCUCUUUGGAAGAGGAGUCUCAUCGGGCGAAGGCUGAGCUAGAAAAUGCCUGAUCAUAAACUUCGAUAGUUCAAUUGACCAUCCAAUCAUUCGUCAUACUAAGUCAAGUUUAGCCAUAAUUUUCAUGAUAGGGUAAUCCGAUCAUACAAUUAUCUUGUGAUUUUAAAUCCUUAUUUGUCGGGAGAUGAUUACGAGUGCCAAGGCGAUAUUUUCUAUCAUAUGAUAUCUAGUCUCGACACCAUGUAAGAUUCAAUUAAUGAAGUACAUUGGCCAUUUUUCUUUAUUUACAUCUUGGACAAGUGCAUCAUUGAUGGCUUCGUCUCAUACCAACAAAUACAUAAUGAUUUUUUGUUGGGGAUCCAACUUUUGUAUUACCGGGGGUGGUGCGAGGAAUGUUUUGAGUUGAAGAAAUAUUUCUUAACAUUUCGGAUUCCACUUGAACUUGGCGGCCUUCCAGUAGCUGGACGAUAGGUUUGGUUUUCUAUGGAUGUCUCGGGAUAAAUCUGGACAACGCCGUUAACCAAUCGAUCAGUUUGUGCCCCUCUUUUAUAUUUAGGGGCUUUUGAUUGCUCUGCAUUUUUUAGAUUGGCUUCAAUGCCACAUUCGACCCCGAAGACACAUUUUUCGAGGUCUACCCUCAUUUCAUGACUUCUCAAUGCUUUAAAGACUUCUUGCAAGUCCUCUACAUGUUGUACAUAGGAGUUGGAUUUGACACAAUGUCAUCUACACAUACCUCGAUAUUCUAACCUAGCAUCCCCUUGAAGAGUGGCCCCAUGGUUUUUCAAACCCAAUGACAUGACUUCAUAGUAGAAGUUAGCAUAGUCAAUCAUAAAGUUUUUUUUCCUUGUCCCUUCGAUGCAUUUGAAUCUGAUUAUACCCUAAAUACGCAUAUAAGAAACUUAACACAUGGUGGUCGGUCGCACCAUCUACCAAGCGAUCAAUGCUCGACAACGAGUAAGCUUCCUUUGGGCAAGCUUUGUUCAUGUCUAUAUAGUCCGUGCACAUCCUCCACUACCCAUUUUCCUUCUUCACCAUCACCACAUUGGCCAACCAAGUGGUGUACUGUAAUUCACAUAUGAACCGUGCAUUUAGCAACUUGUUGGUCUCGUCUUUCGCCACGUUACAUUUUUUUCACCCAUUUUCCUCCUUUUCUAGGAAACUAGUCGGGCUUCCUCGUACAUUAAUAACCCGUGUCUAAUGAUUUUAGGGCUCACCCUAGGCAUGUCCGAUGGAGUCCAGGAAAAGAUAUCAUUAUUCUUUACCAGUGUUCGACUUAAGAUGUUAACAUCUUUUGCGGACAACAACAUUCGUACGUAAGUGGAGUGUUCAACAUCUCGAAAUGGGACAACCUUGAUGUCUUCCCUUGGUUCCAAUAGAACAUCAUUCAUCUGGGGAUCAAGGUCCACAAAGGUGAUUGUAUGCUCCCUCCUUAGAGCAUGGGUUCAGAGUCCAUCCUCCAUUUGUUGGUUCUACCUUUAUGCUAGUUGCAUAACACUUCCUUACCACCUUCUAGUACAUAUGCACCAUGGUCGAUGGGAACUUCUUGGCUAAAUGCUAAAACUAUAGAUCCAUAAUGGUUGAGAGAUGGUCUUCCUAACAAUGUGUUAUAAGAGGUAUUGCUUAAAAUGGUAGAAAUCUUAUCUUGAUAGUCCGACUCAUAUUUUUUCCCUCCCCGAGCGUGAUGUAGAGGUUGAUGUAACCCCGUGUGUCCACCCACUCUCCAAAAAAUCCAAUGAUUUGGGCAUCGUACAACUGAAUUUUCGCCUCCGUUAUCCUCAUCUUUUUGAAUGUUUUCUAGUAGAGUAUAUCUACCAAACUCCCUUGAUCAACCAAUAUUUUCAUGAUUGCAAAGUUGUCGAUGUCCACUGUGAUGACCAUAGAGUCAUCCUGUCCUAGAUCAAUUGUUUUGAAAUUCUUAUCUGUGAAGGUGAUGGGAGGCAUCCUCGGUCGAGUUGUAGCAGAAGCCUAGUUCACAGGUUGCAUGACAAAAAGGUGUUUCUUCUGGCGAAGCUUGAACAUACUCUUCCGUGGAGCCACCUACUAUUGUGUUAAUGACUUCUUUGUUACUUCAUUAUGUUGAUUCGUCCCUUCUUAGAGGUUACUCAUCUAAUGACGUUGUUCUUAGGGAUAGAAAUGCAUGAUGGGCCAUGUGGGCCGGCCCGCAACCCGCUAGUGAAAAGUGCGAGGCGGACUCAGUAAUUCAAUCCGCCGACCCGUUUAAGCCCACCCCAUAAAAACCGCAACCCACACGGGCCAACAGCGGGGUUGGACGGGUUGUCCCGCUAAUCAACACAAAAAAAAGGCAAAGUUGAGCACUUAUGUCAAACACAUAUGUUUGAAUACAUUCAAAAUAUAGAAAGAGAAGUAUGCCAAUAAUGUUUUUUCAAAUUAGACUGAACUAGUUGAACCAUCAUUUCUUUCUCCUUAUUUAUUGUGGGAGUAAGAUCAUAUUUUAUUUUUUAAGAUGACCAUACUGGUUGAACCAUUAAUUUUAAUUAUAUGUUUAUUCUAUAUUUUCUCAUAGGAUCUUAAUUUGCAAAUUUGAUUGGAAUGGAUGAGGAAUGUACUAACAUGCAUUCAAUGUUAUUGAAAUGAAAGAAUAUUGAUGUUUUUGAAUUGACUAUAUUUAAUGUAGUGGUGUAGUUGUUUGAUGUUAGGGUAUGUUUUGAAAUAGAAGAAUAUUGAUGCUUGAUGUUUUAUAUCACUAACAAGCAUAGGUUCAACUUUUUAAUAAAUUAUAAUCGAUAUAUAUUCAAUUUUUUUAUAAUUAUUGAAUUUAUUAUUCAAUUUUUUAGUAGCAAUGCAAAAAGUAGCAAAUAUUUUGAUUGAAUUCUUUUAUAUUCAAUUUUUCAGUAACCAACAUUUUUAUUGAAUUUCCUUAAAAAAAAUAUUGUACACGGGCUGGCUCACAAACCCGCAGGUUGACCCUUUUGCGGGAUGGGGUAGAGAAACCAACCCGCGUUAACUACGCAAGGCGGGCCAACUUGGCCCACAUUUUGCGGACGAAACACGACAGGCCUAUGUGGGGCGGGCCAACCGCAUUGCCAUUCCUAGUUGUUUUGGUUGCCUUUCUUCAUGACUUUAUUUGGGAUCAUAAUCCCUAUGCCCUUUAUCUCUUUUUUAUGACUCUUCAAGAUGUUGGGGCGAAUGGUUUGAACUACAGUUGUCUUCUUAAAGGAAUCUGCGCAAGUGUCUGGCCUGGAUAAGUUUCUCAAUCUUGCUUUUUUCCCUUCCAAUUAUUCCCUUUCCUUUUUUCCUUUUCCUUAUUUGCCCCAAUCAUGGUCCGAACUUGAUUCCAUUAGUCUCGAAGUUCUUUGCAUGAACUUUGUUGCUCGUUGUCGCAAUUCAUCCAUAUUAGACACCGACUUCUUGCAUAGGUGGUUAACAAAAGGUGUUAGCCGCAAUGUCGUUAUCAUAUGGUGCAUAGCCACCUCUGGAAUUAGAUUCCGUAUAUUUAGUGAUCUAUAGCUAAACCUCUCCAUGAACACCCUAAGUGGUUCUCCUUUAUCUUGACGUACUUUCACGAGUGUUAUGGAGGUUAGGUGAUGUGGUUGACUGGUUGCGCACUACAUCCCAAACUUGGACGUUAAGGUUUCAAAGUAAUCGAUGGAAUAUGGAGGAAGCGUUGUUAACCAGCUAGGGGCUCCUCCCUUGAGUGAUGUAGUGAACACUCGACAUAAGAAUGAAUCUUCGAAUGUAAACAAACUCAUAUCAGUAGUGUAGAUGUCCAUAUAUUCGCCCGGAUAUGUGGUUCUGUUCUACUGAUCCACAUUCAGUCCCUUCUAGGAAGAAGGUAGUUGCCUCCUUGAUCUCAUCAGUAAAAGGAUGUCUCCUAGGUUCACCCAUAGUGUCAAACGUGUGAACAGAUUUGUUUAAUAGUGUGAGCGAUAACAUACUUAAAGUUCUUCUCUACCUUUCCCUUUGUUUAUUACCUUCACUAUUAUUUUAGCUAUUAUUUGAGACAACAUAAAAUAAUCCUAAUCAAGUAUCUAGUAAAAACUACAAUACUGAACUUUUAGCACCCUUCGUUUCUAUAGCCUCACGACUUCAUAUCUAAAAGUAUCUGAUUUUAAUAAUUAACCAACCAAGUCAUUGUGCUUAUACUCUGUAGCAGAUUGAUGAUUGUUUUAUUCCCAAUGAUCGGAGAAAUAUACAUUAUGAGAGAAAAAAACAGAAAUGAAUUCUAAAUCCCUAAAGAAAUGAUGGUGAUAUAUACACAACAAAACUAUUAACAAGAUUUGUUUUAACCACGUAUAGCAUUUGUUUUAACAAGAUUUGUAGUUGGGAAUAUGGAGGAAGCGUUGUUAACCAGCUAGGGGCUCCUCCCUUGAGUGAUGUAGUGAACACUCGACAUAAGAAUGAAUCUUCGAAUGUAAACAAACUCAUAUCAGUAGUGUAGAUGUCCAUAUAUUCGCCCGGAUAUGUGGUUCUGUUCUACUGAUCCACAUUCAGUCCCUUCUAGGAAGAAGGUAGUUGCCUCCUUGAUCUCAUCAGUAAAAGGAUGUCUCCUAGGUUCACCCAUAGUGUCAAACGUGUGAACAAAUUGAUUGAGUUGUGACUCACCGUUUUGGCUUUUUUUCCUAGUUGGACGGGUCGUGGUUGACGAUUCCUCUGGGCUUUCCUUUUGUUGAGUACCCUCAGUCUCACUUGGUUGCUUCUCAGUUGACCUAUAUGUGACCAACUACUGCUUCUUCUCUUCGUUAUCCCUUUGGAGGACACGUAUCUCCUCCUCAUUCUUUUGUCUUAUCUCCACCAUCUCCUUUUGUGGAGAUAGAAGCAAUACCAUAUGCUCAGCUUCAAUCAUCCGCUCGUUAGUCAUGUUUCUUGUUGAUACCAUUUGCUUCUGUUACUUGUGCUACUCUCCCAGUCCCAUGGUAAACGCCAAUUGUACUUGUAAGGGGCUAAGACAGUACCUACUACCGACUGGACAACUGAUUCCUCUCCCUCGACCGCACUUUCCUUUCCGUCUUCUCACGUUUGGGCUCUGGCUCUGGGUGGGAGUGCACCUAGAAAAGGUUCUCCGAUGCUAAAAUGAAUAUUCAGGAUUUAGGUGCUAUUAAUGGUGUAAUAGUGAUGUAUCUUUGCUUUGUCUAAUGUGCUUAUUUAUACCGUUGUAAGAGACUCUAUCAUUGAUGGGUCGUAUUUAAUGUAUAAUCAUAAAGAUAGAAUUACCUGAUUUAUCACGUAUUCCUUUUUACCUUGAUGUUUUUACACUAGCCGGUUGUACGACAUUCGAUACCGAGUGUUUUAGGGUCGUCCAACCUCGACUGAUACAGGUUUGAUCCAUCAAGAAGAGGUACAAGUCAGGACCCUAAAUAUAAUCUUGUGGAUAUUCAAAUGAGUUCAAGAUACCAACCAUUUGAUCCAUUUAUUUUGGAACACAAUGUCUGACAAGUGUAUUAUGUCCUAUAUCCAACAUUUCGAGUAGACAAACAUGGUAGGUGUAUUGCAAUUAAAACAAAACCUAAGGUCACGUUGACUCAAAUGACAUGGAAGAAAACGUUCCUUACCAAGUAGAUCAAAUGUCACAUGCCAAUAAAGUCAUUAGAGUGGAAGGUAUAUUUUGAUUACAGAGGAAGAAGAGAAAGCAAGAAGUUGAUGAUGAUGAUGAUUGCGGAGGAGUAAGAAACAGGGUAAAAUAAAUGCUUGCGGCUAUUAUUAGAUGAUAUACAGGCAUCGUCUAUGACUUAUAUAUAUAUAUAUAUAUAUAUAUAUAUUAAAUUAUAUUUUUAAAUUAUACAUAAAACAAAUAGAAUCAGUGUAAAUAACGAGAAAUGAAAUCAAACUUUCUUUAAUUUAAUCUUUAAAUAAAGGGAUGAGGCUACGGUGCUUCUUAUGUUGAAACAAAAACAGAGGGUACAUAGCAUAUAGCAAGGCGAAACACAUAACAAAUUAUCGAACCGCAGCUACCUUUAUUUCAUAAUGCAAUAUUUUUUACGAGAAUUCCUGAAUGCAAUAUUAUAUGUUAAAAGGGAAAAGAAUUGACAAAAGUAACAACGAGAAAGCAAAUCCAAUAAACAGCUAGAGUAAAGGCAAGGAAGCACAAUGUGAGAAAUGAGAAACAGGGUAAAAUAAAUAUGAAUCUCGUAACUAUGAGCUCUACUCAAAAGAAAAACAAGGAAAGGAUCAGAACAAAUAAAUUGCAAUAAGGACACAAUGAUUAAUUCCAGAAGUCACAUUACAAUUUUCUUUAUAAAUCUAAUAAAGGAAUUUUUCUUUGGCACAAGCUCCUUUUCUAAGUCAUUUGAUUCACUACAUAUUAGAUAGACAGCUGUGUUCUUGACGACCAAUCCAUGACCAAAACUCACAAAAAUCUCCACCUUGUCUUCUGAUCCUAAAUUUGACAUUAUGCCAGGCCAAUCAUCAUCAUUAAAGGAAAUUAGUGUGCCAUGGUUGUGUAUCUGGCAUGUGCACUUCGUGUAAUUAACAAUUAAGACAGUACUAAGUUCAGGUUCAAUGAUUUCGGAGGUUGAUAAAUAAACCACACACAAAGCCAUUCCCUUCACGACACGAUCUUGUGGCACAGUGAAAGAAACAGAAUGUCCAUCACCCAUAUGGGCCAACCAAUAAGGAUCAUUGUCACCUGGGAGAGAAACAUCACAUGACUCACUGCUUCCAAAUACCUGUAUCAUGUCAUAAACAAGGGCAUGUUUGGUGAAACAAAAAUGCUAUACGUGAUUAAAACAAAUAUUGUUAAUAGUUUUGUUGUGUAUAUAUCACCAUCAUUUCUUUAGGGAUUUAGAAUUCAUUUCUGUUUCUUUCUCUCAUAGUGUAUAUUUCUCCGAUCAUUGGGAAUAAAACAAUCAUCAAUCUGCUACAGAGUAUAAGCACAAUGACUUGGUUGGUUAAUUAUUAAAAUCAGAUACUUUUAGAUAUGAAGUCGUGAGGCUAUAGAAACGAAGGGUGCUAAAAGUUUAGUAUUGUAGUUUUUACUAGAUACUUGAUUAGGAUUAUUUCAUGUUGUCUCAAAUAAUAACUAAAAUAAUGGUUAAGGUAAUAAACAAAGGGAAAGCUAGAGAAGAACUUUAAAGUAUGUUAUCGCUCACACUAUUGAAGAAUUUUUUGUAUCUUCCGACACCAGUGAGAGAAGACCUGAAAUCAUGCUUUGAAAUUCCUGAUUCGGUAAUAUUUCCACCAUAUUCUGCCAGUAUGGUUUUUACUUGCUCAGAUAGUUGAAACUCCGAGUCACAUUGCACCAAAAUACUCCGAAGAUUUGCAAGGCUCUUGAGCAAUGGUGCAAUAUCAUCCCAACUAUUAUCCUCCAUAUCCAUGAACGAAUUAAUAUAAGAUAGGGGAUUAAUUGUUGGCGGCAUCCGAGACCGAACUAUAGAAGGAAAAAGAUUAUGUGAUAAUCCCUCAGAUCGAGGUAGGGAUAAAUAUCCAAUGCUUUUUGAGCAUACAAUUGUAAAUGGCAGUUGUUUCACAGCAGUAUUUUCAGCGAUUAGAAUUCUCAAGGAUUCCAUUUGCACCAUAUCUUUUUCUAAUAUGUCAAUUUUUGAACAACCAGAAAGGAUGAGAGUUUUCAAAGAUUUCAAGUUACAUAUCUGUACGGGGAGAUUGCAUAGACUUGUACAGUCCUUCAAAUUUAGCAGCAUAAGAUUGCAGAGAUAUCCAAUAGAAGGGUGUACUUUGCGUAAUCUUGGGCAAUCUUUGAGAAUGAGCUGUUCAAGACUUGGUAGUCCGGAGAAGUCAGGGGUUUCUAUCAAGUACUUGGAGUGACUAAGAUUCAGGACUUUUAGAUACGCCAAAACCUUCAAGAAGAGUAUUAUAAAGAAAAUGAAAAAAUAAAAUAGUUAUAUGUGAAAACAAAUACUAUUUCUAUUUUAAGCAUGAGUUUUAAAAGAAAAUGGUACGUAAUAAAAACCUUGGGUUCUUUCCAGACGAACCGAAGAAAACUGUGUUUUAAAUCAAUCACUAUUGCAUCAUGCACAUAAAAGUCGUCAGGAAGGUAUUCCGAAGAAAACCCUUGCAAACUGAUCCAUCUCAGUUUCAGCGGUUCUCUUACCUCUACAGGAUAUUUUCUUGUGAGAGACAAUCUCUCAAUGACUUUUCUCUCCUGUGAUCAAAAGAGAUAAGAAAAACAAAUACAUUGCAAAUGACAAAGCAACCACUUCCAAAAGAAGUUUCAAAACCAUGGAGUAAGAAUGUUCUUACAGUAUUCUCUGACAGUGCAUGUUUUCCAUCGCUAUCAAGCCGCAGUGGACUGCUCUUCCCAUGUUCAAGAAUAAUUUCUCUUCUCAUUUCUCGUAGCAAAUUAUGCAUUCCAAAUUUGUUGUUUUUUUUAAUUUGUAUGAGGCUACGCUCUAUGAGAACUCUUAUUCCACUAUCAGCGUCUAUUCCACAGCCAUUUAGGAUCUUCGUAACAUAGCCUCUGUCUUUAUCAACAAAGAAACGACCUACAUCAAGAAAUAAAUCUUUUUCCAUUUGAUUACCUAAACGGUCGUAACUUAUUUUCAAUAUCUGCGGGACUUCAUGCGAGGGAAUAUUGUCUAAUCUCAACAAUACUCUAUUCCAUUCUUCUCUCGUCCUUUCAUACAAAUAACUUCCAAUGACUUCAAGAGCUAGAGGUAGUCCUCCACAAUAAGAAACUACUUUUUUUGCAAAGAAUUGGUAUUGUUCUUUUGGUUUUGCUUCUCUAAAUGCGUGCCAACUAAGAAGCUCAAGGGACUCAUUGGAAUUCAUUAGAUUUAUCUCAAAAACAGAAUCAGCAUGAUGUAACCUAGGUAGAUCUUCAUCCCUUGUUGUAAUGAUCAUUACACUUCCUUCACCGAACCAUGGACUGAUUUCCCAUAGGUCUAAUGGAUCAUACUUUUUCACAUCGUCAAGUACAACGAGCACCCUUUUCCCAUAAAGUCUUUCCCAAAUCAUACUUCUUCCCAUCUCAGCGCUACUUAUCUUCACCUUCGUUUUUAGGACAUCUGAAAGAAGUUGUUCUUGUAAAUGAACAAGCCCUCUUGUUUGACUAACUUCUGCAAUAUCUUCAAUGAAACUUUUCUUCGUGAAUGUACCAUGAAUUUGAUUAUAGAUGGCUUUGGCAAGGGUGGUUUUACCCGAUCCUCCCAUUCCACAUAUCACUAUCGUAAAAACUUGGGUGGAUUUUUUUUUUAUGGUUCGAAUCACAUCUUCCACACGGGAAUGUAAUCCAACUGGAAAUUUAGUAGCGGAUAAGACUGGUAAACUAAGAACGCUCUUAACAAUUUUUUCCACUAGUUCAGCAUCAUUCCUUCAAUACAAGAAGUCAUUUUUUAACAAAAUUGAAUCACAAGCUUAAAAUAUGGUUGAUUGAGUCAGUGAUUUACCUGUGAUUUCUCUCAUCCCAUCCAAAGAAAUUUGCAGCUUUGGUGAGUGCGUGGCUCCACCUGGACAUGCCAUGCUCCAGUUGUUGUCCUGAGAAUGUUUGUUCUGCAGUUGCUUUGAAGGCUUUUCCAAAAUCACCCUUUUGAAGACGUACAUCAGAUGGCUCAAUUUCGUAAUAAACAGGCAGAACGUGUCGGCAAUAAGUUUGGUGCCAUUUAAUGAUUUGUUGGAGUUGAUGAAGACACCAAGAAGAUUGAGAAUAGGAUUUGGUGAAAACAACAAUUGCUACAUGAGAGAGAUUGAGAAUAGGUUGUUGGAUGUGAAUUGGGUUGAGUGCAUUGGGGUGGUGAAGGAAAGUGGUGAAGCCAACAGCAGAGAGGGCAGAAUCGAGAUGAGAAACAAAUCUCCUUUGGAUGUCUUCUCCAUUAAAGUUGAUGAGCACAUCGUACAUCCGUGGAAGUUUGGAUGUUGAAGAAGCCAAUGCCAUGGAAGGAAUUGAUGAAGUCAAGAAGUGUUAGAAUAGAAUCAAUGAUCAAACACCCGUUAUGACCCGCACUGGGAAAAGAAUUGAAUUAGUGGUAGAAUGAAGAAUCAAAGAGAUUGAAGAUUGGAGAAUAUAUAACAGUAAAAGGUAAUGCAUGAUAGAGAAUUAGAUGCCUCAGUGAUUGAACGAAUCUGCGUAAGAAUAACGCUUAAUAGGGCAAAGAUUUUACUGCAAUGUGUGCAUCUAUAUAUAUAACUUUGGCAUGUGAACAUCUAACCAGGCAAACCACACCCAAGGAAGUAAGGAAGGCUGGUUAGUAUGUUGGCGGAAGUAAGGGGUGCAGGAAGGUAUAUGUCUUUUCUGCUGCAGUCACAUUCUGUAUUAGAAGGCACCAAUGCUGUCUUAUGUAUUUUUGCUGCAUAAUUGAUGCAGAAACGCUACAGUUCUGGUGCAUAAACGGUGCAAAUUUGUGGAGCCUAGACUUUGGUGUUUCUUGUCUAGCAGCUGUUUUGGCUUAGCUCUUUAGGUGCAGAUUUAUGCCUCUUGUUUUGUAGGAACACAAUUUAGCUUUAAGAUACAAUUGUGUUAUGUUAAUGCAAUUACCAAAGAAGCUUAGGCCUUUGUGCUUGUUAAUUCUUUGGAUUGUAUUUGUAAAGAUGAGUUUUUUUAAUAAGGAUUGAGAAGUGUCUCUUUUUAAUUUAUAUAGUUCUUCCUGAUAAAAAAAUAAUGAAGCAACACAGUCAAAUAGAUAAGUAGCCAGAGAUUAAUAUUAUUUCUAUAGUAUUGGAAGCGCGUUAAGACCAUUGAAGAACCCUUUUUACUUUAACAUUUAAGAAAUUAGACCAACACCCACUUUGAACUACAGAUAACACAAUUAAACUAAUAAGUAUGAAUAUCUUUCUAAUUAUAUAUUUUUUUAAUUUACAUUAAGUUUACUUUUAAUUUCAAAAACAUUAUAUGAUCUCUCGCAUUUUAUGUUAGGCACGUAUCUCGUUAAAUUUUAAAAGAAUAAAAUUAAAACAUUUUGGGUUCUGCAAAGAUCUCGAUUGGUGAUCUCAACCAUGUGUUAAUUUUUUCUUUAUUACUUUUUUCAUCAUAAUUAUUAUUAAUUAGAAACAAACUACUGUGGGAGGGAGUCAAACCAAAGUCUCUUUUGAACUCAAGAAGCUUCGAUCAUUAUACCAUAUAAAUUUUGUUGUCAUAUUAUAAUUAUUAUUACACUAAUUAUGAUUAUACUUGUUAUUAUAAUUAUCAAUAUUAUCAAUACUAACAUUAUUAAUAUGAUUUAUAUUACUUAUAUUUUUAUAUUAAUAAUGUUAUAAUAUUAUGAAUACUUACCAAUAUCAAUCCGUAGAUAAUAUUGAUGACUAUUUUACGGCAAGUGUACCAUAUCAUAAGUAAUAAUUUGUCUCUAAAGAUGGAUAUUGAACUCAUAAAGAAUAGUUGAAUUCUCAAGUAUAAUAUUCACUAAAUAUAAGAUAAUUUGUAAAAGUUUGAUGGAAAGUUGUUUGUAUUAUGAAUUUGCAAGAAAUUAAAUAAAGCAAAGUAAAAUAUUUGUAUGAGUCAAUUGAAAAAAUUGGGAUUGGGGUUCAUCCUUCUCACUCUUUAGUAUUUUUUAAAAGACUAUAAUAUUUAGUCUUGAUUGGUAUUAAUGCAUAUAUAAAAAUAAUUCAUAUCGAUUCCGUGCAUACAAAAUUAUUAAGAGAGUCUCCUAAAUAUUGAUUCUUCGCAUAUUUAUAAAAACUUCUUAUCAUUAUGGAUAGAUGUUAUAAAACAAUUAACAUUUCAAAUCUAUUCCUAGCACAAAAAUAUGUUAAUCACUAUCAUUUAGGUCAGAUGCUUAGUACUUUCUAAUCAAAUCUAGGAAUCAAAAUCAUGAAUAAUUCAAGCUUUGAGGAUAAAAUAAUAAUAACAAUCAUCAAUCAACAACUGAAAUAUUAUAGAUAAAUAUCAUCUCAAUACAUAAGAGUUUGAACAAAUUGCUCUCAAUCCCAAAGAGAAAAAUUAGUCACUUAUGUUAUCCAUUACAAGCGUGGAAAAAAAAAGAAAAGAAAAUCUAGGAUGUUUCUCCUAGACGGUUGUCUCCUCUAGGGUUGCCUAUCUCUCUUUAUUCUCUAAAUGAUGUAUAGGGUUAUGUUGAAGAUGGUUACUGCCCCUUCAAGAUUGUGUUUGAUGAAGGCUUAUAUGUAGUGUUUGAUGAAGACUUAUAUGUACAUUUCAUUUGUUUUUUGCUUUGCUUUAAGUAUGUCUUAGGUAGUGCUUAGAGGUUGUCUAAGAGUGGGCUUUUUGCUGAGUAACUCACCUCAUAACCACUGGCCAUGUGAUAAGAACAAGCAUAAGUUUUCUUAAACUGUUUUUCACAUGUUUUACAAAAAACACGUUUACUGCAUAAAAAUAAAUCUGUUCUUUUCUAAAUAAACAGAUUCAUUUUUUACACUGAUGCCUUGGCUUUGUCUUGUGAAAAUUAGAUUUUGUGCAUCAGGUAUUUUGACUAAGUCGUCUACCUUUCAAAACGACUGAGUUUUAAAUGGUUAAACUUUCUCUGUUUUCGUUUUGAAAAAUAAAUCUGUUCAUCUGUAAAUGAAUAGAUUCUUUUUGUCUCUGGUGCCAUGUCAAGCUUAAACGUUUUCAGUUUUAUCUCUGCACCAGAAUGGUUGACUAAGUCUCCUCACUUAACAGAUUCUCUAACUGCUUUUUGAAAAUAAAUCUGUUCAUUUUAUUUUCUAUCUGUUCAUUUUAUAACAGCUUUAACUGUUUUUCAAAUAUCUGUUAUAAGUUGGUUCUCUAUAAAAUGCAAACUUGUUUUCUGAGUUCAUUAUCAAUUCAUCAAUUCAUACAUUUGCAAAAACAAGUUUUGACAACAGAGAGUUAAGUGUUUACAAAGGAUUAGCAUUUGUUCUUCAAAGAUUUCGAAAAUCACAAAGUGCUUGUUCUUGGUUUGGUUCCAAAAGCUUGGUGUGAGGUGCANNNNNNNNNNNNNNNNNNNNNNNNNNNNNNNNNNNNNNNNNNNNNNNNNNNNNNNNNNNNNNNNNNNNNNNNNNNNNNNNNNNNNNNNNNNNNNNNNNNNNNNNNNNNNNNNNNNNNNNNNNNNNNNNNNNNNNNNNNNNNNNNNNNNNNNNNNNNNNNNNNNNNNNNNNNNNNNNNNNNNNNNNNNNNNNNNNNNNNNNNNNNNNNNNNNNNNNNNNNNNNNNNNNNNNNNNNNNNNNNNNNNNNNNNNNNNNNNNNNNNNNNNNNNNNNNNNNNNNNNNNNNNNNNNNNNNNNNNNNNNNNNNNNNNNNNNNNNNAAAUAAAUCUGUUCAAUUGAAAUAAAUCUGUUCUUUCUGGGCACUGUGCAUACUGUUCUUGAUUUCUGAAAAAGUUGUUUGAAUCUGAUAAGAACAUAUACAAUCUGCUAAAAGCCAUUGGAACACAGUGACUGUGAUAGGCUGCUCAAGAAACUGUCAAAGCUAUUAAUUGAACCUUAAACAAAUUGCUGAAAGUUGAAGCUUGCUGUUCUGUGAUUAAUUGUUCUUAAUUUCUGGAAAAUUGCUUGACAUAAAGAAGAACACUCAUAGUCUGUUAAAAGCCACUGGAACAGGUUGUUUGCAAAGGUCACUCAAUCAAUUAGCAUGCUAUCAAUUGAACCUUAAUCACUUGCUUGAAAUUGAAGUGUGCUGGUUUGUGUUUUACUGUUUUUUAAUCUGAUAACUGUGUGUGUGCAUCUGGAAAAUCUAUCUGCAUAGUCUAGUGAUUAACCUUGCUGUAUUAAAAGCGUUUCAAACAAAAACAGUGCUGAAAUAAAUCUGUUCAUUUUCACAUAAAUCGAUUUAUUUUCUGUAAAACUGGGUUAAACACUGUUUCUGCGAGAAAGUUUUAAAAGGUUAAUUCACCCCCCCUCUUGAACUUUGGCACUAUUAAACCCUACAGGUUAUACCUCACACCUUCUCUUUAACCUAGUUGGGCUUGGGCUAAGUGACAUCUCACCGAAGCGAGUUAUUACUUGCUUGAGCGAGUUCCUUUAGAGUGAUUUUUCCUUGGCGAGUUUGGGCGAGUUUUGAGCGAGUUUCCAAUGUUUUAACUUUUUCUUUUCAUCUUGUCCAUUCUCCUUUAACCCUUUCAUAUCCAUUUUACCAUAGAAUCCUGAAAUCUAUACAUAAUACAAGUAGAACGCACAAAAAAAAUGAAAAAGAUUUUAUAUACCACAAAUAGAAACUUGAGGUAACAUGCGUGGCCCACUAAAACACUCCACAUAGUGUUUUUUAAGCCUUUUCCUUCUCCUUUCUCAUCCCCACUUUGCGUUGUCCUCUCUCAUCCUCACUCUUUUGUUUUCCUCUCUCAUUCGCACUUUGAAACACUCUCUGAAACCUUAAUCUAUCAAUUUUUUUUCACAAGUUUGGCAACUGUGCACAUCUCGUAUACUAAAGAUGUUUUUUUCUAAUACUCCAUUAAACAUCUAUUUCAUUAAUUGGCUUGUACUUUUGAUAUUUGAAAUGGCAAUGGCGAUGGUAUUUCACUAUAUAUAGGGUGUUGUCUUCAACCAUUCAUUCAUUCAUUUCAUUUUUUUUCUUUUCAUUCUCCAAGGACUUGGUUACAGAAGCAUUACCACGUAAUCUUUGAACACCAUGCCUGUUACAAAUUUUUCUGUAUGGUGUUAUUAUGUUCCAGUAAUUUGUUCUCUAUUUUUCGUUUUUUUAUUCCCUUUCGCAAGACUCAAUGGUGUUUUCACUACAAGAAAAAAUGGUUUUAACCGAGGUUUAUUUUUACAUUAUCUAGGGUUAAAACCUUUACUAAGUCAUUUACCCAAGAUUGCAAAUUCCCCACUAAACCAUCCCAGGGAACGUGUUCCUCGAGGUUUUUUUUAAACCUCAGGAAAAUCCUUUCAGUACCCCUGUUAAUUACCAUGGGUUAACCUUCGUAAAAUACCAUGGGUUUCAAAACCUCUGUAAAAUACUAUGGGUAUCAAAAUAUUUGCAUGGGUUUAAAAACCUCUGUAAAAUACCAUGGUUUCAAUAACCACCGUAUAAUACCAUGAGCUUCAAAAUUUAUGUAAAAUGACUUGCCGUUUGAAAUAUCCUUCAACCCCAUUUCCACUAUCUCUAACGAUCCUUCUAACUUCUCUCUUCCACUGUAGACACAUUGCUCUCUGGCACAGACUCAAUGGCCGCUGACAACAGUCCUAGCUAGGAAUCACAAUUCAACCACACGUAUGUCUAUUAUAUCUAAGGAGAAGAAAUACUAAAUAAGUCACUUUCUUAUUCUCACUCCAAUAUUGCUUCUUCCAUCACCUUAUUACUGCCCCAACUUAGGUCACAAGCCCUGUUACCUAGCUCGACAACAACUGAUGUUUAUCACUACUUUAUAUAUCCUAAAUAAUUGGACUAUCUGUCAGAUGUGGGCUUUGGCUAAAGAUUGCAAGAACAUAUUGUGAAGAUAAAUUAACUUUAUUACUUCUCACUUUCACAGUGAAUUAAUUAUUAUAUGCAUUUUAAAUUAAGGCCUUAAUUUAAAAUAUUUCAAAAUUAUGAAAAAUUAAAUAUUAACAACUAUAACUAAAACUAGAACUGCACAUAAAAAUAUAUGUACAUCAAAAGCUAAAACAAAAUAAGUCAUGUUUUUUGAAGUAUGAGCUCGUAACAAAAGAAACUAGGAAUUAUAUAAACCAACUAUCAUAAAUGAUAAGAAAUAUUCAAAUAAUGUUGAACUACUUAUUAUCCAAUGUUAUUUUACUGAGAUUUUAGAAUAAACCUUGGAACUUAACGGAAGUGAAAAAAACCUCUGUUAAUAAAAUCAAUUCCCAGGGUUAUAUUAACCUUCGCUAUAUAACCUUCAUUAAAACCCUUUUUCUUGUAGUGUUUAAACCGUGUUUUCGUUUUUCCUCCGCACCUAAUGGUGUAAAACUGCAAUACGUUAUUAGUGUAAUAUUUGUCAUUUUUGGAGAUUUAUUUUGAUUUUCUCAUCUAAUUUCUGUUCAGUUUGUAAUCCAUAUUUUAACUCCAAUUUUGUAUGUUAUUCUUUGAGAUUUAUAUUGUUUGCAUCUGAUAUAGUGACUUAUUGAUCUCAAUUUUAUCACUUGGUAUUCGAGUUUUUUAAGGUCAUUUGUUCAUCUCAUUUUUGUUGAGUUUGUAUUCCAAUUGUUAACUCCAUUUUUUGAUCUUAUUGUUUGGAGAUGUAUUUUGGUUGCAUCUAUUACUCUGAUUUGAAGAUGAACCUUGCAUUUAGCAGCUUGUUGGUCUCGUCUUUCUCUGCAUUAUGUUUUUUCACCCAUUUUCCUUUUUUUAGGCAACUAGUCAGGCUUCCUCGUACACCGAUAACCUGUGUCUAAUGCCUUCGGGGCUCACCCCGGGCAUGUUCGAUGCGGUCCAGACAAGAAAUCAGUAUUCUUUACUAGUGUUUGGCUUAAAUGCUAACAUCUUUUGUAGACAACGAUGUUCCCAUCUUAGUGGAGUGUUCGACAUAUUGUAAUGGGACAACUUUGAUGUCUUCUGCUGGUUCAAAGCGAACGUCAUUCAUCCGGGGAUCAAGGUUCACAGAGGCGACAAUAUGCUCCCUCCUUGGAGCAAUGGGUUUGAAACUGUUUUCCAUUUGUUGGUUCUACCUUUAAGCUAGCCGCAUAACGCUCACUUACCACCUUCUAGUCCACAUGCACCAUGAUGAUAUCUCCAGAGGUCAAUGGGAACUUCAUGGUCAAAUGUGGUGUUGAAACUAUGGCUCCCUAAUGGUUGAGAGAUGGUCUUCCUAACAAUAUGUUAUAGAAGGUAUUGACUUGAACUAUACUUAUCUUGAGAUUCUUUCCCUCCCCGUACGUAGUGUAGAGAUCGGUGUAACCUCGUGUGUCCACCCAUUCUCCAUAAAAUCCCCUGAUUUUGGCAUCAUACAACUUGAUUUAUGCCUCUGUUAUCCUCAUCUUUUUUAAUGUUUUCUAGUAGAGUAUGUUUUCUAUUUUGGAAGGUCCCAGAAUAGAGAGAUAUUCUCGCUCAAGCGAGAAUGCUCCAAGACUGUUUCAGAAAUCGACGUCUUUCUCGCUCAAGCAAGAAUUCCUCGCUCGAGCGCAAAUGCAUCAGACAGAUUGGGCCUUUUUUAUGUUUUAUCACUUAGCCCAUCAGCGUGACACAGGAAGUUACCUAAUCCUAGUAAAUUAGGUUAAAUAGGGGGGCUAGAGGCACAACCCUUGUGUACCAAAUUGAGAGGAAAACACCAUAGAGUGAAUUGUAACCCAAUUGAGAGAAUGGAAGGUGCUAGAAGUAUGCAUGGCUAAUUCUACCCUUUGGGAUUGGGAGUAAUCUGCUUGAACUCUUAUGUAUUGAGGUGAUAUUUAUAUUAUAAUAUUCAGUUCUUUAUUGAUUAUUGGUAUUAUUGUUUUGUUUCUAAAUUUUUGUGACAAAUUGAGAAUCUUAAAUCUGACCGGAAAGUAUUUUUAGGUUUAUGACCUAAAAAAUAAUACUUAACAUAUUUGAGUGCUAGGAAUAGACUUGAAAUGUUAAUUUCCAUUAACAUCUAUGCUUGAUUCUAAGUUGUUCUUAUGCGAGGGAUCGAUAGUUAGGGAACAUUCUUAAGGAUUUUAUAUGCGAGGAAUCGAUAUAAAUGACUUUUAUACGAGCAUGAAUUUCAAUCAAAGAACUUAGUAUUAACAUGCUAAUCAAUAAAAUACAUGAGAGUGAGAGAGAUGAAACCUAAUCCCUAUUUUUCCAACUUAAAGCAACUAAUUCUUUGUCUUUUUUCGUAUUGAUCAUUGCCAACACAAUCACUUCAACACUUUUUUUAAUUGUUCUGUUUUAUAUUUAGCGAUUAUUGUACUCGAUAAUUCAUUGUUCCUUGUGGGAUCGAUAUCCAUCCUUAAGGACAAUUAUUAUUUCUAACAACGCAGUGCACUUGCCGUAGAAAGUCAACACUGCCCCCUUGAUCUAAUUAGAAAAAGGGUGUCUCCUAGGUCAAUCCAUAAUUUCAGACAUGUGAAUAGAUUGAUUGAGUUGCGACUCACUGUUCUGGCUUUUGUUCCUAGUCAAACGGGUCGUGGUUGACGGUUCCUCUGGUUUCUCCUUUUGUUGAGUACCUUCAGUCUCACUUGGUUGCUUCUCAUUUGAGUUACCUACGACCAACUGCCGCUUCAUCUCUUCGUUCUCCCUUUGGAAGAUUAUCUCGGCCAUCUCCCUUUUUAAGGGAUAAAAGCAAGACCACCUACUCAGCUUCAGUCAUCCUCUCGUUAGUCAUGUUUCUUAUUGACACCAUUUGCUUUUGUGACUUAUACUACUCUCUCGGCCCCACAGUAGGCGCCGUUUGUAUUUGUAAGGGGCUAAGACUGUACCUGCUAACGAAUGGACAACUGAUUCCUAUCGCUCGGUCACGCUCUCAUUCCUUUCCUUCUUCUCACGUUUGGGCUUUGGCUCUUGGCGAGAGUGCACUUGCAAAAGGUUCUCCGACUCUCAAGUGAGUAAUCGGUACUUAGGUGCUAUUAAUGUUGUAAUAGUAAAGUAUAUUUGCUUUGUCUAAUGUGCUUAUUUAUAUAAAUGUAAUGGACUCUAUCAAUGAUAGGUUGUAUCUAAUGUUUAUAAUCAUAAAAAUGAAAUUACCUGAUUUAUGAUGUAUUCCUUUUUACCUUGGUGUAUUUACAUUAGUCGGUUGGACGGCAUUUGAUAUCGGGUGUUAUAGGAUCGUCCAACCUCGACCGAUACAGGUUUGAUCCAUCAAGAAGAGAUACAGAAGUGGACCCUAAAUAUAAUAUUAUGGAUACUGAAAUGAGUUCAAGAUACCAACCAUAUGAUCCAUUUAUUUUGGCACACAAUGUCUGGCAAGUGUACUAUGUCCUAUAUCCAGCAUUUUGAGUAAACAAACAUGGUUGGUGUAUUACAAUUAAAACAAAGCCUAAAAGUCGCAUUGACUCAAACUACAUGAAGGAGAACGUUAUAAAUGUAAGAAAAAGUAAAUGAAAUAUUUUUAAAUAACGAGAAAUGAAAUCAAACUUUGUUUAAUUUAGUCUUAAAUAAAGGGAUGAAGCUAUGGUGCUUCUUAUGCUGAAACAAAAACAGAGACUGCAUAGCAUAUAGCAAGGCAAAUACAUAACAAAUUAUCGAACCACAGCUGUCUUUAUUUCAUAAUGCAAUAUUUUUUACGAGAAUUUCUGAAUGAAAUAUUAUAUGCUAAAAGGGAAAAGAAUUGACAAAAGUAACAACGAGAAAGCAAAUCCAAUAAACAGCUCCAGUAAAGCCAAGGAAGCACAAUGUGAUAAAUAAGAAACAGGGUAAAAUAAAUAUGAAUCUCGUAACUAUGAGCUCUACCCAAAGAAAAACAAGGAAAGGAUCAGAAAAAACGAAUUGCAAUAAGGACACCAGGAUUCAUUCCAUAACUCAAGGGAUCCGGCUGUUCUCACAUUACAAUUUUCUUUAUAAAUGUAAUAAAGGAAUUUUUCUUUGGCACAGGCUCCUUUUCUAAGUCAUUUGAUUCACUACAUAUUAGAUAGACAGCUGUUUUCUUGACUACCAAUCCAUUACCAAAACUCACAAAAAUCUCCACCUUGUCUUCUGAUCCUAAAUUUGACAUUAUGCCAGGCCAAUCAUCAUCAUUAAAGGAAAUUAGUGUGCCAUGGUUGUGUAUCUGGCAUGUGCACUUCGUGUAAUUAACAAUUAAGACAGUACUAAGUUCAGGUUCAAUGAUUUCGGAGGUUGAUAAAUAAACCACACACAAAGCCAUUCCCUUCACCACACGAUCUUGAGGCACAGUGAAAGAAACAGAAUGUCCCUCACCCAUAUGGGCCAACCAAUAAGGAUCAUUGUCACCUGGGAGAUAAGCAUCACAUAACUCACUGCUUGCAAAUACCUGUAUCAUGUGAUAAACAAGGACAUCUUUAGUUAAACAAAAAUGUUAUACAUGAUUAAAACAGAUCUGGUUAAUAGUUUUGUUGUGUAUAUAUCACUAUCAUGUCUUUAGGGUUUUAGAAUUCCUUUCUGGUUUUUGUCUCUCUUAGUUUAUAUUUCUACGAUCAUUGGGAAUAAAGCAAUCAUGAAGCUAGUAAAGCAAGAAAUGGAAAUCAAUUUGGUAGUACUUAGUAUAAGCCUAAUCACUUGGUUAGUUGAUUAUUAAAAUAAGAUACUUUUACAUGAUAGUGAAGGGAAGAUAGCUAAAAGUUCAGUAUUUUAGUUUUUACUCUAUACUUGAUUAGGAUUAUUUUCUGUUCUCUCAAAUAAUACCUAAAAUGAUGUUGAAGGUAAUACAAAAGGGAAAGCUAGAGAAGAACCUUAGGUAUGCUAUUUCGCACAGUAUUGAAGAAUUCAUUGUAUCUUCCAACACCAGUCAGAGAAUACCUGAGGUGAUGCUUUGAAGGUACUGAUUCUAUAAUAUUUUCACCAUAUUCAACCAGUACGGUUUUUAAUUGCUCAGAUAGUUGAAACUCGGCGUCACAUUGCACCAAAACACUUCGAAGAUUUGCGAGGCUGCUAAGCAAGGGUGCAAUAUCAUCCCAACUAUUAUCUUCCAUAUGCAUGAAGGAAUGAAUAUAAGAUAGGGGAUUCAUUGUUGGUGACAUCCGAGACCGAAUGAUAGACGGAAAAAGAUUAUGUGACAAUACCUCACACCCACUCAAGGAUAUAUAUCCAAUGCUUUUUGGGCUUACAAUUGUAAAAGGCAAUUGUUUCAUAAAUCUAUUUUCAGCAAUUAUAGUUAUGAAGGAUUUUAUUAGCACUAUAUCUUUUUCCAUUAAGGCAAUCAUCGAACAACCAGAUAGAAUCAGAGUUUUUAAGCAUUUCAGCUUAUAUAUCUCUCUGGGAAGAUUGCUUAGACUUGUACAAUCCUUCAAAUUUAGCAGUAUAAGAUUGCAGAGACAUGCAAUAGAAGAGUGUAUUUCACGCAAUCUUGGACAAUCUUUGAGAAUGAGCUGUUCAAGACUUGGUAGUCUCGAAAAGUCAGGGGUUUCUAUCAAGUGCUUGGAGUGACUAAGAUUAAGGACUUUUAGCCACGUCAAAACCUUCAAGAAAAAAGUUUUUGAUAAAAUAUUAGUGAAGAAAAUGAAAAAACGAAAUAGUUAUAAUUGGAAACAAAUAAUAAUUUUAAAAUAAAAUGACAAGUAAUAAAAACCUGGGGUUCUUUCCAAACGAAUCGAAGAAGACUGUGUUUUAAAUCAAUCACUGUUGCAUCAUGCAGAUAAAAGUCGUUAGGUAGGUAUUCUGAAGAAAACCCUCGCAAACUGAUCCAUCUCAAUUUCGCAGAAAGGUAUUCUGAAUCUGCAACCAGUUUCUGAAGUCUUGAUGAGUCUCUUACACCUACAAGAGGAGAAUCACUUCUGGAAGACCAUCCCUAAAUGAAUCUUGUCCCCGGUGAUGAAAAGAGCUAAGAGAAACAAAUAUAUUCCACAUAAGAAAGCAACCACUUCCAAAAGAAGUUUCAAAACCAUAGAUUAAGAAUGUUCUUACAGUUGCAUGCUUCAUAUCCUCAUCAAUAAUUUCACCAAUAAUAUUUCUUCCCAUUUCUCGUAGCAACGGAUGCAUUCCUAAUUUGUUGUUCUUAUUAACUCGUAUGAGACUACGCUCAAUCAAAACUCUUAUUCCACUAUCAGCGUCUAUUCCACAGCCGUUUAGGAUCUUCGUAACACAGGCUCUGCCUUUACCAACAAAGGAACAACAUAGAUCAAGGAAUAAAUCUUUUUCCAUUUGAUUGCAUAAACCGUCAAAGCUUAUUUUCAAUAUCUGAUCAAAUUUAAUAAACUCGGGAAUUUUCUUUAGUUUUAAGAGUACUCUAUUCCAUUCUUUUUUCGUCCUUUGAUAUAAAUAACUUCCAAUGACUUCAAGAGCUAGAGGUAGUCCUCCACAAUAAGCAACUACUCUUUCUGCGAGGAAAAGAUAAUCUUCUUUUGGUUUUGCUUCUCUAAAUGCGUGCCAACUAAGAAGCUCAAGGGACUCAUCUGUGUUCAUUAUUAGCUCUACCUGAAAAACAGAAUCAGUUCGAUAUAGCAUCGGUAGGUUUUUAGAUGCUGUUGUAAUGAUUAUUACACUUCCUCCUCUGAACCAAUGACUGCAUUUCCAUAGUAAUGUCGCAUGAAACGUAGGCAUAUCGUCAAGUACAAUGAGCACCCUUUUCCCAGAAAGUCUUUCCCGAAUCAUACGCCUUCCCAUCUCAAAGGUACCUAUCUCUACCUUUGCUUUUAGGACAUCUGAAAGGAUUUGUUCUAGUAAACCAAGAUUCCCUCUUAUUCUGCUAACUUGUCCAAUAUCUUCAAUGAAACUUUUCUCCGUGAAUGUACCGUGAAUUUGAUGGUAGAUAGCUGUAGCAAGGGUGGUUUUACCAGAUCCUUCCUCUCCACAUAUAGCUAUCCAACAAACUUCCGUGGAUUUAUUUUUGAUAGCUCGAAUCAGAUCCUCCAUGUGCGAUUGUAAGCCAACUGGAAAUUUAGUGGCAGACAAUAGUGGUAAAUUAAGAACGGUCUUAACAAUUUUGUCCACUAGUUCAGCAUCACUCCUUCAAGUUCAAUAGCAAUUAUGGAAUAAGUCAUGUCAUGUAUUACCAAAAUUAAAUGAGAAGCUUAAAAAUUAUGGUCACUGAGUGAGUGAUUUACCUGUAAUUGCUCUCAUCCCAUCCAAAGAAAUUUGCAGCUUUGGUGAGUGCGUGGCUCCAUUUGGACAUGGCAUGUUCCAGUUGUUGUCCUGAAAAUGUUUGGUGUGCAGUUUCUUUGAAGGCUUUUCCAAAAUCACCCUUCUGAAGACGUACAUCAGAUGGCUCAAUUUCGUAAUAAACUGGCAGAACAUUUCGACAAUAAGUUUCUUGCCAUCUAAUGAUUUGUUGAAGCUGUUGAAGACACCAAGCAGAUUGAGAAUAGGUUUUGGUGAAAACAACAAUUGCUACACGAGAGAGAUUGAGAAUAGGUUGUUCGAUGUGAAUUGGGUUGAGUGCAUUAGGGUGGUGAAGGAAAGUGGUGAAGCCAACAGUAGAGAGGACAGAAUCUAGAUGAGAGACAAAUUUCCUUUGGAUGUCUUCUCCAUUGAAGUUGAUGAGCACAUCAUACAUCGGUGAGAUUUUGGAUGUUGAAGAGGCCAAUUUCAUGGAAGGAAUUGAUGAAGUCAUGAACUGUUAGCAGAAGAGAAAUCAAUGAUGCAACACAGUCAAAUAAUAUGCAUAGACAUAACCGUUAAGGACCCCAAAGAUGAAUAAUACAUUUUUUUUAGUCAAAUAAUAUCACAGAACCCCUUUUACUUUAGCCUUUUAAAAAGUUAGACCAACGCACGCCAACUUUGAAUCACUGAAAAAAUAAAUAAUAUACUAAUUCCUAUGAAAUUUUCUCCAAUAUAUUCCUUUUUUUUUAUAUUAUGCGUCCAUUUUUUUAAGUUUUAAAAUAUAACACAAGCAUCUUUGUUUACAUUACCCAUUCACCUCGUUAACAUAAAUCAUUGUAACAAAAUAAAAGAAGUAUAAAUUAAUAUAAUUUGAAAAAAAUUACGACAGGUCAUUUUUUAUAAACAAGUAAAGGAAUUGUGUGUCUCUUUAUUAAAAUAUAAGAUUUAUUAAAAAUAUUAGUUAAAUGAAUGUCUGUUCGAAAAUUACAGAACUUAUAGUGUCAUUUUAUUAGAAAAAAUGUUUUAAUAUUAGAGGAAAUGUUCGCCUAUAACUUGGGAAAAAAAUACAUGUAAUUUUCUCUUUUAUUUACAAUACAGAUUGUAAAAAAAUAAUGAAAGUGAUAAAUUUAAUAUAAUUGUAUUUAUUACACUUUUUACACUAUAAAAUUGUAUCCUUAUAUCCUUAGUGAAAAAUCCAUUCUUGAUACCACUCUCUUCACCUUAAAAGCCAUUUCUCGCAUAUGAGGAGGGUUUCAAAAGUAUUUCAUUUUAAUCCAAACAACUUAAAUUGGGUCUCCAAACAUGGAAUAGGGUAAGUACUUUCUUGGAAACCUCAUACACACUCAUGUAAAGUAAGUCAAUUAAGUCAACUUUUUUUAUGUUGAACUCCUACGUAAAAAAAUAUGGUAAUAUUUUCGUAAAUAUUUCAAACAUGUUCAUGUUCAGAUGUUCUAGGGUCUCGUGUAAAUAUUCGUAUAUUUACGUCAGACUCUUAACUGUCUGACAUAAAGUUGUUUAAAUAAGAACACAAUGCAUCUUCUUCCUUGCAUUUUGAACGCACAUGAAUCCCUCUUCUUCUCUGGCGAAGGCGACUACAACGCGAGUCUACAUGUGGUCCAUCACAACCAAACACACAUGUUUUUUCCUCUAUUUUUUCCUUUGUUUAGUGUGUUACGCAACUUUAUCUUGUUGACGGUUUUGAUCAAGGUGUAGCAACUGUUUUCUCAUCUGCUGAACCUGCAGCAGGUCCAGUUUUCUUAGGACCGAGCCAGGUGCCUGAGAAGUUGCUGUAUUGCUUUGUGGUGUAGAGUGUAGAGCGUUAGUGGCUUGCUUGGUGGUCCCUAGAGUGCAGGUAGCAAGUUAUGCCUCUAUGUAGUAGUAGGUUUUGUUUGUUGGUUUGAACCUGGUUUUGGGAUUCUAAGGGCAGGGAAGGCUCCUUACAUAGCUUUUUUGGAACUAAGUGGUGUGUCUCUUAAUCUGCAAGUGGUGUGUCUCUUAAUCUGCAUAUAUUUGUAGGUAGCUUUAUUAGGAGUUCUUUGUAUACGGGUUAAGACACUCUUAAAGUGUUAUUUUUUAAUUAAUUCAUUGCUGAUAAAAAAAAUGACACGAGUCUGCACUUGUUGUUGGUCAUCUCUAAUUUCUACUUCCGUCUUUAUAUCUCAUUUGUGGCAGCAGACGUUUCUCUAUUGCAUUGGAGCAUUUGUGGUGAAUAUUUGUCAUUAAUGUUAGUUCUUUACAUUUUCAUUUUACUAUUGAAAUUGAAACUCUGGUUGUUUUUAGGAUCUCAAUCAUGAUAAUAUAUGAAUGUUUCCAUUAGAUUGUUGUUGGCUAUCGUUGAUAUUGAAAUUUUUGUUAAAUUAAAUGUGUUAUUUAGUUGUUUAAAUUUCAAAUCUUGAAAUUAAUGUUUGUGUAAUUUUGAAUAUUAUAAGAUGUUUAAAAUUGUAUUUUACACUUUAGAAAUAGUCAAAAUUAUAAGGACUAAUUAUAGAAAAUUUAUAACAUGUUUUGUAAUUAUAAGGAAAAAUGUAAUUUAGAUUGAUUGCAAAAGUAAGAUAUGCAUUGUAGUAUGUUUGAGUGAUAUAUUUUGUUUUUGUUGUAAUCAGCAUACACAAUAAAUAAAAAUAGUUCAUAAGUUAGAUUGUUUCAACUGCUUCAAAUGUUAUGAGUUACACGAAGGGUGCUACUCUUCCAUGAAUUGCCCAUCAACCACGGUCUUGCCCAGACCAAGCUUAGAGAAGUCCAUCUCAUGAUAAACACCUGAGGCUUGUGCAACAGCGUCCUCAAAGCCCACAGGAUAGUACGUAGCGUCGUUGGUGAAGGCCUCUUUCUCUUUAGCCACCUCCUCAUUUUUCCGCGUCAGUUCAUCUCCUUGAGCCUCUCCACCUCAGCCAAGAGCUUUGCUCUCUCCUCAAAUAAGCCUAAGGCCUCCUUGGAUUUCUCAGUCAGGAGGGCCUCUGCUUCCUGUUGCCUAGUGUUUUGACUGUUGGAGUUCCUCUUGGAGUUUCGCCGUCUCUUGUUGAAGUUCUCCUUAAAGGUUCUCCACUCAUUGAUGGAGCUUAGCAGCCUCCUGAGACUUCUUGUCAGCUGAUCCUCUCCAAUCUUUCAGCUUAGUGACAACCAAACAGCUUGCAACAAGAGCUUGCCUCAGUUGUCUCAUGGUCUCUUAAACAACACGGUCCUCCUCGAGGCGUAUAAGAUUCUCCUUCGCCUUGUUGGGCAGGAGAGCCUUCUCGAGAAAGGAGGGGACGUCCAGGCCUUGGUCCCAUAUCCCCUCUUCUUGGAAGCUCGUGCCCUUAUCUUCUCGCACCACUAUCAUGUCGCGUGGCGGGGUUGGGCUUGGCGGAGGGGCAUGGUUGGAAGGAGCGCACCCAUUUGAUUCGGAGUGCUCGGUAGGAGCAGCUGUUGUUUUCCUUCUCCUUUUGAAGAUUGGCCUAGAGAAGGUCUCCUCGUUGUCCUCAGUAAAGGUUGGAACUAUUAUAGCAGGAGCUUUAAGUAAGAGAUUUUGGGGCGCCUGGGCAGCCGCCCUCAUGCUCUUGGCCCUCUCUGCCAGAUCCUUCUUGUCAAUCCGGGCCAACAUGCUAUCUACGAAAGAGGGUAAGAGUAAAUUAGCAACAAUAUUAAAGUUAACACCAUCAAGAGUAGAGAAUGAAAAGUACUGAUGUAAGCUUAGCCCCCUCUGCGGAGAACUCUUUGCUUAUGAGAGUGGCAGUGUCGAAGACCACCUUUAAGCUUGAGAGGAACUGACAGACCUCCAGGUCACACUGGGGCAUGUCUUCCAGGUGUCGAACACCUUGGAAGCGUGACUUUUUGGUCCAAUACAGAGGAAACCCAUCCAGGAGAGUUUGAUCCCUCUUAUUGCAUCGUACCUUCAAGAAUUUGCCUUUAAAUCCCUUAUAGGAUUGUUGGAAAAGCGAUAGCAAUGCUCUCUCAACCACCCCAUUGAAAGAGACCCAGAGUUGGCAGCGUAGGUGUUUGGCCUCAAAGAAAUACAUAAAGACUUCCACAGAUGGUAAAAGGCCAAACUGCGUGCAAAGAAUGGAGAAACCCCAAACAAAAGCCCAACUAUUUGGAUGUAUCUAGGCAAGGGAAACAUUGAUCUCGGUAAGGAGCACUUUCUCAAAGUUGAACAGGGGAAGGCGAAGAAGGAUUCUUUUGAAUAAGGUGGCAUAGAAGUAGCAAAAGGGACCCUCAGGGUCCGAUGACUCUUCACAACAUAUGGGUUCAUCUUCUCUACAUGGGACUAACCUAAGGGCUAUAUCGUUUUCUCUGCCAAAAUGGAACUUAUUUUGGCACUUGUUUUUCCUAAGGGCCACUAUUUGGUCACGAGAGGUAUAUAUGGAAACUUCUUCUAAUAGGUUCUAGGGUGCCCAGGGGUAUAGAGCUUUGUAAUCCAUUGCAAGAGUAUCUAAAAAUACAAACACAAGCAAAUACAAACACACAUUCAGGCAAGGCAAACCACAUGCAACGAUGCCUUUUAGAUUCAAGCAAAGCAAUAUAACUAGUAGAAAUAGUGAUAAGCAUAAGCAGGAAAGAAUAAAUUCAGAACAGACCCAAAUUAGGCAAUAUGAUCGUAACAAAUGUUUCAAACAGAUAAUGAUGCAAAUACAGAGUAAUGAUUUGAACGAAAGGAAGUACCUUGUUUCAGGGAGCGAUUAAGGACGAGGAAGUUUCCUAGGUUUGUGAAGGAGACGUAGUGAAAAUGAGAAAGGCGUGAAGGGUUUGCAACCAAUAGGGAAAUGAAACAGUGAAUGGUAGGAGGGUUUUGAAAUGGCAAGUGACAACACCUUUCCAUCGUUGAUGAGGAUGCCAAGUGUGCGUCUAGGAUUAGGUGUGUGGUGGGAUGUCACCUCAGAAAUGCUUCGUGCGCUGUGCCACACCUGUCCGUUGCGAGACUGACACGUAAACCGCCAGAGCACGCGAAUAGUCUCUUUGCUUAGGCAAGCUCAGCUCAAGCCUGGAGGCCUUAUGUACUGGACAAAGCGCUCGAGGCUCAGUACUUUGUGGUCAGAUCUUGGUGCAUGACACAGGCAGGUCAACUCGGUUGUUGGGCCAGUAAAGUGGGCCAUGUGAUUGGGCCAUGUUUAGUUGGUAAACCCGUUGGGGCAUAAUUUAAUAUUUUAUACAGCCACUAAUAAAGGGUAUUUUUGAACCUAGGGGUACAUGUAGUACAUGUGAUGCCUAAAUCAAGUAAGUGUUUCUUUUAACUUAAGUAUGUAUGUUCUAGGGCACAUAGUAGUUAAGUUGCAUACAUGACAAAAGAUAACGUUGCACCAUGAGUAAGGUUUCCACCUAAGAGAAAUAUUCCCUUGAUGUUGGUGCAUGAGUUGGUGCCCUGCUAGCAGGUGAUUGUUCUGUUAUUAUUUUAUGCACUUCUUAGAGAUAAGAUUUCCUUCUAUUGCAGUACCUUGAGAGGGCGCCCCUAAACAGAAUGUUUUCCUAGUGAUUACGCUUUUAGUUGAGAUUAGAUUCUUGUGAGAGAAAAAUGUUACAAAAGAUAAGCUAUAAAAGGAGCUUGAGACCCCAAGUAAAGGUACGUUGUUUCUAAGACUAAAACUGAAUACUUCUUAAAUUUGAGUAAGCCCUUUACUGACUUGAUCGUCGGAGUUUAAUCAACAGGUAGGAUUCUCUUUAUUUCAAUGGAGUCGUGUUCCAGUAUAACACGACGUAGAACAAAUUCCAGAAGAGACAGACCCGAGCUAGAGCUUGUCACCAGAGUCAACCGACGACAAAGUCAACUAGCAAGAACAAUAAGCUUCGACGAUUUACGUAAUCAAAUAGAAAAAGAUUUAUUCCUUGAUGUGUUUUGUUUCUUUGAUGGUAAAAGCAGAGCCUAUGUUACCAAGAUCCUAAAUGGUUGUGGAGUAGACCCUGAUAGUUGAAUAAGAGUUUUCAUAAAGCGUAACCUCAUAAAAGUGAAAGAAAACAAAAAAUUUGGAAUGCAUCAUUUACGACGAGAAAUGGGAAGAGAAAUUAUUCGUGAAAUUUCAAGAAAGGAAUCUGGAAAGAAAAGUCGACUGAGACUGGAUGAGGAUCUAAAACAUGCAUUGUCAUAUAGUACUGUAAGAACAUUCUUAAUUUAUAGUUUUGAAACUUCUUUUGGAAGUGGUUGAUUUCUCAUGUGCAAUACAAUUGUUUUUCUUAGCUCUUUUCAUCACCGGAUAAAAAAGUCAUUCAGAGAUUGCCCACCGAAAGACAUUUCUUUGAACGUAAUCCUUUAGAAAGAGACCCAUCAGGACUGCUAACACUUUUUGCAGAUUUUGAGGACCAUUCUAAGAAACGGAAAUGGAUCAGUUUGCAAGGGUUUCCUUCAGAAUACCUACCUAACGACUUUUAUGUGCAUGAUGCAAUAGCCAUUGAUUUAUAAUACUCUCUUCUUCGAUUUGUUAACAGAUUUAACCAAUUUUGUUAUGUUUUCAAAAAAUCAAUCGAUUGAAAGUGUGAAUCAAUCGAUGAAAAUGGCUUUGAUUGUGAGGUCAACCAAUUUCAAGUUUUUCAAAUGCUUUCCAAAACUACCAAGUGUAAAACAACCGAUUGAAACGACAAAUCAACAAGUUGUUUUUUCACUUGCUUUGAAAAACACUUCUUCUUUAUAGAUCAUGAUUGAUUUAGUUUUGGAUCAAGUUAAGAGUGGAUUGAAAAAUUCUAAUCUACCCAAAACCCAUGCCCACAAGCAACAACCUAGUCCUCAAGCAAACUUCAUAGAUUUGGAGACAUCAAAGCUUCAUGUUCAACAAUCUCCCCCUAUUUGAUGAAGAGAAAUCCUUGGUUUUCUUGGGAUGUUCUGUUUGAGUUUGACAAUAUCUGCUAAACACAAAAUUUUCAAAUACAAGAGGUAAUCCCUUCCAGAUUUCAUCAACACCAAAGAACCAUUUUUCACUUAGUGAUUUCCAUAAGGGAAACAAAAUCAGUGUGAAAAGAUAGUUAAAGAGAGGUGCAAAUCAGAAUUUUAUGCAACAGAGGUUUAUGCAGUAGUUUUAAUCAAAGUAAGCAACAUAUAAACCAAGUUAAAACAAAAUUUAAGCACACAAUACAAACAUACAAACCACAAAAACUUCUCCCCCUAUUUUUCUUCACAAAUAGACUUAAAGGAGAGAUAAAAAUAACACUUAAAAUAGAGUUUGUAAGUCAAGAAUUCCUAACUCAUUUCUGAGAAAGAAAAACUUGUCCUUUGACAAAAGUUUAGUAAAAAAAAUCUUCCAAUUGCCUUUCCGUUGCACUGAACUUCACCUCACAGUCUCCAUUACUCACAUGAUCUCUAAUGAAAUUGUGUCAGAUCUCAAUAUGUUUUGUCCUAGAGUGCUGAACUUGAUUUUUUGUGAGAUUGAUGGCACUUGUGUUGUCACAUAGUAGGGGUACUUUGCUGACUUUUAAUCUAAAGUCUUCAAGCUGUUGUUUAAUCCACAAAAUCUGAGCACAACAGAUUCCUACAACAAUGUAUGUGAUGAAAAUAUAUUUAUUAACCCACAAUAGCAUUAAUCAUAGAUUAUUGGACUAUAAUAAUAAAUAAAUCCAUUUUUUUAAUUAAUAUUAAUAUAAUUGGGUUUAUUUGGGCCUUAACUAUUAUCUUUGGUAAUUUUGUGUUUUUAGGGUAAAUGAUCUAAAGCAUCUACCUUUAUGAAUGGGCCAAACAUGCAAAAGUCCAAGUUGCUUCUUUGAAUCAAAACAGAAAACAAAUUCUGAGGAGAAGAAAGAGAAAAUAAAAGCUACAAGAUCCCAGAAACAGAAUUGGAAGCAAAUCUUCUGCAAUAAUAAAAAGAAUUAUGGAAAGUGGAAAUUGUUUACAAAAUCUAAACUGCAAUAUUUUCCCAAGAUCCUUGGAGCAGAAAAGCCUAUAAAAGAACACAAGCAUCAAGGAGAAAAGAGAGAGUUUCAUAGGGUUUUCUUAGUUUAUUUUCUUCUUAGUAAUUCUUUUGUUUUGCCUCCGCAUGGAAGGCUAAACCUUUUUGGUUGAUUCCUUUGUAAUUUCCCAUUGAGUUAUGAGGUUUUGUUCAAUAAAAGUUUCGAUUUUUAAUUCUCUAUAGCAGUUGUUUUUAUUGUCUAAUNNNNNNNNNNNNNNNNNNNNNNNNNNNNNNNNNNNNNNNNNNNNNNNNNNNNNNNNNNNNNNNNNNNNNNNNNNNNNNNNNNNNNNNNNNNNNNNNNNNNGGAAAACUAGAUUUUGUGAGAGGUUGUACUUGAACGCAUGAUUGAGAGUCUUCCUUGUCUUAAACUUUGGUUUCUUAGUUAGUUCACAUCGUUCUAAUUAAUUUCAUGGGCGCAUGAUUCAAGAGAGAGGAGGUAAGCAUUCCCAUGGAGUAUACGCAUGGAACAAAGUGAGUAUUGAUUAAACCAGUAGACGCAUGUUUUACUGGUGAGUUUCAGUUGAAUUAGAUUGGCGCAUGUUCAAUCUGGUUUAACUCUGUUGGAGGAUUGAGAAAAGAUUAAUCUUUAGAGAACCUGUGAAGAAUUCAAUGGUGGAAGAACUUAGGGAUCAAUUUCUUUUUAUUUUCUAUUUCAAUCUCUUUUAUAUUUUCUGCAUAACUAUCUUAACCCCCUUUUUAUUAUUAUUGUUAUUACUAACUUUUCAUUACUUGUAGAUAGAUUUUGAAUUCGGUUAACUGAAUCACUAUUGGAUUCGUUGGGAGACGACUUGGGGUCAUCUGACCACAAUUAUACUAUCAUCUCUCUAGUGUUAGACAAGUCUACGCUAGAUUCAUAUUAAUUUGACAGCAAAACGGCAGCUAUCAGUAUGUUACUUAAGUAGUGAAGAGUGUUACGCAGGCUUGCUUCUUGCUAUGCCAAGAGAUAAGGCUGGAGCCAAGACAAGUUCCACUUGUGCUUUUCCUAUCUAGUUUGCAUCCUGCAAAAUUCGAAUCAGAGUAUCCAACUAAAUGUACAGGAGAAUGAGAGGGAUACCAUAACUGAUAAGUGCCAAUGUGUAGUUUUUAUGAUUGAGAAAAUUGAACACUUUGGAACUUAAUUGUUGCUUAAUGUAAGAAAAUUACCCUAAUCUGAGAAUUAUUGAAUCUGAUUAUAUAUUUUUGAACCAAGAAACAAAUGAAGAAAUUUAAUCUCAAUUUUUGUGUAAAUUGCAGAUGAAUAUGAAGCAUUGAAAGAAUUAUUCAAGCUGGCUUUGAAAGAAAAAAAAAAGUAAAAACUUAAUUGGAUCACAAGAAGAUUUAGCUCAAGCUAGAGGAUUUAGCUCAAGCUAAAACUAUCCAGAAUUGAUUAAAGGUGCAGUAGAAUUCUAGCCCAGGCUAGAAUUGCUAGCUCAAGCUAAAACUGUCCAGAGCUGAUUAAAGGUGCAGUACUGAUCUAGCUCAGGCUAGAAUCGCUAGCUCAAGCUAAAAAUGCACCGAAAGAUCUAGCUCAAGCUAAAACGGGCUAGCUUGAGCUAAAAUUGAUUAUAUAAAUUCUGAAACAUAACUCAAAACGAGCGGUGGAAAACAGAUUAGGUUUUUUAGAAAGAGACUAGUGAGAGAAAGAGAAGAAACCUCUGUUCUUAGGAAAAGAACUUGCUCAAAUAAGCCCUUCUUAUGCAAUCCAGAUCAAGAAUGAAGAUUGGAGGAGCUGUCAUGAGUGGCUAAGUUCUUUCUAACUUGGGAUUGAAUGUAAUUUAUCUUGAUCAAAUGUAUUCUUGGUGAUAUAUAUAUAAAAUUCUCUUUUCUACUUGUUCUUGGUAUUUUCGUUUUAUGCUUAUUGCUUGAUUCUGUCUGAUCAAUAAAGUCUUGAUUUUGAUCCUUAAAUUUAACUGGAAAGUACCUUUAAGGAUCUGAAAUAAACGAAAAUACUUGAUAACUUGUAAUGCUAGGAAUAGAUUCCAGGUUAUUGAUUGCAUUAUAAUUCUGUUCCUAAAGCUGGAUGAUUUGUUAAAUAUCUGAGGAAUCAGUGUUUGAGAAAUUAUCUUAUGAAUUUCAUCUGUGAGGAAUCAAGAUGAAUGACUUUAAAUUAAGCAUCAAGAAUAAAUAGUUUUGAGUAUUAUAUAUUGUAUUAUUCAAAAUACAGAUGAUUGAGAUAAACGCAAUUCAAUCCCAAGUAUCUUUCUCUAUAUUUGAUAAGUUGGUUUUGUUACAUCCAGAAUCAAACCCUAAAUCUUUGAGUUCUUGUGAAAUCUUUAAUUUGGUUAUGAACAAAGUCUCAAAAUUAUUUUCUAUACUUAAUGAGUUUUAAAACAGAACAUCUUAAUUAGAAUUGUUCCCUGUGGGUUCGACAUUCGUACUUUAAAGAGUACUAUAUUACAGUUGAUUCGGUACACUUGCCGAGAAAGAUCAACAAGUUUUGGCGCCGUUGCCGGGGAACAAUUUCUUUUAAGAAUUUCUGAAGUAUAACUCAUUGAGUAUUGUGAAUAUUCUGUUUUCUUUGUGAAUAUACAUUGGUUUAUAUCUUAUUCUUUUAUCCUGUGCUAAUCCUUGCUUAAGUUGUCUUAGAUACAUGUUAUUGAGAGGACAGGUUCCUGAAGAUCAAUUGGAAUUUGAUCCAGAAAUUGAGAAGACAGCUAGAAAAAAUCAGACAAGAAGAGAAAAGAAAAGAAGAAGCAAGGACAAGCAAAAGGAGAAUCUUCCANNNNNNNNNNNNNNNNNNNNNNNNNNNNNNNNNNNNNNNNNNNNNNNNNNNNNNNNNNNNNNNNNNNNNNNNNNNNNNNNNNNNNNNNNNNNNNNNNNNNNNNNNNNNNNNNNNNNNNNNNNNNNNNNNNNNCCACCAAAUCAUUAGAAAUGAAGCCAGCUUUUCUUAGCUUAAUCAGCACUCAUCAAUUCACUGGAAUGGAUCAUGAAGACCCUUAUACUCAUCUAUCCACAUUCUAUGAGUUGGUUGGGACCAUGGGCUUCGAGGAAAAUGAUAUUGAAUCUGUUUAUCUGCGUCUAUUUCCUUUCUCACUUGCAGGCAAAGCAAAAGAAUGGUUAAAGUCGCAUCCAAACCAGAGUCUAAGUAGCUGGAAUGAUGUAGAAGAGAAAUUCCUACACAGAUUCUUCCCACUCUCUCGGUAUAUCAAGGCUAAGUUUGAUAUCUCUAUAUUCGGGCAAGGGCCAGAAGAACCUUUUUGUGAAGCUUGGGAACGCUUUAAAGUGAUGUUAAGAAGAUGUCCUAAUCAUGGCUUUGGGGAUAUUGCUCAGUUGAACAUAUUCCACAAUGGUUUGAGGCCUGAUACUAAAAUGAUCNNNNNNNNNNNNNNNNNNNNNNNNNNNNNNNNNNNNNNNNNNNNNNNNNNNNNNNNNNNNNNNNNNNNNNNNNNNNNNNNNNNNNNNNNNNNNNNNNNNNNNNNNNNNNNNNNNNNNNNNNNNNNNNNNAUCUUAGUACUUUAGAUGCAAUUUUAGCACAAAACAAGAUUUUGACUCAGCAAAUUGAGGCAUUAACCAAGCAAAUGUCAAAACUGCCUCAACAAUUACAUGCAGUAAAUUCUCCUUCAAUUCAGAAUCAAGCUUUGAAGUGUGAUUUUUGUGGGGGAGAUCAUCUCAAUGGCCAAUGCUCUUACCAAAAUCCAUCAGAGGAAGAGGUUCACUAUAUGAAUAAUCAAGGAAGGCAAGGUGGCUUUGCAUAUAAUUAUCCAAAUAACAUGACUCAAGGAUGGAGGAACAAUCCAAAUCAAGGAUUUGGGUGGAAGCAAGAGGCUGGAUCAUCCAACAGACAAGCUCCAAUUCCUUAUCAACAGUAACCACAUUAUCCUUCCAUUCAUGAGAGAACAUAAAAAUUGGAAGAUACUUUUGAGAAGUUCAUGCAAGCCUCUCUAUUCAAUCAAAAAAAUACUGAAGCAUCAAUAAGGAAUUUAGAAACACAGGUGGGGCAGUUGGCUAAACAGUUAGCUGAUAAUCAAGGAAGUCAAUUUUCAGCCAAUACACAAACCAAUCCCAAGGAGCAUUGCAAUUCUAUCACUACCAGAAGUGGGAUAGUUAUAGGAAAAGGAAUUGGGAAAAACUUAGUUGUUGGGGAGGAGGUUUUAAAAGAUAAAGAGAGUGAAAAAGAAUAGAUUGAGUGUGAGGGAGAAGAAAGAAGAAAUAAGGAAGAUGUUGUAGAUAUUGAUGAGAAAAUAGAAAAAAAUGAAAAACAAGAGAGGAGUGUUCCUAUAAAAGAUGUACCUUAUCCACAUGCUCCUACAAAGAAAUGCAAAGAAAGGCAAUUUGCAAGAUUUAUGAAUAUUCUCAAAAGAUUGCAAAUUAACAUUCCUUUUACUGAAGUUUUAAAGCAGAUGCCUACAUAUGCUAAAUUCAUGAAGGAAUUAUUGACAAAGAAAAGAAAGUUCAAUGACCAGGAAAUAGUUGAAUUGGAAGCUGGAUGCAGUGCUAUAAUCCAAAAAUCAUUACCACAGAAAUCCAGAGAUCCUGGGAGUUUCACUUUGCCAGUUACCAUAGGAAAUCUAACUGUUAGAAAGGCAUUAUUGGAUCUUGGAGCUAGUAUUAAUUUGAUGCCUUUAUCAAUGCUGAAGAAAAUUGGAGAUGUAGAAGUGAAACCAGCAAGAAUGACUUUGCAGUUGGCUGAUAGAUCAAUCAAAUAUCCACAUGGAAUAGUUGAAGAUUUAUUGGUAAAGGUAGAUAAAUUUCUAUUCCCAGUAGAUUUUGUUGUAAUGGAUAUUGAAGAAGAUGUUGAAGUACCUUUGAUAUUGGGAAGACCAUUCAUGAAAACUGCCAAAGUUAUAAUUGAUGUAAACAAAGGAAAAUUGAAGGUUUGUGUUCUAGAUGACAAAGUAAGCUUUAAUGUUUUUGAAGCAAAGAAAUAUUCAAAUGAUCAUAAAGAGUGUUUCAGAGUGGAUAUGAAUGUUGUUGAACCUUCAAUGAUGUUAAUCAGGCGUCAAGCUAUAUGACGUUAAACGAGCGCUUGCUGGGAGGCAACCCAGUGUUUUGUUCUGAAAUGUGUCUUUAAUUUUUGUUUUGAAAUGUGUCUUUAAUUUUUGUUUUGAUUUAGUAGUAUGUUUUAAUAUUUGAUGUCUUUAAAACCAGUUUGAUAUGUGAAAUGGUCAUGUAGGUUUGAAAUGUUAGGUGAAAUGAAUGGAUGGAAGAAGGCUUAGAAAGGUUUGAAACUUUUGGCAAAGACAAAAUGAAAAUUUUCAAGAAAAUUUCAUUGCAGGGUAAUUUUAGCUUAAGCUAGAACUUUUAGCCUAAGCUAGUUAUGCAGAAAAAGAAGAAAAAAAUUUGUUAUGCAGCUUUCGCUUAAGCUAAAAUGAGCUAGCUUGAGCUAGAAAACUCUGUUGCUCUCUGCCAAAUUUUAGCUUAAGCUAAAAAGAGCUAGCUUGAGCUAGAAAACUUUGUUGCUCUCUGCCAAACUUUAGCUUAAGCUAAAACGAGCUAGCUUGAGCUAGAGCAAAUUUGUUGCUCUCUGCCCAAUUUUAGCCUGAGCUAAGAAGCUCUAGCCUAAGCUAGUGAGAUUUCUAAAAAAAAAAAAAAAAAACUGCAGCAUUUUAUAAAAAUCACAUUUUGAAAACCCUGCAACCUAACUCAAUUUCAGAAGCACCCUCUGUUCUAAAAAAAUCCCAAAGCUUCCAACUACAUAAUCAUUCUCAAACAAACAUUUCAUCUACAUUGCCAUUAUCAAGGUAAGUAAUUACUCAUCUCCAUAAUCAUUUUCAUUGUCAUUUCCAUUUCACAGUCCAGACAUGCGUGUUUCUAUUUCCAUUUCACAGUUUCGUUUUUUAAAUUGAAAGAUUCAAUCUUUUUGAAAUUUCAAUGUCUUGAUGUAAAAUAGGAUUGUGGAAUGGGAUAAUCAAAGUUAAGUACGGUUUCCAUGGAUUAAAUACCAAAACAAAAAUUACUCAUUCAAUGUCAUUCUACAUCAUGCAUACCAAGUGUUUGUUAAAAUGUCAAUCAAAUAGAACACUUUGGUUUGAGAAAUGUUUAUUCUUACAUAUGCAGAAAAAUGAGUCACACCAAAUCCACAACUGGUAUUAAAUAAUCCGUCGUUGACACGCACUGAAUUUCAUGAUUAGCUAUCUUGGCCUAGGGACAUGCACAGUUUUUCAGGGGAGGCAAGAGAAUUUGGAGUUGGGACUAGAGUUGAAGGUACACCAGAAAUGGCAGCUGGACCAUCUGGAGCAGCAGAAGAUGAAGAUCCAAACCAAGUUCAGAAUGAUGAUGUUGGCACGGAGCGGAACAAAGUCAUAAAAGGAGAUUGAUACUUCUCAUGCACAAUGAACAGAAAACUGGUUUUAUCUUUUUGUUUAACUUUACUUUCAGUUUAAUUUAGUAAGUUGACUUUAGUAGUUUGGUUUCAUAAUUCUUACUUUAGAUUUUGUUGAUGACAAGCUUAAGUUAGUAUAAUGGUUGAUGUUUGCAUAUUUUGUGAAGUGAAAUCUUGUAUAUAGAUAGAUGAUGGUAUAAUUUUUUGGAAAAAGAAAUCAAACCAUAGUUCUAAAUUAGAACAACCAAAUGGAUUGAUCAGGGACUUAAUUUGAAAAAGAAUUUGUGGUUGGAACCAUCACUCAAAUUGAGAAAGGAUAUUAAUGUGUAAAAGUUGGAACAAGGUAAAUAGUUGAAAGCAAUGACUGAAAACAAAUGAGGAAUUGAAAUUAGCCAACCAAGUGAGAGUGUGAAACCUUUAAACAGUUUGAGAGACUUUCAGUAGUGAAGAGUUAAUUGAGGUUGCCUAAUUUUCUAGUCAAUUUGCAUCACAAAAUCAAAUAUGGAGAUGAUUGAGGCAUGUUUAAUAGAGUGGAGGUGAGAAAACUCAGAACCAAACAGCUAACCUUUGCAAUAUAUGAUGAAAUGUGCAGAAAAAUAACCCUUUUUGAGCCAAAUUUGUUUUAUUGCACCCUAGCUUCUGAUAUACAUAUAUUGUCCUACCUUGUGGUAUGCUAACAAAAGGAGAGCAUAGGUGCAAUUCAAAUUUCUAUAAUUAAAAGAAUUGGGUUUGGUGUGGCUGUUGGGAUUUUGAGAAUGAAAAAAAAAAGAAAAAGAAAAAAAAAGGAAAUGACAAAAUUAUCCAAAUUCUCAUUCUCUUUUCUAAAAAAAAAAAGAAAAAAAAAGAGAAAAAGAAAAACAAAGGGGAUUACAAGAAUAUAAAAAUAAGCAAUGUGAAUGAAUCUUAUGGAAGGGAUAAUGGAUAACACAAUUAGAAAGUGAAUUGCAAAUAUGCUAAUCUUUUGUUAACUGUGCAUUUUGUUAUCCUGGAAAAACCAAAUUUUCUUUAUAACCCAGCCUCAUUACAACCUGAAAAGACCUCAAGCUCUAUGUUUGUGAAAGUGUUUGUAAUCAACUGGAAAUGAAGGGCAACCUUAAAUUAACUUGGAAUUCAGUGAAAAAAAGAGGGAAAACACUCACCAGUGAGGAAUGAAGAGAGAAAUUCUUUAGUUUGAUUCUCAAUGAAGAGUAACAAUUGUUUACCUUGGAAAUUGAAUACAUUCUUAUCCUGUCUUGGUUUGAAUUGAUAGGAAACACCAUAAUUUUUUGUUGAAUUAUCUUGUGCUCUUUCCAUGAAGUUGUUCUGAUAUUAAACUAUAGAUUUGAUUUCUAAGGAUUUUGGGGAAGAAUGAAUUCAUAUUUUUUGGGAUUCAAUUACUUUGCUUGAGGACAAGUAAGAUUCUAGGUUAGGGGGAAUUUGAUAAGUGCCAAUGUGUAGUUUUUAUGAUUGAGAAAAUUGAACACUUUGGAACUUAAUUGUUGCUUAAUGUAAGAAAAUUACCCUAAUCUGAGAAUUAUUGAAUCUGAUUAUAUAUUUUUUGAACCAAGAAACAAAUGAAGAAAUUUAAUCUCAAUUUUAGUGUAAAUUGCAGAUGAAUAUGAAGCAUUGAAAGAAUUAUUCAAGCUGGCUUUGAAAGAAAAAAAAAUGUAAAAACUUAAUUGGAUCACAAGAAGAUUUAGCUCAAGCUAGAGGAUUUAGCUCAAGCUAAAAUUGUCCAGAAUUGAUUAAAGGUGCAGUAGAAUUCUAGCCCAGGCUAGAAUUGCUAGCUCAAGCUAAAACUGUCCAGAGCUGAUUAAAGGUGCAGUACUGAUCUAGCUCAGGCUAGAAUCGCUAGCUCAAGCUAAAAAUGCACCGAAAGAUCUAGCUCAAGCUAAAACGGGCUAGCUUGAGCUAAAGUUGAUUAUAUAAAUUCUAAAACAUAACUCAAAACGAGCGGUGGAAAACAGAUUAGGUUUUUUAGAAAGAGACUAGUGAGAGAAAGAGAAGAAACCUCUGUUCUUAGGAAAAGAACUUGCUCAGAUCAGCCCUUCUUAUGCAAUCCAGAUCAAGAAUGAAGAUUGGAGGAGCUGUCAUGAGUGGCUAAGUUCUUUCUAACUUGGGAUUGAAUGUAAUUUAUCUUGAUCAAAUGUAUUCUUGGUGAUAUAUAUAUAAAAUUCUCUUUUCUACUUGUUCUUGGUAUUUUCGUUUUAUGCUUAUUGCUUGAUUCUGUCUGAUCAAUAGAGUCUUGAUUUUGAUCCUUAAAUUUAACUGGAAAGUACCUUUAAGGAUCUGAAAUAAACGAAAAUACUUGAUAACUUGUAAUGCUAGGAAUAGAUUCCAGGUUAUUGAUUGCAUUAUAAUUCUGUUCCUAAAGCUGGAUGAUUUGUUAAAUAUCUGAGGAAUCAGUGUUUGAGAAAUUAUCUUAUGAAUUUCAUCUGUGAGGAAUCAAGAUGAAUGACUUUAAAUUAAGCAUCAAGAAUAAAUAGUUUUGAGUAUUAUAUAUUGUAUUAUUCAAAAUACAGAUGAUUGAGAUAAACGCAAUUCAAUCCCAAGUAUCUUUCUCUAUAUUUGAUAAGUUGGUUUUGUUACAUCCAAAAUCAAACCCUAAAUCUUUGAGUUCUUGUGAAAUCUUUAAUUUGGUUAUGAACAAAGUCUCAAAAUUAUUUUCUAUACUUAAUGAGUUUUAAAACAGAACAUCUUAAUUAGAAUUGUUCUCUGUGGGUUCGACAUUCGUACUUUAAAGAGUACUAUAUUACAGUUGAUUCGGUACACUUGCCGAGAAAGAUCAACAAUAACCCAAUAGUGGAUAUGCCUUUUAGAUACUUCAUAAUUCUUUUGGCAGCUUUAAGGUGUGAUUCUUUCGGAUUGGACUGAAAUCUAGCACAAAGGCAUACUGCAAACAUAAUAUCUGGUAUGCUGACUGUAAGGUAGAGCAAAGAGCCAAUAAAAUCCCUAUAUUUGGAUUGAUCUACUACAAUUCCAACUGCAUCAGCAUCCAUGUAGCAGCUUGUGGACAUUGGUGUAGUUGCCUCUUUACACUGCUCCAUUUCAAACUUUUUGAGGAUUUCCUUGCAAUACUUGGAUUGACUUAGAAAGAUGCCAUCCUUUGAUUAUUGGACCUGCAGUCCCAAGAAAAAGGACAACUCUCCCAUCAUUGACAUUUCAAGUUCUCCUUGCAUAGCUGUCACAAAUUCUUUACAGAAGUUAUCAUUAAUAGCACCAAAAAUAAUGUCAUCAACAUAGACUAAAAUAAUGGAAGAAAUUUGAUUUUUUGAUAAAGAGAGUUUUGUCAACCUUCCCUCUUUCAUAGUCAUGAGACAAGAGGAAAUUACUUAACCUCUCAUACCAUUGCCUUGGAGCUUUCUUAAGACCAUAUACAAGACCUUUUUCAGCUUGUAUACAUGCUUGAGAUGUUGAUGACUCUACAAACCCGGGUGGUUGUGAGACAAAGACCUCUUCAUUGAUAACUUCGUUAAGGAAGGCACUCUUCACAUCCAUUUGUUACAAUUUGAACCCAUUCAUGCAAGCAAAGGCUAGCAGUAACCUUACAGCUUCCAAUCUGGCUACUAGUGCAAAGGUCUCGUCAUAGUUUAUCCCUUCUUCCUGAUUGUACCCUUUUGCAACAAGUCUUGCUUUGUUCCUUGUUACCACCCUGAUUCAUCUACCUUGUUUCUGAACACCCACUUUAUUCCAAUGAUGUUCAUCUGAUCUAUUUUGGGAACUAGGAGCCACACAUCAUUCCUGACAAAUUGGUUUAGCUCCUCAUGCAUAACAGCAGUCCAAUUCUCAUCCUUGAGAGCUUCAUCAACUUAUUUGGGUUCAACUUGAGAGAUGAAGGCCAUGCUGCAGUAGUUUGCUAUGGUUUUUCGUGUAGAAACUUCCUUAUGAAUUUGUCCAAUUAUGUUUUCCACAGAGAGGUCUCUUGGAAUCCUUCAUUCCUUGGGUAGCUCAUCCUAUUGCAGAAUAUCAAUCGGUUGUUUUUCUAGACAGGUUUCUAGAUUCUUUAGAAAGAUGUUCUGCUCAUCUUCUUUAGCACAAUUCCUCAAGAAACUUUGUUCUGUAGGGUUAGUUUCAUCAAAUACAACAUGUAUAGAUUCCUCUACAGUCAUGAGUAUUUUAUUAUAAACCCUAUAAUCAUGACUAGAUAAAGAGUAACCAAGAAAAAUAUCAUUGUCUGCUUUCUCAUCAAAUUUUCCAAGAUUUUCUUUACCAUUAUUCAAAAAUAUAACACUUACAUCCAAAUACCUUUAGAUUACCUAUAUUGGGUUCCUUCCAUUGAGCAUUUCAUAUGGAGUCUUCUUCAAGAUAGGCCUGAUGAGAACCCGGUUCAUCACAUAACAUGCAGUACUUACAACAUCUGCCCAAAAGUAUUUUGGCAAGGUUACAUCUGGUAGCCACAGCCUUAAUUGGUUGCUUCUCAAUUGAGCUAUAUGCGACCAAGUGCCGCUUCAUCUCUUUGUUCUCCCUUCGGAGGACAUGUAUCUCCUCCUCAUUCUUCUGCCUUAUCUCUGCCAUCUCCCUUUGUGGGGAUAGAAGCAAGACCAUCUGGUCGGCUUCAGUUAUCCUCUUGUAAGUCAUGUUUCGUGUUGAUAUCAUUUACUUCUAUGACUUCUGCUACUCUCUCGGUCCCACGGUAAACACCAAUUAUACUUGUAAAGGGCUAAGACAGUAUUUGCUACCUGUUUGACAACUAAUUCCUCCCCUCGGUCGUGCUUUACUUACUUUCCUUCUUCUUGCAUUCGGGUUUCGGCUCUUGACGGGAGUGCAUCUACAAAAGGUUCUUCGACGCUCAAGUGAGUAUUUAAUAUUUAGGUGUUAUUAAUGUUGUAAUAGUGAAGUACCUUUGCUUUGUCUAAUGUGCUUAUUUAUACCAUUGUAAUUGACUCUAUCAUUGAUGGGUCGUGUUUAUUGUGUAUAAUCAUAAAAAUGAAAUUACCUAAUAUAUCACGUAUUUCUUUUUAUCUUGAUGUAUUUACACUAGUCAGUCGUGCAACAUCUGAUACUUAGAGUUAUAGGAUCAUCCAACCUCGACCAAUACAUGUUUGAUCCAUCAAGAAGAGGUGCAAGUGUUGAACUUAAAUAUAAUAUUGUGGAUAUUCAAUGACUUCAAGAUACUAACCAUUUGAUCCAUUUAAUCUGGCAUAGAUAAGUGUACUAUGUCCUAUAUCCAACAUUUCAAGUAGACAAACAUGGUUGAUAUGUUGAAUUAAAACAAGCCUAAGGUCACAUUGACUCAAAGGUCACAUUGACUCAAAUGACAUGGAAGAGAACGUCCCUUACCAAGUAGAUCAAAUGUCACGUGCCAAUAAAAUCAUAAAAUCAUUGAAGUGGAAGGUAUAUUUGGAUUACAAAGGAAGAAGAGAAAACAAGAAGUUGAUGAUGAUGAUGAUGUGGAGGAGUAAGAAACAGGGUAAAGUAAAUGCAUGCGGCUAUUAAGACAGUAGCAUCGUCUAUGGCUUAUAUAUAUAUAUAUAUAUAUAUAUAUAACAAUGGCUUAUAUAUAUAUAUAUAUAUAUAACAAUGCUUGCGGCUCAUACAUACCCAUACAUGCAGUUCAUGUAACAAAACUUAUAAAUGUAAAUUGAAAAAAAAAUGAAAUACUUUUAAAUUAUACAUAAAACAAAUAGAAUCAGUGUAAAAAACGAGAAAUGAAAUCAAACUUUGUUUAAUUUAGUUUGAAAUAAAGGGAUGAGGCUACGGUGCUUCUUAUGUUGAAAUAAAAACAGAGUACAUAGCAUAUAGUAAGGCAAAACACAUAACAAAUUAUUGAACGGCAACUAUCUUUAUUUCAUAAGCAAUACGAGGAUUUCUGAAUGUAGUAUUAUAUGCUAAAAGGGAAAAGAAUUGACAAAAGUAACAACGAGAAAGCAAAUCCAAUAAACAGCUAAGUAAAGCCAAGCAAGCACAAUGUGAGAAAUGAUGAGAAACAGGGUAAAAUAAAUAUGAAUCUCUUUACUAUGAGCUCUACUCAAAAGAAAAACAAGGAAAGGAUCAGAAAAAAUGAAUUGCAACAAGGACACCAGGACUAAUUCCAUAACUCAAAGGAUCCGGCUGUUCUCACAUUACAAAUUUCUUUAUAAAUCUAGUAAAAGAAUUUUUCUUUGGCAUUGAUUCACUACAUAUUAGAUAGACAGAUGUGUUCUUGACUACCAAUCUAUUACCAAAACUCACAAAAAUCUCCACCUUGUCUCCUGAUCCUAAAUUUGACAUUAUGUCAGCCCAAUCUUCAUUAUUAAAGGAAAUUACCGUGCCAUGGUUGUGUAUCUGGCAUGUGAACUUCGUGUAAUUAACAAUUAAGACAGUACUAAGUUCAGGUUCAAUGAUUUCGGAGGUUGAUAAAUAAACAACACACAAAGCCAUUCCCUUCACCACACGAUCUUGAGGCACCGUGAAAGAAACAGAAUGUCCCUCACCCAUAUGGGCCAACCAAUAAGGAUCAUUGUCACCUGGGAGAGAAACAUCACAUGACUCACUGCUUUCAAAUACCUGUAUCAUGUGAUAAAAAAUGACAUGUUUAGUUAAACAAAAAUGUUAUACAUGAUUAAAACAUAUCUGGUUAAUUUGUGUAUAUAUCACUUUCAUUUCUUUAAGGAUUUAGAAUGCAUUUCUAUUUUUGUCUCUCUUAGUUUAUAUUUCUAUGAUCAUUGGGAAUAAAGCAAUCUUGAAGCUAGUAAAGCAAGAAAGUGGAAAUCAAUUUGGUAGUACUUAGUAUAAGCAUAAUCACUUGGUUAGUUGAUUAUAAAAAUAAGAUACUUUUAGAUGAAUUCGUGGGGCUAGCGAAGCGAAGGGUGCUAAAAGUUCAGUAUUGUAGUUUCUACAAGAUACUUAAUUAGGAUUAUUUUAUGUUCUCUCAAAUAAUAGCUAAAAUGAUGGUGAAGGUAAUAAACAAAGGGAAAGCGAGAGAAGAACCUUAGGUAUGAUAUCGCUCACAGUAUUGAAGAAUUCUUUGUAUCUUCCAACACCAGUCAGAGAAUACCUUACGUGAUGCUUUGAAAGAACUGAUUCUCUAACAUUUGCACCAUAUUCGGCCACUAUGGUUUUUACUUGCUCAGAUAGUUGAAACUCGGCGUCACAUUACACUGAAACGCUUCGAAGAUUUUCGAGGCUGCUAAGCAAUGGUGAUAUAUCAUCCCAAUUAUUAUCUUCCAUAUGCAUGAAGGAAUGAAUAUAAGAUACGGGAUUCAUUGUUGGCGACAUCCGAGACCGAAUGAUAAAAGGAAAAAGAUUAUGUGACAAUCCCUCUAAUCCACGUAGGGAUAUAUAUCCAAUGCUUUUGGGGCUUACAAUUGUAAAAGGCAGUUGUUUCAUAGCUGUAUUUUCAGCAAUUGUAGUCAUGAAGGAUUUCAUUCCCACUAUAUCUAUAUCCAUUAGGUCAAUCUUCGAACAACCAGAUAGAAUCAGAGUUUUUAAACAUUUCAGCUUAUAUAUCUCUCCAGGAAGAUUGCUUAGACUUGUACAGUCCUUCAAAUUUAGCAGUAUAAGAUUGGAGAGACAACCAAUAGAUUGGUGUACUUCGCGCAAUCUUGGACAAUCUUCGAGAAUGAGCUGUUCAAGACUUGGUAGUCCCGAAAAGUCAGGGGUUUCUAUCAAGUACUUGGAGUGACUAAGAUUAAGGACUUUCAGCCACGUCAAAACCUUCAAGAAUAUAGUUUUUGAUAAAAUAUUAGAGAAGAAAAUGAAAAAACGAAAUAGUUAUAACUGAAAACAAAUAAUAAUUUUAAAAGAAAAUGACAAGUAAUAAAAACCUGGGGUUCUUUCCAAACCAAUCGAAGAAAACUGUGUUUUAAAUCAAUCACUAUUGCAUCAUGCAAAUAAAAGUGGUUAGGUAGGUAUUCUGAAGAAAACCCUCGCAAACUGAUCCAUCUUAAUUUCGCAGAAAGGAACUUAGAAUCUGCAGCCAGUUUCAGAAGUCUUGAUGAGUCUCUUACACCUACAGGAGAAUCUCUUGUGGAAGGCCAACCCUGAAUGACUCUUGUCCCCGGUGAUGAAAAGAGCUAAGAGAAACAAAUAUAUUUCGCAUGAGAAAGCAACCACUUCCAAAAGAAGUUUCAAAACCAUAGAUUAAGAAUGUUCUUACAAUAGCAAGCUUCAUAUCCUCAUCAAUGAUUUCACCAAUAAUUUUUCUUCCCAUUUGUCGUAGUAACGAAUGCAUUCCUAAUUUGUUGUUCUUAUUAACUCGUAUGAGACUACGCUCUAUCAGAACUCUUAUUCCACUAUCAGCCUCUAUUCCACAGCCAUUUAGGAUCUUCGUAACAUAGGCUCUGCCUUUACCAACAAAGGAACAACAUAGAUCAAGGAAUAAAUCUUUUUCCAUUUGAUUGCAUAAACCGUCGAAGCUUAUUUUCAGUAUCUGAUCAAAUUUAAUAAGCUCGGGAAUUUUCUUUAGUUGUAAGAGUACUCUAUUCCAUUCUCGUUUCGUCCUUUCAUAUAAAUAACUUCCAAUGACUUCAAGAGCUAGAGGUAGUCCUCCACAAUAAGCAACUACUCUUUCUGCAAGGAAAAGAUAAUCUUCUUUUGGUUUUGCUUCUCUAAAUGCGUGCCAACUAAGAAGCUCAAGGGACUCAUCUGUGUUCAUUAGCUCUACCUGAAAAAUAGAAUCAGCUUGAGAUAUCAUCAGUAGGUUUUCAUGUGUUGUUGUAAUGAUUAUUACACUUCCUCCUCCAUACCAAUGACGGCAUUCCCAUAGUAAUGUGGCAUCAAACGGAGGCACAUCGUCAAGUACAAUGAGCACCCUUUUCCCAGAAAGUCUUUCCUCAAUCAUUCGUCUUCCCAUCUCAAAGCUAUCUAUCUCUACCUUCGUUUUUAGGACAUCUGAAAGGAUUUGUUCUAGUAAACGAAGACCCCCUUUUAUUCCGCUAAUUUGUCUAAUUUCUUCAAUGAAACUUUUCUCCGUGAAUGUACCAUGAAUUUGAUGGUAGAUGGCUUUAGCAAGGGUGAUUUUACCAGAUCCUCCCUGUCCACAUAUUGCUAUCCUACAAACUUCCGUGGAUUUAUUUUUGAUAGCUCGAGUAAGAUCCUCCAUGCGCGAUUGUAAUCCAACUGGAAAUUUAGUAGCAGACAAGACUGGUAAAUUAAGAACGGUCUUAACAAUUUUGUCCACCAGUUCAGCAUCACUCCUUCAAGUUCAAUAGCAAUCAUGGAAGAAGUCAAGUAGUACCAAAAUUAAAUGAGAAGCUGAAAACAUGGUGAUUGAGUGAGUGAUUUACCUGUAAUUGCUCUCAUCCCAUCCAAAGAAAUUUGCAGCUUUGGUGAGUGCGUGGCUCCAUUUGGACAUGGCAUGUGCCAGUUGUUGUCCUGAAAAUGUUUGGUGUGCAGUUGCUUUGAAGGCUUUUCCAAAAUCACCCAUCUGAAGACGCACAUCAGAUGGCUGAAUUUCGUAAUAAACGGGCAGAAGAUGUCGACAAUAAGUUUCUUGCCAUCUAAUGAUUUGUUGAAGCUGAUGAAGACACCAAGCAGAUUGAGAAUAGGUUUUGGUGAAAACAACAAUAGCUACACGAGAGAGAUUGAGAAUAGGUUGUUGGAUGUGCGUUUGGUUGAGUGCAUUGGGGUGGUGAAGGAAAGUGGUGAAGCCAACAGCAGAGAGGGCAGAAUCGAGAUGAGACACAAACUUCCUUUGGAUGUCUUCUCCACUAAAGUUGAUGAGUACAUCGUACAUCCGUGGGAGUUUGGAUGUUGAAGAGGCCAAUUCCAUGGAAGGAAUUGACGAGGUCAUGAACUUUUAGCAGAAGGGAAACCAAUAAUGCAACGCAGUCAAAUAUAUAUGUUUUAAUCAUAUUUGUUUUAUUUUUUAAUAUAUAUGUUUGCUGUGAGUGUGAUGUCAAAUAAUUUUAUUUUACAAUUUUUAUAGUCAAAUGAUAUCACAGAACCUCUUUUACUUUAGCCAUUUGUCCAACGCACGCAACUUUGAAUCACUGAAAAAAUAAAUAUUAUACUAAUACCUAUGAAAUUUUCUCCAAUAUAUUCCUUUUUUUUUUUAUAUUAUGCGUCCAUUUUUUAAGUUUUAAAAUAUAACAAAUGCAUCUUUGUUUACAUCACCCAUACACCUCGUUAACAUAAAUCAUUGUAACAGAAUAAAAAAAAAAGUAUAAAUAUAAUUUGAAAAAAUUUACGACAGGUCAUUUUUGAUAAACAAAGUAAAGGAAUUUAAUGUCUCUUUAUUAAAAUAUAAGAAUGUUAACGUCAUCAUUAAAAAUAUUAGUUAAGUGAAUGUCUUUUCUAAAAUUACAUUAUAGUGUCAUUUUAUUAUAAAUUAAAAAAAUGUUUUAAUGUUAGAGGAAAUAUGUGCCUAUAACUUCAAAAAAAAAAAAAUACAUGUAAUUUUCUCUUUUAUUUAAAAUACAGAUUGUAAAAAAAUGAAUGAAAGUGAUAAAUUUGAUAUAAUUUUAUUUAUUACCAAAGUGAUCAAAUCUUUAAGUUUUAUUUAAUUCCAGAUUACUGAUAAAUUUUAUUCCAAUUACCUAUAGAAUGGAUGCUAAAUUAUUUAUAUAUAUGGGUAAAUGGAAAUUCAUUAUUAUAGGGCAUUAUGGAUCACCCAAAGGUUGAUUAGUUGUCCUUAUAAUUAAUGGAUAUGACUGUUGGUAGUGAGUAUGUGUUAUUAGUUUUGCUUGUAUAUCCAAAGAUAACAAGUGUUUCUAGUUAAUGCAUACAUCUUGCCAAAUAAAGUUAAUACUAUUAGCAUCAUUAUGUUUUGUGUAUUAAUGAAUCUCUCAAAGGAGAACAUUAGUAUACAUAGAAUGCUUUCUGAAUCUGUAUAGAAUGUUUAGUUUAUGACUCAAAGUAUUAAUGUUAAGCAUGUGUGAUCAAGUAUUGUUCCUAUAUCUUUAUGCGAAUGAGCAUAACAAUUAAUAUUAAGUCUGCUCUUCCCAAAACUGAUGGUGCAAAAGAAUUUAUGAAAUUUGUGGAAGAGCGCUCCCAAACUACUGAUAAGUCUCUUGUUGGGNNNNNNNNNNNNNNNNNNNNNNNNNNNNNNNNNNNNNNNNNNNNNNNNNNNNNNNNNNNNNNNNNNNNNNNNNNNNNNNNNNNNNNNNNNNNNNNNNNNNNNNNNNNNNNNNNNNNNNNNNNNNNNNNNNNNNNNNNNNNNNNNNNNNNNNNNNNNNNNNNNNNNNNNNNNNNNNNNNNNNNNNNNNNNNNNNNNNNNNNNNNNNNNNNNNNNNNNNNNNNNNNNNNNNNNNNNNNNNNNNNNNNNNNNNNNNNNNNNNNNNNNNNNNNNNNNNNNNNNNNNNNNNNNNNNNNNNNNNNNNNNNNNNNNNNNNNNNNNNNNNNNNNNNNNNNNNNNNNNNNNNNNNNNNNNNNNNNNNNNNNNNNNNNNNNNNNNNNNNNNNNNNNNNNNCAGCUUCUUGAAAUUAUACACACUGAUAUAUGUGGACCUUUUGAUGCAAGUUCUUUCAAUAAAGAAAGGUAUUUUAUCACCUUCAUUGAUGAUUUUUCACGUUAUGGUUAUGUCUAUUUACUGCAUGAAAAAUCGCAAGCGGUGAAUGCCUUGAAAGUUUAUAUAAAUGAAGUGGAAAGGCAAUUAGACAGAAAGGUGAAAAUUGUCAGGUCAGAUAAAGGUGGUGAAUAUUAUGGAAAGUAUGAUGAAAGUGGACAACACCCUGGUCUGUUUGCUAAGUUCCUUGAGAGACGUGGUAUUUGUGCUCAAUACACAAUGUCUGGUACACCACAACAAAAUGGUGUUUCAGAAAGGCGUAAUCGAACCUUAAUGGAUAUGGUUAGGAGCAUGUUAAGGAAGUCAACUGUACCUGUUUCAUUGUGGAUGUAUGCUUUAAAACUGCCAUGUAUCUGUUGAACAGGGUUCCUAGUAAGGCAGUUCAAAAGACACCUUUUGGAUCAUGGACAGGAAGGAAACCCAGUUUGAGACACCUGCAUGUUUGGGGAUGUCAGGCAUAAGUUAAAAUAUACAAUCCGCAAGAGAAGAAAUUGGAUGCAAGAACAAUCAGUGGAUAUUUCAUUGGUUAUCCAGCAAAGUCAAAAGUGUUGGGUCUAUUAGUGUCUAAGUUCAAGAGGGGAGGGGUGAAUUGAGCUUAUAAAUUUUUUGCAAGAACACACAAUUUUCAGUAUUCCAGAGGCAAAAAGAACAGAUUGUUUUUAUAUGAAACAGAUUGAUUCUACAGAGCAGUCUUGGCACAGUUUGAAUUUGUUCAAUGUAAAAUUGUGAUUAACAGAGAAUUAUGACAGAAUCAGAUCAGCUUAAUAUUGUGAGGAUGAAAGCUAUGCUUAGGAACCACACAAAAUUACUCAACACACGAUUUUAAGACAAAUGAUUCUUUCUCAGAUUUAAUGAAUGGGCAGUUUAUUCACAAAUCACUUAAUCCAUCAUAUACAACAACCUUAUUUAUGAUCAGAGAACUUUAACAAACCAGGAAGAACAGUUUUCACUUAAACCUAGAAUUAACAGAUUCAAUUUCAAGAGAACAGAUUUAGUUCUUGACAGAAUUCAGUAAAACCAGAAACGAGUGCAGGGAUGAGAAGAAAAGGCACACAAGUUUUUAUACUGGUUCACUCACACAGAGCUACAUUCAGUCUCACCUUACCCCAAGGUGGAAUUCACUAAAAACAGUACCAAUUACUUACAAACACAGCAGUUCUUGAACCCUACAAGAACAACACAGUCAAUGCUGAAAAACCCUAUUUCAGCACACGUUGCACUCCAAGAAACCCUAUCAAGAAGUGACUAACACUUACACCUUUACAAACAAGAAUAAAGGAAAGAUUACACCUGAAAAGAAGAUGCAAGAACUCAAAACCAGUAGUUCAAUUUGCUGCAGAACUGCACCAGCACCUUCACCAAGAUCAAAGGUUUCCUAGAACAAGCACACUUGAAAAUCUCUUUGGAAAACCUUUUGAAAAUCUUUCAAUCCUUCUCCUCACAUGGAAAAUGUUUGAUCUCUGUCAAAAACGUAAUUGCUCAGCUUACUUUCAUGUGAGAAAGCCUUUUCUUUAUAUAGAAAACAGUUUCUAACUUCUUUUCAAAAAAAAAACGGUUGAAAAGCAGUUAUGAAAACAACAGAUUCAUUUUUGAACUUAACAGAUUUAUUUUGUGAAAAACAGCCAACUCAGCUUAACUGAAAUAACUAACUAAGCCUUACCUGUGGUGCCCUAACAGAAUUUUAGAAAAGCCUUUUAACAGAGAAGAAAUAAACAGAUUUUUUCUCCAUGAAACAGAUUUAUUUUUGUACUGUUUUAAAAUCUUUUAAGAGCACUUUUUAAAAGCUUUUCAUAAACCUUUUAACAGAGAAGAAAUAAACCGAUUCUUUCUCUAUGAAACAGAUUUAUUUUUGUACUGUUUUAAAACUUUUAAGAGCACUUUCAAAAGCUUCUCUGAGCAGACGGCGACCGUAGAUGGCAAUGCUCCACAUGAUCGCCGGUCGGUGGUCAGCAUAGCUACUUGAAAAGACGGUGUAUGAUCGCCGGUCGGUGGUCAGCAUAGCUACUUGAAAAGGCGGUGCAUGAUCGCCGGUCGAUUUGAGGCAGAACACUUUCAAAAGCUUUUCAAAAACCAUUUAACCACAUCAUGUGCUUGAUCUAGGCUUGGUUAGGCAUCUAGGGUGGGUUAUAUAGCAAAAGGCAACCUUUACACAAUUACAAGCCUAAUUACAAACUAAUCUAAAAACCUAUUACAAUCUUCAAAGCACCCAAGCUAUUUUCUUCAUCAAACACACAUCAAGCCUUGGUAGGGAAGAAGCUUCCUCCAGCUUCAACAAAAAGGGUAUAUGUUUUACUGUCCUACCCAUAGCACAAGAAUUGUUGAAUCUGGAAAUGCAAGGUUCAUUGAAAAUGGUGAAACCAGUGGGAGUAAUACUUCACAAAAUGUGGAGAUUAAGGAAGUUAGAGUACAAGUUCCUUUAACUAGUACCUUUACUUCAAGUAUUGUUGUUCCUAAUGUAGUUGAGUCACUCAACGAUGAAGAAGAACAACAAAUUAAUGAUCAUGAAGAAAACAAUGAACCUGUAGUAGAACAACCACAAGAAAUAGUAUUAAGAAGAUCUCAAAGAGAAAGAAAGUCUGCUGUUUCGAAUGAUUAUGUGGUUUAUCAACAAGAGUCAGAAAAUGACUUAAGUAUUGAUAAUGAUGUAUGGGACCUUAUAGAAUUGCCAGAAGGAUGCAAGAGAGUCGGGUGUAAAUGGGUCUUUAAGACUAAACGUGACUCUCAUGGCAAUAUCGAACGUUACAAGGUCCGACUUGUUGCCAAAGGUUUUACUCAAAAGGAUGGCAUUGAUUAUAAGGAGACAUUUUCACCUGUUUCUAAGAAAGAUUCCUUUUGAAUUAUCAUGGCAUUAGUAGCUCAUUAUGAUCUUGAGUUGCAUCAGAUGGAUGUCAAAACUGCUUUUCUGAAUGGGGAUUUAGAAGAGGAUGUUUAUAUGGACCAACCAGUGGGGUUUAUUGAAGAAGGAAAGGAACACAUGGUGUGUAAACUUAAGAAAUCAAUAUACGGGCUUAAACAGGCUUCUAGGCAAUGGUAUCUUAAGUUCAAUGAUACUAUUGUGUCCUUUGGGUUUAAGGAAAACAUCGUUGAUCGGUGUAUAUAUCUGAAGGUCAGUGGGAGCAAGUUUACAUUCUUGAUUCUGUAUGUUGAUGAUAUCUUGCUUGCAACUAAUGAUCUUGGUCUAUUAAGUGAGACUAAGAAGUUUCUCUCUAAUAACUUUGAGAUGAAAGAUAUGGGUGAGGCAUACUAUGUGAUAGGAAUUGAAAUAUUCCGUGACAGAUCACAAGGACUGUUAGGUUUGUCUCAGAAAGCAUAUAUUAAAGUUUUAGAGAGAUUCAGAAUGGAUAAAUGUUCGACAUCUCCUGUUCCAAUAUAGAAAGGAGACAAAUUUAGUCUCAUGCAAUGUCCAAAGAAUGACUUGGAACGGAAACAGAUGGAGAAUAUACCUUAUGCAUCUAUUGUUGGGAGUUUAAUGUAUGCUCAAACUUGUACACGACCAGAUAUUAGUUUUGUAGUUGGUAUGCUUGGUAGAUACCAGAGUAAUCCAGGAUUGGAUCAUUGGAAAGCUGCAAAGAAAGUUUUAAGAUACUUGCAAGGAACGAAGGAUCACAUGCUUACUUAUAAAAGAUCUGAUCAACUUGAGGUGAUUGGAUAUACAGAUUCAGAUUUUGCUGGCUGUGUGGAUACACGAAAGUCUACAUUUCGUUAUGUGUAUCUUUUAGCCGGAGGAGCGAUUUCAUGGAAAAGUGCGAAGCAGUCAGUCAUCGCUGCGUCCACUAUGGAGGCUGAAUUUGUGGCAUGCUUUGAGGCCACAGUUCAGGCUAAUUGGUUGCGGAAUUUUAUUUCAGGACUUGAAAUUGUUGACAGUAUUGCCGUGCCCAUAAUGGAUCUAUUGUGAUAACUCCGCAGCAGUCUUCUUUUCUAAAAACGACAAGUAUUCCAAAGGUGCUAAACAUAUGGAAUUGAAAUACUUUGCCGUUAAAGAAGAAGUUCAGAAACAUAAAGUGUCAAUAGAACAUAUUAGCACUGAUCUUAUGAUUGCUGACCCUUUAACAAAAGGGUUACCGCCCAAAACAUUUACUGGUCAUGUUGUAAAUAUGGGCAUUAUGUCUACUAGUGAAUUAUGAAUGUUGUUAAUGCUUAUUUGACACUCUGAGCUCAUUGAUAAAUAAAGUUUCUGAAAUUUAUGUUGUUUUCUACUUUAUGUAUAUGCAUGCAAAUUAUGUUAUUAUGGUGUCGAAAACAAAUUAUGUUGUUAUUGAUGACAAUGACAUUAUGUUUGAACCUAUUAUGAAUUUCUCACUAUAAAGUCAUAUUAAGGAGAAAGAAUGAUAUAGUAGUACAUGGAAGGAAAUGUGUUGAUUCAAAUGACAUGUAACCGCCAUGACUCUUAUUAUUUCUGUAUUCUUGAUUAUGAAUAAUGAUAGAACCAAUUUAUGUAAGGCCUUUUAAAUGCACAUUUAUGUCAUUAUUAAAUCAUGAAAGUAUUAUAACUCAUAUGAGUCAAGUGGGAGAAUGUAAGAAAUUAUGUAAAUUAAUUUCUAUAAAGUGACUCACAUGACUUAGAGUUUGGGUUUUGGGCCCAAAUAUGAUUUAAUAAUAAUAAUAGAAUAAAGGCUCAUUGGUUAAUGUGAGAAAUAUAUAUAUCUGAUGAUAUACCUAAUGGAAAACCUACAUCUGAUGGAGAUUGGGUACUAAAGGCUAUAGGGUUCUGUCUCUGCAAAUAAUAGUUGUCUCACUGUUAACCAUCACGAAAAUGCGUGACAAGUACGGAAUUGCUAAGAGAUAGAUUGGGAUAAAGGAGAUAAAGUAACUGCUCAAUUAGGAUCACUCAUGGAUCAAGGUAAGUGCCUAUUUCUUCUUCACUUUAUGUUUUGUGAGAAUCAUGAUAUGAUAAGAUCUAUAUGUGAACACAUUAUUGUAUUUGUUUAAUUUACGUUUAUUCAUGUUUUGACUUACAUGACUGUGUUGCAUUAUUGCUUUCUCUUCUAAACACUUCAUCAACUCAUCACUUCCUUCCAUGGAAUUGGCGUCUUCAUCAUCAAAACUGCAAGAAUGUACGAUGUGCUCAUAAACUUUAAUGGAGAAGACAUCCAAAGGAAAUUUGUUUCUCAUCUCGAUUCUGCCCUCUCUGCUGUUGGCUUCACCACUUUCCUUCACCACCCCAAUGCAGACAACCCAAUCCACAUCCAACAACCUAUUCUCAAUCUCUCUCGUGUAGCAAUUGUUGUUUUCACCAAAUCCUAUUCUCAAUCUGCUUGGUAUCUUAAUCAGCUUCAACAAAUCAUCAAAUGGCACCAAACUUAUUGCCGACAUGUUCUGCCCGUAUAUUACGAAAUUCAGCCAUCUGAAGUACGUUUUCAGGAGGGUGAUUUUGGAAAGGCCUUCAAAACAACUGCACACCAAACAUUCUCAGGACAACAACUGGAGCAUGGCAUGUCUAGGUGGAGCCACGCACUCACCAAAGCUGCAAAUUUAUUUGGAUGGGAUGAGAGCAAUUACAGGUAAAUCACUCACUCAAUCACCAUAUUUUAAGCUUCUCAUUUCAUUUUGGUAAUGCAUGAAAUGACUUCUUCCAUAAUUGCUAUUGAACUUGAUGGAGUGAUGCUGAACUAGUGGACACAAUUGUUAAGACCGUUCUUAAUUUACCAGUCGUGUCUGCUACUAAGUUUCCAGUCGGAUUACAAUCCAACGUGGAAGAUAUGAUUCGAACUAUCAAAAAUAAAUCCACGGAAGUUUGUAGGAUAAUGAUAUGCGGAGAGGGAGGAUCUGGUAAAACCACCAUUGCCAAAGCCAUCUACCAUCAAAUUCAUGGUACAUUCACGGAGAGAAGUUUCAUUGAAGAUAUUGAAGAAGUUAGCGGAAUAAGAGGGGAUCUUCAUUUACAAGAACAACUUCUUUCAGAUGUCCUAAAAAGAAAGGUGCAGAUAGAUAGCGUUGAGAUGGGAAGAAGUAUGAUUCGGGAAAGACUUUCUGGGAAAAGGGUGCUCAUUGUACUUGACGAUGCGACUGAGUUUUUUGCAUUAUUCGACCUACGGGAAUGCCAUCAUUGGUUCAGUGUAGGAAGUGUAAUAAUCAUUACAACGAAAGAUAAAAACCUACGGAGUAUGCAUGAUGUUGAUUCUGUUUUUCGCAUAGAUCCAAUGAAGGCAAAGGAGUCCCUUGAGCUUCUUAGUUGGCACGCAUUUAGAGAAGCAAAACCAAAAGAAGAAUAUCAUUUCCUUGCAGAAAGAGUAGUUGCUUAUUGUGGAGGACUACCUCUUGCUCUUGAAGUCAUUGGAAGUAGUUUAUUUGAAAAGACUAGAGAAGAAUGGAAUAGUGUGUUUAUUAAAUUAAUGACAACUUCCAUGCAUGGUAUUCUACAUCAAUUGAAAAUAGGCUUUGACUCUUUACGCAAUGAAAGGGAAAAAAAUGUAUUCCUUGAUGUAUGUUGUUUCUUUGUUGGUAAAGACAGAGCUUAUGUUACGAAUAUACUAAGUGGGUGUGGAGUACACGCUGAGAGUGCAAUAAGAGUUCUGAUAGAGCGUAGCCUCAUACAAGUUAAAAAGAACAACAAAUUGGGAAUACAUCCUUUGCUACGAGAAAUGGGAAGAAAAAUUAUUAGUGAAAUUUCAAGAAAGGAAUCUGUGAAGAGCAGUCGAUGGUUCAUUGAUAAGGAUGCGGAAUAUGUAUUGACAGAUAAUAUAGUAAGAAAUUCUCUAUAUAUGGUUUUGAAAGUUCUUUUGGAAGUGUUUGCUUCCUCAUGUGCAAAACAUUCAUUUGGUUUACUUUGCUUCUUUCAUCACAGGGGACAGAAGCCAUUGAGGGAUUCAUUGUGAAACUGCGUUCCGCCAGAAGAGAUUGGAUCGAAGCAUAUCCUUUAGAGAUAAGAGACAUAUCAAAACUGUUGCAACUCGUUGGGUAUCGUUGUAAGCUCAAAAUACAUUGGAUAUAUAUACCUACGUGGAUUUGAGGGAUCGUCACAUAAUCUUUUUCCUACUAUCAUUCGGUCUUGGAUGACACCAACAAUGAAUAUAAUUGUUGGGUUUUUAGAAUAUUUCAGAGGAAGAUAUUUUAUUAUCUUUGCUAACAAUUACAUUUAUAGUAACUGCAGUAACAAACUCUUAACUAAUUUUAUGAGCAGUUACCUAGAAAUAUUAAAUCAACAAUUAAAACAGAAUAACAAACCGUUAAAAAAUCAUAAUUUCCAACACUCCUCCUUGAUUUUUUGAACUGCAACUUCCAAUCUUCUGUCUUGAGAACUCAAACUUGUUGGUUGGAAGUGGCUUGGUAAACAAAUCUGCAAUUUUUAUUUUUUUCAUCCUCGCUUUGCUUAAUCUCCAUUCAACACCUUUUGAUUUGACAUAAGGUGCAGAUUCUAAAAGACUUUUGUCAAAGCCUAAGCUGAUAAGAUAACAUUUGUCUUCUUUUCCUUCCACAAUGAGACCUUUAGGUUGCUCAACAGAAAUUUUCUCUUCAAGAAAUCCAUUUAGGAAUGUUGACUUGACAUCCAUUUGAUGCACCUUUCUAUCUCGAAGUAUGUUAACAAGUUCCCGAGUUUUGUUCUUCUCACUCAUAUAUACCUCUUCCUCCAUUGCCUUUGGGCCGUUGAUAACUUUUUUGUGAUCAACAGGUUCUUUGUGAUCCGCAGCUUCUUUGUGAUCCACAGGUUCACAUAUUGCAACGUUAUAUCUAUGAUAUAUGUCAGAGAGUAAUCGAUUGCCUUUAAUUGGUGGAUCGUCUUCUAUUUCAGAUUUUUGCAUCUUGAGAAGUCCUUGAUUAGACGGCUCCUCCUGAAAUAGAUCUAAUGAGAAAUUUUUGCCUUUCAUUUGUACCUUGAACAAAUCUUGUCCUGUAGCAUCCUUGAUCGAACAGUGGUUAUCUUCAAAAAACACCUUGAAGCCUUUUUGCAGCAACUGACCAACACUCAAUAAAUUUUGGUCUAUGUUAGGUACAUAUAACACAUCAGUAAUAGUUUUAGUACCUGAAUGUGUUGUUACAACAAUGGUUCCUAUUCCUUUUACUGAAAUGUGACCCCCAUGGCCUAUCUUGACCUUUGAAAUUUUUGAAGGCUUCAACUCCUUGAAAUUUUUUUUGUCAUAAGUCAUGUGAUUUGUGCUUCCACUAUCAAUUAACCACGAUGCACUUGAAAUAUUGUUGGAGAAUCCCCCUCCACAUUUGCAAAUUGAGCAUCUACGUCUUUUUGCUCACUUUGGUUUACAUCUUGUUGCUCACUUUGGUUUCUACAAAUGACUGCUUCAUGCCCAAGUUGAUUGCACUUGUUGCACUUCGCAUCAGGUCUUCUCCAACACUUAAACGGUGGAUGACCUAACUUGUUGCAAUGCUUACAAGGAGGGUAAUUUCUCCUUUUGUUGUUAUUGUGUGCAACAACUUCUCCAUUUUCUUGCUGGUUCUGCUUGAUCUGACUACCUUUGUUUCUCCAACCACCUUUAUGGUUGGCUGUUAAGGCUCCUUCUAUUGCUCCAUCUUGUCUCAUAGCUCUUCUUUGUUCUUGUGCUUGUAAAGCAUUUCAUAGCUCUGCAAGAGAAAUCUUUGAUAGGUCCUUUGUGUUCUCUAUGGUUGUUAUGGUGGCUUCAAACCUCUCUGGAAUCGUUACAAGCAGUUUUUCCACAAUUCUUCAAUCUUUUAAGACAGAUCCAAGCAAUCUCACUUUGUUGGCAAUGCUUAGAAGUCAGUCAAAAUACUCUUUUACGGUUUCUGACUCCUCCAUUCUCUGCAGUUCAAACUCCCUGAUUAGAUUCAGCACUUGCAUUCCACAAAUCCUCUCAUCACCUUCAUAUUCGGCCUUGAGGUAAUCCCAGAUUUCUUUUGCUGACUUCAAUGACAUUAUCCUUGUGAAUACCAUAGGAGAUACAACUGCAAAUAGACAUGUUUUUGCCUUUGUACUUUUCAUCUUUUGUUCCUUCUGUGAUUUCAUUUGUGCCACAGUAGGGUUUUCUGGAAGAGACUGAAUUUCCUCUUCUGCAGCUUCCCAUAAAUCCAAUGCUUCUAGGUAGGUCUCCAUACGAACAACCCACAUUUGAUAAUUGUCUCCAUUAAAGACAGGUGGUGCCAUUGCUGAAAAAUUGAAACCUCCUUCCAUUGAUGCAAUCUACUAACCUCACUGAUCCCUCAAGAAGAUAACUCUGAUACCAAUUGUAGGUUUUUGAGAAUAAUUCAGAGGAAGAUAUUUUAUUAUCUUUGUGAACAAUUACAUUUAUAGUAACUGCAGUAACAAACUCUUAACUAAUUUUAUGAGCAGUUACCUAGAAAUAUUAAAUCAACAAUUAAAACAGAAUAACAAACAGUUAAAAAAACAGAUUUUUCAACAGAAUCCCCCAUCUUAUUUUCAUUCGUUUUGCACGGAUAUGGAGGAUAAUAAUUGGGAUUAUAUUGCGCCAUUGCUUAGCACGCUUGCAAAUCUUUGAAGUGUUUUGGUGCAAUGUAACUCUGAGUUUCAACUAUCUAACCUCUACAAAAACUUGUGAAAUUUCGCCCUAAUAUCUGAAAUUUUAUUCUGGGUUCAUAUUGCGCUGAAAAAAUUCACACAACUACUUUCAUAUGUUGUUUGCACCCAGGUAAGGAGGCACGUCCAUAAACAAAUCACAAAAAGAAGAUACGGGGGAGAAAAGCCAGGACGUUUUGUUUUCCGAAAACCAGUUUUGUUCACUCUCGGUCUGGGACUUAGUACGCCUUAUUCCUUAGGUAUUUUGUUUUGAAAUUUUUACCAGAUGUUCGUCACUGUAUCUACUGAGUUUUGGCUGAGAUUUGAGCCCCAGUUUCGUUUCACGAGACUGUCAAUAAAUUAUUUUUGAUCACUGCCAUGGCUAAGAGGAUGGUUCGGUUGUGUGUGAAACUGUUUGAUUUUUUCACGGGUGAAUACUCAUCCGUUUGACCUGGAAUUUGUUGCAUUUUGUCCCAAAUUCAGUGGAGAUUCUUACGUGAAGUUUCAGAAAAAACUAAUUCCGAGAAUUUUUCAGAAAUUUCGUGCAAACCAAGGCUAUCCUCUACCAAAACCUGUGAAAUUUCGCCCAAGUAUUUGAAAUUUUAUUGUGGGUCCGUAUUGCGCUGAAAAAAUUCACACAAGUACUUUCAAAUGUUGUUUGCACCCAGGCAAGGAGGCACAUCCAUAAAGAAUUCACAAAAGGAAUAUACGGGGGAGAAAAGCAAGGACGUUUUGUUUUAGGAAAACCAGUUUUGUUCACUCUCGGUUUAGGACUUACUACGCCUUAUUUUUUGAGUAUUUUGGUCUGAAAUUUUUACCAGACGUUCAUCACUGUGUCUACAGAGUUUUGGCUGAGAUUUGAGCGCCAGAUUCGUUCCACGAGACUAUCAAUAAACUUUUUAUUCAUCAGUGCCAGAGCUGAGAGGAAGGUUCGUGUGUGUGUGAAACUGUUUGAUUUUUUUCGUGGGUGAAUACUUAUCCGUGUGACCUGAAAUUUGUCGCAUUUUGUCCCAAAUUCAUCGGAGAUUCUUACGUGGAAUUUGAGGAGAAAACUAUUUCAAGACAAUUUUUCAGAAAUUUCGUGCAAACCAAGGUUAUGCUCUACCAAAACUUGUGAAAUUUUGCCCAAGUAUCUGAAAUUUUAUGGUGGGUCCGUAUUGCGCUGAAAAAAUUCACACAAGUAAUUUCAAAUGUUGUUUGCACCCAGGCAAGGAGGCACGUCCAUAAAGAAUUCACAAAAGGAAUAUAUGGGGGAGAAAAGCAAGGCCGUUUUGUUUUCGGAAAACCAGUUUUGUUCACUCUCGGUUUGGGACUUACUACGCCUUAUUCCUUGAGUAUUUUGGUUUGAAAUUUUUACCAGACGUUCGUCACUGUGUCUACUGAGUUUUGGCUGAGAUUUGAGCCCCAGAUUCGUCCCACGAGACUAUCAAUAAACUUUUUAUUCAUCAGUGCCAGAGCUGAGAGGAAGGUUCCUUUGUGUCUGAAACUGUUUGAUUUUUUUCGUUGGUGAAUACUCAUCCGUUUGACCUAGAAUUUGUUGCAUUUGAUCCCAAAUUCAGUGGAGAUUCUUACAUGAAAUUUCAGAAAAAACUAUUUUCGGAGAAUUUUUCAUAAAUUUUGUGUAAACCAAUGUUAUACUCUACCAAAACUUGUGAAAUUUCUUCCUAGUAUCUGAAAUUUUAUUCUGGGUCCGUACUGCGCUGAAAAAAUUCACACAAGUACUUUCAAAUGUUGUUUGCACCCAGGCAAGGAGGCACGUCCAUAAAGAAAUCACAAAAAGAAUAUACGGGGGAGAAAAGCUAGGAUGUUUUUGUUUUCGGAAAAUCAAUUUUGUUCACUCUCGGCCUGGGACUUACUACGCCUUACUCCUUGGGAAUUUUGGUCUGAAAUUUUUACUAGACGUUCUUCACUGUGUCUACUGAAUUUUGGCUGAGAUUUGAGCCCCAGAUUCGUCCCACGAGACUAUCAAUAAAUUUUUUAUUCAUCAGUGUCAGAGCCUAGAGGAAGUUUCGUGUGUGUGUGAAACUGUUUGAUUUUUAUCGUGGGUGAAUAAUCAUCCGUGUGACCUUAAAUUUGUCGCAUUUUGUCCCAAAUGCAUCGGAGAUUCUUACGUGGAAUUUCAGGAAAAAACUAUUUCGAGAGAAUUUUUCAGAAAUUUUGUGCAAACCAAGGCUAUCCUCUACCAAAACUUGUGAAAUUUCGCCAAAGUAUCUGAAAUUUUAUUCUGGGUCCGUAUUGUGCUGAAAACAUUCACACAAGUACUUUCAAAUGUUCUUUGCACCCAGGCAAGGAGGCACGUCCAUAAAGAAAUCACAAAAAGAAUAUACGGGGGAGAAAAGCCAGGACGUUUUGUUUUCGGAAAACCAGUUUUGUCACUCUUUGUUUGGGACUUACUACGCCUUAUCCCUUGGGUAUUUUGGUUUGAAAUUUUUACCAGACGUUCGUCACUGUGUCUACUGAGUUUUGGCUGAGAUUUGAGCCCCAGAUUCGUUUCACGAGACUGUCAAUAAAUUGUUUUUGAUCACUGCCAUGGCUAAGAGGAAGGUUCGUUUGUGUGUGAAACUGUUUGAUUUUUUUCAUGGGUGAAUGCUCAUCCUUCUGCUGUUGCUGUUUUAAUUCUGAUGUAAUCAAAACAAUAUCUUGUUUUAUCUCUUAUCUUUGUCUAUUUGUGAAGACAAAUAGGGGGAGAUAUAUGCUGUGUUUCUAGUUUGUUUUAAGUUUCUGUUUUUCAGUUGAUAAAACAGUUUGGAAUAUGUAAUAUAUCUCUGAUAUUAGAUGUUUUAAGCUUUAAACUGUUUAUCUGUAUGCUAACAAAAUAUCAGAAGUUCAAUGUAUUGCUCAAAGUUCUAUUGCAGGAACUGCUUCAUUUAAUCAGGUACAACACAAGCAUCAGGGAUUUGUCUUCAUCAAAUAGGGGGAGAUUGUUGAACCAAGUGGUGUUCAAUGUUUUGAAGAAUCCAAAUCCUUUGAAGGAUGUUGAAGCAUCUGCUUUGCUUGAUGUUGCUGUGCUGGUUUAAGCUUUGUUCUGGGGUAGUUUAUAUGUUGUAAUCAACCCUUCGAUUAAAUCUCAAGCAAUUAGCAUCUCAAUCUUUAUGAAAAUAAAAUGUUUUUCAAACUAAGUUGAAACAACCAAUUGUUUUGUCGAAACAACCGAUUGUUUAUACUUAGGUGUUUUGAGAAAGAUUGAAAACUGUUUUUGAAUGGUUGAAACUGUUAAGUACCAAAACAACCGAUUGAUUCGAGGAAGCAACCGAUUGUUUGUUUUGGAAUCAUAAUAGAAAAACUGUUUUGUGUUUGAUUGAGCUUUAAAUGCUUUAACUGUAUAUGCUCUAGUCAUUAAAUGCUUUGACCAAUCUUUUAAUGCAAUUUAAGAGUUUGUUAAGAUUUGAUAACAAACUACAUCUUUGAAUAUAUUAAGAAAAACAUAUUUGAGAAUUAAGAAUCUUUGACAAAGUUUUUCUAAAGAGUUUUUCAAAGAGUUGAGAUUGCUAAGAGUUUGUGAUUGAUCAAGGUGCUGGAAUAGGAUUCUACUUGUAUUGAUUUCAGAUAUUCAUUUGUAACAAGUGUAAUCUUUGUACUCUGUUUAACAAUUUGUUUUUGUGCUUGCUGAGAUUGGCUAUGUGUUCUUGAGGUGUUCAAGAUCAGCAAUCUUAGUGUUGGCCAAGGAGAGUGUGUUUCUUGAGGUGUUCAAGGUCAUUCUCUUGGUUGAUUGUGUAAGUGAUCAAGGUGUGGUUGCUUAGUGGAUAUCCUCAGGAUUUCUGGAAGACUGGAUGUAGCUCUGGUUUGGAGUGAACCAGUAUAAACAACUGUGUACAAUCUCUCUAUCCCUAACUCUUUAAAUUCAGUUUAUUUGUUGUUUGCUGGUAUAAACAGCCGAUUGUUUCUACGAAACAACCAAUUGUUUUUCUGGUACUACAACUUUUGCUUGCUGUUUUGGCUAACUGAAUUGCUGAAUCAAUUGGUUUCUAAGAUAAAUUCAUUCUAGUGUUUGAAGAUUUUGCGAAAACCCUUUUAAACUAUUCACCCCCCUCUAGUUUAAAGCCAUCUUUUCUAACAACUAUUUCGAGACAAUUUUUCAAAAAUUUUGUGCAAACCAAGACUAUCCUGAUGAGAAUCAAAUAAAGGAGGCUUUUAUUAUUGAAGGAAGAGGUCAUUCACCUACACAUUUGAAGUUCUUCCUUCUAGUCUUCUCAAAAUUAAAAGAAGAUAUAAAAUAAAGAGAGGAUCAAGCCUAAAGCCAAAGAAGUCUACAGGCUUUCAAGAAUAGGCUUCAUUUAAAUAUCUCUCUUUAUAGUUUCUUUUGUAUAAAAUUGUAGAUAAUAUAGAAAAGUGUUUAGGAAGGUGCUUAUAGGAAAACCAUAGAUACCUCUUUUGUAAAGCAUCUUUAGGCUUUAGUUUAGAAUUUUCUAGAAGGUGACUCUUCAUAAGUCACUAUAGGCGUUAGCUUAGGAGACUUUUGGGUAGCUUGUGGUACAAGCUUUGUAAGCUUCAUGACCAGCCCUUGCUCCUAUAAAAGGAGGGCUUAGGUCCUUCAUAAUGCAAAUUUGGAAUUUGUAGUAUCAAAACUCUCCCAAAUUGGUGAUUGAGUGUAGUGAGAACUUGUCUUCUCCUCUUCCUAGUCUCAUCUUGAGUGCCUUGGUUCUCUCAAGUGGCGGCAUUGCACACUUAUCUUGGAGCAUUCACACUUCAAGUGGUGUGUUCAUCAACCAAGAACUACAACCACAUAAGUCCUCUUUCUUCUCCAUCUUCUCAUUCCAUUUCCGUGCCUAUUUGAAUUCCUAAACAUGUCUUAGGUUCCUUUCUUGCUUUCUAUUCGGUGUUCUUGCUUAUUUUCAUGUUUCAAUCGGUUCAUCUUCUUUCUCCUUGGAUUUGUUCUGUCCAUUUCAGUUUUGAAGCAUUUUAAUCGGUUCAUUUCAUUUGUUAUGCAAUUUAAUCGGUUCAUUUGCAUUUCUACAUCUUUUAAUCGGUUCAAUUGACAAGAAAUGGAACUUCCAUGUGAGUUUGGGUUUUGGUACUAGUUUUGGUGAGUUCUUCAUUAUAGAACAUUGAUCCAAUUCUAUUAAAAGUUCCUAUUCAAUCUCCAACUCAAGUUGAUUCCAUAGAAUGUCAAAGAAUCAUCUCUUCUUUGCUAUUGGAUUCAUAUCAUAUCCUCUACCAAAACUUGUGAAAUUUUGCCCUAGUAUAUGAAAUUUUAUUCUGGGUCCGUAUUGCGUUGAAAAAAUUCACACAUGUACUUUCAGAUGUUGUUUGCACCCAGGUAAGGAGGAACGUCCAUAAACAAAUCACCAAAAGAAUAUAAAGGGGAGAAAAGCCAGGACGAUUUGUUUCCGGAAAACUAGUUUUCUUCACUCUCGGUCUGGACUUACUACGCCUUACUCCUAGGGUAUUUUGUGAUGCAAAUUUUACCAGACAUUCGUCACUUUGUCUACUGAGUUUUGGCUGAGAUUUGAGCCCCAUAUUCGUCCCACGAGACUGUCAAUAAAUUUUUUAUUCAUCACUGUCAGAGCUGAGAGUGAGGUUCGUUUGUGUGUGAAACUGUUUGAUUUCUUUCAUGGGUGAAUACUCAUCCGUUUGACCUGAAAUUUGUCGCGUUUAGUCCCAAAUUCAGUGGACAUUCUUACAUGGAAUUUCAGGAAAAAACUAUUUCAGGAGAAUUUUUCAGAAAUUUUGUGCAAACCCAGGCUAUCCUCUUCCAAAACUUUUGAAAUUUCACCCUAGUAUCUGAAAUUUUAUUCUAGGUCCGUAUUGCGCUGAAAAAAUUCACACAAGUACUUUCAAAUAUUGUUUGCACCCUGGCAAGGGGGCACAUCCAUAAACAAAUCACAAAAAUAAUAUAUACGGGGGAGAAAAGGCAGGACGUUUUGUUUUCGGAAAACCAGUUUUGUUCACUCUCGUUCUAGGACUUACUACGCCUUACUCCUUGAGUAUUUUUGGUCUGAAAUGUUUACCAGACGUUCGUCACUGUGUCUACUGUGUUUUGGCUGAGAUUUGAGCCCCAGAUUCGUCCCACGAGAGUGUCAAUAAACAUUUUAUUCAUCACUGCCAGGGCCAAGAGGAAGGUUCGUUUGUGUGUGAAACUGUUUGAUUUUUUUCGUGGGAGAAUACUCAUCUGUUUGACCUGAAAUUUGUCGUGUUUUGUCCCAAAUUCAGUGGAGAUUCUUACGUGGAAUUUCAGAAAAAGUCUAUUUUAGGAGAAUUUUUCAGAAAUUUUGUGCAAACCCAGGUUAUCCUCUUCCAGAACUUUUGAAAUUUCGCCCUAGUAUCUGAAAUUUUAUUUUAGGUCCGUAUUGCGCUGAAAAAAUUCACACAAGUACUUUCAUAUGUUGUUUGCACCCAGAUAAGCAGGCUUGUCCAUAAACAAAUCACAAAAAGAAGAUACGGGGGAGAAACGACAGGACGAUUUGUUUUCGGAAAACCAGUUUCGUUCACUCUCGGUUUUGGACUUACUACGCCUUACUCCUUGGGUAUUUUGGUCUGAAAUUUUUAUCAGACCUUCGUCACUGUUUCUACUGAGAUUUCAGCCCUAGAUUCGUCCCAAGAGACUGUCAAUAAAUUUUUAUUCAUCACUGUCAGGGCUGAGAGGAAGGUUCGUUUGUGUGCAAAACUGUUUGAUUUUUUUCAUGGGUGAAUACUCAUCCGUUUGAUCUGAAAUUUGUUGCAUUUUGUCCCAAAUUCUGUGGAGAUUCUUACGUGAGAUUUCAGAAAAAAUUAUUUCCGGAGAAUUUUUCAAAAAUUUUGUGUAAACCAAGGCUUUAUACUCUACCAAAACUUGUGAAAUUUCGCCCCAGUAUCUGAAAUUUUAUUUUGGGUCCGUAUUGCGCUGAAAAAAUUCACACAAGUACUUUCAUAUGUUGUUUGCACCCAGGUAAGGAGGAACGUCCAUAAACAAAUCACCAAAAGAAUAUAAAGGGGAGAAAAGUCAGGACGAUUUGUUUUCGGAAAACCAGUUUUGUUCACUCUCGGUCAGGGACUUACUACGCCUUACUCCUAGAGUAUUUUGUGAUGAAAAUUUUACCAGACGUUCGUCACUGUGUCUACUGCGUUUUGGAUGAGAUUUGAGCCCCAGAUUCGUCACAUGAAACUGUCAAUAAAUUUUUUAUUCAUCACUGUUAGGGCUGAGAGGAAGGUUCGUUUGUGUGUGAAACUUUUUGAUUUUUAUUAGGGAUGGCAAAGCGGGGCGGGCCGUGCGGGCCGGCCCGCGGCCCGCAGGUAAAAAACGCGGUGCGGGUUAACCUUUUCAACCCGCUAACCCGCAUUAGCACGCCCCGCAUUAGCCCGCAACCCGUGCGGGCUGGCCUGCAAACCCGCAAGAAAAAAAAAUUGGCACUUAGUAGCAGCAGGGCAACGUAAUUAGGUUUUCACAAAAUUUCAAAGAAAGAAACACAACACAAUCGCGCUCACAUCUCACAGGGGCUCAGUUGCUGCUCCCAAACGGUCCACACACAAACGCUUUCGGCAACACCGCUGCGACUCCGCUUGCUCACGCCGCUACUGCUCCAUUGCGUCGCCUCUGAUCACUUCCGCACUGCACCAUUGCUGCAGCUACUGCCGCCACUCCUUCUCCACCACACAAGGCAAGUUUUUUUCUACAAAUUAAUUGGAGAUUUAUGUUUAUGUUGUUUGAAAUUUUGAUAUAAAUUGGGGAUUUAUGUUUAUUUGAUUUGAAAUUUUGAUAUAAAUUGGGGAUUUAUGUUUAUUUGAUUUGAAGUUUUGAUAGAAAUUGGGGAUUUAUGUUUAUUUGAUUUGAAGUUUUGAUAUAAAUUGGGAAUUUGUGUUUAUUUGUUUUGAAUUUUUUAUGUAAAUUGGGGAUUUGUGUUUAUUUUGUUUGAAAUUUUGAUAUAAAUUGGGGAUUUGUGUUUAUUUGUUUUGAAUUUUUUAUGUAAAUUGGGGAUUUGUGUUUAUUUUUUUUGAAAUUUUGAUAUAAAUUGGGUAUUUGGGUUUAUCUGCAUAUAAAUUAGGGAUUCUAUAUUUUCCAACAGGAUCUUAAUUUGCAAAUUGAUUGUAAUGGAUGAAGAAUGUAACAUGCCUCUUUGUGACUUUGAAGAUGAUAAUACUGAGAAACAAUCUGAAACUGUUGAACCUGAAAAAAAGAAAAGGGAUAAGACUAGCACAUCUGAUUGUUGGAGGUAUUUUACUAGGAUUAAGGAGGGAAAGGAUGGAAAAGAAAGGGCAAAGUGCAAUAGCUGCAACAAAAUAUAUAUAACUUGCGGAAGAAAAUAUGGGACUUCUCAUUUAAAUCGUCAUAUUAUGAAAUGUGUUAAAAGAAAAUCUGAAGAUGUGGGUCAAAUGAUUUUGGAUAUGCAGGGAAAGUUGAAGGCAAAAAAAAUAGAUCAAGUUGUACAUCGGGAAUUGUUGUCUAAUCUAGUUAUUAGCCACAAUUUGCCUUACAAAUUUGUUGAGUAUCCCGAACUUAGGACUUGGAUAAACUACUUGUGUCCUGAUGCAAUUAUGAUUUCUAGAAACACUGUUAAGGCUGAUAUUGGGAGAAUGUAUAUGAAAGAAAAAAUAAUGCUUAAGGAAUUGAUUGCUUCCAUUCCUAGUAGGAUAUGCUUAACUUCUGAUUUAUAGACAUCUAUUAAUACUGAGGGUUUCAUAUCAUUGACUGCACAUUUUGUUGACCUGAAUUGGAAGUUAAAUACCAAGCUACUAAACUUUUGUCAUAUGCCUCCCCCUCACAUAGGUUUUGAGUUGUCUAAGAAAAUUAAUGAAUUUUUACAAGAUUGGGGACUAGAGAAAAAAAAAUAUUUUUUUCCCCUCUGACUUUGGAUAAAUGCUUCCUGCUAAUGUCCAAAAUACUUUAAAAAGGCAACUUAUUUUUCAAAAUGGUUUGAUAUGUGGUGGUGAAUUCUUUCAUGUUCGUUGUUGUGCACACAUAUUGAAUUUAAUUGUUCAAGAAGGAUUAAAGGUGCUUGGUGAUGCUUUGGACCAAAUUAGAAAUAGCAUCAAGUAUGUGAGGGGUUCGGAAAGUAGAAUGGUGAAAUUUAAACAAUGCCUUGAAAGGUUUAGUGAUAUUGAUGCAUCAUCUGGGUUGUGUCUUGAUGUCCCUACAAGAUGGAACUCCACAUAUUUGAUGAUUAAUAGUGCUCUUAAAUAUCAACGUGUUUUUGGAAGCUUGCAUUUGGUUGAUGAAUCUUAUAAAUAUUGCCCUACAGAGGAAGAGUGGGAGAGAGCUAGAAAAAUUUGUGAGUUCUUGUUACCCUUUUAUGAAAUCACUAACUUGAUUUGUGCUACAAGUUAUCCUACUUCCAACUUGUAUUUUUUACAAGUUCGGAGAAUUCAGCGUUUAUUGAUGGAAAAUGUGAAGGAUGAAGAUGUACUAAUUAAGAACAUGGCUAAAUUGAUGAUAGUAAAGUUUGAGAAAUAUUGGGAUGAAUAAAGCGUUGUACUUGCAUUUGGUGCAAUUUUAGACCCAAGGAUGAAGUUAGAAACAUUGGGAUUUUGCUUUGAAAAAAUUGAAUCACUUACUUGGGAACUAAAAUUGAAAAAGAUCAAGGAAAAAUUAUACAAACUUUUUGCUGAAUAUUCUACCAAAGGUUUCACAACAUCAUCAAGUGUUCAAAAGCAAAGGCAAGGACAAUCUUCAUUCUCAUCAUCUAUGUCUAAACCAAGUCUUUUUGAUGUAAGUUAUUUACUUUAAUAAUACUUAUUAAUGCACUUUAAUUCAUUUUUAAUUUUUUUACAGCAAUCCAUUAUACUGACUUAUUACAUCAUUAUAGGAAUUAAAAAUGCGCAAGCUUCAAGUAGCUAAUAAAGCUGGAAGGUCACAACUUGACACUUAUUUGGAUGAACCAACUUUGGAUUUUGACUAUUCAGAGGAGAUGGAUGGGUUAGAUUGGUGGAAAAAUAAUAGUCAACGUUUUUCUGAUCUUGCUUUAAUGGCUAGAGAUUUGUUGAGCAUCCCUAUAACCACAGUUGCAUCAGAAUCUGCAUUUAGCAUUGGUUCUCGAAUUCUUAACAAGUAUAGGAAUCGACUUUUGCCUGAAAACUUGGAAGCAAUCAUUUGUACUUCUAGUUGGAAGCAUGGAUUUUCUGAAGGUAAUUCGAUUAUUUUAUUUUAUUUUAUUUUUAUUGUUUUUUUUUAUCAGCAAUAAGGAUUGAAUAACAGGAACCACUUAAGGGGUGGUUCAACCCUAUACAUACCUAUAUAAUAUGAAUCAAAUCUCAGGUCUCCCAAACCAAUAAGAUGAGAGAGACAAAAAAAUCUACCACUAAAAACCCGUUCAAACCCGUACAAACCCGUACAAUCCCGUACAAACUCAAAACAAACCCAAUACAAACUCACUGCAACCAUAACAAGGGCCAAAAAGAACAACAACCCUUAUCCACCAACCCAAUAGCCCACAAAAACCAACAACCAUCGAAAUAGAGAUACCUAUCACCCUAAACUGGGUCAUGCCAAUUAAAUCGAUUUCAAACACGAUAAAGGAACAAGACACCAGUCAGAAAAGGAGAAGCAAACAGAGGGUAUUUUAGAAGUUACCCAUGACCAAACCUUCAAUUGAGCCAAAAGUUAUCUUAUUUUUAUGAAAAAUUAAUUAAUUAAUUGUCAUUGUUUUAAUAUAUGCAGAUGACGGGGAAGAUUAUAAUUAUGAAAAAAUGGAUGAAAGUUCUUCUAAGGUGGCAUCCAAUGUUAUUGAGAUGGAAGAAUGUCAAUAAUGUUUAUGUUUAAUGUUUUUGAAUUAAUGUUUAUGUUUAAUGUUUUGGAAUUAGGUAUUUUUAAUGUUUUGGAAGUGGAAGAAUAGUGAUAUUUGAUAUUUAUUUUAAUGUUUAAUGUUUUGACGUUUGACUAUAUUUGAAAAGGAAGGAAAAAAAAUUAGGUUUGAUAAUAAUAAAUAUAUAGGUUUAAUUUGACAAUUUUUUAAGAACAAAAUGUAAAAAAAAAAGAACGCGGGCUGGCCAGCAAACCCGCGGGCUGGCCAGCAAACCCGCGGGCCUGCUCUUAUGCGGGGCGGGUCGGGAAUUCUAGCCCGCAAUAACUUUGCAGGGCGGGAAACCCGUCCCGCAUUUUUGUGGGCCAAGCGCGGGGCGGGCCAAUGCGGGGCGGGCUGGCCCGCUUUGCCAUCCCUAAUUUUUAUCAUGGGUGAAUACUCAUUCGUCGCACGAGACUGUCAAUAAAUUUCUUAUUCAUCAAUGCCAAGGCUGAGUAUAUGGUUCGUUUGUGUGUGAAACUGUUUCAUUUUUUUCGUGGGUGAAUACUCAUCCGUGUGACCUGAAAUUUGUCGUGUUUUGCCCCAAAUUCAUCGGAGAUUCUUACGUGGAAUUUCAGGAAAAAACUAUUUCGGGAUAAUUUUUCAGAAAUUUUGUGCAAACCAAGGCUAUCCUCUACCAAAACUUGUGAAAUUUCGCCCAAUAUCUGAAAUUUUAUUGUAGGUCCAUAUUGCGCUGAAAAAAUUCACACAAGUACUUUCAAAUAUUGUUUGCACCCUGGCAAGGGGGCACAUCCAUAAACAAAUCACAAAAAUAAUAUAUACGGGGGAGAAAAGGCAGGACGUUUUGUUUUCAGAAAACCAAUUUUGUUCACUCUCGGUUUGGGACUUACUACGCCUUACUCCUUGGCUAUUUUUGUUUGAAAUUUUUACCAGACGUUUGUCACUGUGUUUACUGAGUUUUGGCUGAGAUUUGACCCCCAGAUUCGUUCCACGAGACUGUUAAUAAAUUUUUAUUCAUCACUGUCAAGGCUGAGAGGAAGGUUCGUUUGAGUGUGAAACUGUGUUGAUUUUUUUUAUGGGUGAAUACUCAUCCGUUUGACUUGAAAUUUGUAGCAUUUUGUCCGAAAUUCAGUGGAGAUUCUUACGUGAAAUUUCAGAAAAAAGUAUUUCCGGAGAAUUUUUCAGAAAUUUUGUGUAAAACAAGGUUAUACUCUACCAAAACUUGUGAAAUUUCUCCCUAGUAUCUGAAAUUUUAUUUUCGGUCCGUAUUGCGCUGAAAAAAUUCACACAAGUAUUUUCAUACGUUCGUCACUAUGUCUUCUGAGUUUUGGCUGAGAUUUGAGCCUCAGAUUCGUCCCAUGAGACUGUCAAUAAAUUUUUUAUUCAUCAGUGCCAGAGCCUAGAGGAAGGUUCGUGUGUCUGUGAAACUGUUUGAUUUUUAUCGUGGGUGAAUACUCAUCUGUGUGACCUUAAAUUUGUCGCGUUUUGUCCCAAAUUCAUCGGAGAUUCUUACGUGGAAUUUUAGGAAAAAACUAUUUCGGGAGAAUUUUUCUGAAAUUUUAAAAUUUCGCCCUAGGAUCUGAAAAUUUAUUCUAGGUCCGUAUUGCGCUGAAAAAAUUCAUACAAGUACUUUCAUAUGUUGUUUGCACCCAGAUAAGCAGGCACGUCCAUAAAUAAAUCACAAAAAGAAGAUACGGGGGAGAAACGCCAGGACGAUUUGUUUUCGGAAAACAAGUUUUGAUCACUCUCGGAUUUGGACUUACUACGCCUUACUCCUUGGGUAUUUUGGUCUGAAAUUUUUACCAGACGUUCGUCACUAUAUCUACUGGGUUUUGGCUGAGAUUUCAGCCCCAGAUUCGUCCCAAGAGACAGUCAAUAAAUUUUUUAUUCAUCAUUGCCAGGGCUGAGAGUAAGGUUCGUUUGUGUGUGAAACUGUGUCAUAUUUUUCGUGGGUGAAUACUCAUCCGUUAGACCUGAAAUUUGUCGCGUUUUGUCUCAAAUUCAGGGGAGAUUCUUAUGUGGAAUUUAAGGAAAAAACUAUUUCGGAAUAAUUUUUCAUAAAUUUUGUGCUAACAAAGACUAUCCUUUACAAAACUUGUGAAAUUUCGCCCUAGUAUCUGAAAUUUUAUUAUAGGUCCCUAUUGCGCUGAAAAAAUUCGCACAAGUACUUUUAUAUGUUGUUUGCACCUACGUAAGCAUGCACAUCUAUAAACAAAUCACAAAAAGAAGAUACGGGGGAGAAAAGCCAGGACGUUUUGUUUUCGGAAAACCAGUUUUGUUCACUCUCGGUCUGGGACUUACUACGCCUUACUCCUUGGGAAUUUUAGUCUGAAAUUUUUACCAGACGUUCGUCACUGUGUCUACUGAGUUUUUGCUAAAAUUUGAGCCCCAGAUUCGUCCCACGAACCUGUCAAUAAAUUUUUUAUUCAUCACUGUCAGCGUUGAGAGGAAGGUUCGUUUGUGUGUGAAACUGUUUGAUCUUUUUCGUGGGUGAAUACUCAUCCGUUUGGCCUGAAAUUUGUCACAUAGUGUUCCAAAUUCAGCGGAGAAUCUUAUGUGGAAUUUCAGGAAAAAACUAUUUCAGGAGAAUUUUUCAGAAAUUUUGUGCAAACCAAGGCUAUCAUCCUCUACCAAAACUUGUGAAAUUUCGCCAUAGUAUCUGAAAUUUUAUUCUGGGUCCGAAUUGCGAUGAAAAAAUUGACACAAGUACUUUCAUAUGUUGUUUGGACCCAGGCAAGGAGGCAUGUGCAUAAAGAAAUCACAAAAAGAAUAUACGGGGGAGAAAAUCCAUGACGUUUUGUUUUCGGGAAACCAGUUUUGUUCACUCUCGGUAUAGGACUACUAGGCCUUACACCUUGGGUAUUUUGGUCACAAAUUUUUACCAGACUUUUGUCACUGUGUCUACUGAGUUUUUGCUUAGAAUUGAACCCCAGAUUCGUCCCACGAGACUGUCAAUAAAUUUUUUAUUCAUAACUGCCAGAGCUGAGAGGAAGGUUCGUUUGUGUGUGAAAUUGUUUGAUUUUUUACGUGGGUGAAUAUUCAUCCGUUUGACCUGAAAUUUGUCGCGUUUUGUCCCAAAUUAUGUGGAGAUUCUUACGUGGAAUUUAAGGAAAAAACUCUUACGGGAGAUUUUUUUUCAUAAAUUUUGUGCAAACCAAGUCUAUCCUCUACCAAAACUUCUUAAAUUUCUCCCUAGUAUUUGAAAUUUUAUUCUAGGUCCGUAAUCCGCAGAAAAAAUUCACACAAGUACUUUCAUAUGUUGUUUGCACCCAGGUAAGGAGGCACGUCAAAAAACAAAUCACAAAAAGAAGAUAAUGGGAGAAAAGCCAGGACGUUUUGUUUUUGGAAAACUAGUUUUGUUCACUCUCGGUCUCAGACUUACUACGCCUUACUCCUUGGGUAUUUUAGUGUGAAAUUUUGACGAGAUGUUCGUCACUGUAUCUACUGAGUUUUGGCUGAGAUUUGAGCCUUAGAUUCAUCCUACGAGACUGUCAAUAAAAUAUUUAUUCAUCCCAGUCAGGGCUGAGAAGAAGGUUCGUUUGUGUGUGAAACUGUUUGAUUUUUUUCGUGGGUGAAUACUCAUCCGUUUGACCUGAAAUUUGUCGCCUUUUGUCCCAAAUUCAGUGGAUAUUCUUAUGUGGAAUUUCAGGAAAAAAAUAUUUCGGGAGAAUUUUUCAUAAAUUUUGUGCAAACCUCUACAUAUAAACUUGUGAAAUUACGCCCUAGUAUCUGAAAUUUUAUUUUGGGUCCGUAUUGCGCUGAAAAAAUACACACAAGUACUUUCAUAUGUUGUUUUCACCCAGGCAAGGAGGCACGUCCAUAAAGAAAUCACAAAAAGAAUAUACGGGGGAGAAUAGCCAGGACGUUUUGUUUUCGGGAAACUAGUUUUUUUCACUCUCGGUCUGGGACUUAUUAUGCCUUACACCUUCAGUAUUUUGGUCAUAAAUUUUUACCAGACGUUCGUCAAUGUGUCUACUGAGUUUUGGCUGAGAUUUGAGCCCCAGAUUUUUCUCACGAGACUGUUAAUAAAUUUUUUAUUCAUCACUGCCAGGGCUGAGAGGAAUGUUCGUUUGUGUGUCAAAUUGUUUGGCUUUUUUCGUGGGUGAAUAUUCAUCCGUUUGACCUUAAAUUUGUCGCGUUUUGUCCCAAAUUUAGUGGAGAUUCUUACGUGGAAUUUCAGGAAAAAAGUAUUUCGCGAGAAGUUUUCAGAAUUUUUGUGCAAUUUCGCCCUAGUAUAUGAAAUUUUAUUCUAGGUCCGUAUUGCACUGAAAAAAUUUACACAAGUACUUUCAUAUGUUGUUUGCACCCAGGUAAGGAGGCACGUCCAAAAAAAAAUCACGAAAAGAAGAUACUGGGGUGAAAAGCCAGGAUGUUUUUGUUUAGGAAAACCAGUUUUGUUCACUCUCGGUCUCGGACAUACUACGCCUUACUCCUUGGGUAUUUUGGUUUGAAAUUUUUACGAGAUGUUCGUCACUGUGUUUACUGAGUUUUGGCUGAGAUUUGAGCACCAGAUUCAUCCAACGGGACUUACAAUAAAUAUUUUAUUCAUCACUGUCAGGGCUGAGAGGAAGGUUUGUUUGUAUGUGAAACUAUUUGAUUUUUUUCUUGGGUGAAUACUCAUCCGUUUGACCUGAAAUUUGUCGCCUUUUGUCCCAAAUUCAGUGGAGAUUCUUCUGUGGAAUUUCAGGAAAAAACUAUUUCCAGAGUAUUUUUCAGAAAUUUUGUGCAAACCAAGGCUAUCCUCUAAAUUUCGCCCUGGUAUCUAAAAUUUUAUUCUGGGUCCGUAUUGCGCUGAAAAUAUUCACACAAGUACUUUCAUAUGUUGUUUGCACCCAGGUAAGGAGGCACGUCCAUAAACAAAUCACAAAAAGAAGAUAAAGGGGAGAAAAGCCAGGACGUUUUGUUUUCGGAAAACCAGUUUUGUUCACUCUCGGUCUGGGACUACUACGCCUUACACAUUGGGUAUUUUGGUCAGAAAUUUUUACCAGACGUUCUUCAUUGUGUCUAAUGAGUUUUGGCUGAGAUUUGAGCCCCAUAUUCGUCCCACGAGACUGUCAAUAAAUUUUUAUUCAUCACUGCCAGGACUAAGAGGAAGGAUCGUUUGUGUGUGAAACUGUUUGAUUUUUUCGUGGGUGAAUUUUUUCUGGAAACUCUAUGUUUUGUUUAAGUGAUCUUUAUUCUGCUGCUUUACUGCUGAUGUUUUGGGGUUUUAGCUGCUACUUUGUUUAAGCAAAACAUAAGUUUUGUUUUACUGCUCUAACCUCUCCCAUAUAUGUUGUACUUUGCUUAAACUUUGCUUUGCAGGAACUGCUUCAGAUUCAAUCAAGUCCAACACAAGCAACCAGGGAUUUGUCUUCAUCAAUUAGGGGGAGAUUGUUGAAUCAAGUGUGUUCAAGCUUUGAAGAAUCCAAAUCGUAGUGUUUGAUGUAAAGCUGGAGGUGCUCUUUGAUGUUGUUGUGCUUUAGAAUAGGAUCUGGGGUAGAUUAUAUUUGUAAUCCACUCUUUGUUGAAUAUAAAGCUUAAGUGUUUUCAAAUCUUUUAAGUUUAAAGUGUUUUUCAAACUAAGUGAAAAACAACUUGUUUAGUCGAAACAACCGAUUGUUUUAUACUUAGGUGUUUUUGAAAUUGUUGAAAACUGUUUUGGAUGGUUGACUUGCUGUCAAACCAAAACAACCGAUUGAUUCGCUAUUUCAACUGAUUGUUUGUUUGAAAUCCUAACAAAAAUAGUUUUGUUAGUUAAAUGAGCUUUAAUUGAUUUUAUAACUGAAUACGCUCCUGCUUUAAAUGUUUUAACCAAGAUUUGAAUACUAUAAAUAGUUCGUUAAUGUUUUAUAACAAACAAGAAGAAAGAAAAACAAAUUUGAGUUUUUCAAAGAGCUUUUCAAAGAUUUGAGUUUUCACUUUGAGCUUUGGUUAUUCAAGAGAGAAGUGGAAUAUGAUUACUCUAUAUUGAUUUCAGUUGAUUCUGUAACAGUGUAAUUCGUUCUAAAGAGUUGUGUGCUCUUGAGGUUGUUAACAUCAACAUUCUUGGUGUGUGUGCUGAGCCAAAGGAAGUGUGUUUCUUGAGGGGAUCAAGGUCACUUCUUUGGUGGUGUGUGUAUGUAAUCUGGAUUUGAUUACCUAGUGGAUUCCCCAGUGGUUUCUAGGAAACUGGAUGUAGCUCUUGGGUUAAGAGUGAACCAGUAUAAACUGUUUGUGCAUUUCUCUCUUCCUUAAACUCUUUAAUUUCAUUUUUUGUUAUUUUUACUGGUAUAUACAACCGAUUGUUUUUCUGGUGCUUUACUGGUUUGAGCUUUGUUCUUGGCAAACUGAGUUCCUAAAUCUGGUUUCUUGCAAAGAAUUUCAUUCUAUCUUAAAAAGUUUGCGUAAACCUCCUUUAAACCAUUCCCCCCCCCCCCUUCUAGUUUAAAGCCAUACAUUCUAACACAAGGGAAGUGGAGUGAGUGAGGCCAACAAAAGAUGUACCUGAAUGUGCAACAAAAGUCGUGGAACUAGGGUUCUGAUCCUCAUACCAUUUAAGAAAUUCAUUGAAAAUAGCAGGUUGGCCUGAGGUAUCAAUUAAAGUAUGGUCCAUAGUAGAAGGUUGCACAGGGGCAGUUUGUGCAACCGCAACAGAUUUAGGAGGACGACCAUGUAAGGAAUAACAUCUGUUAAUUUUGUGGCCAAGUUUGCCACAAUGGUCACACUUGUGACGCCCUUUGCCCGGCUUGUGAGGGCGAGGACGAUCAUUAUGCUGAGAGACUAAAGCAGAAGAAUCAUCAACAUGAGACGUUAUAUCAGUGGUGUGUUUACCUGGCACACACAAAAGGGUAGAACAAGUGUAAGUAAAAUUGGGCACAAUAGGAGAUCCCAAAAUUUGAUCACGAACAUGAUAAUAAUCAUUAGGAAGGCCAUGUAAACCCAAUAACAUGAAGAACUUGGAUCUUUGUUCUAGUUCUUGAGAAGGAGUGGGAGCAUGAGGUAAUAACUCAUUAAAAUCAUGAAGAAAAGCAUGAAGUUUACCCAGAUAUUAUGCCAUUGUACCAUCAAGACAUUUGGAAGCAACAAUUGUGAGAAGAUUUUGACACACACCAUAAAGACGUUGAGUAUCAUUGGUGUAUAAUAAUUUUGCUUGUUCCCAAACUUCUGAACAUGUCUCAUAGGUACGAAAUAUUUGCUUUAAAGAUGAGUGAAUGGUAGAUUUUAUAACAGUGCAUAAUUGAGCAUAAAUUUUCAACCAACGGGAAACCUCAUUUUCAGCAACAGUAGGAUGGGAAAGAUGAUCAACAUAACCUUGACUCUUAAGCCAUAAUUUAAUAUCUGAUGCCAAAGUGUCAUAAUUGGUUCCAUCCAAUUUGUCAAUGGAGAGAUGAACAUUGAUGUAAUUAGUAUAAAUAGAUGGAUUCGGCAUAAUGACUGCGAAAGAAGCCACAGUGGUAGCGGCAGCGGAAGAAGCCAUAGUGGCAGCGGAAGCGGAAGAAGCCAUAGAGGAUAAGGACAAAUCAAGUCACUUGUUAAUUGGCGACAACAACAAAGAUGAAGGCUCUGGCAGCGUCUCUGGCGGAGGCUCCGGUGAGAUUCUGGCGGCGACUCUAGUGAGAUUCUAGCGACAGCUCCGGCAAGGUUCUGGCGAGGUUCCAGUAGCGGCUCUAGCGAGGUUUCGACGGCGACUCCGGCGAGGCGGUGGGGCAGUGGCUGGAAAAUUCCAAUGAAUAGUGGGUUCACCAAAAAUUGAACCCUAACCCUAUGCUUUGAUACCAUAUUAAAGGAAAAGAAAGAAUAGGGUAAAUCCCUUGUGUAUAUUGAACACAUAGGGUUAUGUUUAUAUAAGAAAAGAAACAUAUGGGUUAAGCCCAUUACAUAAAUAUGAAAUAUCUAACAAUAUCUAUAAUAUAUAAUAAUAUCUAAUUAUAUCUAAUAAUAUGUAAUAAUACCUAACAAUAAUAAAAAUUUAUGCAAUAAGUUUGAGUUAUUAGAAAAUUAAUAUAUUUCUCCUUUUUAAAAUUGUCUUACAAUCGUGCUAGAAUUGUCAGAAAUCCAACAAAUAUUUUUUGAAUUGGACACUUCACCGAUACGUGUCCCACAAGUGUCGUACGAGUCUCAGUGUCCAAUACAGGUGUCUGACAUGGACACACCAUUUAAGAGGAGUGUUUGAGCCUUAUAGGACACAACAGCAAGUUUGGUCUCCCAAACCUUGCAUACUACUUACUUCCUUUCCUCAACGACAAAUUUCCCCACCUUUACUAUUGAGACGGAUUUAAGUCGACCUUUUCAUUGGUUUUGUAUCUGUACAGAUCAUCUUUUUGACUAUGUUGCAUUAUUGUUUCUCUUCUUCUAACACUUCAUCAACUCAUCAAUUUCUUCUGUGGAAUCGUCAUCUUCAUGAUCAAAUCUGCCAUGGAUGUACGAUGUGCUCAUCAACUUUAAUGGAGAAGACAUCCAAAAGAAAUUUGUUUCUCAUCUCGAUUCUGCCCUCUUUGAUGUUGGCUUUACCACUUUCCUUCACUACCCCAAUGCACUCAACACAACGCACAUCCAACAACCUAUUCUCAAUCUCUCUUGUGUAACAAUUAUUGUUUUCAGGAAAUCCUAUAUUCAAUCUGCUUGGUGUCUUCAUCAAUUUCAACAAAUCAUUAAAUGGCACAAAACUUAUAGUCUACAUUAUUAAGGAAAUAAUGAUUAUCAAAUUAUACGCAAUUAACUUGAUAAUGAUAGAAUCUCACGAUUAUUGGAUCACAAAAUCCCAUGAUUAGUGGACUACCACAUAUGGAGUGUUGUAAAUACACACAAGAAUAUAAGAAAUUACCAUUUUCUUAUAUGGUAUCAGAGCAUCGAUCUUGGUGCUUUAAUAACCUCUCCAUUUUUAUCCGCUAAAUAAGAGAUCAUGUCUGAUAAGGAAGACACAGUAACGCCGCCAAGUCGGCUGCCAUGGAACCAACCAAUCCCUACUAUCUUCAUCAUUCGUACAAACCUGGACACAUGUUGGUGUUGACCAAAUUGAACGACACCGAUUAUCAAUCCUGGAAGACAACAAUGAUGCACACACUCACAGCGAAGAAGAAACCUAUUUAUAGUAGAAACAAUAAGUAAGAAAUGAAUUGAGUUAAAAAGGAUCAAGACUUUGAAUCUUAUACCACACCUGUUAUAUAUGUUAUCAUAAUUAUUAUUAAUGUUAGAAAACAGUGGACGAAACUUGAAGCCAAUUUCCUUGAGUGACCAAAGAAGCUUUAACCACCACACCAGACCAGUUCUUUUUGUCAUAUUAUGAUUUUUAUUAUACUUAUUAUUAUUAUUAAUAUCAUUUAUAUUAUUAAUAUUAUUCAUAAUAUAACUAUUAUUAAUAUUAUGAAUAUCAUUUAUAUUAUUAAUAUUAUAAACAUUAUAAAUAUAAUUAGUAUUAAUAGUAUUAUUAAAUUUAUUAUUAUUAUUAUUAAUAUUAAUAUUAAUAUUAUCAUUAAUAUUAGUAUUGUUAUUAUUAAUAUAAAUAAAAAUAUUAAUAUCAAUAUUAUCAUUAAUAUCAAUAUUAUUAUUAUUACAAUUAUUAAAAAUAUUUUUUAUGUAAUACUUUAUAUUUGGAUACAUGUAAUAUUCCCGUUUCAUACGCUUCAUGCAACACCUAAUUUUAUUUUUAGUUUUUUAAUGGGCUGCAACACAUAUGGUGGAAUUAGAAAAAAGGUGUUAAAAUUCUAAUUGAAUUUAGAUGGAGAUAAUCAAUAUGAAAUAUUAUUAUUGAUACCAAUACUUAUGUUAUUUUUUCAUUUUUUUUAAUUUUAAUAUUAUAAAUUUUUCUUUAAUUAAAUUAAAAGAAUAAUUAAACUAAAAUUACUUUUUUAAUUUAUUUAUAACAACGUAAUACAUCUUAAAAUUAUUUCAAUUCCAUGUAACCUUCUUUUAUAUUUUCAUUUUUAAUUUUUUUUUUAUUUUAGUUAGAACUAUAUGAAUCUAAAUGCUAUGUAAAAAUCCGUAUGUAAUGCUCACUUUACAUAUGGAUCUGGAUCCGUAUGUAAAAAUCGAUAUGUAACACUUACUUUACAUAUGAAUCUGGAUCCGUAUGUAGCUAACUUUACAUACAAAUUUGGAUUUGUAUGUAAAAAUCGGUAUGUAACAAUUACUUUACAUACAAAUCUGGAUCCGUAUGUAAAAAUCCGUACGUAACGCUGAUAAGUGCCAAUGUGUAGUUUUUAUGAUUGAGAAAAUUGAACACUUUGGAACUUAAUUGUUGCUUAAUGUAAGAAAAUUACCCUAAUCUGAGAAUUAUUGAAUCUGAUUAUAUAUUUCUUGAACCAAGAAACAAAUGAAGAAAUUUAAUCUCAAUUUUUGUGUAAAUUGCAGAUGAAUAUGAAGCAUUGAAAGAAUGUAUUCAAGCUGGCAUUGAAAGAAGAAAAAGUAAAAACUGAAUUGGAUCACAAGAAGAUUUAGCUCAAGCUAGAGGAUUUAGCUCAAGCUAAAACUGUCCAGAGUUGAUUAAAGGUGCAGUACAAUUUUAGCCCAGGCUAGAAUUGCUAGCUCAAGCUAAAACUGUCCAGAGCUGAUUAAAGGUGCAGUACUGAUCUAGCUCAGGCUAGAAUCGCUAGCUCAAGCUAAAAAUGCACCGAAAGAUCUAGCUCAAGCUAAAACAGGCUAGCUUGAGCUAAAGUUGAUUAUAUAAAUUCUGAAACAUAACUCAAAACCAGCGGUGGAAAACAGAUUAGGUUUUUUAGAGAGAGACUAGUGAGAGAAAGGGAAGAAACCUCUGUUCUUAGGAGAAGAACUUGCUCAGAUCAGCCCUUCUUAUGCAAUCCAGAUCAAGAAUGAAGAUUGGAGGAGCUGUCAUGAGUGGCUAAGUUCUUUCUAACUUGGGAUUGAAUGUAAUUUAUCUUGAUCAAAUGUAUUCUUGGUGAUAUAUAUAUAAAAUUCUCUUUUCUACUUGUUCUUGGUAUUUUCGUUUUAUGCUUAUUGCUUGAUUCUUUCUAAUCAAUAGAGUCUUGAUUUUGAUCCUUAAAUUUAACUGGAAAGUACCUUUAAGGAUCUGAAAUAGACGAAAAUGCUUGAUAACUUGUAAUGCUAGGAAUAGAUUCCAGGUUAUUGAUUGCAUGAUAAUUCUGUUCCUAAAGCUGGAUGAUUUGUUAAAUAUGUGAGGAAUGAAUGUUUAAGAAAUUAUCUUAUGAAUUUUAUCUGUGAGGAAUCAAGAUGAAUGACUUUAAAUUAAGCAUCAAGAAUAAGUAGUUUUGAGUAUUAUAUAUUGUAUUAUUCAAAAUACAGAUGAUUGAGAUAAACACAAUUCAAUCCCAAGUAUCUUUCUCUAUAUUUGAUAAGUUAGUUUGGUAUUUGGUUGAAUCAAACCCUAAAUCUUUGAGUUCUUGUGAAAUCUUUAAUUUGGUUAUGAACAAAGUCUCAAAAUUAUUUUCUAUACUUAAUGAGUUUUAAAACAGAACAUCUUAAUUAGAAUUGUUCCCUGUGGGUUCGACAUUCGUACUUUAAAGAGUACUAUAUUACAGUUGAUUCGGUACACUUGCCGAAGAAAUAAUCAACAAACGCUCACUUUACAUACGAAUUAUCCGUAUGUAAAAAUCCAUAUGUAAUGUUCACUUUACAUACGGAUUCAGAUCCUUUUCAGUAUGUAAAUAACAGUUAUGUAGUGUUAUACCCUAUAUAAUGGCGCUGAAAUCCUUUUCAAUGAAUUAAAUUGUGACAGUUAUGACUGACACUAUUUACAUAUAAAAAUCGGCAUUUUAAACAAAGUGUUAAAUUGGCGGGUGUUGCGGAAGGUAGCUUAAGACUGCCACAUUAAACUUUGUGGUGGCCAAUCCUAUGAUGGUUUGGGAAACCAUCACACGCGUAUAUUGUGGUGUUUAUAAACGCUAGUUUAUACGAAAAUAAUUGUCGCAUUAUACACCUUUUUUUGUAGUGAUUGUUUUAAGAAAAAGAAGUAUAAUAAAAAUAAAUUUGCAAUUUAAUUAUGUGAAAAAUUAUUAAAAUAACAUUAGUAAGAGUUGUUUUAUGGGUGUAAAAUAAAAUUUCGGCAAUGUUUCAGGAGAUAUAUAUCAGAGAGAAGCAACCUGAUUUAAUCUGAACACAUUAAUACCAUGUUAGAAUAAGCUCGAGAAAACAAUUUUUUUUAUGAAGUUUAGGAGAGAUGAAUAUUCAUUUCAAAUAAGACAGAAAAAGGGAGAAUCAAAACAAAAUAUGUCUUUUUUUUUAUAUAACCAUGCCUAAAGCAGUGCAACAUAAAAGUAUGCAGCAGAGCAAAAUGCAAAAACAGAAUGAGUCAUCAAUAUAAUAUACAUGUGUACCUACAAAAUAUGUUUUUUUGUUUCUUUAUUUUAAUUUAAAAUAAUAAUUUAAUUGUUAAAAAGUAACUGUAAAAUUUUAUUGUUUUUAAUAUGUAAAGGAUAAAAUUGAAAAAUUAAAUGUAUAUGCAAAAGAGGAAAAUUCUAUUGUUAUAGACUAAUAUUAAUAAUAUUAUUAUUAAGUUAAUAUGAUGGCUAGCAUGGGUUUUUUUGAAAAAUGGGUCUAUUGGAUCAAAGAAUACCUCAAAUAUGUUGAAGAUGAAUGAAGCUUAGUCUCUACCUAGCCUUAGUGUGUUUGAUGUAGAAUUUAGCUAGUUUGCUUUGAAGGUUGCAAUGUGUCUUAGAUGAUCUUGUACUUUAGGUUUGUGUAUGUUCAAGGUUGCUUUUUGCUACAUGACCCAUCCUAGAUGCCAAAUCAAGGUAGUAAGAUCAAGCACAUGAUGUGGUUAAAUGGUUUUGGAAAAGUUUUUUAAAGUUUUCUUAAAAGGUUUGACUCAGUACAAAAAUAAAUUUGUUUACUUGAGAAACAAUGGGUUUAUUUUUGCUCUAUUGAAAGAUUUUUCGAAAUUCAGUUAGGGCACCAAAGUUAAAGCUCAGUCUGUUAUUUCAGUUAAGGUGAGUUGGCAGUUUUGUUAACAUUUAACCUGUUGUUUUUAGAAUAAAUCUGUUGUUUUUAAAACUGCUUUGAAACUGCUUUUUGAAAAGUGGUUAGAAACUGUUCUCUAUAAAAUAAAAUGCCCUUCUCACAUAAAGAGAGCUGAGCAAUCACAGUUUUAACAGAGAUAAAACACUUCUUGUGUGAGAAAGAGAAUUGAAAAGGUUUUGCAAAGGUUUUUUAGUAGGAAAAUAGAUGUGUGCUUGUUCUUGAAGAACCUUGUGCUGGAUGAAGGUGUUGGUACUGUCUUGAAGCAAAUAGAACAACUGGUAUAUGUUCUUGCAUCACUUUUCAAGUGUAAUCUUUCCGUUAUUCGUUCUUGUAAUAGGUGUAAGUGUUAGUCACUCUUGAUAAGAUUUCUUGGAGUGCAAGGUGUGCUGAAAUAGUGUUUUUCAGCCUUGUUUGUUGAAGUUCUUGUAGGGUUCAAGAACUGUUGUGUAUGCUGUAAUUGAUUGUAUCUGUUUUAGUGGAUUCCACCUUGGAGUAAGGUGAACUGGACGUAGCUCUUGAUGAGUGAACCAGUAUAAAAAUUCUCUUGUGUUUCUCUUCUCAUCCCUGCACUUAUUUAUGAGUUUUCACAUAAUUUGUCAAGAAAGGAAUCUGUUCUUUUAAAUCUAAAUUUGUUAACUCUAGACCUGAUAAAAUCUGUCAUUCUAACUUGUUAAUCAAUCUUCUAAACAUAAAUCAAGCUACUGUGUGAAUCUGUAAUAUGGCUAAAGUGUGAAUUGUUUUCCUUGACUGAACUGUGGCAUUUGUUCAUUCUCCUAGAUGCUUUGUGUUAAGUAAAAUUGAUUAAUCUUGUGAUAUAAUCUGCAAUUUGUAAGUUGUAAAAGUUAAUCAAUUUGUUUCUGCUAUUCUUGCUGGUUGAUCUAAAUCUUGUUGAUCAAGUUCUGUUUGUGCUAAAGUCAUUUGGAAAAUCAAUCUGUUUCAUUUAAAAUCAAUCUGUUCUUUUCAUCUCUGUCACACUGUAAAUCAGUUUCUUUUGCGAAAAUUUGAUAAGCUCAAUUCACCCCUCCCCUCUUGAACUUAGACGUUGUUUAACUCUAACAGAAUCUUCUUCUAUCUUUGUUUUAGUUAAUGAAAGUCCAUCUAAGUAAUUCAAACCGUCUAGAGGUCUAAGACAAGGGGAUCCAAUUGCACCGUUCUUAUUCAUAAUUGUGGCCGAAGGCCUAUCAAGUUUAUUAAAUCAAGGGCUACAAAGGAAGUGUUUUCUGAAUUAAAAGUCAGUGCAAAAAAUAUAGAGGUGAAAUUACUUCCUUUUGCAAAUGACACUUUGAUCAUGUGUAAAUCUAAUAUCCAAAAUAUUAGUGGUAUUAAAGGGAUCCUUAAAUGUUUUGAAAUUUGCUCAGGGCUUAGAAUAAACUUCUUUAAGAGAAAAAUUGGAGUUAUAGGAGUGGACAAAAAUGUGUUAGGAUCUUUCUUUGAGGUUCUCCAUUGCAACAUUAUGAAUAUUCCUUUUUUAUAUCUUAGUUUACCUAUUGGGGGAAAUUCUACUAAGGUUUCUUUUUGUGACCCAGUGCUUACAAAGGUUAAGAAGAGGCUAUCUAUGUGGAAAGGUAAAAAUCUAUCAUUUGCAGGUCGUGUGUGCUUCAUUCAUUUUGUGUUGAAUGCAACCCCUUGUAUUAUCUCUCUUUCUUCAAAGCUCCAUCAUCUAUAUGCAAAAAGAUUACAAAGUUACAACGUAAGUUCUUGUGGGGCUGGGAUAUUGAGGGAAGGAAAAUUGCUUGGAUUAAAUGGGAUAAUUUAUGUAAACCUAAAGCGAAAGGUGGGUUAGGCAUAAAGCAGAUAGACAUUUUCAACAAAGCUUUACUUGGCAAAUGGAAAUGGAGACUUGGGUCUCUUGAGAACUGUUUAUGGAAAGAUAUUCUUGCUUCUAAAUAUGGUUCUUGGAGAAAUUUAUCUGAAUCUAAAGUUUCAAAGCAUGCUUCAAGAUGGUGGUUCCAUUUAAACAAAGUGUGUGAGGAUGAGCAGGGCAUCAAUUGGUUUGAUUCUAAUAUGGAAUGGGCGGUUGGGUCUAGUGAAAAAGUUAAGUUGUGGGAAGAUGUUUGUGUUUAUAUUGUUUGGGUUUAUAACUGUCAAUUGAAAGCUAGAUUCCCAAGGUUGUUUAAUAACUCUCUCAUCAUAGAUAAUUCCUUGUGUCGCUUUGGUAAUUGGAACAGAGACAACUGGGUUGAGAAUUAAAGUGGAGAAGAGAGUGGUUUAAAUGGGAGAAGGUCCAAGUAGAUGAAUUUAUGACUAUGCUAGAAGGUCAGACCUUGAAAAUAGGUAAGGAGGAUAAAUGGUUAUGGAGAGACCCGCAAACCUGUAAGUACUCUGUCAAAUCUGCAUAUGCAUUCGUUUCUAAUCCUAUCCCAAGUGCAUCUAAGGAUAUGUAUAGGGUUAUGUGGGGCUUGUUAGUCUCACCAUCGGCCCAAUGUUUUGUUUGGAGAGCAUUGCAAAACAGGAUCACCAAAAAGCAAAAUCUGAUUAGAAGGUCGGUCCACCUUGCGGAUUCAUUAUGUGUUUUAUGUGGGAUCGAGGAGGAAAUGUCCUCACACCUUUUCUUAAGUUGUCAGAUUGCGAGCGUUGUUUGGAAUUGCUGUAGUAAAUGGAUUGGGGUUAGAUCUGUAAAUCAUUUUGCUCUGAAGGAACACUUUGAACAAUUUCAUUGCCCUUAGCUUAGCAAAGAAGGCAAUAAGUUGUGGAAAUGAGUGUGGGUAUCUAUCAUCUGGUGCAUUUGGAAACAUAGGAAUGAGAUUGUGUUUAACCAAGCAAAAGUGGAUGCGGGUGAAAUCUUUGGCCUGACCCAAAUGCAAUUGUGGGCUUGGUUAAAAAUACAAGACUUCAAUGACGCUUUUUUCUUUUUCCGACUGGGUCCAAUGUCCGAAUACUUGCAUUAAUAUAACAGUAAAACGUUGAUUUUGUGAGGAUAGAGAGGUUGUAUGUAUUGAUUGGUUUUUGUUCCUUUUUUAGGAUGUUUUGAGAGUAUGUAAUGUACCCUUAAAGUGUAUAAGGGUUGGAGCACCCCUUUGUGCUCCUUUUCUAUUAAUUUAUUUUUUUGCCAAUUAAAAAAAAAGUUUACAAAGGAUGUUAACCAUAUUAAUUAAUUCAAUUCGUCUGCCUAUAUAUUACGCAUAUCUAUAUGAGUACUUAAGAGUGAAAUAUUAAAUAAAUUUAUUUUCCCUUCCACUCAUUCUCUUUCUUAUUAAUAUAUUACUCUAUAAAUAGGUUGAUAUUUCUUAUGUAUAGUGUUCUUUGCACACACAUUCCAACUAAGAGUACCUCCUGAUAGAAGGCAUGAAGAUCUCAUCUACGCUUUGAAAAGAAAGAUUAUAUAAGAUAAUCUCCACUCGUGUAAGAAAGAAAAGUACAAUGUAUUUUUUUAGUUCUUGCAAAUAUAAUACUUUUGUUAUACAUGUCAAUUUUUAUUUUAAAUCCAACCACAUUAGUUUCAUGUUAUUAUCCCCAGUCACUUCAAAAAAAUUAACAGAAGCUAAAAACAACUUUUUAAAAGUACAGAACUAAGAUAAGAAUAAAAGUGCAUGGAUCAAAAAUAAAAAUAUAGUUAAGAGGGAAAAUAUUUAACCGUGACAAAGGUUUUAAAAAGAGGUGACAAGAUGCAUUAGAGAAGUAGAAUAAAACUUUCACUUAUUUUUUACGCCAUGAUUAAAUUAGUAAAUAAAAAAUUGAUUAAAUUGUUGAAAGUUAUAUAACUUUUAACGUUUUUCAUGAGUUUAGACAUGCUAAACUAGAAAUGUAGAAUUCAAAAUCAAUAUAAAUAAAAGAAAAAGAAAAUAUUUGCUUAAUGAUUUUAACAAAAUGACAUUGAAAUAAUGUUAUAAACUGAUUAUAGAUAAACUGAAUGUUUUUCUAAACUGUGUUUAUACCUACAUUAACCUGUUUUAGAUAUACAUGUGUAAUGUGAAAGAUGAUAAUGUUAUAAGCUUUUAAAACUUUAAGCGAUAUUUGCAUUAUCUCUUCCACGACCACUAAAAAAGUACUUUUAUUAUUGUGUCUGUAGAGAUCAUCUCUUUGACUGUGUUGCAUUAUUGCUUUCUCUUCUAAACACUUCAUCAACUCCUUCCAUGGAAUUGGCGUCUUCAUCAACCAAACUCUCAAAGAUGUACGACGUGCUCAUCAACUUCAAUGGAGAAGACAUCCAAAGGAAAUUUGUGUCUCAUCUCGAUUCUGCCCUCUCUGCUGUUGGCUUCACCACUUUCCUUCACCACCCCAAUGCACACAACCCAAUUCACUUCCAACAACCUAUUCUCAAUCUCUCUCGUGUAGCAAUUGUUGUUUUCACCACAACCUAUUCUCAAUCUGCUUGGUGUCUUCAUCAGCUUCAACAAAUCAUCAAAUGGCACCAAACUUAUUGCCGACAUGUUCUGCCUGUUUAUUACGAAAUCCAGUCAUCUGAUGUACGUCUUCAGAUGGGUGAUUUUGGAAAAGCCU
rnacentral:lncRNA from 1 species